UUGUUGUUGUUGUUGUUUUUUUUUUUGCGAGGAUGCUCUUGUAGUUGUUGCUGAAAUCAAAUCACCCACGCAUGCAACAACCUAAUCAUAGGAAUUAGCUAAAUUAUUUUCAUGCAUGGAGCUUCCAACAGGAUAUAAUAAUUUAGAAAAGUAAUAAACCUUUUUUCUUUUCUAAAGCGCAAGUGCAAAAGGUGUGACCAGAGAAUAUUAGAUUUCUUUCCUGAAGCGCAAGUGCAAAAGGUGUGACUAGAAAAUGGGCGAUGUGGUCGUAGGCGGUAGGGAAAGCGAAACGUCACCAACCGAAUGGCGAUGACACAACCGAAUGAGAGCUCUCACGCCUUCCCCUCCACAAUCACACCAUCCUCCUCUGCUCCCCCUGCUCCUCUUCACCUCUGCUCCAUUACCUUCUUUCUCUGCCUGCCUGGGGGAGCUAGCUAGAAAGAGAGAAAGAAAGAAGCUCGCCGGCGUCGGGGAGGAUGUCGGACUGGGGGGCGGUGGUGAUUGCGGUGGUGCUGUCGCCGGGGCUGCUGCUGCAGCUCCCCGGGAAGCACCACUUCGUGGAGUUCGGAAACAUGCACACCAGCGCCAUGGCCAUCCUCGUCCACGCCAUCCAUCCAUCCCAACUGGACUUGUUCGACAGGAAAGGAAGAUGGCUGAUUCCCCAGCCUGCUCUAUAUGUUGGGCGGAGGAGGACACUUGGCACCAUUCACUACUCAGUUGCUAUAUGGCAAGAUUUGUGUGGGUGUUGGAAGACGAAGAGCAGCUCGAGCAUGUGAUCUCAAACCAAAACAAAAAUGCAAGGUUAUGGCUGUUCUGGCUCUUUAAGACAACAAACCAACAAGAUCUUGCUCGAGUAUUGGUAACUAUGUGGGCAAUAUGGUGGGCUCGGAGGAAGGCAAUCCAUGAGAAUGAAUACCAGAGCCCGCUCUCAACUAGGUGUUGUAUCAAGAGAUUUCUGGAGGAUCUUGAGAUAGCUGAACUUAACUGUGAUGCAGCUAAACUUAAUGCAGCUAAACUUAACUGUGAUGCAGCUAAACUUAACUGUGAAUGUGCGGUCAGGCCUCGGGCAAGAAUUUGGUUACCUCCUUCGGGUGAUGCAGCUAAACUUAACUGUGAUGGUGGUCUAUCAACUCUGGGGGAGAGAGGAGCAGCUGGAGUUGUCUGUCGAGACAAGUUUGGGAAGUUUUUAGGCGCGUCAGCGGUGGUCUUCGACGGCCUGACCAACCCGGCAAGCUUGGAGGCACAAGCUUGCAGCGAGGCGCUAGCCCUCACACGGGAUUUCAAUCUACAGGAGCUAGUGAUUGCCUCAGAUUGUGUCGAAGUGAUAUCAAAUAUCAACAAGGCAGGUUCACCAUCUUAUGCUCCUAUCCUAGGACGAGACUUGCCUGCUCCCUUCCCGUGCUCCUAUCCGUGCUCCCGCGUACGUGGCUUGAUUUGAUUGGAAGAAAAUAAGGCCCGGCCCCACCCCCUGAAAAUCAGGGGGGAAGAUGAUUAGAUUUGAAAAGAAAAGGAGAAAAUGACAGCCGUAGGAUGAAGUGGGAGCACGGAUGGGAGCAUGGAAAGGGAGCAGGCAAGCCGGAUCCCUAUCCUAAGGGAAAUUCAAACCAGUAGGACCAACUUUUCUUCUGUUGCUUUUCGUUUUGAGAGUACAGAUAAUAAUUUUGAGGCCCAUUCGCUUGCAAAAGGACAUGCGUCUCUUGCGGUGGGUCGCCAUGUGUGGCUAGGGGUUUUGCCAGAGAUUACAUAUAUUCCAGAUGUUCUGAAUUUUAAAUAAAAUCCCUAGUUUCCCUCAAAAAAAAAUAGCGAAUCGUCUAUUCUGUUUCAGCGCCGACGCACGACUCGCUGCAUGCGCGCAUCUAGGGUAGUUGGGCGAAACUUGGCCGGCGGCAGCACUGCGCAACCAACCCAGAUCAGCGGCGACGGCCGAAGCUGUCAUGUCGUGCCCGGCGACCACAACGAGAGACGCGCAAGAAUACAAAUCCUAUGGGCAGUCUCCCUGUUGACUAGUAUCAUGUUACCGAUCCAAAAAUCCGAAUUAGGUCACAUCAUUUUCUUUGAUUUAGAUGGAAUUAGCUAGGCCAGUGGUUUCUUGUUUAUGCUCACAAAUCGGUACUGCAAAUUAGGCAUAAUGCAUUCAUUAUAUCAUUCAGAUUUAAUUUUUUGUCAGUCGUUUUUGUAUAUCAUGAAGAGAAAAAUUAUAUAUUCCUUCGAAACAAUCAUAGGCACAUUUGCUCUUCUUGGCAGUCAAGAAGCCAAACUUAAGCAAGUACAAACGUAAAAAAAUGCCCCACUGACCAUAUAAUUUAUGAAAAACAUUCAAUAUAUUUGUCAUGUUNNNNNNNNNNNNNNNNNNNNNNNNNNNNNNNNNNNNNNNNNNNNNNNNNNNNNNNNNNNNNNNNNNNNNNNNNNNNNNNNNNNNNNNNNNNNNNNNNNNNNNNNNNNNNNNNNNNNNNNNNNNNNNNNNNNNNNNNNNNNNNNNNNNNNNNNNNNNNNNNAUCUUCAAAUCCUGGCUCCGCCCCUGCCAGCUAGCUACCGUGUGGCUUUAGGUGUUGCGUAUCCUCUACACACACAUUUUCUUCUCCUCCUUUCGCCCUCUGCCACAUAUUCUUGCUCGAUGGAAAGCGAUGUUUCAGGCGCGGCCAGAAAACACGAGAGAUCAUCAUCAUCUUCAUGUAGCUUCCCGAAGGUUAAUCGCAAUUACAUCUCCGGCUCUGGUUCCACUGGAUUGUAUUCUAGAUUCUGGUACAACAUGGUGGAGUAGAUAAGAAAAGUUCAGGACAAGUCGUUGUCAGUUGGGAGGAGCUAGCUGGUCAUGCAAUGAGCAUUGCUAGUUGACCUCAGCACUCACUCUCAUGGAGGACAGGACGAGAGUGAGAGGUCUCCAGCCACAGAGACCUCACUCUCACACUCACUUUCCCCCUGCCUGCCUGUCUGUUAUCAACAAGCUCACUAAAAAACAAGCAAAAUUGCUGUUGUUCUUCUCCUUGAAUGUUGUUGUGGCGUUGAAAUGCCCUAGAUAUAGCUAGCCAGUUAAACAAGUGAAAUUUUAAAAGGUUUUCUUUUCUGAAGUUGUUCUCCUUGCUCUUCUUCUUGUGGUUGUUGAAAUCGCCUACAUAAAGUACUCAUAUAAACUGUCAAAGGAAAAUAGGUAAGCCUCCCCUCCAAGUUGGGGUUUCUCUUUCCCUCUCGCGAGUGUGGCGGCUAGGAUAUUCAUUCCUUCCCAGCUUCGCUGGCGAGCCCGUGGAUCCACCUUCCAUCCNNNNNNNNNNNNNNNNNNNNNNNNNNNNNNNNNNNNNNNNNNNNNNNNNNNNNNNNNNNNNNNNNNNNNNNNNNNNNNNNNNNNNNNNNNNNNNNNNNNNNNNNNNNNNNNNNNNNNNNNNNNNNNNNNNNNNNNNNNNNNNNNNNNNNNNNNNNNNNNNNNGGUUUUUUUUUCUCGCAUGAGCGGCGUUCACGCAGAUAGCAGUGGUUCAUUUCGAGUUGGUCUUCCGGACUUCGAUUCUCAUCGAGUUUGUCCAUCGGGGUGGAGCCCCGGUGUAGAUUCUCCGUGGUGUGAUGAGGUUAGAGUUUCUUGCUGUUUGUGUGCAACGAUUAGAUUUUGAGUAAGAUGUUUUAGAUCUAUUCAAGAGUUCAGUGGUGAUGAUUUCAGCUCUAGUACGCCACACCUCAGGGGCACGUGCAUGAAGACUUCCCGGCUGUCAUCAAGAAAGUCAAACCGGCUCAGGUAGGGGAGCACCGCAUAGACGGACAUUCCGACUGUGGCAGUGGUCCUUCGGUGGUGCUUGAUUUAAUUUUAUUAUGUAUAUAGGAUGUGUUGCCCUUUUUACGAACCUUUGUAAAAGAUCUAGGUCCUUUUUCACAAAAAGGACUACCUAAUCAUAAGAUUUGAAUAAAUAUAUUUUCAUGCAUGUAGCUGCUAAGAGUAUACAAUAAUUUAGAAAAAAAACCUUUUCUUUUCUUUUCUGAAGCGCAAGUGCAAAAGGUGUGACUAGAAAAUACAAGUGCAAAAGGUGUGAUUAGAAAACGGGCGAUGUGGUCGUAGGCGGUAGGGAAAGCGGAACGUCACCAAACGAAUGGGAAUGGCGAUGAAAGGGAGCCCUCACGCCUUUCCCUCCACAAUCACACCAUCCUCCUCCUCUGCUCCCGCUGCUCCUGGUUUGCUCUGCUCCAUUGCCUUCCUUUCUCUUCCCCGAGGAGCUAGCUAGAAAGAGAGAAAGAAAGAAGCUCGCCGGCGUCGGAGAAGAGGGGGAGGAUGUCGGACUGGGGGCCGGUGGUGAUCGCGGUGGUGCUGUUCGUGCUGCUGUCGCCGGGGCUGCUGCUGCAGCUCCCCGGGAAGCACCACUUCGUGGAGUUCGGCAACAUGCACACCAGCGCCAUGGCCAUCCUCGUCCACGCCAUCAUCUACUUCGCCCUCAUCGCGCUCUUCGUCAUCGUCAUCGGCGUGCACAUCACCACUGACUAGAGACCGGCGGAGCUCGAUCACCCCGGCCGGCCAGCUCCAAUUAAGCUGCUCUUCCCCUUCUUCCUUUUUCCAAUUUUCAUCCGAUCCAUCUGACUCCUGCCUCUGUGUUUCGUUUUGUUCUGUUCUUGCUGCUUGCAACUACUUGUAGUAGUACAUGGGAUCAUGUUUGUUUGUUGCCAUGCGUAAUUAAUCUCGCGCGUAUGUAGCUUCUUGAUUAAUAAAGAGAUGUGUGUACUCAAUUUUCCAUGGAGUGGCACAAGUUAUUUAAUCAUCUGAAGCUCAAGAUGAACCGGUAGAUGUGUGCAUAUAGUAAGGCUUGCAUUUUUUUUCUUGCAAAGCAACGACCUUCAUUUCAGCUACAGCGCUUUUCAACUACCCCUGCGAUAUCCAGAGCAUAGAUUGAUUAUAACCAGUAGUUUUGCCCAUGUGUCAUUCUUGGGUUCAUGAUUCUGCUGAUACAAUGAAUUAGCUACUCCCUCCGUCCCAUAAUGUAAGACACUUUUUGACACUAGUGUAGUGUCAAAAAACCUCUUACAUUAUGGGACGGAGGGAGUACUUGAUAGCUGAAUUUAACCAAGUGAUUAUGCAAUACUCCAUCAAUUAAGUACUGAUAAUCCUAGACCUACGUAGCUUUACGAAGCGGUUUACGUAACCUNNNNNNNNNNNNNNNNNNNNNNNNNNNNNNNNNNNNNNNNNNNNNNNNNNNNNNNNNNNNNNNNNNNNNNNNNNNNNNNNNNNNNNNNNNNNNNNNNNNNNNNNNNNNNNNNNNNNNNNNNNNNNNNNNNNNNNNNNNNNNNNNNNNNNNNNNNNNNNNNNNNNNNNNNNNNNNNNNNNNNNNNNNNNNNNNNNNNNNNNNNNNNNNNNNNNNNNNNNNNNNNNNNNNNNNNNNNNNNNNNNNNNNNNNNNNNNNNNNNNNNNNNNNNNNNNNNNNGUCCAUGUGGCAGGUUACGUAAAACAUAUAAAAUUCUUUACGUGGAUGUAGCAUUACUCAUUAAGCACGUAUGUUGAUCAAUGAGAAAAGUAGCUACCCACACAUACGCUUUCCAUCACACAUAAUACAUGCUUGAUUACUCCAAUUGCCGACCAAGAUUACGUACUCCAUUUUGAUUGCCGAACAAAUCAAAAUUUGAAAUGAUACAAGGUUAAUUAAUUAGCUAAAGUGGUAAUGAGAUUUGUUAUGACGACUUUUGUUAGUCCUGUGCAUUCCAAUCAAAGGGGAAGAUGAGGAAAAUCAUUGUGCAGUCGUACUGCACUGUACACUUGUGCUGUUGAUGGCUGGGUCGGGUGGGCGGCUGGCCGGUGUGCACGUAUGGCACGCCCUAGUCCCACACCAAUCAAUCGAUCGGUCGUGAUCAAGCUGACGGUGAUCACUGCCGGUCCAACCACUACCACGGCAGCUACCGCCUUAACGUUGAUGCUGCUAGAAUAUUGCCUAGCUACAAAAGCAGCUCUUUAGUAGUAUUAUUUCUCUUUUUUUUUGUGGCGAUUAAGGAGCUUUAAUUAAUUGUGCAACUGAAAUGUCUUUAUAAUCAAGCAUGUAUGGGCUCGAUCCACUUGAAAGUAGUCACUCCCUCCGUUCCGAAAUAAACGUCGUGGUUUUAGAUUUCCGUUUAUUUUUGCGGGGUGUGGUUUCAGUUCGUUGUUCUCAGCCGACUGCUUGUACCCAUCAUCCUCCAUUAGAAAAAAAAAGGCCCUCCAUGGUGAUGUCGUCGUCGUCGUCGUCCGAGAAAUUAGCUGAGCCAUUGGAAAUUUCCUUCUCUCGAUUGUGCUCCGGCGCCUUCACGACGUUAUUCAUGUUUUAUUUUGUGAAAUGUGCAAGCAUUUCAGAGGGUGAAAAUAAAUUAAUUAAGCAGGAGGUGAAUAAAAUAGGUUAGUUUGUAGUAGAUGCUACGCAAGCGUCACCUUCAUGCGUCUACACUUCAAUCGACGAUCGUCCUGGUUAGUGGCAACGACAAAAGGACACGAUGAUUCUGGUUACCACUAGCAGCUUGUCUGUGUGGAAGGAGCUAUGGCGCCUAAUUCGCCUAGGUGGCCUGGUGCGUGGUCUCCAUCAAUGCAGAUAAGAAGAGAAGAAGAAGAAAGCAUCAUGUGCACAUGAACGGCCAUGCAUCCAUCCAUCCAUGCUCUCAUGUAGCAUGAUGACUUUCUCUACCGGGACAUCACCAUCGAUCGACACCAUUAUUAACAUUGGGAAACCUCAUUUACUAAGACUUUUAUGAAAUAUGGGAUUUGUUUAUUCCAAUUUAGCUACUUCUAAGUUGCCUCAAAAUAAUAUAUGGGUCAGUCGAGUUCACAUGAAGGAAGCAACCGCUGGCUCGCCAGCGAAGCCCUUUGUGUCUAUCUUAGGGUGGCAGGCGACCCCGGUGUCUAUAUUAGGGUGGCAGGCUCGCCGACUAUCUAUCUUAGCGGGGAGGGUGCUGGUCCACCGGAAAAAAUCUGUUUAUCGCCAGGGUUAGAGGGAUGGCCAGGGACGAUGGGAGCGCGGCGGUGCGCGGGGAUGUGAGGCUGGCGUUGGAGCGCCGCUGGCCGUGGACGAUGGCGGUAGGCCUUUAGGUCGGUCGUAGCUGACGGCUUGGGGUAGAAGAUAACUGGGAAAACGAUUGAGAGGUAGAAAAAGGCAUCUACGCCAUUGGAUCUGUAUCUGAAGGCUGGAAACGAUUCGACAAACACAAAAUUCUUUUUCAGUCAACUGGUCUCUAACCUAUGUUACUCUAGGAAUCAGCAAACCAUGUACGGCCAGCUCUUGACUAGCUAAUUGGACGAAAUGAAUCGAUGAAAUUGGCCAAUGUACAUGUGACAACAAAUAAAUCAGUACCAAGCUAAAUAUAUAGUUGUCUCCACUGACCCUAAUAAUUCUCUCAACAUGCGAGCCAACUCACCCCCGUAAAAAAAACAGCUAUGUCAACUCAUCAUGCAUGCCAAAUCCACACUAACUUAACACGCAUCAUGCGUGUUACUCAUAUUCAAUAAAUAUUAUACAGCUAUACACUAAUCAAACUACAACACCUUAUACAAAUUUAGUUUGCAUUGUUCAUCUAACUAAUGGUGUUUCAUACAACCAAUUCUUAUUAAAAUAGUUACAACCAAAUUCCGUGGCAAUCGCAUGGGUAUUUAUCUCCCGCUUAUUAAUAAGAAAAAGGUAGGAACAAGGUAAUUAAGGAAUGUAUGGAGUGCAAAUUGGUUAUUUGGCUUGGGUGGAUUAUAUAGAGAGCUCAGCCUCUGCAUUUGUUGGAGCUCUCGCAGCCGCGGGUGUACUUGUUGGCCUCAUCUUCCUCGUGGGUCAGCCCGUUGCGGCCCGGCACCUCGUCCGCCUGCAUCACGUCGUACAAGAUCAUCUUGGCGUCGACGCGCCCUGCACGCUGCGCCAGCAACAACACCGCCAUCGCCACCGCGACCAGCAGCACCCGGCCCGCCGCCGGCGAGCUCUCCUUCCUGUGGUACGCCAUUCUAGCUAGCCUUCCAUUGAUUGCUCAACGAAAAUGUAGCCGGCCGGGGUAGACGAUCUGCCUGAACUUGUCGGUUGGACGUAAGGCGAUUAAGCUUCGCAAAGUGCUACCCACCAUCCGUUAUUCUUAGGAUCCGGCCUACCUAUAUCACUAUAUCAGGAAUGACGCCAAACAGAGGAGGAGGAGACCAAACAAAAGGCAGACACACAAACAGGUGACAACAAGGCAAACCGGCUAUACAUAGAAUUUCUAAUAAGCAUGCCUAAUAAGCGAGAUGACGCGGUUCCCGACCGCCCCGCUCCGACUACCGGUUCCAGCGUGGCAUUUGAAUUAUGCCGCGCUAGAUGCCUUUUUUUUGGCGAGGAACAAGUGGGGUCAAGCGUGCUUCGGCAAUUCCCGCGGUCAGAAGACUUCCUUGUAGUCCGGUGUAGCUAGAGGUGAGGUUGUAGGGAGAUGCACCGACUAGGAAACAAUGACCACACGAACGAGCAUAUGUAUGAUGUGAUUAAGUCUCUCGAUCGGGUAUCUGGUGCCUUACGGUGUCUUCUUUCUGUCAACCUUUGCCAUCUUUCAGUUGGAGUGUGUGGCAUUAGGGUUGUGUACGUUUUGUUAUUCAGUUGCAUGGUGUGUACUCUAUACGGUUGUAUCACCUCGAUGUGUGAGUCAAUGUGUUUGAACCAAUGUAGAGUUUCAUGUGAAUGUUACAAGUGUAAUUGAUAUGUUCAUGUUAUAACCGCGGUUGCCUUGGUAAGAAACUGAAAGAGCAAACCGGUAUCGUGUUAGGACAAAAGUCAUCACUCAAUAUAAGUUGCUUCUCUAGAAGAGACACACCUUGUGAAAGAAGAUGGCAAACACCCAAUCAUGUCUGGUUCGAUAUGGGCGUGGCUAUGGGUAGCUAGCGACACGGAAGCCAGCGUCGCCUGAAGAAACGCCUGGGUGGGCCCGCCUAGAGACAGAUUUCUUCAUAUCUUUUUUUCGAAAAGGGGGGGCUCCCCGGCCUCUGCAUCAGAGUGAUGCAUACGGUCAUCUUAUUAACCAAAUAAAAAUGUGCCAACAAAGUUUCAAAGUCUCCAACUGAAAAAAAGAAAAGACAGCUCACACAGAGCCUAAAAAGACUAGAGACACAAACUAGCCAAGAAAAGACGCCACAACCGGCUGGCUAAAAAUAAAUAGGUAAACUAAUUGCCUAUCCUAUUACAUGACCGCCAUCCAAACCAGUUGAAGAUAUCCCGAGCUACCGUCUCCCAGCGGAUAGAUCCAGUAACCAAAUGCUCCCUGGCCUCCAUCGGAGUGAGUAGCGACCACGAACGGAUCACUGUCGUGGCUCGGAAAAUAACCUGCAAAAAAUGAAUACGUGAUGUUGUGUUAAAAACCAAAUCAUUUCUGCAAUUCCAGAUAGUCCACAGCAAAGCGCAAACUCCAACCCGAAUAUGUCUUACUAAGUCAGGCUCAAUUCCAUUAAGCCAUGUCCCAAAUAAAGCGUUGACAGAAUUCGGUGGAUUAAUAUUAAAAGCAAUGUGGACCGUCCGUCAAAGGACUUUGGCCAACGGGCAAUCAAGAAAGAGGUUCUUGAUCGUCUCAUCCCGAUCACAGAAACUACACCUAGUAGGUCCUAUCCAAUUACGCUUUAUCAAGUUGUCCUUUGUUAAAAUAACUUGUUUAUGGACAAACCACAUAAACACUUUUAUUUUCAAAGGAACUUUGACAUCCCAAACAUUCUUGGAAGUUGGAAUGGAGUUCGAAUUAAUAACAUCAAUAUACAUUGAUUUAACUGUAAAUACUCCAGACCUAGUCAGUUUCCAGCGUAAUUCAUCGGGUUGUUCAGAAAAUUGAAUCUCCAUCAGUCUCCUAACUAGAUGGAGCCAGUCUUCCCAACGAUUGCCCGCUAGCGACCGUCUAAACUGAAUAUUAAGGGGGAUAGAUUGAAAUACCGUUGCAACGAAUACCUCACGUCGUUGGAUAAUACGAUAUAAAGACGAAUAUUGAAUGGCCAAUGGUGUGUCGCUAAUCCAAGUAUCCUCCCAAAAACGUGUACUAGCACCGUUUCCAAUAACAAACUUCGUCCUAUUGAACAUUGAUUGUUUGACUUUCAUUAGUCCUUAAUUUUGUAUCUACCCUUAGUUUUGUUUUUCUGCCGUUUUUCUUUAUAUUUUAUAUUUUUCCCGACAUGUUCACUACUUGAUGCUCAACUGGGAUCUCAUCCUUCACAGAUAUGGAGGGCCAUUAUUGACGGAAGGGAUAUUAUAUGGUGCAAGGUAUAAUCAGACACAUCAGGGAUGGAGCGACUACACACAUAUCACUAGUAGGAAAACAUUCGACACGGGCGGGCGCUUUUCUUUCUAGAAAAACAUUCGAGUGAAUCAGGUGGACCAUAUAUUUCUCAUGUGGACGAACGAAAAAAACUCCACGACUAACAGUCUAUGAUAUUCACAUGGUACCGUGCUUUAUGGUCGAUUGGAAGUAAAAAUAUGAAAAGCAUGCCUAAUAAGCGAGAUGGUGCAUGCAGUUCCCGACCGCCCCGCUCCGUAUCGGUUCCAGCGUGGCAUUUGAAUUAUGCCGCGCUAGAUGCCUUUUUUCGGCGAGAAACAAGUGGGUUCAACCGUGCUUCGGCAAUUCCCGCGGUCAGAAGACUUCCUUGCAGUCCAGUGUAGAGGUGAGGUUGUAGGGAGAUGCACCGACUAGGAAGCAAUGACCACACGAACGAGUAUAUGUGUCUGAUGUGAUUAAGUCUCUCGGUCGGGUAUCUGGUGCUUUACGUACGGUGUCUUCUUUUUGUCAAGCUAUGACAUCUUUCAGUUUGAGUGUCUGAUAUUAGGGUUGCAUACUUUUUGUUAUUUAGUUGCCUGUUGUGAACUCUACGGUUAUAUCACCUCGAUGUGUGAGCCAAUGUGUUUGAAGCAAUGUAGAGUUUCAUGUGAAUGUUACAAGUGUGAUUGAUGUGUUCAUGUUAUAACCACGGUUGCCUUGGUAAGAAACUGAAAGAGCAAACCGUUAUCGUCUUAGGACAAAAGUCAUCACUGAAUAUAAGUUGCUUCUCUAGAACAACCACAACCUGUGAAAGAAGAUGGCAAACACCCAAUCAUGUCAGGUUCGAUACGGGCGCGGCUAUGGGUAGCUUAUAGCGACACGGAAGCCAGCAUCGCCUGAAGAAACGCCCGGGUGGGCCGGCCUAGAGACAGAUUUCAUCAUUUCUACCCUUAGUUUUGUUUUUUCCCCCGUUUUUCUUUAUAUUUUAUAUUUUCAUAAAAAAUCUAAAAAUACAUAUAUUCCACAAAAAUACUGAUGUUUUGAAGAAAAAAAUGUUUGUCCAUUUAAAAAGAUGGUCAUAGCAUUAAACAAAUGGUCAUUAUAAAAUAUUUUUAGAAACGUAUAUAGUGUAUUUUAAAAUGUUAAAUAUGCAUCAAGAAUUAUUUCUUAAGUAUACAAAAGAUGUACAAUGUGUAUGAAAAUUACAUAGACAUCGGAACAUAUUAUAGAAAAUGUUAAUCAUGUAUUUAAAAAUGUUAAACACACAUCCAUAAAAAUGUUUUCGAUGUACGUAAAAAAAAUUGUACAUAGCGUGUGAAAAAAGUAUGCAUUGAAAAAACAAAAAAACUUGUUGGAAAAAAAUCUCAUGUUGUAUACAAAAAUGUAAAAAGUGUAGAACAUAAUUAGAUAUAUGUUUAACGAAACAAGGAAAGAAGGGACAAAAAUAAUCCGAUCAACACCAAGAUAGGAACAAGAAAACCUGAAGAAGACCAUUGAAAAAAAGAAAAGAUACAAGAAAGAUGAAGAAAAACGAAAAAAUGAAGAAGCUGAUGCAAAACAGGGAACUUAGUGAAAACGAAUAAAAAUUGAUGAAAACCGAGAAGGAAAACAAGAAAACUGAAGCAAAAAAUAAGAAAAAUAUGUAAAAAAGGAAAAAUGAUGAAACAUUGUGAAACAGUGAAAUACUAUGAAAACCAAAAGAAAAAAGAAUAAAAAAAAACGUACAGCGAGCAAAUGAACAACAACUGAAUGAACGAGCGACCAUGCGAGAACACGUUAAUUGUCCGGCCCAUACUUGUGGACUCCAGAGGCGAGCCUGAAUACGCGAGAUAUAGCUAUGACGAUUUGAUACCCUUCAUAGCUUCACUAAUGCUAUAUCUCGCUCAAAGCGAGUGUAUCUUUUGUCUGGCCUGAAGGUGCAAGAAUAGCAUCAAGUCAUUGUAAGGUUUGCGAUCCUACAAUCAGAGCUCCGAUACGAUUAAAAUUCAUGUUUCAGACAACCUUUGGUCAUUCGUUCGCGUUCAGGUCGUCCGCUCACUCGAUUCCACAUACUAGUUUGGUUAGGUUUUUUUUUUCUUUUUGUUCUGUUUUUUGUUUCUUCACUGGCUUUCUUUGGUUUUUAAAUCGGUUUUCUUUGUUUCCUUCAUGUUUUACUCUUUUGUUUUCCUUUUCACUGGUUUAUCUAUUCCUUUUUUUCUUUGUUUAUUUCUUGGUUUUCUUUGUUUUUCUUUCUUUUGAUGUCAAUCUUUUUACAUACACAUUCAACAAUUUUCGUAUACAUUAGAAACAUUUUAUGUAUACACGUUAACAUUUCCCAGGUACAUGAUUAAUAUUUUUGGAAAACUUCUAUUUUUUAUAUGUACUUUUUGAUACAUUUUGGAUAUAUCAAAAAUAUUUUUAUAGAAGGUUUAACAUUUUUAAAAUACAUGAUUACCUUUUUAUAAACUUAUAUUGUUUGACGUUUACUUUUUUUCAUAGACAUAGUGAGGGGUUAUAUCUAAGGAAUGGGCCCAAGUACAUAUAUGGUACAACCAAAGGCCCAUGUUAAUCAAGGAUGUGGUCCACAAGACAAAUGGGGAAACACACGGGGGCCAAUGGAGCUACAAGGCCAAAUCAUCGGAUACAAGGGGAGAAUCAAGUGUGUACAGUCGGAUUACACAACCCUUGACAGACAAGACUCAUUAGUUGGUCCACUAUAGGAAUCAGGUAAUUUGCCGUCAGCCGAGAACAUACUCGAAGACUUUGCCGUCAGCAAGUUGAUGAUAAACACAGUCAGCAAAGAGCUAAUUUGACGUCAACUUUUCAUCACGUUGAUGACAAAGACUUUGCCGUCAAUUAAACUAUGUGUUUAUCGUCUAUAGAAAAAACACAAACAACAAAGGAAAGCACAUUUGCCAUCAGUAGCUGAUCCGCAUGUGUCGUCAACAAGACUCGUCUUGUCACUAGCCCCAAACAUCACAGAUGGAAAAGAAAUUUUUUAUUUUAAAAAAUCUGCAACGACCACCCUACUUCGCUCAUGUAGCCACCGCCUGGCCGCGCUCGCUGAUGACCCACAAGUGUAGGGGAUCUAUCAUAGUCCUUUCGAUAAGUAAGAGUGUCGAACCCAACGAGGAGCAGAAGGAAAUGACAAGCGGUUUUUAGUAAGGUAUUCUCUACAAGCACUGAAAUUAUCGGUAACAGAUAGUUUUGUGAUAAGGUAAUUCGUAACAGGUAACAAGUAACAAGAGUAAAUAAAGUGCAGCAAGGUGGCCCAAUCCUUUUUGUAGCAAACGACAAGCCUGGACAAAUUCUUAUAUGAAGGAAAACGCUCCCGAGGACACAUGGGAAUUAUCGUCAAGCUAGUUUUCAUCACGCUCAUAUGAUUCGCGUUCAUUACUUUGAUAAUUUGAUAUGUGGGUGGACCGGUGCUUAGGUACCGCUCUUUCUUGGACAAGCAUCACACUUAUGAUUAACCCCUAUUGCAAGCAUCCGCAACAAAAAAGAAGUAUUAAGGUAAACCUAACCAUAGCAUGAAACAUUGACACGGCACAUUAUAAAGAGUUCAAUCCAAAUUUUAUAGUAACACUAUUAUAUUUAAAUAGUGAUUAUUCUAACACAUGGAUAAUUAAUUAAGGCACCAGGUUGCGCUUGUGACCAGGAAAGACAAACUUAUGAACUUGCAAGCAUGGUAAUCAGAUCGACAUCCACACAAUGUCAAUAUGAACAUUGUCUUGAUACAACUUUAUUUGUAUUUUAUUUCAGAAUUUAAACAACUAGUUUGGGCGGGUCACACACGACGUUGUGUGACACUUUAUUUGUCACCGCUGCAUCGACAUAUCCAUCGACUAAACAACGGUGAUCCAACUAUAUAUUACUAGAGACCUUUCCUUAUCAGUAGGCACCAACUCCGGUGCCAACGCUGAAUGGCACACUAGUGGUGGUUCUAUACAAGGGCACAUUGACACGGCACAUCGUUGGCAGGGUACGGAGCGCAAUGGAAGUCAUCACCUCAAGCUGAGCUAUCUGGUGUGGAUGCAAAAAGGUACCCUGUGCCAAUUGUUGUUGUUGAGGUUGUUGCCCGAGUUGCUGCUGCGACUGCUGUUGGGGUUGGGAAACGCAUUGGCCCAACUAUUGCGGUUGCUGCUGCUGAGUUUGGAUGGAACCCUGAACCUGUUGUUGUUCUUGCAGGACGAUGGAGUAGAUGAUAGCACGGAUUGCCUCAUAGCGGGAUUGCUGGGGGAUUUGCGGCAACUGCUGGCAACAUUGUUGUUGCAUCACAUGGCAACUGCUCUGCUGCAACAUUUGCGACCUAGCAAGACUUUGUGGCAUUGCCACAGGGCUGCAUUGCUGCUGGAGGAAUACCUUGCAUGGGUUUAGUUGCUGCAAGAUAGAUGGAUGAACAAAUGGUAUUUGUUGUUGCGGUAGAACUGAUUGUUGUUGUUGCGAAAAUGGUGGUUGUUGCGGUAGUACUGGUUGUUGUUGUUGCGAAAAUGGUGGUUGUUGCUGUGAAAAUGGUGGUAGUUGUUGCUGCGAAAAUGAUGGUUGUUGCGGUAGAACUGGUUGUUGUUGCUGCAAAAAUGGUGGUUGUUGCUAUGAAAAUGGUGGUUGUUGCGAUAGAACUGGUUGUUGUUGCUGUGAAAAUGGUGGUUGUUGCUGUGAAAAUGGUGGUUGUUGUUGCUGUGAAUAUGGUGGUUGUUGUUGCUGCGAAAAUGGUGGUUGUUGUUGCUGCGAUAAUGGUGGUUGUUGUUGUUGCUGUGAACAUGGUUGCUGUUGUGGAAAUGGUUGUGGUUGUUGUUGGAUAGGUUGUUCUUGUUGUUGGUGCCAUAAUGUUUGUUGUGGUGGUAAUGGUUGUUGCUGCGAUGGUCUCUCCAAACCAGGGAUGUGGCUAUUCUCCAUUUGUGCAAUGGCACUUGUCGCCGCAACGGCGAGGAGGGCAAAGAUGAGGAAGGUCUUCAUGGUGGAUUGGUGUUAACUAGUGUUGCUUGGUUUUGAUGCUUGUGCUUGUGACGAUCUUUAUACUUCAUGCCUAUUUAUAGUAGCCCGGGCACCACCUUUUUCUUCUUUGCAUUAGCUUUAAUAAUUUUGUUUGGAUGCAAAAAUGAUUUUUGGUACAAUGUGUUAGGUUGCACUAGCUACACGCGUACUUUUGGAUUGAUCAUCAAAGUUGCUUUUUAGUUGUGCAUAUGAUCACACAUAAAGUACAGAAACCUUGAUGUUUGGUAUAUAUGACUCACCUUAUUCACUUUACAUGUCACACACUUAUCUGGAUAGUAUCACUUUUGCAACCGAGUUUGGAACCUUGUAUAGGCUGUCAUCCAUAAACAAGAAAGGCAAAACUUGUGUAGGACUAAGUGUAGAACUAACUUUGUAUUUUUCCUCUAAAAUGAUUAGAUGAACCGACGCCUAUAGAGCAUGACAUGACUCAUCGAAUUCCCUUUACAUGUAAAGGAUGGUAAUUGCUUACAAGCUACUCCUACUAGCAUAUAUCCGGUCCUAACUCUUGACACGUCAUCAUCAGUUUCGCCUAUUUUUUUAGAUAAAUCAUCAGUUUCAUCUAUUUGUGAAGGGUUUUUUUGGGGGAAAUGAUAGUUUUUUUAUGCUAGGGGGAUUUUUUUGGGGGGGGGGGAUGACGCUAGGGGGAAAUGAUAGAUGGGGCUGGAACAGAGGCCCCCAGCCUGGAGCGAGAGAUUAGGCCCAACAUAAGUGCCGUGUGUUAGGGCACCAAUUCGAUUUGGGCUAUAGUUCUCGUAGGCCCCAACGACACAAGCCCAGCCCACACUCCGCGGAUCUGCGUCCCUCCCUUCCUCGUCCUCCUCGCCGGCCGGACCGCUCGCCGUCGCAGCCUCUCCCGGACGCCCACCGCUCGCGGCCCCUCCACGUACCUCCGCGGCAGCGGAGACGUCAGCCUCCCUCCCACCCUCAACAUCCGGCCCCCCACCACCACCACCACCGCUCGACAAAAAAGGUCACUUUUGAAGCUCCUCCGUCGAUUGUGGGCCGUACGUCGACGGCAGCCACUCCGACCUCCCCAUCAACACAAGGUAUCGAUUUGUUUCGUCUGUCUCUUCCAACGAUUCAAUGCACAUAAAUCCGAGAGGCAGACCCAUCUCCAUGCUAGCUGCACGGAUUAGGAGGGUCAGGCAUCAGAAUUCAGCUGGGAAGCCUGACAGUAAUGUACAUUUGUGGCUUUAGUAGCUGAAUAUAACUAUGUGCUUUCUGAGAAUUUCACUUCAAAAGUUCCAAUAAUCAUCAAAUUUCCCCCUAUGCGCGCUAAGCAGGUGGACCAUAUAUUUCUCAUGUCGACGAACGAAAAAACAAAACUCCACAACUAGAAGUCUAUGAUAUUGACACGGAACCGUGCUGUAGGGUCGCAAGUAAAAAUAUGAAAAGCAUGCCUAAUAAGCGAGAUGACGCAGUUCCUGACCGCCCCGCUACGACUAUUGGUUCCAGCGUGGCGUUUGAAUUAUGCCGCGCUAGAUGUCUUUUGUCCGGCGAGGAACAAGUGGGGUCAAGCGUGCUUCGGCAAUUCCCGCCGUCAGAAGACUUCCUUGUAGUCCGGUGUAGAGGUGAGGUUGUGGGGAGAUACAUCGACUAGCACUACUAGGGAAAAGGCUAGCAGCAGCGCGGGUUUUAGAUGUAUCAGUAGUGCGGGUACCCGCGCUACUAAUACGGCGCUACAGCUAACUCAUAGCAGUAACGCGUGAGCACCCGCGCUACUGCUACACAAGUGUAGCAGCAGCGCGGUUAUGAGAAGCUCGCUACCGCUAGUAGCGCUAGCGCUCUUUGGCCGGACGCUCUACUGCUAUUGAGGCGCUGCUGCUAACUUUUGUACACUCGCUACUGGUAAUUUAAGUAGUUUUUUGGCAUAUUUGUUUUGUAUUUGAACCGGCUUUGUAGAAGAAUCUUUAGCACAUAGAAAUGUCAUCAUGAUACACAUACAAAUGCCUGCGAGACCACAAAUGUAAUCAUAGCAUGUACAUACAAAUAGUCUCUUCAUAAUCAUCAUCCAACACAAAGUGAUAUCUUGUCAUCAUCUCGAAAAUAGCAAUACAUGCAAGUCUCGAAUACUUGCAACUACAACAACGUCAUCCAUCUAAACAAAGGUAUACGCAAGAAGUGCUAUCACUAUGAGUGAGAGCGGAACCAUGCAGUACAUGAGGUGGCGGUUAUGAGUCCUCUCUUGCGCUAGCGUGAACCUCAAGUAACUAGCUUCUCCUUCUUGUCUGCUUUUGAAGCCUUUAUGGCUGGCGCCCGUGAACCCAUUCACUUGCGCCUGACACUCAUGCCACUCGUUGUACACCCCCGGAACCUUCCCUUUGUACACGACAUAGCAUUUCCAUCUCGCCAUCAAGAAACUAGGUACCUGUUAGAGAUGCAUGUUCAUGAAGAGGAUGUACAAUCAUAUAUAUGCAACAAAAUAUACUAGAGCAACACUAAGAAAGAAAGGUUAGCAACUAGAUGCAACAUAUACAUUACGCAAAUUAAUUAACUAGAGGUACGCAGGUCAUCGUACGCAAACUAACAAAGUAGCGUUACGCAAGUUUGGCAGGGACCAUGGACAUCACAAAGUUUCAUCGCUACAAAAAGUAUACAAGUUCAACCGACACAUAUCAUCAUCAUCGGCAUCAUAAAUCACUAGAAGUUCCAUCCUUCCAUAUCAUCGAGGACGAACCCUAGCUGCUUGAACGGCGUGAGGUCUAGACGUUGCAUGCCUAUGCGAGUUCGGACGUCAGCUCGCGAUAUAGGGCCGUGGUGGAACAUCCCCUUCUCAUCGACGACUUCUUUCAUGAUGAUCAUCGCAAUGUCGCUUUGGAUGCGAAAGAAGUCAUCUCUAAGUUUAUAAUUCGCUUCUCCAUGAGAUUCUAGCCACUUGUGGAUAUGAUCAUCAUUUCUGCUGUUAAUGCGAAGCUUUUGGUGAUCCGUGUUGAACUGAAUCAUGAGAUGGACGAUGUAGAAUCCAUCCUUCUUGCUUGGUUUUGGGACGUGGAUGCAGGAGAAGUUAGUUUUAUGCGCGAAACCCAUCUUCUUGUUCCUUUGUUUCCUGAUAUGCACGUGGCCACCUCUAAAGUUGAAGCCUUGGAGAGCAUCAUCUAGAAUAUUCAUUAUGUGGGUGUAGUCCUUUUUCUCGUAGUCUCUAGAAGGGUCAAAAUACACGGCGUGGGAGACUUGCGGGUAAAGAAUGAUAAGGACGGCGCGCCCGUUGCUGCGGGGAAAAGACACCUCAAAUUAUUCCCCAUAUGAGAGAGAAGGAAUGAUUGAAAUGUACGAAAGGGUUGUCCGGAACUGACUUACUUUGGAUGAUAAGGCACGAGGACAAUUUCCCGGUCCUUAUUCUGUACCAUGAAGUUUUGGAGGUACUCCCUAGCAGUUUCACGCUCAAAGUCGCCGAGACUCAAGAAAGACUCGUGCAUGUAGUACGGAUCCGCCACACAGAUUUGCGAGACUUCUUCACUCUUCACGACGGAGCUCAUAUGUAGCGCAAAAAGGCGGACGAUAGUAAAAUCAAGCCGCCUUGUUAGAAACAUCUCAAAGAUAUGGUCAAACCGCAGGAAGAACACCUCCGUGGGCCGUGUGUCGACGUAGCACUUCCCCUCAGGCACACGAGCUGCGUAUGUCGGAUAUCCUGGAUCCUUUGAGGCUAGUAGGCUUUUCUCAGUCGACAGCACGUGGUCGUGCAGUCUCCUGAGAUUCCCUGAUAGUGCCUCCAGCGGUUUCGGCGGUAGCAUCGGCUCGCCCGUGAGAUGGAACAUGACCGCACCUUUCACGGGUACACGCUCUUCAGAAUGCAUCGUCUGGCUGCUGUGUGCUCUGGCUUGUUUGGAGGCAGUUACCUUCCCCAAUCUCUUCCUCUCCUUUUUCUUGGGCACACCUUCCAGACCCUUCCUUAACCCCUGCCCAAGUGUUCCCGGGCUAAGUAUUGUACGACCCUCACGCCCGGCUAGUUGAGCCUGUGUUGAGGCGGCAUCUUCAGGCGUGUCCUGUGAGGAUUUCAUGAAGAGAGACUUUUUGCAUUCCAUGGUACGGCCCUGCCCGGGCAUAUCAUCCAUAUCCUCAUUAGCAAGCUGAUAGCCCGAUUCGUCAUAUGGUUGACUCAUCAUAUCUAUGUCACAGUCAUACGCGUUUGUAUUGAGGUAAUCCAUCGGGUCGACCUCCGUCUCAUCAUCCAUUCUCUGUUCUACAGGAGAAAUUACAUCAGCCAGUACUAUUGCACCCCCUUCAUCAUGUCGUCCGCCGCUCUCACACGGCACUACUACAGGAGCUGGUAAUUGCGUAGGUGGGGUGGUGGUCUCCGCACAUGCUUGCUGAUGUGUGGUAGUUAUUGGUGUGCUCUCGGCCGGCUCCAGACGAAUAAGAUUCUUCGGCCAUAGCAGCACCCAACCCUUGCAGCGUCCAAUCCGCGGCGGGGUCUCGUCGUCCGCUCCCACCUGCUGUACUGGAGGAGGCAAAUCCUCGUGCCCCGAUUUCACACUGGUCAAGCUAACCCUGAAGUGCCCAGCGGGGAUCGGCUGGUUGUGGAAUGUGCGUUGAGAGGGGUCCAUUAUCAUCCCCUUUCCCACGUCCACCUUCUGGCCUUUGAUCAAGUAGAGUAUGGUGCAUGGGGUUUCUUUCGCCUGCAAACACAUAUGUCUGUGGUGUAAAACAACCGAAAGGCAACAAAAAUGGAAUAUUAUAUAUAUAUAUAUGUUGGUGCGACAUGUAAUUACCGUGACGGCGUCGAGCUCAGCCAAAGACGAAGGCCCACCUAGCGCGCCUGAGACUGAGGACGGGCUGCUAUGAGCUGGAGCGGCUGCGAGAGGAGGCCCGGUUGCUUGAGCAAGUGAUGGUGCGAUGGUGUUGUUCAUGGAGUUGCUCGCGACGAAACUGGGCAUUGGGAAAUCAUGUACCGUCUUGUCUGGAUUUUCCUUCGCCCAGUUGAUGAUAACUGGAACCAAGUUAGUAGCGAAAUCAUUUCUGCAGGCAUUUACAGCUGCAUUGACUGCCUGCUGUAGCAACUCAUAUUUGUCCUUGGCUGCUUUUUUCGCGUCCUCGGCUGCUUUUUUCUCGACCGCAAGCUUCACCUUUGCGUCGAUGUCCGCCUAACUAAACUUCUUUUUCUGCUUCUUGGCCUCCGGGCCGUCGUUGUAAAACACCUUCCACGUGGCGCCGUCUCCAGCGCCGUGCACACGACCAUAUUGCGGCCGCUGGUCCAACGGGAGUCCCUUAAGUUCGUUCAAGGCCCAGUUGAGAGGUGUGUCCCACUUGGGCCUCAUCGGAGAAGUAGGGCUUUCGGCUGCAAGCCGGUGUUGCUUCUCCAGUAGUCUAAUCAAUUUCCUCGUGAUCUUGUCCGUGUAAAAAACCUUUUUCUCCUUGUCCCACUUGUAGCGGGCCCUGAUGAAGUCAUGCUCCAAGGGGUUGGUGAACUUCGCGAAGGGGUCUGGGAGACCCGCGGCUUCACGUUCCGCGUCCUCCUUAUCCCAUAUGGGCCUUUUACCGAGGUAGCCACGGCUUCCGAGGCGAUGCUUCCCCAUGUUCCGGAGCUGAAGGCUUUUGAAUUUCGCAGCCUUAGCCUUGGCUGCCUUGGUAGCGCAAGUGUCCUUGAACUUUUCGAACUCCUCUUCCGUAAGUGUCGGAUUUUCCUCCAGAAUCUUGGACAGGGGUUCAUCAGCCUCAAUAGCUCGUUUCACCCUCCCUUUCCAGGAGGCCAAAUCAUUGCUGAACAUGCCCAUGGCGUGAUUGUUAAUCUUUUUCAUCUUCGGAUCAUCCCACGGUUGUUCUAUGUUAUCAUCCCGGUCGGGGAACUUGAAUCUCUUCUGCAACUUCGUUAGGAGCAACUGCGUCAAAUGUUCUUUACUCCUUAAGUCAUCAUCGUUGAUGCUCGCGCAUUCCCGUAGGAUGCAUCCUACUUGGUUCCCAUAGCACUUGCGAGGUUCUUCCGGCUCUAACGGCUCAAACUUUCCAGGUGCCAUCUUUGUGAUCACAAGUCGUCCAAUCCCUAGUUUGUUAGGUUUUCGUAUCCUCUGCUUCUUAUGCUUCCUCUUUUCGGUAUCGGCAUCGGGGCCGGUACCUUCCCCGCCGGUCUCGGCGCCGCCAUCGGUGCCGGCGCCGUCGGUGCCGGCACCGUAGGUGUCGAUGUCGGCGUCAGUACCAUCAUCGAGGCCGACCUGCAAACCUUGCUUAGCAGUCAAAUAGUCGAGGUACUCUUGUUCACCCUCAUAAUCCAUCUCGUCUGCAUCUUGGUCAGAAGGCCCAGUUUCUUCGUUGUUCGACAUGUUUCCUAUGAUUAAGUGGCCUCAUUUAUUUCUAAAAGUAUGAAUAAAUGAGAAAUGACAUAAAAAGAAAUCUAUGUGCCAACACUCGAUAUGCCAACUAUGUAGCACAAAUCAUGCCUUUAUUCACGGGAAAUUUCGGCAUGACCUUUGCUAAAAAAUGGACAUAUCGAGCGCCUGAAAUUCACCGAAACGGAAAUGAAUCAACAUUCCUGCGCAACAUAGGCCACUCGGAUCAUUUUCCAAACAUGACAUGUCCAAAACAUGACAUAUGCACAUAUCACAUGUCCAGUUCAAAUUUCCAUAUAAAUUCAGCUAAUUCAUAACUAAAUAGAUAACCUAAUUAAUUAACAUGAAGANNNNNNNNNNNNNNNNNNNNNNNNNNNNNNNNNNNNNNNNNNNNNNNNNNNNNNNNNNNNNNNNNNNNNNNNNNNNNNNNNNNNNNNNNNNNNNNNNNNNNNNNNNNNNNNNNNNNNNNNNNNNNNNNNNNNNNNNNNNNNNNNNNNNNNNNNNNNNNNNNNNNNNNNNNNNNNNNNNNNNNNNNNNNNNNNNNNNNNNNNNNNNNNNNNNNNNNNNNNNNNNNNNNNNNNNNNGGGGGCGAGCGACAUGGUCGGGGGCGAGCACGCCGGAGUCGGGGUCGAGAGCGGGACAGGGGCGAGCGCCGGGGCUGGCACCGGCGCCGGCAGGGUCGGGGGCGAGCGCCGGGGCCGGGUCGGGCACGGCGGAGCGACGGGGGCCGGAGAGAGAGUGGGGAUUUGGGGGGAAAUGGCGGGAUGAAGCUGGGCGAGUGCGAAUUUUGGGUUAAGUGGACGUAGCAGUAGCGGGUUAUGUCAAAACGCGCUGCUACUAUAUUCUGUAGCGGCAGCGGUUUAUGAGAAACACGCUACUACUAUGGUGCGUAGCUGCAGCGCUUUAUGGGAAACUCGCUACUACUAUGGUGCGUAGCGGCAGCGGUUUAUGAGAAACACGCUACUACUAAGAUCUAGCAGCAGCGGUUUUGUGGAAACGCGCUGCUACUGCCGUCGCUACUGCCAGGUUUCCUUUUUCUUUUCCUUUAUUUUAUCCCACUUUUAUUUCCCGAGGGCAAUGAACGAAGGGAGGGCGAUAUAUAUUGCAUCAUUUGACGGUUAAAUAUGUAUGCAAAAUAGGAACAUAUAUAUUACACAUCAUUGGACCCAUGCAUAAUAAUGACUAAGUGUGUAUACAAAUUAAAUAGGAACAUAUAUAUAUUACACAUCAUUGGACCCAUAACAUACGUUUCCUCAGUGCUGACGUUUUCGUUUUUGAGUCAGCUUCUUUCCCUUCUUGUUCGUCGAAGAAUAAUUGAGCCCCUCAUUGUGACUUUGCCUUUUCCAUGGAGUACGAUUUUUCUUAGGUAAUGUAGUAUUGAUUCUUCUUUUGACGUAUACUUCAUCAUCAUCAUCAUCUUCCCUCAUUGGGUUGCUGUACUGAUCAUAGUCUUCCUCGUUGGCGACUCCAUCCAUUCCAAUGAUGUUCCUUUUGCCUCUCCUCACGACAACACGGCUGGGAUUGCGCGGGUCAGUUAUGAAGAAACAUUGUGUCACGUGCUUAGCGUGUACCCAUGGCUCGUUUUUUGCGAUAGCGUUCAUGGUAGCGCUCUUGGCGUCGGGUAUAGUCAUGGUAGUGAACAUCCGGCUUUCUCUUUCGACAUUCUUAGCCCAUCUGACACGGAACAUCAUCGUGCUGUGCAGUCCAGAGUAGUCAAGCUCCCAGAUCUCCUCGACCCUUCCAUAAAAUCGUUCAGUUGUGCCGUUGUCGCUGCCGGUCAUGCAUUCCAUCGUCACCCCUGAGUUCUGAUCAUCACUGUCCAUAUCUUUUGCCUCUGUGUAGAAUGUGUAUCCGUUGAUAUCAUAUGCCUGAUAGGUUACGAGGUUGGGCGAGGGGCCAUGUGCUAAGGCGUAUAUGAGCAAUCCGUCCUUAGAGCCCUCCUCCGGUGGAUUAGCAAUAAUAUGCUCUUUGAACCAAUGCAGGAAAGUGGAGUUGUGCUCUCUAGUAACUUCGGCGUCCGUCCUGCAUACCCCCCGGUCACGAUACUUCUUUGUGAUAAUUUCUUUGUGCAGUGCCACGAAAGGAUCUACCUCGUCUAGGUGUUGUAGCACUACCAAGUUUGCUCUGUCAAAGUCGCUGCGUCGAUCUGAGUAUGCCACGUGCAGUUCCCUGCGACCGUUGCAGUGACCAUCUCCUUUGAGCCUCCCAUCGUGCUUGUUAACGGGCAAACCAACACUAACACCAGGCGGCUGGUCUGCGCCAUAUAAAAAAUUCUCACAGAAAGAGAUGCACUCUUGUGCCAAAUAGCCCUGGACGAUGCUUCCAUCCGGACGGGACAUGUUACGAACGAAUCCUUUGAUGAUCCCAUUCAUCCACUCAAACGGGAUCAUGUUGUGCAGGAAUGACGGCCCCAGGUCUAUUAUGUCAUCCACAAUAUGGACACACAGAUGCACCAUCACGUCGAAGAACGCGGGCGGGAAGUACAUCUCAAGCUCAUUCAGUAUCACAACGAUCUCUUCCUGUAGCCUUUGGAGCUGCUUCACACUGAUCGACUUUCGAGAGAUGACAUCGAAAAAGUUGCAGAGACCAAUAAGCGUGUCACGGACGUGCUUGUCCAUUAUCCCUCUAAGGGCAACAGGUAGUAUCUGCGUCAUCAUCACAUGACAGUCAUGAGACUUCAUCCCGCUGAACCUUUUCUUGUCCGUGUCUAGAUAUCUGCUUAUCUUGCCACAGUAACCGGAACUAACUUUCACUCCGGUAAGGCACUUAAAGAAUUGAUUGAUCUCAGCCUGACUUAAGGUGAAGCAAGAGGGGGGGCAAUAAUCUUCUUUCUUUAAUUUCUUGCCCUUCUUCUCCCGUGCCUCUGUCUUCGUCUCUGUCUCGUCUGACAUUUUACGGGGCGGCAUCUGCAGAUCUUCCCUGAUUUUCAAAUCUUGCAAGUCUUUUCUUGCCUUCGGCCCAUCCUUGGUCUUAUCCGGCAUGUUCAUCAGUGUUGCGAGCAAGCUCUCAAGGACAUUCUUACAGAUAUGCAUUUGAUCAAGGCAAUGAGGUGUAUCGAGUUUGUGCCAGUACUCCAAGUCCCAGAACACGACCUCGUCUUCCAUACCUUCAGCAGCGGCUCCGGCGCCUUUCUCAUCGUCUUUCCCGGCGCGGGGCACUCAUUCCAGUUUUUCAAUAGCUCAUCGAUUUCGGCACCGCUCCGCUUACGUGGAGGUCCUCGAUGCUCAGCGUGACCAUUGAAUAGAUCUCCACGGUUUCUCCACGGGUCGUCCUGUUCAAGCCAUCUUCGAUGCCCCAUGUACAUGAUUUUCGCAGACCCGCCAUCUUUCCUUGACGUUAGCUGCUGAGACGUUGUAUCAUCCAUGCACCGCGUGCAUCCGCAAUAUCCAUGGCACACCUGGCCUGCCACAUAUCCGUAACCGAGAUAGUCCUGCACUGUCGUGAUCAGCGCGGCUCUCAUGUUGAAAUACUCACCUUUGCUGGCGUCCCAUGUCUUGGCCGGUGUUUUCCAUAACGUGUCUAACUCCUCUUGAAGUAGCCCCAGAUACAAAUUAAUAUUAUUUCCUGGUUGUUUCGGCCCUUGAAUAAGCAUGCUCAUGUGAAUGUACUUCGAUUUCAUACACAACCAGGGGGGGAGGUUGUACAUCCAUACAAACACGGGCCAUGUACUAUGGUUGGUGUUCUAGUUGCCAAAUGGAUUCAUGCCAUCGGUACACGCGCCGAGCACGAUGUUCCUUGCAUCACAUUCAAAAUACCGUUAGAAGCUGUUCAACGCUCUCCACUGGCUUCCAUCCUUCACGUGUCUCAGCUUCGGAUCAUCUCCAUCGUCGGGCUUCUUCCUCUCCGCGUGCCAGCGCAUUAGCUUUGCUUCCUUGGGAUCUACAAAAUACCUCUGAAGACGGGGAGUGAUCGGUAAGUACCAUACAACUUUCUGGGGACAUUUCUUCCCGGCCUUCUUGUAUCGAGAAGCAUUGCACACCGGACAGCUUGUUUUUUCCGCGUGCUCCUUCCGAUAAAUUAUGCAAUCGUUGAUGCAUGCAUGGUAUCUAACGUGUGGCAGAUCAAGAGGGCACACGAUCUUCUUGGCCUCAUCAACACUAGUAGGACAUAGAUUACCCGCGGGAAGAAUAUCCUUUAGGUACUUGAGAUGGUCAUCGAGGCUAGUGUCGGUCCAUUUGUUUUUAGCCUUCGUCUUCAGGAGUUGGAGCGUGAAACUCAACCGGGUCACCUCAGGAUUGCAACCAUCAUACAAUGGAGUGUUCGAGUCUACCACCAGUUGCUCCAGCUUAGCCUCCUCUCUAGAAGCAGCUCUCUCAGUACUCGUCUCCUUGCGAAGCAAUGCUUGAACAUGAGGGUCCCGCACAAUUGAACUUAGUACCGACGAACUCUGCUGCGUGGAGUCCAUGUCGUUCUCUCCGCCGCCAUGUCCGGCCCCUUCUCCUCCGCCAUGUCCGGCCACUUCUCCGCUGCCAUGUCCGGCCUCUUCCCCGCCGCCAUUAUCGAUCAUCUCUUCGUCUUGCCCCGUGUCAUCAUUGCCUGCCCCGUCGGCAUCCUCAACAUCUUCAUCCUCAUCUUCAAUUAUCCACCGAGUAUAGCCAUCCAUGAAACCAGUCAUGAGCAGGUGCGCUUCGACACGACCAUCGUCAUGGGGGUCGAGCCAAACUAUUCCUUUGCAUUUUCAACACGGACAUAAAACCUCUGUCCGGUUAUUUUCUUUCAUGUCUUGCACCGCCGACCGCAACCACCUGUCCACCAUUGUUCCACUGACCAUCGUCAACUCUGCACGGUAAUAAUAAAAAAAUUGAUUGUAAAAAUGCAUGCAUGCAUCAAAGUCAUAAAAAAAUUUGGCAUGACCUUCCCUAAAAAUAGGACAUAUAUGGAUCUAGAGUUUGCCCGAAAUUCGCCGAAACGAAAAUAAAUCGACAUUUCGGCAAAACAUAGGCAACUCAAAAGCACAAUUUGGCGGCGUCAACUCAUGCCACAGACACAAUUUCCACAAACAUAUCACACAUACACAUAAACACAUUUCCAUUUUGCAAAAGCAUGAAAUUUUCAUCACCUCUAUCUCGAUGGCCGGAGAUGAUGUUGUAGGGAGAUCAAAAGUGCACAAAGCUAUUCUUGACAAAGAUAGAUCUAGUUAGGGGGCAAAUAGGUCACUUAACUAAAUCCUACAUCUACCUAGCUACCUAAUUUGGAAGGAGACAACUUCAACUAGUGGAGGGGGAGGAAAAAGAGAAAGAAGAUGCAUUAAUUAAUGGAGGUGGUGUAGUUAUGUAGGAGUAAUGAAGAGAGAGAAGGUGGAUAGAGAANNNNNNNNNNNNNNNNNNNNNNNNNNNNNNNNNNNNNNNNNNNNNNNNNNNNNNNNNNNNNNNNNNNNNNNNNNNNNNNNNNNNNNNNNNNNNNNNNNNNNNNNNNNNNNNNNNNNNNNNNNNNNNNNNNNNNNNNNNNNNNNNNNNNNNNNNNNNNNNNNNNNNNNNNNNNNNNNNNNNNNNNNNNNNNNNNNNNNNNNNNNNNNNNNNNNNNNNNNNNNNNNNNNNNNNNNNNNNNNNNNNNNNNNNNNNNNNNNNNNNNNNNNNNNNNNNNNUGUGGUGGAGGGAAGAGAGGAGAGGGGGAGGUAGGGGGGAAGGGAAAAAAGGAAGGGGGAGGGGAGGGACGGGUUGGGGGUUGGUGGGGUUAGCAGUAGCGCGGGAGAUAAAACGCGCUGCUGCUAAGAACUUAGCAGCUGCGCGCUUUGCGGUAAGGCGCUACUGCUAACUGGGACAAAAAAUUGUGGCAAUUUGAAACUUACCAGCAGCGAUCUCGAGGAAACCGCGCUACUACUACGUACUUAGCAGUAGCGCUGUUAUUGCGACCGCGCUACUGCUACUUAGAGUUGGGGGAACACCGCCGGUCGAUAUUUGUAGCAGCGCGUUUCUUGUCGAGCGCGCUACUGCUAAAUCUUUAUCAGUAGCGAGUUUACGUAACCCGCGCUACAACUACUUAGCAGCAGCGCUCUAUUUUGAACCGCGCUGCUGCUAAGAUUCUGUGUAUAGGCUUUUCCCUAGUAGUGUAGGAAGGAAUGACCACAUGAAUGAGCAUACGUAUGAUGUGAUUAAGUCUCUCGAUUGGGUAUCUGGUGCCUUAUGUACGGUGUCUUCUUUUUGUCAAGCUAUGACAUCUUUCAGUUUGAGUGUCUGAUAUUAGGGUUGCAUACGUUUUGUUAUUCAGUUGCCUGUUGUGAACUCUACGGUUAUAUCAUCUCGAUGUGUGAGUCAAUGUGUUUGAACCAAUGUAGAGUUUCAUGUGAAUGUUACAAGUGUGAUUGAUAUGUUCAUGUUAUCCGCGGUUGCCUUGGUAAGAAACUGAAAGAGCAAACCGUUAUCGUGCUAGGACAAAAGUCAUCACUCAAUAUAAGUGCUUCUCUAGAACAGCCACACCUUGUGAAAGAAGAUGGCAAACACCCAAUCAUGUCUGGUUCGAUAUGGGCGUGGCUAUGGGUAGCUUAUAGCGACAUGGAAGCCAGCAUCGCUGGAAGAAACGCCCGGGUGGGCCGGCCUAGAGACAUUUCUUGAUAUCUACCCUUAGUUUUGUUUUUCUGCCCUUCUUUCUUUAUAUUUAUAUUUUUCCCGACAUGUUCACUACUUGAUGCUCAACUGGGAUCUCAUCCUUCACAAAUACGGAGAGCCAUUAUUGUUAGAGUUAAUCUUGACAUGUGUGUAUGUGCAUGUGUGCAUUGCAUGUUAGUGGUCUAGAGAUGGCCGGGUCGAUGCGUCUGUUCUGUGCUGGAGUGAGUCCAGCAGUUUGUUUUGGUCAGGUCGUGGUGGCUAGAGCCAUUCUAGGAGAGGAUCAAGUCAAGUUGUUAGCUGAACUCGGCUGGGUAGUGUUUGGCCGUUGAGGAUAGGCUGUACUAGUGGUGGGCAUGGCCGUGCAUAUAGCUAGCGAUUAGUUACACUAGUAGAAAACCACCCAUUAGUCCCGGUUCGUAAGGGCCUUUAGUCUCGGUUCAGGAACCGGGACUAAUGGGUCGUUACUAAUACCUCCACCCAUUAGCCCCGGUUCAAACACGAACCGGGACCAAUGUGCCUCCACGUGGCCCUGUGCGGCGAGCCCAGUCAGGGGGCCUUUGGUCCCGGCUGGUGGCUCCAACCGGGACCAAAAGGCAUCCACGCGUCUGCAUUCUAGUGGUUUCUGGUUUUUGUUUUUUUUUUGAAAGGAGGGGGGUUGGGGGUUUUGGGGAGUUAAUUUAGGUGUUUCGUAUAUUGUGUUAACUAGCUAAUUAAUAGAGAGAAGUGUCCUCUCUUAUGUCCGUGCUUGGUCGACGCUACGUAGUAUAUAUACAUAAGUAAUCGAGAGAACCAUUCAGUACAGAAGUUCGUCAUGCAUACCGAGAGAAGUGAUCGAUCGACCUCUCCUUCUCCGAGAGAUUGGUCGAACAACAAGUUUUUUACUGGCUACAUACAUGUACAAUAUGUAUAAGAUCUCUUAAUUACAAACCCAUAGCAUUUGAAAUCAACUUCCACAUGGUAUUCUCCGGCUUUACUGAUGACGUGUUCAAGAAAGAAUCCCGCUAAUUCCUCUUGAAUUGCUUUCAUGCGAUCUGGUUCUAGGAGUUCACCCCGCAUCUGCCACGUCUAAUUAAUUUGAAGAAGGGGGUUAAUUAAUACAUAUAUAUGAAUGAAACUCAACAGAAAAUGAUGGUGUAAUAAAAUGAAAUUGUGAAUAUUAUUGCUUACGCACUUCAUAUUGUCUUCUAGAGUAGCCCCGCUUGUUUCUCAAAGUUGCGUUGUGGAUGAACUCGCACACGUAGUAUCCACAAAAAUCAUUCCCUUCCUCCUGUCACAAGCACUUUACGAGAAACAGAGGUCAAUCAAACUGAUAAUGAAGCAUUAUAAAUGGCAUUGAUGAAAGUAUAGCUAUAGAAUCAACGGGAGAUGCACGCAACUAGCUAGCCAGUAGUACUUACUUUCGGGUAUACAUAUCGCAGCUCCUUCGGCAGUCCCGGAGCUUGUGCGGUGAACUGUUUCCGAACCCUGCAAGACAAAGAAAAUAAUUAUUAUUACUUGAGAUAUCAGGAAAUGAACAAAAAGUUGCCGAUAUGGUGCGAUAAUGAUCGAUUGAACUUACUUGCUGAGCAUUUCAGUCAUGUCCACAUAGGUGCUGGGAUCUUUCCGUCUCGAGUCUAAGACGGUUACUAGUCCACGCUCAAGCUUAAUCUCCAGAAGAAUAUAGUGGUACCUGCGCACGCGUGCAUAACUCAUCAAUUACAUUAACCUCGCUCGAGUAAUAAGGGAAACCGAAUAUGCACACGACAGUAACACUCACGGGCCGUUGUAAGGAAAGAGUAUGGUAUCUUUGUUUUGAUUUUUGAUCAACGAUUGUAGCAAGUUGUCCUCGGCCUCUUCGACGUUCUUUUCAACCAGAAAUACAUCUAUGAUAUUUGUGUUAAUGAACCCAAUAUCAUAAAUUUUUUGUUUUUUGCACUCGACGAUCUUCAAUCUGCAUAAUAUAUUGAGGAUAAUUAAUUAUAAAUACAUGCAAUGAAAGAUCCGAGCUAUAUAUAGAGACUUAAUGUCAGAAAUAGUACUUACAUGCAGUAGCAAAAGACCAUUAAUUUAUCGAGGGCCUUUUGAUUGAAGAACUCAAAGAACUCCUCAAAUGGAACACACAACAGAUCAUUUGAAAUGAGGUCGUGCUCCUCUUUAAUAUUCAAAUACAAACUGUUCGUCCCCUCAGACUCUCUGCAGGUUUUCAUGUACCAAUUAUGGAAUCUUCGCAUCAUUAUUGUCAGAGAUUUUUCAUCUUUGACGAGAGGCUUCCCGUACUCGUAUCUGAAUACGUCCACCUCCAUGAAAUCAGGAAGUGCAUCGUCAGGCAGGUAAUCUUCAAGAUUGCCAUAACCGGCCACCGUCCCCGGAGGAUUAGACACAUUGAGCGGGGGGCACGAUUGCUGUGCUUGUUCGCCGAGCUGGGCAAUUUUUUUCCCCUUUGCUCGUUGUUCUUUUGACCUUUUAUCAUUGACAGUAGUUCCCGACCGCUUGGCUUGGAGAUAUGUCUGUUCAGUAAUGCGCUCAUAGUUGGUUCUCGGCGGAGACUUUGGUGGUUUCCUCAGGGCAUCGAGAGUGCGCUUUGCUUUCACCGGAUCUACCUUCUCCUCCGGAGGUGGAUGUCUCUUUGCUUUCACCCCUUCAAAGAACUCCUUCACGUGGGCCUGCACGAUCGUAUUGUUUUCCUCCUUGGUCCUCUCGUACGGUAACUUCUCUAGAGGCUUUAGAGGUGGACCGUAUCUGUAUUGCCUCUCUCUUCUUGUGCUGCUAGACGCCGGAGCAGACGGAGCGGCUGUGGCGUCUGUCUUCUUCCGUGCUUGCUUAUGAGGCGGAGGAGAAGGACUACGACGCGCCGGAGCAGCCGGGGCGGCGGCGGGUCUCUUCCGCCCUUGCUGGCGAGGCGGAGAGGAGGAGGCGGAGUGCCGCCACAUGCCGGAGAAGGAGGCGGAGUGCCGCCAUGCGUGCCCUGAUCGUCACUCGCCGGAGGAGGAGGCGGUGGAGGAGGCGGAGUGCCGCCACGCGUGCCCUGAUCGUCACUCGCCGGAGGAGGACGCGGUGGAGGAGGCGGAGUGCCCUGACUCGCUGAAAGAGGAGGAGGAGGCGGAGGCGUCCAGUUCAGAAGGUUGAUGAGCUCCUUCUGCCAUAGGCAUGGAGUCUUCAGAGCAGAACCCAGCCUAGUCUCCCCUUCACCGGUAGUGUGCUCAAGCACGAGGUCCUCAAAUCCCUCCGUUAUUUCAUCCACCAUCACCUUAGCAAAUCCUUCUGGAAUUGGCUGGCAGUGAUAAGUUGUGCCGGGUCCACUAGGAUAAACUUGGCCAACAGCCGCCUUGACCUUCAAAUUCAUCCAUCACACAAUAAUGUGGCAAUUUUGAGACUCCGUGAUACCAUCCACGGGAUAGCUGGCAGGAGCCGUCAAGACAUGCUCCGGCUGAAGCAGCUCAGUGGAAGCCACGCUGCUUCUCUGCUGAGAUGGCGGGGUAGCUUCGGGGGAAGCUUCGGCAGGUCGUUUGUUGUGAUCUGCUGCUUCUUGUUCCUCUAGCCCCAUUACCCUUUCGUGCAGCGCCUGCAUUUGGUCCUGCUCCAGUUUCUUCCUCCUCUCGUAGGCUUUGUAAACGCCUGCGUCCAGAAAACCAACCUUCCACGGAAUGGAGCCUGGCGUGCCUCGUGUCCGUCCAGGGUGCUCGGGAUUCCCAAGGGCCAUUGUGAGCUCGUCCUUCUCCCUGUUUGGAAGGAACGUCCCUCGUUGUGCUGCAUCGAUAUAGUGUCGAAGGUUCUUGACUGGUGUUUGCAGUUGCUCGUCCGUCCACUGACGCUUCCCUGUUACAGGGUCCAAGGUUCCGCCAGCCCCGAAGACCCAAGUCCGGCAACGGUCUGGCCAGCGCAUUGUCUCUGGUUCGAUUCCUUUUUCAAGCAGAUCAUGCUCAGCCUUGGACCACUUAGGCCGGGCUUUGAGGUAGCCACCUGACUCCGUGCGAUGGUGAAGCUUCUUCUUCGCAGCAUUUUUCUUGUUUGUCUCCGACAUCGUCUUACUCUUUUCCGAUGUCUUGUGGGCCACAAAUGCGGGCCAGUGAUCUUUGAUCUUCUCAUAUUUGCUGAUGAAUUCUGGUGUCUUUUUUUUCUCGAGAAACUGGUUCAGCUCUUUCCUCCACCUCCUCAUUAGGCUUGCCAUCUUCUUAAGAGCACAAGACUUGAUUAAUUGCUCUUUAACUGGCUUCUCCGGAUCCUCCUCUGGCGGUAGGGUGAAAUUUGCCUUCAGCUCAGUCCAAAGAUCUUCUUUCUGCAUAUCAUUGACAUAAGACACCUCAGGGUCUUCAUCCUUAGCAGGCUUAUACCAUUGCUGGAUGCUGAUCGGGAUCUUGUCCCUAACAAGAACCCCGCACUGAGCAGAAAAUGCCUUCCUUGUCCGGAUGGGUUCAAUCGGUUCGCCGUCGGGCGCGAUUUCUAUGAUCUCAAACUUUUCAUCCGAGAUCAACUUUUUCUUCGGGCCUCGUCUCCUUACCGAAGUUGUGCUCGAUCCGGAGGGCUAGAAAUUAUAAGGAAGAAAGACGACAGUAAUUAAUAUGUGUACAUAUACCAAAACAAUGGAUGCAUCAAUUAACUAGUCAGCACGGGCUUAACUAAUAUAUAUAUACCUGGCCGGACUCGGUUCGGUGACCGGAGCAGUCAGCACGGUCUCCUUGUACCUCCAUUGUGUCACCGGAGCCAUCAUGAACAUAGUCCUCCUCUUGUACCGGCAUUAAUGGGUCGAAGCCAUCAUAAACAUAGCCCUCUUCUUCAUCCAGUCCUUCCAGCUGACCAUCGGUGUCGAUGAGAAAUGACGCAACAUCAUCACUUCCAUUUGCGAUUAUGUCCCCCAACAUCGCUUCUGUUUCUUCGUCUCGGGAGUGCUCCAUAGUUUCUGCAAAUAUUUACAACAUGUCAAUUAUUAUUCAAACAUGGUACAAAUGGAUAUAUAUAUAUAUAUAUAUAUAUAUAUAUAUAUAUAUAUAUGAAAAUGGAUUGGUACUCCUAGGAGUACAUACUCUCACCUACACCCGUCAUCGUUGGAAACAUUCAUCCCGCUAACUACUAAAAAAAGAGCUAACUAACUACGGAUAAAGCCUUUGGAUUUAAAAAUUAGUUGAACCGCUUCCUUUUUUUUCAGCUCUCGUAGGCGUGCCUUCCAGGGAUUCCAUUUGAAACGGCGUUCUCAUCUCUUGCCAGCACCCAUGAACAUAAAAAAACAGAGCAUCGGCUCGCCUCCGCCCCGCCGACUGACCGGAAGACUUGGUCGACAUGGCCGACGAUGAUCCCCGUGCUUCUUCCCUCGCAAACUAGGCUUCAACCACCACGUCCAUCAAUCAGAGGAAGAUUGAUUCAUCAUCUGUAGUUUGCGAGGGUACGUGCAAUUGAUGUUUCCCGAUUUUUCUGUUCGGCUACCACAACCGUGUUCAUGUUCCCGCUGACCCCUUGAUCCAUUCCUGUCCAGUAUGUCAUCGUCCGAGAAGAAAAUAGGACGGAGAUGAUUGAUCGGCCAGAUUGAUCGGCCAAGUCUACUAGUACCACUGGUGGAAAAAAGGCCUUUGGUCGCGGUUCGCAACUGCCAUUAGUCGCGGUUGCGCAACCGCGACCAAAUAAGCGCGACUAAAGCCCCCCACCUUUAGUCGCGGCUGCUUAAGAACCGCGACUAAAGGCCCGUCCAUGUGGGCGCCAGGCGGCCGUCGGGACGGAGGACCUUUAGUCGCGGUUCUUCUGGCCAACCGCGACUAAAGGCCGCCACAGGUUUAGGGUUUUAGCCCCCCCCCUAAACCUGUUUUCUGUUUAAUUUGUAUUGUUUUAUUUCUUUUGUGCUUUAUUUUAAUUUUGAAGGAGUUUCAUAUAUUCUACGGUACUACAUACAUGCAUAUGAAUGUACAAUUUCAAAUAAAUUUGAAAUUAGAACCAAAAAGAAUUCAAGAGGAAUAUACAAUAUAUAUUCAAUAUCAUCGGAUGACCAUAUACAAUUUUGAACAAGUUUCCAUACAUGAUUUAAUGCAUAUAAAGUUCUACGUCCUCGUAAUAGUGUUCUCCUUUAGGAUGGAGGACUUCCCUGCUGAACCAUCCAGCUAGUUCCUCUUGAAGUGGUCGGAAGCGAGCUUCUGGACUAAGCAUCCACCGGAGGUUAUUCCUCUGAGCAUUGGUAUCACUCGGAACCCGCUCAGAGGUGUAUCUCCGGAUCAUCUCACAGACAUAGUAUCCACAUAGAUUGGUCUCCGGUGGCUGAAUAUCCCCAGCAUUCUUAGCCACUGACCUUUUGAAUUCUAGCUCUUUUUUGAAUUCACCGACCUUUGUAUCUACGAACCGUCUCCAAACCCUACGAGGCAAAGAAAAUUAAAUGAACAAGAGAGUUAUUAGUUACUUGAUAUUAGGAAAUGAACGAAAUAGGCCGAUUGAUAUAGAGCGCAAAUGAAUGAAAAUAAUUACUUCUGCAGCAUUCUUCUCAUGCCGCCCCAAAGCUUUGGAUCCAUAUUCACAGAGUCGUGGACGAGACAUUCUGAGGUGUUAACUUUAAUUACUAGCAGAAUCCAGUGGAACCUGCGGACACGAUACAUGCACAGUACGUCAUGCAUAACUCAUCGAUUAGCCGGCCACAUACCAUGCAUGGAGUAAACAAAAGAGAAUGUGCUCAAGACACAAACACUCACCCAAAAUGGUAAGGAAAUAGAAUAUCACUUUUGAGUUCCUGCUUUGUAAGAAACUGCCACAGGUCUACCUCCACGUCGGCGGGGUGACGCUCCAACACAUGUCCAUUAACGAUGUGUGGGUCAAUGAACCCAACAUCAUGGAUGUUCCUUACUCUGCAUUCCUUAAUCUUCAUUCUGCAUGUAUAAUAGCGGACACAACAAUAUAGUUAGGACAUAUAUAUAGUGCAGGCAAUAUGAACGAGAUGGGGUAGAAAUUAAUAAAUCACUUACAGAACGUAGCAACUGAUGAUAGAUUUAUCGAGCUCGCGCAGAUUGAAAAGCUGGAACAAUUCACUCAGUUCAAUUUGUACAUAGUAAUGUUUGAAGUGAUGCUCAUGUCUAACUUCCGCAUAAAUAUAUUCUUUGGCGUUUUUAUUUUUUAUGUAACCCUUGUACCAUUUCAGCAGACCUUUCAUUUGUGGAGGUAGAUCCUUUUCCUGCGCAGGCUCGACGAGAGGCCCAUUCUUGACAUAUGUAAUUACUACCUCCUUCACUGGCGCCUCAUCAAGGCCUAACAGUUCACGAAGAGUAAUACCUAAGUUGGCCGCUUGUUCUAUGGCACUCGUUACAGUCAAUCCCUGUGCUGCCGCAGCUUGUAUGAUCUCGGGGGCAUCCGGACAGAAGGCUUCCACUAUAAGCGGGGCAAUCGAUUGUUUACUUUGUUCCCCGAGCUGGGCAACUUGUUUCCCGCUUUUUUUACUUUCGGCCUUCUCCCGCUCUUUGUUCUCCUUGAACAUGAGUGCCUGCCUGCGAAGUUCACGUGCAUAGUCGUUAGGCAGAUUCUUCGCGGCUUGGGACGGUGUGCUCAAAAAUGACUUAGCCCACUUGUUUUGCUCAUCAGAAAAUACUGGCUUGGGCUCGAGCUCUCUUUUCUUCUUGCAGUCCGCCUUCCAUUUCUCCAAAUCAGCAGCCGCGGCCGCGUCGACUUCCUCGGCACUACGUUCCCAAGGCCUUGUGGGGAGAGGCUUCAGUGAUGGCUCCGGUACCUUUGUGGUCUUAGGUACAUAAGGGUCCGGGUUAAUAAUCCAGGACUGCUUCUGCUUCUUUGCCGGAGGUGGAUUGGGGGGCGGCGUCUGAUCACCCGCCGGACGAGGACUGGGGGGCGGCGGCUGAUCACCCGCCGGACGUUGUGGACUGGGGGGCGGCGUCGGCUGACGUGACGGAGGUGUAGGUGAACCGCCACCACCACCACCACCACCACCACCGCCACCGCCACCACCACCACCGUAGGGGGGUGGACUUGUUGUCCUUGGCGCCUCGCCUGGAAACUUGAUAAACUUCUUUUGCCAUAGAAUGAAAUGGCGCUUGACAUCUCCAAGUCUUUUCUCCCCUUCAGGUGUAGCAAUGUCAAUCUCCAGGUCCUCAAACCCUUGGACUAUGUCCUCCACCGUGACACGAGCAUAGCCAUCUUGAAUGGGGUUGUUGUGGUGGAGUGCUCCAGGUAAACAUGGUAAAGCACUGCCGAUGGCUACCUUCAUGGACAUGUUCCCGAUAGGAUAAUACAGAUGACAUUCUUCUCCGCUGCUGGCUUCCGAGAUCUGCUGGAUGAUCUUCAUGCUGCACCCGAGCUGCAUCUCUUUCGGCUACUAGUACACUCAUGGUUUUCUUCAUCACAUCCAUUUCCGAUGCCAACCGCGCCACAACAUCUGCUUCCCGAUCCACCUUUCUCUUACGGCUUCUGUAACCGUACGGGUCAUCGUUCUGGGGGAACCCUAUUUUCCACGGAAUGUGCCCCAUGCCUCGUACACGUCCUCCGUGUUCAGGAUUCCCGAGGGAUUUUGUCAGCGCGUCGUUCUCUCUGUUGAACUUGAUCUUCCCCUGUUGAGCAUCCCUCAUUGCGUUAAUAAGGGCUUGGGUGGGUUUAAUUAAUUUGCCCCGGUAAACACACUCCCCUGUCUCCGGGUUCAGCGUUCCCCCAUGCCCGUACCACCAACUUUUGGCCCUUGGGUCCCAUCCCUCCGUACCUGCACGGAUUCCUCGCGCCCUCAGCUCGUUCUCCAUCUUCUCCAACCUAGGCACCCAAAUGCGAUACCCUCCUGGCCCCAUAACAUGAUUGUACUCCUUCUUAGCCGCAUUUUCCUUAUUUUUUCGAUAUUUGAAUGAACUGCUCCGAUUUCUUUUGCUUCACAAAUUCUGGCCAAUCAUGUUUCAGUUUCUCAUAUUGUCCUUUGAAAUCCGGAGUCUUGUUCUGCUUGACAAAGUCAUGGGCUAGAUUUUGCUUGAAUUUCCGGAAUGCGUCGGCCAUCUUAUGAAGAGCGAACUGUUUGACUAGCCUCCUCCUCUCCUUGUUUUCUUCAAUCUUGUUACCCUCCUCAUCGAAUUUGUUGUAUUCCGGAGGUAGAACGAAAUGUUCCAUAAGCUUCUUGAAGCAAUCUUUUUUUGUUCUCUUAUCGACAAAAGUGAAACCAUCAAUUCGUGCCUUCUUUGGCUCAUUCCACUCCUGGACGGUGAUCGAGACGUUGUCUCUAACAAUGGCUCCGCAUUGGCUGACAAACUUGGUGGCGUUCUUGCGGGGCUCCAGCGGCCUGCCGGUUGCACUGUCGACAACCUCGAUGGUGCAUGUUUCUCCUUGUUUCAUCGUCUUGGUUGCGCCACGCUUUGACGACGUACUCGAUUGUUUCGACGAUCCGGCCGAGGGCUAAAAUAAGAAAGAGUCGCGCGCGUUAGUACACACAUAUUUAUUCAAAUCAGUUAGUUUGUAUCACCAGAGGCUCAAUGUAUAUAUAUACCUCGGCGCCGGAGGUGGUUGCUACAUCCAUUUGAAGAUCGUCGUUUAUCGACGUUUGUUCGGCAUCAUCUUGCUGACGGCGCCCUUCAUCUUCACCGUCAAGGUUCAGAUAAGAAGAGAUAUCAUCUUCUUCUUCUCCGGUCGGCACAUAUAGAAUAUCGCCGUUUAUGAUGCCGAACAUAUGUGCUUCACCGUCCGGAUCAUAGUUGUCCAUAAUCGGGUCAGCUCUAUCGUCCGCCAUUAUGUCAGUCCUGAAAACAUGUAGUAAAAACAAAUUAAUUAAGUGAAGAAGGGGGGCGGUGGCGGUGGCGGUGGCGAAAGGGUGGUGGCAAAAGGAGGGGGCGAGGAAGGGGUGGGAGAGGGUGUCGCGGUAGAGCGCGAGACGGGGCGGCACGAACGUCAUUUUGUGAAGAAACUUUGCAAGCAAUUAAACAUUUGUCAAUGUUUGGUAAAAAAAAUACAGGUAGCGUCUGUUGCUCCUAAUGAUUGGAAACGGUUUCCAAUUGCCAACGAGGAUUUAGAUCGACUACUACUACUAGUUGCAUUGCUCCCCAUCGGGACGAUGUUGCUCCUAAUCCCCUCCUUUGGAAUCUAUAGUACUAGUGCAUACUAGCUGGCCGUUGACCGUUGUUGCUCAUCGCGUUUUCUCAAAGUCCACUGAUUUUGCUCAGGGCCAGUUCGGAGAUUUUGCUGGUCCACUGAUUUUGGAUCAACGCCGGGAUGGCAUGGGCGCUCGGCGAUGAUGCGAAGUAGACUUGCACAGGCAACGUGAUGUACAUGGAUGUGUCAGUACGGUACGCUCGGCGAUGCCACGGUAUGGAUGACUUCUCGAGUGGAGAUUGGAGAACCAAGUUCGCCGGUGAAACGUCGGCUCCUGAUCAGAUCUGGGGGUCGCGAACUAGCGAUUGGAUCUCGGAAGGGAGUUAGGAAAGCGAACAGACGUGCGUUCAAGGCUACAACUUUUUUUUUCAGGAUCUUGAAAACAGCUACGCGUUCAAGGCCCGGUCCUGAUUUUGCUCAUCUACCCGGGGCGGCGUUCGCACUGCGCGAGGGCCGACUCCGCGGGGUGCUGCCGCGUCGCCUCGUCGACGCUGAGCGAGUUGGCGAGGACCGUGUACAUGGUCGGCACGUCGCCGGCGGAGAGGGUCAUGCUGUCCCCGACCAGCGGCGGCCACGGACGGGGAGGGCGGCGGCGGUGACUGGGAAGGAAUGAUAGGAGAGGAAGGAAGGUCGCGUGGGGUUGAGGGCGGNNNNNNNNNNGGCGAGGAGGGACUCCUUGGCGGAGAGGCGCUCCGUCUCGCGGGCGUAGCUGGCAGCGGGCUCCCACGCCUGCGCGUACACGUCGUCCCGCCGUGCGUUCAAGGCUACAACUUUUUUUUUUAGGAUCUUGAAAACAACUACGCGUUCAAGGCCGGCCCGGUCCUGAUUUUGCUCAUCUACCCGGGGCGGCGUUCGCACUGCGCGAGGGCCGACUCCGCGGGGUGCUGCCGCGUCGCCUCGUCGACGCUGAGCGAGUUGGCGAGCACCGUGUACAUGGUCGGCACGUCGCCGGCGGAGAGGGUCAUGCUGUCCCCGACCAGCGGCGGCCACGGACGGGGAGGGCGGCGGCGGUGACUGGGAAGGAAUGAUCGGAGAGGAAGGAAGGUCGCGUGGGGUUGAGGGCGGGCGAGCGAGGCGGCAGUACCGAGGCUGGCCGGCGGCGCGCGCGCGGUGGGCGAGGGCGACGGCGGGCGGCGUCGAGGGCGAGGGCGACGGCGGGCGGCGUCGAGGGCGCGGCAGAGACGAACAGGCGAGAAACGGCGGGCGGCGUCGAGGGAGCCUUGUAUUUAUAGCCCCCCCNNNNNNNNNNNNNNNNNNNNNNNNNNNNNNNNNNNNNNNNNNNNNNNNNNNNNNNNNNNNNNNNNNNNNNNNNNNNNNNNNNNNNNNNNNNNNNNNNNNNNNNNNNNNNNNNNNNNNNNNNNNNNNNNNNNNNNNNNNNNNNNNNNNNNNNNNNNNNNNNNNNNNNNNNNNNNNNNNNNNNNNNNNNNNNNNNNNNNNNNNNNNNNNNNNNNNNNNNNNNNNNNNNNNNNNNNNNNNNNNNNNNNNNNNNNNNNNNNNNNNNNNNNNNNNNNNNNNNNNNNNNNNNNNNNNNNNNNNNNNNNNNNNNNNNNNNNNNNNNNNNNNNNNNNNNNNNNNNNNNNNNNNNNNNNNNNNNNNNNNNNNNNNNNNNNNNNNNNNNNNNNNNNNNNNNNNNNNNNNNNNNNNNNNNNNNNNNNNNNNNNNNNNNNNNNNNNNNNNNNNNNNNNNNNNNNNNNNNNNNNNNNNNNNNNNNNNNNNNNNNNNNNNNNNNNNNNNNNNNNNNNNNNNNNNNNNNNNNNNNNNNNNNNNNNNNNNNNNNNNNNNNNNNNNNNNNNNNNNNNNNNNNNNNNNNNNNNNNNNNNNNNNNNNNNNNNNNNNNNNNNNNNNNNNNNNNNNNNNNNNNNNNNNNNNNNNNNNNNNNNNNNNNNNNNNNNNNNNNNNNNNNNNNNNNNNNNNNNNNNNNNNNNNNNNNNNNNNNNNNNNNNNNNNNNNNNNNNNNNNNNNNNNNNNNNNNNNNNNNNNNNNNNNNNNNNNNNNNNNNNNNNNNNNNNNNNNNNNNNNNNNNNNNNNNNNNNNNNNNNNNNNNNNNNNNNNNNNNNNNNNNNNNNNNNNNNNNNNNNNNNNNNNNNNNNNNNNNNNNNNNNNNNNNNNNNNNNNNNNNNNNNNNNNNNNNNNNNNNNNNNNNNNNNNNNNNNNNNNNNNNNNNNNNNNNNNNNNNNNNNNNNNNNNNNNNNNNNNNNNNNNNNNNNNNNNNNNNNNNNNNNNNNNNNNNNNNNNNNNNNNNNNNNNNNNNNNNNNNNNNNNNNNNNNNNNNNNNNNNNNNNNNNNNNCGAGGAAGACCAAUCGGCUUAAGGUCAGGAACAAAGUCAACACAAAACUCAAUUACCUCCUCAUUUCCAUAGCCCUUGGCGAUGCUUCCUUCUGGCCUAGCACGGUUACGAACAUAUUUCUUUAAUACUCCCAUGAACCUCUCGAAGGGGAACAUAUUGUGUAGAAAUACAGGACCGAGAACGAAAAUCUCUUCGACUAGGUGAACCAGGAGGUGCGUCAUAAUAUUGAAGAAGGAUGGCGGGAACACCAACUCGAAACUGACAAGACAUUGGAUCACAUCGUUCUGUAACCAUGGUAGAACUUCUGGAUUGAUUACCUUCUGAGAGAUUGCAUUGAGGAAUGCACAUAGCUUCACAAUGGCUACUCGAACAUUUUCCGGCAGGAGCCCCCUCAAAGCAAUCGGAAGCAAUUGCGUCAUAAUCACGUGGCAGUCGUGAGACUUCAGGUUUUGGAACUUUUUCUCCGCCAUGUUUAUUAUUCCUUUUAUAUUGGACGAGAAUCCAGACGGGACCUUCAUACUGCUCAGGCAUUCAAAAAAGAUGACCUUCUCUUCUUUGGUCAGAGCGUAGCUGGCACGACCUUGAAACCAUUCCGGAUGCCGGUCAUCAGGGUCUUUCAAACGUUGCUGGUCCUGCCGUGCUUCCUUUGUAUCAUUUGUCUUCCCAUACACGCCCAAGAAGCUUAGGAGGUUCACGCAAAUAUUCUUCGUAACGUGCAUCACGUCGAUUGCAGAGCGGACAUCUAGGACUUUCCAAUAUUCUAGCUCCCAGAAUAUAGAUUUCUUCUUCCACAUGGCUGCGUUCCCGUCUGCUCCCUUCGGAACUGAUUGUCCGCCAGGACCCUUUCCAAAGAUGACUUUCAAAUCCUUGACCAUAUCAAAUACCUCAGCACCAGUGCAUUCCGCAGGCUUCGGCCGGUGAUCUGCCUUGCCGUUGUAAUGCUUGCCUUUCUUUCUUACUGGAUGAAUUUUCGGAAGAAAUCGAUGAUGCCCAAGGUACACGUUCUUCUUACAAUUUGGCAAAUGUACACUUUCAGUCUCAUGUAAGCAGUGCGUGCAUGCAUUGUAUCCCUUAUUUGACAGUCCCGAAAGGUUACUAAGAGCAGGCCAAUCGUUGAUGGUUACGAAAAGCAACGCUCGUAGGUCAAAUUCCUCUUGUUUGUGCUCAUCCCACACACGGACACCACCCCACAGCUGUAAAAGUUCAUCAACUAAUGGCCUUAGGUACACAUCGAUGUCGUUGCCGGGUUGCUUCGGACCUUGGAUGAGCACUGGCAUCAUAAUGAACUUCCGCUUCAUGCACAACCAAGAAGGAAGGUUGUAGAUGCAUAGAGUCACGGGCCAGGUGCUAUGGCUGGAGCUCUGCUCGCCAAAAGGAUUCAUGCCAUCCGUACUUAGAGCAAAUCUUAUGUUCCUUGCGUCAGCUGCAAAAUCUUUGAACCAUCUGUCGAUCUUUCUCCAUUGCGUUCCAUCUGCGGUGUGUCUCAACUCCCCGUCCGACUUACGGUCCUCUUUGUGCCAUCGCAACAACUUGGCAUGCUCUUUGUUCCUGAACAGACGUUUCAACCGUGGUAUUAUAGGAGCAUACCACAUCACCUUGGCGGGAACCCUCUUCCUGGGUUUCUGGCCCUCAACAUCGUCACCAGGGUCAUCGCCUCUGAUCUUAUAACGCAAUGCAGUGCAUAUCGGGCAUUCAUUCAAAUUCUCGUAUUCACCGCGGUAGAGGAUGCAGUCGUUGAUGCAUGCAUGUAUCUUCAGAACCUCUAAACCUAGAGGGCAGACAACCUUCUUUGCUUCGUACGUACUGGCGGGCAACUCGUUAUCCUUUGGAAACAUACUCUUCAACAUUUUCAGCAAGUUUUCAAAUGCCGAGUCAGCUACACCUGCCUCUGCCUUCCAUUUCAGCAAAUCCAGUGUGCAGCCCAGCUUUUUCAGACCAUCAUCGCAUCCGGGGUACAGCGCCUUUCUGUGAUCCUCUAACAUGCGAUCCAAAUUCUCCCUCUCCUUUUCAGUUUCGCAGCGUCUCCGUGCAUCAGCAAUGGUCCGACCAAGAUCAUCAACGGGAUCAUCACGUGCCUCUUCUUCACCUUCCCCUUCACCUUCAGCAUCCUCCAUGAAAGUAUCACCGAGAUGAGCAAGAUAGCUUUCAUCGAUGAAAUCAUCCCCUUCUUCAUCUUCUUCCAUUAUAACCCCUCUUUCUCCAUGCUUGGUCCAACAAUUAUAGCUUGGCAUGAAACCGUGCCGAAGCAGAUGCAUGUGAACAUCUCUUGAGGAAGAGUAACCCUUCUGAUUCUUACAGAUAACACAUGGACAGAUAACAAAAAACCCCUGCUUGUUCGCAUUAGCCACUACGAGGAAAUCUUUCAAACCCGUAGUGAACUCGCCGGAGAGUCGGUUACCGUACAUCCAUUGCCGAUUCAUCUGCAUUAUUAUAAUAUAAAAUAUAUAAUUAACCAUCAUGCAUUUGUUAAACUAACUAGCUACAAACAAUAUAAAUUAAACAAUGAACUGCACACAUGCAUAUUUUAUCAAUGACACAUCAAAGGUUCAUCAAGUUGCUAACCGCGAUCGAGGAGUGUGGCUCCAACACUUCAUGUCAUGUUUGUUUCAUGCUCUUGGGGCAUUUCAUCAAACACCUUAUGUGCAUAAGAGGAACCAAAAGCAAACCUACACCCACUUGUGAAGAGAAUGGCUCCAAAUGGCUAAGUGUUGGCUGCUGGAUGGGUAUAUAUAGGGGAGGGGCUUUAGUUGCGGUUGGCUUGGCAAACCGUGACUAAAGGUGCCCGAAGGCCUUUAGUCGCGGUUGUCCUGGCCAACCGCGACUAAAGACCCUCACGUGCGCCAGCUGGCCACCGAGCGCCCUGAGCCCAGGCCUUUGGUCGCGGUUCACCUCCAGAACCGCGACUAAAGGUCCCAUUAGUCGCGGUUCCUACAGCUUCGCGACUUAUGGGGCUGGACGGAAGCUUGUUUUUCCACCAGUGUACUAGGUAAGGUGUCGUUCCAGUCAAAUUGAUGAAUUCAUCUUUUGUUACCUUUGUUAUAGGAAUAUAGGCUGCAUUUAUUAGUCAUAUCGAGCUCUCAAGGAGUCAAGAUCUUGUUAACUUACUAAUAAUUUCUAUAUACCUGCAGCGUUAUGGCCUAUGGUGCAGGGCAAAGACAACAAGGACGACAUGCGGCGGCGACGUGGCCAUGGUGAAGCUACUUCGUCCGGCUACCCCAUGGUUGGCGUGUCUGCCGUCCUCUCAAUCUAUCACACGUACGUCCGGUGCAUGCAUGGUGUCGGGCCGAAGAGCACACAAAUCUACAUCCAGGCCCUGGGCACUAGCAACCGCUGAUGCACUUAGCCACUUACCAAUGUAUUCCUAUUGUACGUAUAUAAUAAAGUGGUUAGUACGUCGACGUAGAAAUAGUUAGUAGCUUGCUUUGCACUCACACAAUCGAGUCAUGAUUGUUACUGAUGAUCAAAAUUUUAUGUAUUUUUUAUGCCGGAUGGGUUUACUACUUCUUCUUCGGUUGUAUAUAAAGCUUCCAAAAAAUUAGUAUAUAAUCCUCCAGAAUAAAUCAGUAUAUAGUCCUCCAAAAAAAUGAGUAUAUACACUUUGUAACGCAGCAUAUACCCCAUAAAAAAUGUAGUAUAACGCUGCAGAAAUAAGACAUACUCCUUUUCUAGUUGCAUAUACCCAAUCACAAAACUACACUGAAAUAAUUAGUAGUACAUACUCCUUUUCUAUUUUGGAAAGGAACGUCCAUUUCCCUCUUCAACAAGUGCUUUAUUUUUCUAGGGGUAGCCUUGUGUUUUUACUGCCAUGCGACGACAUUACAAAAUGUAUUACACCCAUUAUUCAUCUAAUUUUUUAUAUACCCUUUUAUGCAUACUUUGAAUUUAUCACUCAUUUGGGCGACCAGCCCGCUCUCUCAUUGCAGCGACUCGACUCUCACAUAAAGCCAGUAUAUACUCACGUAAAAAAAAGCAGUAUAGACUCCCUUACUGAAAAAGAACUAUAUACUCCCCUACCAAAAAAAGUAGUAUAUGCUCCAUUACCAAAAAGGCAGUAUAUACUCAUAUACAAAAGGUGGUAUAUACUGUCUUCCCAAAGUAGUAUAUAUCUUUUUCCUUGCGUUAGAGAAGUAGUAUAACCAGAACAGAUAGUUCAUACUUGUGUGCUGAAAAAAGUAGUAUAUAAAUAUAUAUGUAAGAGUGAGUAUGGUAGAUAUGUAUCGGUCCUUACAAAAAAAAUCAACCACUGUUAUUGUUUAUUUGCACCGAACUAACCUUAUCUGUAUGCUAGGAUCCUUGAAUCUCUCAAUCUGUUGAUGCACAUGCAUGCGUCGGCCGGUGGAGCAAUUAGCAACUAGAUCUAAUAACUGCCAACCUGUUCAGUCCAUGGGAGUACAUACUCCUGGGAGUAUAAAAGAGGAGUCUAUAUAUAUAUAUAUAUAUAUAUAUAUAUACGGUGGCGCUAUUGUGUGCGUGAGCGCAGAUUUACUUAUCGUGCGCGCCGGUCAUUGCGUGCGCCACUCGUAUUCCUAAUGAUGGUAAAAUUCCUGGCAGAAAUAGUAAUAUAAUUUAAUUGGUUACUGCCUGCCACCACCACGGUAGCGAUUUAAUUGGUUAGGUCUACUAGUAAAAAUGCAUAGCAGAAAAAGUAAAAGAGCUAAAAGUAUUACUGUUGGAUGCAUCGGUCCCCGCUUCGACUGCCUACUAGUAAAACACCUCAUAAAAGUAGUAAUAGGAUUACCCUACACGCAUCAGCCCCUUGCCAUACUUGUGAACAGGUAAACUUCAUGUGAAGAAUAGUACUGGAUGGUAACUGUGUUACCAUAGAACGGACACUUGCUAUUAGCUAGCUACAUGGUAAUUUUAUUACCGCUAACUUUCAUCGGUUUAAUACCUAAUCAUGUUACCACUUAUUUUCUUAGUAGUAUUGGAUGGUAACUAUGUUACCACAUGACGAAAAAAUUGCUAUUAGCUAAUAGCUACACGGUAAUUGCAUUACCACUCAUGUGUAGAAGCAUGAUACACGGUCUUUUUUCCAAUUACGUUUGGUCGAAGACGCAAGGGUUUGCUAAUCGCUAAAGUGGGGUCGAAGCAGUAAUAAGUUUCCAACCGUUACCAUGUUUCUUAAGGUAUGUUACGUAUGGGCGCAAGACAUGUUCUUUAAUAGGAGCGGGACAACGGUUGCUUAGACGGAGAAUGGCGCGCAGUCUGGCCGGAGCGUAGAAUUAGACUUCUGCGCUCAGGCUUAGUUUAGCACGUCUAUAUAUAUAUAUAUAUAUAUAUAUAUAUAUAUACAUACAUGUUAGUGGCCUCGACGCUGCUUCUCUAGGGUUUGGGGUCGCCUCGACACAACGCUUCAAGGGUUUGGGGUGGCCUCGACGACAACGUUUUUUUAACUUGAUAAAUUUGGGUGGCCUCGAGAGAGUUAAUUUGUCGGGUAGGGGCGCGGCGGGAGGGGGUAGGAGACCAACAUCGUUUUCUCUCUAGGGUUUGGGUGUCCUCGAGAGUUAUCGGGGAGGGGGUAUCGGUACCACCCCCUAGCUCGUGUUGAAGUUUCUUCUUUCUCCUCUAUUCCUUUCUUUCUUCUUCUCCUCUUCUUUUUCUUCUUCUCCCUCGAGAAAGGAAAAUANNNNNNNNNNNNNNNNNNNNNNNNNNNNNNNNNNNNNNNNNNNNNNNNNNNNNNNNNNNNNNNNNNNNNNNNNNNNNNNNNNNNNNNNNNNNNNNNNNNNNNNNNNNNNNNNNNNNNNNNNNNNNNNNNNNNNNNNNNNNNNNNNNNNNNNNNNNNNNNNNNNNNNNNNNNNNNNNNNNNNNNNNNNNNNNNNNNNNNNNNNNNNNNNNNNNNNNNNNNNNNNNNNNNNNNNNNNNNNNNNNNNNNNNNNNNNNNNNNNNNNNNNNNNNNNNNNNNNNNNNNNNNNNNNNNNNNNNNNNNNNNNNNNNNNNNNNNNNNNNNNNNNNNNNNNNNNNNNNNNNNNNNNNNNNNNNNNNNNNNNNNNNNNNNNNNNNNNNNNNNNNNNNNNNNNNNNNNNNNNNNNNNNNNNNNNNNNNNNNNNNNNNNNNNNNNNNNNNNNNNNNNNNNNNNNNNNNNNNNNNNNNNNNNNNNNNNNNNNNNNNNNNNNNNNNNNNNNNNNNNNNNNNNNNNNNNNNNNNNNNNNNNNNNNNNNNNNNNNNNNNNNNNNNNNNNNNNNNNNNNNNNNNNNNNNNNNNNNNNNNNNNNNNNNNNNNNNNNNNNNNNNNNNNNNNNNNNNNNNNNNNNNNNNNNNNNNNNNNNNNNNNNNNNNNNNNNNNNNNNNNNNNNNNNNNNNNNNNNNNNNNNNNNNNNNNNNNNNNNNNNNNNNNNNNNNNNNNNNNNNNNNNNNNNNNNNNNNNNNNNNNNNNNNNNNNNNNNNNNNNNNNNNNNNNNNNNNNNNNNNNNNNNNNNNNNNNNNNNNNNNNNNNNNNNNNNNNNNNNNNNNNNNNNNNNNNNNNNNNNNNNNNNNNNNNNNNNNNNNNNNNNNNNNNNNNNNNNNNNNNNNNNNNNNNNNNNNNNNNNNNNNNNNNNNNNNNNNNNNNNNNNNNNNNNNNNNNNNNNNNNNNNNNNNNNNNNNNNNNNNNNNNNNNNNNNNNNNNNNNNNNNNNNNNNNNNNNNNNNNNNNNNNNNNNNNNNNNNNNNNNNNNNNNNNNNNNNNNNNNNNNNNNNNNNNNNNNNNNNNNNNNNNNNNNNNNNNUGAAAACACUUUUUUUUGUUUUCUUUCUUGCUUUAUUUAUUUUAUUUUGUUUCUACUUGCAAUAAAAUACUUAUUGUUGUUUUUUUGUUUUGUUUUCUGCAUUAUUUAUUUUCUUUUGUUUUUUGCUUUAUUUUUUAAUUCUUUUUGCUUUUAGUUUUAGGAAAAUUAUAAACUUUCUAUUAGUGCCAUUACUUUUCAAAUUUGAAAACACUUUUUUGUUUUUUAGUUUUCUUUCUUGCUUUAUUUAUUUUAUUUUGUUUCUACUUACAACAAAAUACUUAUUGUUGCUAUUUUUAAUUAUUACGAAGGCCAAACCAUAAGACAUUAAAGCAUUUCAAAUGAACUCUGAAAAAGUUGAAAGUUGGCAUGGUAUCAUAAAUUGACCCACACAUAGCAUGUGCAUGUACAAAACGGACAAUGUUAUCAUACUCGUCAGUUACAAAGUUGGCAUGGUAUCAUCAUAAUAGUUGCGGGAGAAAGUCUUCACUUUUUCUUCGCUUGUGUCAUUUGCUUAUUGCGCCGUAACCAUGGAUAAUCUUCAUCGUUUAUCAGGAUGCUGGGGUCAGCCUUGACUUUAAAGGGAGGAAUUUCAUGAAACUUUUCAUAAUCUUCAGACAUGUCUGUCUUGUCCUCCUCUCCCACGAUGUCCCUUUUUCCUGAAAGAACUAUGUGGCGCUUUGGCUCAUCGUAUGAUGUAUUCGCUUCCUUAUCUUUUCUCUUUCUUGGUCUGGUAGACAUGUCCAUCACAUAGAUAACCUGUGCCACAUCAUUGGCUAGGACGAACGGUUCGUCAGUGUACCCAAGAUUUUUCGGAUCCACUGUUGUCGUUCCGUACUGUGGGUCUACAUGUACCCCGCCUCCUGACAGAUUGACCCAUUUGCACUUAAACAAAGGGACCUUAAAAUCAUGUCCUUAGUCAAGUUCCCAUAUGUCCACUAUGUAACCAUAAUAUGUGUCCUUUCCCCUCUCGGUUGUUGCAUCAAAGCGGACACCGCUGUUUUGGUUGGUGCUCUUUUGAUCUUGGUUAAUCGUGUAAAAUGUCUUCCCAUUUAUCUCAUAUCCUUUCCAAAUCGUAACAGUCGAAGAUGGUCCCCUGGAUAACAAGUACAUCUCAUCACAAACAGCGUUGUCACCUCUGAUACGUGCUUCCAACCAACUGCUGAAAGUCCUGAUGUGUUCACAUGUAAUUCAGUCGUCGCACUGCUCCGGGUGUUUGGAGCGCAGACUGUUCUUGUGUUCAUCCACAUACGGGGUCACCAAGGUAGAGUUCUGUAGAACUGUGUAGUGUGCUUGAGACCAAGAAUAUCUGUCCCUGCAUAUUAUUGAGUCCCUUCCAAGCAUGCCUUUUCCAGUCAGUCUCCCCUCAUACCGCGAUUUAGGGAGACCUAUCUUCUUAUGGCCAGGAAUGAAGUCAACACAAAACCCGAUGACAUCCUCUGUUUGAUGGCCCAUGGAGAUGCUUCCUUCUGGCCUAGCGCGAUGAGGGACAUAUUUCUUUAGGACUCCCAUGAACCUCUCAAAGGGGUACAUAUUGUGUAGAAAUACGGGGCCCAAAAUGACAAUCUCGUCAACUAGAUGAACUAGGACGUGCGUCAUGAUAUUGAAGAAGGAUGGUGGGAACACCAGCUCGAAACUGACAAGACAUUGCACCACAUCACUCCUUAGCCUUGGUAUGAUUUCUGGAUCGAUCACCUUCUGAGAGAUUGCAUUGAGGAAUGCACAUAGCUUCACAAUGGCUAAUCGGACGUUUUCCGGUAGAAGCCCCCUCAAUGCAACCGGAAGCAGUUGUGUCAUAAUCACGUGGCAGUCAUGAGACUUUAGGUUCUGAAACUUUUUCUUUGCCAUAUUUAUUAUUCCUUUUAUAUUCGACGAGAAGCCAGUCGGGACCUUCAUACUAAGCAGGCAUUCAAAGAAGAUUUCCUUCUCUUCUUUGGUAAGAGCAUAGCUGGCAGGACCUUCAUACUGCUUUGGAGGCAUGCCGUCUUUUUCGUGCAAAUGUUGCAGGUCCUCCCGUGCCUCAGCUGUAUCUUUUGUCUUCCCAUACACGCCCAAGAAGCCUAGCAGGUUCACGCAAAGGUUCUUCGUCACGUGCAUCACGUCGAUCGAAGAGCGGACCUCUAGGUCUUUCUAGUAGGGUAGGUCCCAAAAUAUAGAUUUCUUCUUCCACAUGGGUGCGUGUCCCCCAACGUCACUCGGAACAGCUAGUCUGCCGGGACCCUUUCCAAAGAUUACGUGUAAAUCAUUGACCAUAGCAAGUACGUGACCACCGGUACGCAUGGCGGGCUUCUUCCGGUGAUCUGCCUCGCCUUUGAAAUGCUUGCCUUUCUUUCGACAUUGAUGGUUGGUCGGAAGAAAUCGACGAUGGCCCAGGUACACAUUCUUCCUACAGCUUGCCAGGUAUAUACUAACGGUGUCAAGUAAACAGUGCGUGCAUGCGUGGUAUCCCUUGUUUGUCUGUCCUAAAAGGUUACUGAGAGCAGGCCAAUCGUUGAUGGUCACGAACAGCAACGCCUUUAGGUUAAAUUUCUCCUGUUUGUGCUCAUCCCACGUACGUACACCGUUUCCAUUCCACAGCUGUAAAAGUUCUUCAACUAAUGGCCUUAGGUACACAUCAAUGUCAUUGCCGGGUUGCUUAGGGCCUUGGAUGAGAACUGGCAUCAUAAUGAACUUCCGCUUCAUGCACAUCCAAGGAGGAAGGUUAUACAUACAUAGAGUCACGGGCCAGGUGCUGUGAUUGCUGCUCUGCUCCCCGAAAGGAUUAAUGCCAUCCGCACUUAAAGCAAACCAUACGUUCCUUGGCUCACUUGCAAACUCAUCCCAGUACUUUCUCUCAUUUUUCUCCAUUGCGACCCGUCAGCGGGUGCUCUCAACUUCCCGUCUUUCUUACGGUCCUCACUAUGCCAUCGCAUCAACUUGGCAUGCUCUCCGUUUCUGAACAGACGUUUCAACCGUGGUAUUAUAGGAGCAUACCACAUCACCACUACUAGGGAAAAGCCUAUACAUAGAAUCUUACCAGCAGCGCUCUUCAAAAUACAACGCUACUGCUACUUAGCAGCAGCGCGUGUCUGCCAAACACGCUGCUGACUUGGAAGUAGCAGUAGCGGGUGCAUCGCAUACAGCGCUACUGCUAUAGUUGCCAUGACCUUGCCCCCCCCCCCCCNNNNNNNNNNNNNNNNNNNNNNNNNNNNNNNNNNNNNNNNNNNNNNNNNNNNNNNNNNNNNNNNNNNNNNNNNNNNNNNNNNNNNNNNNNNNNNNNNNNNNNNNNNNNNNNNNNNNNNNNNNNNNNNNNNNNNNNNNNNNNNNNNNNNNNNNNNNNNNNNNNNNNNNNNNNNNNNNNNNNNNNNNNNNNNNNNNNNNNNNNNNNNNNNNNNNNNNNNNNNNNNNNNNNNNNNNNNNGCAAACGCGCUACAACUAUCCCUACCUUAUCCCCAUGCGCACGACCGGCCCUCUCACUCACACUCUCACUCUCGCCCACGUCAACCGUCGUCGUCCGUCGCCGCCGCCGCCGCCUUCGUCCGUCCGCCGCCGAGGUACUCCCCUCCUUCCGUCCCUCCUCCAUCCUCCUUGCACAUCCUCCCUCCGCCUGUGGCCGCCCCUCCUUCCUCCGCCGCUGCCCUCCUCCCUCCGCCUGCGGCCGCCCCUCCUCCCUCCUCCGACGGCAGCCCUCCUCCCACCGCCCUCGACCUCGCUGCCCCUAGCUACCUCUCCGUCGCCCCCCACCCCUGCCACUAGUUAGUACUAGAUUUAGUAGUAGUAGAUGUUAAUUUAGGGUUAGCUAGUACUAGAUGUUGCUUAGUUAGUACUAGAUUUUUAGUAGUAGUAGUGGUAGUUGAACUACUUUAGUUGUAGUUGAACUAGUUUAGUAAGUAAAUUAAUAAACGAGUUGAACUAGUUGAAUUAAUAGAACUAAUCUAUUUUUAGUAAGAUAAUUAAUAUAACUAGUUGAACUACUUUAUUUUUAGAAAGAACUAAUUUUUUUCUAUUUAUAUUAAGUUUAUAUUUAGUAAGAACUAGUUGAAUUAAUAAAACUAGUUGAACAUGUCAUGUUUGUUGUUAGUGAUAACUUAUAUGGUUUCAGGUGACCUCCGUCGUCCCCGUCACCGACCCCCUCCGACAUCCCCGUCGUCGUCCCAGUCACCGACCCCCUCCGACAUCGAGGUGAGACCAGCCAAAUAUCCUUGUAUAUCUUGUGUUGUUGCUCAAAUUGGAUAUGUGGUUGCCCAAGUGGCCGUUCAUGUAGUUUACAUCUCCGAGUGGCCUAUGUUUUGCCGGAGUGUUGAUUAAUUUCCGUUCCGACAAAUUUCAGGCGCUCGAUAUGUCCUUUUUUAGCAAAGGUCAUGCCGGAUUUUGUCGUGAAUUCUGGUAUGACUUGUGCUAGAAUAUGUACAAGUUUAAUCUUUGAAUUAUGAUUGUAGGAAAUGUCGUACUCGGACGACGAAGGUCUCCCGGGGGAGUGUAGCUGGUGCCACGACGAUCGAGGUAUGUGCGAUAGGUUCGUUCGGCUGGACGAAGAUCGGCGCUUCAACAUUAAGCUCGAGGAGACCUUCGAUUGUGAAAUGGUACGCAACAACGACAAGUGUUUUUUCUCCAUUAAGCAUGACUUCAACUAUUUCAACGUCUAAUUUUCAUAUUUUACAAUUCGACUAGCUUAUCCCAUGCCAUGCAAGACGCUAUGUCUUGGAGAGGAUGGGUUUUGAAGACCAUGAAAAUUUCAAAACAAAGAAAAUACACCUAAGGACCCAUCAUGAUAUGGAUUUUGAAGUAAACCUGUGCAAUGCUCAGAGCGCAACCCAUUUUGGUUGCCAAAAUUGGGAAGCACUUUGCAAAAUGUAUGGUUUUUAUGAGGGUAUGAUUGUCACCAUGGAUCUUGGUGAUCCUGACAGUGAGGAAGACAAUAUGGACAUUUGGGUCCUUGUUGAUACGCUUCCGAUUGUACCGCUAUGUGACUUUCUCAAACAUAGUUAUUAACUAAUUUAUAUUGUUUAUUUCAAAAUAGUUGAUAGCUUAUUUCCAUUGACAGCUUAUUUUGAUUCUUCAAAGACUGUGCGGAAGAUGGUAGAUAAAACCCACUACACCGAAGGCACCCAAUUAACGUAUAAGGAGAAAAAUCAUCUGAUCGCAUUUUGUACUCUUCUUGAGAAUUACAAUGACUAUAAUCGAACUCCUCCAGAUUAUGGUGAAUAUGUGCCACUAGUGCAUGUGUUGAACAACGAUAACUUAUCUGGAGAUACCCUGGUAAGAUUUUUUACUAUUACGACAUCCGUGUAUUUUUUGCAUACUUCUAAAACUAGUACAUCAUUGCUAACUACGAAGUUAUUAUUAUGUUUUUCAACAGAAACUCCCGAUGGAUUGUGUGCCUCAUCUGAUGUCUCUGCAUGGUCGCCUCUCAGUUCUGAACAUACUGCCAGGUAAAUCUACAGAGCUCACCUAUGCAUAUCAGAUUUCUAAAACCCGUGAACACAUGAUCAUCAGAGAAUGGAAGAAAUGUAUGGACAUUCGCAAGGAGGUUCUUGGAAGUAACAUUCAGCGAAACGUAAGAAUGGGAGACAGGCUAAUCUCCAUUCUCCAUAAUGGAGAGUCAGGGGCUAUCUUGUUUUUUGUUAUUUUACCUUAGAAAAUGUAGUAGGUCUUAAUCGAAUGUAAUAGGUCCUAUGAGGUACAAUAUGUUUAUUAUGUGGUAAUGUGUUAGAGUUGAUAAUGAUGAUCUUGAGGAGGUGUUAUGUGAUGUCAAUGAUGAAAACGAUGAUAUUGAGGAGGUGUUAUAUGACAAUGAUGUAUUAUGAUGCUAAGUUGUUAAUGAUAUGAUGAUGAUGAUGAUAUUAUUAUAUCAUUGGGUGAAAGAACCGUGGAUUAGUUUCAAGUGGAUGGACAUCCACUUGAAACUAGUCCACGGUUCUUUCACCCCAUGAUGUAAUAACUCAUUAUGAUGUAAAAACAAUCUCUAAAUUCCUGUUGUAUGAAAACUUGUGUAAGGGUGUAUGAAUACAACAUGAAAAAGAAAAGAAAUAAAAUACUAAAUAAUAGUAGUAGCGCGGGUAAGGAGAAGCGCUACUACUAAUUACCAGUAGCGAUGUUCUAAAGAACCGCUGCUACUAAGUCAAUUUAGCAGUAGCGCGUGUCAAGACGCGCUAUUGCUAAGCAUUAGCUGUAGCGCCUUAUCAGUAGCGCUCCUGCCCGCGCUACUGAUAGGCCCAAAACCCGCGCUGCUGCUAGGCUUUUCCCUAGUAGUGCACCUUCGCAGGAACCCUCUUCCUGGGGGGCUCGCCGUCAACAUCACCAGGGUCAUCUCGUCUGAUCUUAUACCAUAAUGCACCGCAUACCAGGCAUGCGUUCAGAUCCUUAUAUGCACCGCGGUAGAGGAUGCAGUCAUUAGGGCAUGCAGGUAUCUUCUGCACCUCCAAUCCUAGAGGGCAUACGACCUUCUUUGCUGCGUAUGUACUGUCGGGCAAUUCGUUAUCCUUUGGAAGCUUCUUCUUCAAUAUUUUCAGUAGCUUCUCAAAUCCUUUGUCAGGCACAGCAUUCUCUUAAAGGAAAUAUGCCCUAGAGGCAAUAAUAAAGUUAUUAUUUAUUUCCUCAUAUCAUGAUAAAUGUUUAUUAUUCAUGCUAGAAUUGUAUUAACCGGAAACAUGAUACAUGUGUGAAUACAUAGACAAAACUAUAGUCACUAGUAUGCCUCUACUUGACUAGCUCAUUAAUCAAAGAUGGUUAUGUUUCCUGACCAUAGACAUGUGUUGUCAUUUGAUUAGUGGGAUCACAUCAUUAAGAGAAUGAUGUGAUUGACAUGACCCAUUCUGUUAGCCCAGCACUUGAUCGUUUAGUAUACUGCUAUUGCUUUCUUCAUGACUUAUACAAAGUUCCUGCAACUAUGAGAUUGUGCAACUCCCGUUUACCGGAAGAACACUUUGUGUGCUACCAAACAUCACAACGUAACUGGGUGAUUAUAAAGGUGCUCUACAGGUGUUUCCGAAGGUACAUGUUGGGUUGGCAUAAUUCGAGAUUAGGAUUUGUCACUCCGAUUGUCGGAGAGGUAUCUCUGGGCCCUCUCGGAAAUACUCAUCACAUAAGCCUUGCAAGCAUGUAACUAAUGAGUUAGUUAUGAGAUGACGUAUUACGAAACGAGUAAAGAGACUUGCCGGUAACGAGAUUGAACUAGGUAUUGGAUACCGACGAUCAAAUCUCGGGCAAGUAACAUACCGAUGACAAAGGGAACAAAGUAUGUUGUUAUGCGGUUUGACCGAUAAAGAUCUUCGUAGAAUAUGUAGGAACCAAUAUGGGCAUCCAGGUCCCGCUAUUGGUUAUUGACCGAGAAUGGUUUUAGGUCAUGACUACAUAGUUCUCAAACCCGUAGGGUCCGCACGCUUAACUUUUUGAUGAUAGUUUUAUUAUGAGUUUAUAAGUUUUGAUGUACCAAAGUUUGUUCGGAGUUCCGGAUGUGAUCACGGAUAUGAUGAGGAGUCUCGGAAUGCUUGAGCCAUAAAGAUUGAUAUAUUGGACGACUAUAUUCGGACACCGGAAAGGUUCCGGGAGUUUUCGGAGAAAACCGGAGUGCCCGGGGGGUUACCGAAACCCCCCGGGAGAGUUAAUGGGCCACAUGGGCCUAGGUGGGAAGAGAAAGGGGCGGCCAGGGUGAGCCGCGCGCCCCCUCUCCCUCUAGUCCGAAUUGGACUAGGAGGGGGGGCGGCGCCCCCUUUCCUUCCCCCCCUCUCUUCCUUCCUUCCCCCUCCUAGUAGGAGUAGGAAAGGAGGAAUCCUACUCCUACUAGGAGGAGGAUUCCUCCUCCCUUGCGCGCCCCAAGGGGCCGGCCGGCCUCCCCCUCCCUCCUUUAUAUACGGGGGCAGGGGGCACCCCAUAGACACACAAGUUGAUCUACGGAUCGUUCCUUAGCCGUGUGCGGUGCCCCCUUCCACCAUAUUCCACCUCGGUCAUAUCGUCGCGAAGCUUAGGCGAAGUCCUGCGCCGGUAGAACAUCAAGAUCGUCACCACGCCGUCGUGCUGACGGAACUCUCCCUCGACACUCGGCUGGAUCGGAGUUCGAGGGACGUCAUCGAGCUGAAUGUGUGCUGAACUCGGAGGCUCCGUACGUUCGGUUCUUGGAUCGGUCGGAUCGUGAAGACGUAUGACUACAUCAACCGCGUUGUCAUAACGCUUCCGCUUACGGUCUACGAGGGUACAUGGACAUACACUCUCCCCUCUCGUUGCUAUGUCAUCACCAUGAUCUUGCGUGUGCGUAGGAAAAUUUUGAAAUUACUACGUUCCCCGACAGUGGUAUCAGAGCCUAGGUUUUAUGCGUUGAUGUUAUAUGCACGAGUAGAACACAAGUGAGUUGUGGACGAUAUAAGUCAUACUGCCUACCAGUGUGUCAUACUUUGGUUCAGCGGUAUUGUGAGAUGAAGCGGCCCGGACCGACAUUACGGGUACGCUUACGCGAGACUAGUUUCACCGUUAUGAGCACUCGUGCUUAAAGGUGGCUGGCGGGUGUCUGUCUCUCUCACUUUAGUUGAACCGAGUGUGGCUACGCCCGGCCCUUGUGAAGGUUAAAACGGAGUCUAUUUGACAAACUAUCGUUGUGGUUUUGAUGCGUAGGUAAGAACGGUUCUUGCUAAGCCCGUAGCAUCCACGUAAAAUUUGCAACAACAAAGUAGAGGACGUCUAACUUGUUUUUGCAGGGCAUGUUGUGAUAUGAUAUGGUCAAGACGUGAUGCUAUAUUUUAUUGUAUGAGAUGAUCAUGUUUUGUAACCGAAGUUAUCGGCAACUGGCUGGAGCCAUAUGGUUGUCGCUUUAUUGUAUGAAAUGCAAACGCCCUGUAAUUGCUUUACUUUAUCUCUAAGCGGUAGCGAUAGUCGUAGAAGCAAUAGAUGGCGUAAACGACAACGAUGCUACGAUGGAGAUCAAGGUGUCGCGCCGGUGACGAUGGUGAUCAUGACGGUGCUUCGAAGAUGGAGAUCACAAGCACAAGAUGAUGAUGGCCAUAUCAUAUCACUUAUAUUGAUUGCAUGUGAUGUUUAUCCUUUAUGCAUCUUAUCUUGCUUUGAUUGACGGUAGCAUUUUAAGAUGAUCUCUCACUAAAAUUAUCAAGUAGUGUUCUCCCUGAGUAUGCACCGUUGCCAAAGUUCAUCGUGCCGAGACACCACGUGAUGAUCGGGUGUGAUAAGCUCUACGUCCAUCUACAACGGGUGCAAGCCAGUUUUGCACACGCAGAAUACUCAGGUUAAACUUGACGAGCCUAGCAUAUGCAGAUAUGGCCUCGGAACACAGAGACCGAAAGGUCGAGCGUGAAUCAUAUAGUAGAUAUGAUCAACAUAAUGAUGUUCACCAUUGAAAACUACUCCAUCUCACGUGAUGAUCGGUUAUGGUUUAGUUGAUUUGGAUCACGUGAUCACUUAGAUGACUAGAGAGAUGUCUGUCUAUGUGGGAGUUCUUAAGUAAUAUGAUUAAUUGAACUUAAAUUUAUCAUGAACUUAGUACCUGAUAGUAUCUUGCUUGUCUAUGUUUGUUUGUAGAUAGAUGGCUCGUGCUGUUGUUCCGUUGAAUUUUAAUGCGUUCCUUGAGAAAGCAAAGUUGAAAGAUGAUGGUAGCAAUUACACGGACUGGGUCCGUAACCUGAGGAUUAUCCUCAUUGUUGCACAGAAGAGUUACGUCCUGGAAGCACCGCUGGGUGCCAGGCCUGCUGCUGAUGCAACUGACGACGUUAAGAACGUCUGGCAGAGCAAAGCUGAUGACUACUCUAUAGUUCAGUGUGCCAUGCUUUACGGCUUAGAACCGGGUCUUCAACGACGUUUUGAACGUCAUGGAGCAUAUGAGAUGUUCCAGGAGUUGAAGUUAAUAUUUCAAGCAAAUGCCCGGAUUGAGAGAUAUGAAGUCUCCAAUAAGUUCUAUAGCUGCAAGAUGGAGGAGAAUAGUUCUGUCAGUGAACAUAUACUCAGAAUGUCUGGGUAUAACAAUCACUUGAUUCAACUGGGAGUUAAUCUUCCUGAUGAUAGUGUCAUUGACAGAAUUCUUCAAUCACUGCCACCAAGCUACAAGAGCUUUGUGAUGAACUAUAAUAUGCAAGGGAUGAACAAGACUAUUCCCGAGCUCUUCGCGAUGCUGAAAGCCGCAGAGGUAGAAAUCAAGAAGGAGCAUCAAGUGUUGAUGGUCAACAAGACCACUAGUUUCAAGAAGAAGGGCAAAGGAAAGAAGAAGGGGAACUUCAAAAAGAACGGCAAGCAAGUUGCUGCUCAAGAGAAGAAACCCAAGUCUGGACCUAAGCCUGAAACUGAGUGCUUCUACUGCAAGCAGACUGGUCACUGGAAGCGGAACUGCCCCAAGUAUUUGGCGGAUAAGAAGGAUGGCAAAGUAAACAAAGGUAUAUGUGAUAUACAUGUUAUUGAUGUGUACCUAACUAGAGCUCGUAGUAGCACCUGGGUAUUUGAUACUGGUUCUGUUGCUAAUAUUUGCAACUCGAAACAGGGACUACGGAAUAAGCGAGCACUGGCCAAGGACGAGGUGACGAUGCGCGUGGAAAACGGUUCCAAAGUCGAUGUGAUCGCGGUCGGCACGCUACCUCUACAUCUACCAUCGGGAUUAGUUUUAGACCUAAAUAAUUGUUAUUUGGUGCCAGCGUUGAGCAUGAACAUUAUAUCUGGAUCUUGUUUGAUGCAAGACGGUUAUUCAUUUAAAUCAGAGAAUAAUGGUUGUUCUAUUUAUAUGAGUAAUAUCUUUUAUGGUCAUGCACCCUUGAAGAGUGGUCUAUUUUUAUUGAAUCUCGAUAGUAGUGAUACACAUAUUCAUAUUGUAGAAGCCAAAAGAUGCAGAGUUGAUAAUGAUAGUGCAACUUAUUUGUGGCACUGCCGUUUGGGUCAUAUCGGUGUACAACGCAUGAAGAAACUCCAUACUGAUGGACUUCUGGAAUCACUUGAUUAUGAAUCACUUGGUACUUGCGAACCGUGCCUUAUGGGCAAGAUGACUAAAACACCGUUCUCCGGAACUAUGGAGAGAGCAACAGAUUUGUUGGAAAUCAUACAUACAGAUGUAUGUGGUCCGAUGAAUGUUGAGGCUCGUGGCGGAUAUCAUUAUUUUCUCACCUUCACUGAUGAUUUAAGCAGAUAUGGGUAUAUCUACUUAAUGAAGUACAAGUCUGAAACAUUUGAAAAGUUCAAAGAAUUUCAGAGUGAAGUAGAAAAUCAUCGUAACAAGAAAAUAAAGUUUCUACGAUCUGACCGUGGAGGAGAAUAUUUGAGUUACGAGUUUGGUUUACAUUUGAAACAAUGCGGAAUAGUUUCGCAACUCACGCCACCUGGAACACCACAACGAAAUGGUGUGUCCAAACGUCGUACUCGUACUUUACUUGAUAUGGUGCGAUCUAUGAUGUCUCUUACCGAUUUACCGCUAUCGUUUUGGGGUUAUGCUUUAGAGACGGCCGCAUUCACGUUAAAUAGGGCACCAUCAAAAUCCGUUGAGAUGACGCCUUAUGAACUGUGGUUUGGCAAGAAACCAAAGUUGUCGUUUCUUAAAGUUUGGGGCUGCGGUACUUAUGUGAAGAAACUUCAACCAGAUAAGCUCGAACCCAAAUCGGAGAAAUGUGUCUUCGUAGGAUACCCAAAGGAGACUAUUGGGUACACCUUCUAUCACAGAUCUGAAGGCAAGAUUUUCGUUGCUAAAUUCGGAUCCUUUCUAGAGAAGGAAUUUCUCUCGAAAGAAGUGAGUGGGAGGAAAGUAGAACUUGAUGAGAUAACUGUAUCUACUCCCUUAUUGGAAGGUAGUUCAUCACGAGAACUGGUUCCCAUGACAACUACACCAAUUAUUGAGGAAGCUAAUAAUAUUGAUCAUGAAACUUCAGAUCAAGUUUCUGCUGAACCUCGUAGGUCUACCAGAGUAAGAUCCGCACCAGAGUGGUACGGUAAUCCUAUUCUGGAAGUCAUGUUACUUGACCAUGAUGAACCUACGAACUAUGAGGAACCGAUGAUGAGCCCAGAUUCCGCAAAAUGGCUAGAGGCCAUGAAAUCUGAGAUGGGAUCCAUGGAUGAAAACAAAGUAUGGACUUUGGUUGACUUGCCCGAUGAUCGGCAAGCCAUUGAGAAUAAAUGGAUCUUUAAGAAGAAGACUGACGCUGAUGGUAAUGUUACUGUCUAUAAAGCUCGACUUGUUGCGAAAGGUUUUCGACAAGUUCAAGGGGUUGACUAUGAUGAGACUUUCUCACCCGUAGCGAUGCUUAAGUCUGUCCGAAUCAUGUUGGCUAUUGCUGCAUUUCAUGAUUAUGAAAUUUGGCAAAUGGAUGUCAAAACUGCAUUCUUGAAUGGAUUUCUAGAAGAAGAGUUGUAUAUGAUGCAGCCGGAAGGUUUUGUUGAUCCAAAAGGUGCUGACAAAGUGUGUAAGCUCCAAUGUUCCAUUUAUGGACUGGUGCAAGCAUCUCGGAGUUGGAAUAAACGUUUUGACAGUGUGAUCAAGGCAUAUGGUUUUAUACAGACUUUUGGAGAAGCCUGUAUUUACAAGAAAGUGAGUGGGAGCUCUGUAGCAUUUCUAGUUUUAUAUGUUGAUGACAUAUUAUUAAUUGGAAAUGAUAUAGAAUUUCUGGAGAGCAUAAAGGGAUACUUGAAUAAAAGUUUUUCAAUGAAAGACCUCGGUGAAGCUGCUUACAUAUUGGGCAUCAAGAUCUAUAGAGAUAGAUCAAGACGCUUAAUAGGACUUUCACAAAGCACAUACCUUGACAAAAUUUUGAAAAAGUUCAAAAUGGAUCAGGCAAAGAAAGGAUUCUUGCCUGUGCUACAAGGUGUGAAGUUGAGUCAAACUCAAUGCCCGACCACAUCAGAAGAUAGAGAGAAAAUGAAAAAUGUUCCCUAUGCUUCAGCCAUAGGCUCUAUCAUGUAUGCAAUGCUGUGUACCAGACUUGACGUAUGCUUAGCAAUAAGCUUGGCAGGAAGGUACCAAAGUAAUCCAGGAGUGGAUCACUGGACAGCGGUCAAGAACAUCCUUAAAUACCUGAAAAGGACUAAGGAUAUAUUUCUCGUAUAUGUAGGUGACAAAGAGCUCGUCGUAAAUGGUUACGUCGAUGCAAGCUUUGACACUGAUCCAGACGAUUCUAAAUCGCAAACCGGAUACGUGUUUAUAUUAAACGGUGGAGCUGUAAGUUGGUGCAGUUCUAAACAAAGCGUCGUGGCGGGAUCUACAUGUGAAGCGGAGUACAUAGCUGCUUCUGAAGCAGCAAAUGAAGGAGUCUGGAUGAAGGAGUUCAUUUCCGAUCUAGGUGUCAUACCUAGUGCAUCGGGACCAAUGAAGAUCUUCUGUGACAAUACAGGUGCAAUUGCUUUGGCAAAGGAAUCCAGAUUUCACAAGAGGACCAAGCACAUCACGAGACGCUUAAAUUCCAUUCGGGACCAAGUCCAAGUGGGAGACAUACAGAUUUGCAAGAUACAUACGGAUCUGAAUAUUGCAGACCCGUUGACUAAGCAUCUCUCACGAGCAAAACAUGAUCAGCACCAAGACUCCAUGGGUGUUAGAAUCAUUAUUGUGUAAUCUAGAUUAUUGACUCUAGUGCAAGUGGGAGACUAAAGGAAAUAUGCCCUAGAGGCAAUAAUAAAGUUAUUAUUUAUUUCCUCAUAUCAUGAUAAAUGUUUAUUAUUCAUGCUAGAAUUGUAUUAACCGGAAACAUGAUACAUGUGUGAAUACAUAGACAAAACUAUAGUCACUAGUAUGCCUCUACUUGACUAGCUCAUUAAUCAAAGAUGGUUAUGUUUCCUGACCAUAGACAUGUGUUGUCAUUUGAUUAGUGGGAUCACAUCAUUAAGAGAAUGAUGUGAUUGACAUGACCCAUUCUGUUAGCCUAGCACUUGAUCGUUUAGUAUACUGCUAUUGCUUUCUUCAUGACUUAUACAAAGUUCCUGCAACUAUGAGAUUGUGCAACUCCCGUUUACCAAAAGAACACUUUGUGUGCUACCAAACGUCACAACGUAACUGGGUGAUUAUAAAGGUUCUCUACAGGUGUUUCCGAAGGUACAUGUUGGGUUGGCAUAAUUCGAGAUUAGGAUUUGUCACUCCGAUUGUCGGAGAGGUAUCUUUGGGCCCUCUCGGUAAUACUCAUCACAUAAGCCUUGCAAGCAUGUAACUAAUGAGUUAGUUAUGAGAUGACGUAUUACGGAACGAGUAAAGAGACUUGCCGGUAACGAGAUUGAACUAGGUAUUGGAUACCAACGAUCAAAUCUCGGGCAAGUAACAUACCGAUGACAAAGGGAACAAAGUAUGUUGUUAUGCGGUUUGACCGAUAAAGAUCUUCAUAGAAUAUGUAGGAACCAAUAUGGGCAUCCAGGUCCCGCUAUUGGUUAUUGACCGAGAAUGGUUUUAGGUCAUGACUACAUAGUUCUCGAACCCGUAGGGUCCGCACGCUUAACGUUUCGAUGAUAGUUUUAUUAUGAGUUUAUAAGUUUUGAUGUACCGAAGUUUGUUCGGAGUCCCAGAUGUGAUCACAGACAUGACGAGGAGUCUUGGAAUGGUCGAGACAUAAAGAUUGAUAUAUUGGACGACUAUAUUCGGACACCGGAAAGGUUCCGGGAGUUUUCGGAGAAAACCGGAGUGCCGGGGGGGUUACCGGAACCCCCCGGGAGAGUUAAUGGGCCACAUGGGCCUAGGUGGGAAGAGAGAGGUGCGGCCAGGGUGGGCCGCGCGCCCCCUCUCCCUCUAGUUCGAAUUGGACUAGGAGGGGGGGCGGCGCCCCCCUUUCCUUCCCCCCCUCUCUUCCUUCCUUCCCCCUCCUAGUAGGAGUAGGAAAGGAGGAAUCCUACUCCUACUAGGAGGAGGAUUCCUCCUCCCUUGGAGCGCCCCAAGGGGCUGGCCGGCCUCCCCCUCCCUCCUUUAUAUACGAGGGCAGGGGGCACCCCAUAGACACACAAGUUGAACUACGGAUCGUUCCUUAGCCGUGUGCGGUGCCCCCUUCCACCAUAUUCCACCUCGGUCAUAUUGUCGCGAAGCUUAGGCGAAGCCCUGCGCCGGUAGAACAUCAAGAUCGUCACCACGCCGUCGUGCUGACGGAACUCUCCCUCGACACUCGGCUGGAUCGGAGUUCGAGGGACGUCAUCGAGCUGAACAUCUGCUGAACUCGGAGGCUCCGUACGUUAGGUGCUUGGAUCGGUCGGAUCGUGAAGACGUACGACUACAUCAACCGCGUUGUCAUAACGCUUCCGCUUACGGUCUACGAGGGUACGUGGACAUACACUCUCCCCUCUCGUUGCUAUUUCAUCACCAUGAUCUUGCUUGUGCGUAGGAAAAUUUUGAAAUUACUACGUUCCCCAACAUCUCUGCCUUCCACUGCAGCAAUUCCAGUACGGUACCGAGCUUUGUGUUGCCAUCUUCGCAAUUGGGGUACAACCCUUUUUUUUGGUCCUCUAGCAUGCGAUCGAACUUCAGCUUCUCCUUUUGACUUUUGCAUUGCGUCCUUGCAUCGACAAUGACCCGGCGGAGAUCAUCAUCAUCGGGCACAUCGUCUGGUUCCUCUUGAUCUUCAGCAGCUUCGCCUGUUGCAGCAUCAUCGUGCACAUCGUCUGGUUCCUCUUGAUCUUCAGGAGCAUCACCGUAUUCAGGGGCACAUAGUUGUCAUCGUACUCUUCUUCACCGUCUUCCAUCAUAACCCCUAUUUCUCCGUGCCUCAUCCAAACAUUAUAGUGUGGCAUGAAACCCUUGUAAAGCAGGUGGGUGUGGAGGAUUUUCCGGUCAGAGUAAGACUUCGUAUUCCCACAUAUAGGACAUGGACAACACAUAAAACCAUUCUGCUUGUUUGCCUCAGCCACUUCGAGAAAAUCAUGCACGCGCUUAAUGUACUCGGAGGUGUGUCUUGAACCGUACAUCCAUUGCCGGUUCAUCUGCGUGCAUUAUAUAAUGAAGUGACCAAAUUAAUAGAAGUUCAUCAUCACAUUAAAACCAAAGUACAUACAUAGUUCUCAUCUAACAACAUAAAGCUCUGCAGAGCAUCUAAAUUAAUUAAACCAUACACUGAAACUAUGUAAAACAUUUCAAUGCGAAAACAAAUGCAACCAUAAUCGCAACCAAUGUAACAACUGAUCCAACGGCAUAAUGAUACCAAGCCUCAGUAUGAAUGGCAUAUUUUCUAAUCUUUCUAAUCUUCAAGCGCAUUGCAUCCAUCUUGAUCUUGUGAUCAUCGACGACAUCCCCAACAUGCAACUCCAAUAUCAUCUUCUCCUCCUCAAUUUUUCUAAUUUUUUCCUUCAAGAAAUUGUUUUCUUCUUCAACUGAAUUUAACCUCUCGACAAUAGGGUCGGUUGGAAUUUCCGGUUCAACAACCUCCUAGAUAAAUAAAAUCUAUGUCACGUUGGUCGGCAUAAUUGUCAUAAACAAUAAAUGAACCAAUAGUUAUGAAAAGAUAAUAUAUACCACAUCCGAAUCAUAGACAGGACGAGGGCCGACGGGGGCGGAUACCAAAACCAUCGCACUAUAUAAGAUGCAAUAAUAAAAGUAAGAAAAUAAUACAAGUAUCUAUCUAAACAUACAAGUAAGAAUAUUUUUCCUUUCAGAAAGAAGAUAAGAACAAGAGGCUCACCACGGUGGUGCCGGCGAUGAGAUCGGCGCGGGUGAUCGACGACGAUGAAGACAAGGACGGGGCGUGACGGACCGCUAAACCUAGACAAAUAUUGAGGAAAAUGGAGCUUGGCGGUCGAGCUUGGAGGGGAGAAAGCUUAAGUAGUGUGGCUCGGGCAUUCCAUCGAACACCUCGUGUGCAUAGGAGGUGAGCUAGAGCACCACAAAGCUCUCCCCUCGCCGGCCACGAAAAACAGAGCACUGGGAGUGCUCUGCUCGCGAGCGGGGGGUAUAUAUAGGCACCACCAUUGGUCCCGGUUGGUCGCACGAACCGGGACUAAAGGUUGGCCUUUGGUCCCGGUUCGUGCCACCAACUGGGACCAAUGGUGGUGGGCCAGGAGCGAGGCCCAUUGGUCCCGGUUCGUCCCUCCAACCGGGACCAAAAGGUCCAGACAAACCGGGACCAAUGGCCCACGUGUUGGGUUUCGUAGUAAUUUCAAAAAAUUUCCUACGCACACGCAAGAUCAUGUGAUGCAUAGCAACGAGGGGAGAGUGUUGUCUACGUACCCAACGCAGACCGACUGCGGAAGCGAUGACACGACGUAGAGGAAGUAGUCGUACGUCUUCACGAUCCAACCGAUCAAGCACCGAAACUACGGCACCUCCGAGUUCGAGCACACGUUCAGCUCGAUGACGAUCCCCGGACUCCGAUCCAGCAAAGUGUCGGGGAAGAGUUCCGUCAGCACGACGGCGUGGUGACGAUCUUGAUGAACUACAGCAGCAGGGCUUCGCCUAAACUCCGCUACAGUAUUAUCGAGGUAUAUGGUGGCAGGGGCACCGCACACGGCUAAGGAAUAGAUCACGUGGAUCAACUUGUGUGUAUAGAGGUGCCCCCUGCCUCCGUAUAUAAAGGAGGAGAGGAGGGGAGGCUGGCCGGCCAAGGAGGGGAGGCGCAGGAGAGUCCUACUCCCUCUGGGAGUAGGAUUCCCCCCAAUCCUAGUCCAACUAGGAUUCCUCGGAGGGGAAGGGAGAGAGGGGGGCCGGCCACCUUCUCCUAGUCCUAAUAGGACUAGGGGAGGGGGAAGUGGCGCAGCCACCUUGGGCUGCCCCUUUCUCCUUUCCACUAAGGCCCAUGAAGGCCCAUAUGGCUCCCGGGGGGUUCCGGUAAUCCUCCCGGUACUCCGGUAAAAUCCCGAUUUCACCCGGAACACUUCCGAUGUCCAAACAUAGGCUUCCAAUAUAUCAAUCUUUAUGUCUCGACCGUUUCGAGACUCCUCGUCAUGUCCAUGAUCACAUCCGGGACUCCAAACAACCUUCGGUACAUCAAAAUGCAUAAACUCAUAAUGUAACUGUCAUCGUAACCUUAAGCGUGCGGACCCUACGGGUUCGAGAACAAUGUAGACAUGACCGAGACACGUCUCCGGUCAAUAACCAAUAGCGGGACCUGGAUGCCCAUAUUGGCUCCUACAUAUUCUACGAAGAUCUUUAUCGGUCAGACCGCAUAACAACAUACGUUGUUCCCUUUGUCAUCGGUACGUUACUUGCCCGAGAUUCGAUCGUCGGUAUCCAAUACCUAGUUCAAUCUCGUCACCGGCAAGUCUCUUUACUCGUUCUAUAAUGCAUCAUCCCGUAACCAACUCAUUGGUCACAUUGCUUGCAAGGCUUAUAAUGAUGUGCAUUACCGAGAGGGCCCAGAGAUACCUCUCCGACAAUCGGAGUGACAAAACCUAAUCUCGAAAUACGCCAACUCAACAUGUACCUUCGGAGACACCUGUAGUACUCCUUUAUAAUCACCCAGUUAAGUUGUGACGUUUGGUAGUACCCAAAGUGUUCCUCCGGUAAACGGGAGUUGCAUAAUCUCAUAGUUACAGGAACAUGUAUAAGUCAUGAAGAAAGCAAUAGCAACAUACUAAACGAUCAAGUGCUAAGCUAACGGAAUGGGUGAAGUCAAUCACAUCAUUCUCCUAAUGAUGUGACCCCGUUAAUCAAAUGACAACUCUUUUGUCCAUGGCUAGGAAACAUAACCAUCUUUGAUAAACGAGCUAGUCAAGUAGAGGCAUACUAGUGACACUAUGUUUGUCUAUGUAUUCACACAUGUAUUAUGUUUCUGGUUAAUACAAUUCUAGCAUGAAUAAUAAACAUUUAUCAUGAAAUAAGGAAAUAAAUAAUAACUUUAUUAUUGCCUCUAGGGCAUAUUUCCUUCAGUCUCCCACUUGCACUAGAGUCAAUAAUCUAGUUCACAUCGUCAUGUGAUUUAACAACAAUAUUCAUAUCUGUAUAUGAUUAACACCCAUAGUUCACAUUAUCAUGUGACCAACACCCAAAGGGUUUACUAGAGUAAAUAAUCUAGUUCACAUCUCUAUGUGAUUAACACCCAAAGAGUACUAAGGUGUGAUCAUGUUUUGCUCGUGAAAGAAGCUUAGUCAAUGGGUCUGUCACAUUCAGAGCCGUAUGCAUUUUGCAAAUAUUUUAUGUCUACAAUGCUCUGCACGGUGCUACUCUAGCAAUUGCUCCCACUUUCAAUAUGUAUCCAGAUUGAGACUUAGAGUCAUCUGGAUCGGUGUGAAAACUUGCACCGAGGUAACUUUUACGACGGGCUCUUUUAUCACCUCCAUAAUCGAGAAAUAUUUCCUUAGUCCUCACUAAGGAUAUUCUUGACCAAUGUCGAGUGAUCUACUCCUAGAUCACUAUUGUACUCCCUUGUCAAAUACUGAGCAAGGUAUACAAUAGUUCUGGUACAUAGCAUAGCAUACUUUAUAGAACCUAUGACUGAGGCAUAGGGAAUGACUUUUCAUUUUUUCUAUUUUCUGUUGUGGUCGGGAUUUGAGUCUUACUCAAUUUCAUACCUUUGCAACACAGGCAAGAACUCUUUCUUUGACUGUUCCAUUUUGAACUAUUUCAAAAUCUUGCCAAGGUAUGUACUCAUUGAAAAUCUUAUCAAGCGUCUUGAUCUAUCUCAAUAUAUCUUGAUGCUCAAUAUGUAAGUAGCUUUUACUGAGGUCUUUUCCUUUUAAAGAACUCCUUUAAAACACUCCUUUAUGCUUUGCAGAAAAAUUCUACAUCAUUUCUGAUCAACAAUAUGUCACUCGUAUAUACUAAUCAGAAAGGCUAUAGUGCUCCCACUCACUUUAUUGUAAAUACAGGCUUCUCAAAAAGUCUGUAUAAAACCAUAUGCUUUGAUCAACUCAUCAAAGCGUAUAUUCCAACUCCGAGAGGCUUGCACCAGUCCAUAGAUGGAUCGCUGGAGCUUGCACAUUUUUUUAGCACCUUUAGGAUUGACAAAACCUUCUGGUUGCAUCAUAUACAACUCUUCUUUAAUAAAUCCAUUAAGGAAUGCAGUUUUGAUAUCCAUUUGCCAGAUUUCAUAAAAUGUGGCAAUUGCUAACAUGAUUCAGACAGACUUAAGAAUCGAUACGAGUGAGAAAAUCUCAUCGUAUUCAACACCUUGAACUUGUUGAAAACCUUUCGCAACAAGUCGAGCUUGGUAGAUAGUAACACUACUAUCAGUGUCCGUCUUCCUCUUGAAGAUCCAUUCAUUUAACAUGGCUUGCUGAUCAUCGAGCAAGUCAAUCAAAGUCCAUACUUUGUUCUCAUACAUGGAUCAUAUCUCAGAUUUUAUGGCCUCGAGCCAUUUCGCGGAAUCUGGGCUCAUCAUCGCUUCUUCAUAGUUCGUAGGUUCAUCAUGAUCUAGUAUCAUGACUUCCAGAAUAGGAUUACCGUACCAUUCUGGUGCGGAUCUUACUCUGGUUGAUCUACGAGGUUCAUCAGUAUCUUGAUCUGAAGUUUCAUGAUCAUUAUCAUUGGCUUCCUCACUAACUGGUGUAGGUGUCACUGAAACAGUUUUCUGUGAUGAACUACUUUCCAGUAAGGGAGCAGGUACAGUUACCUCGUCAAGUUCUACUUUCCUCCCACUCACUUCUUUCGAGAGAAACUCCUUCUCUAGAAAGGAUCCAUUCUUAGCAACGAAUGUCUUGCCUUCGGAUCUGUGAUAGAAGGUGUACCCAAUAGUCUCCUUUGGGUAUCCUAUGAAGACACAUUUCUCCGAUUUGGGUUCGAGCUUAUCAGGUUGAAGCUUUUUCACAUAAGCAUCGCAGCCCCAAACUUUAAGAAACGACAACUUUGGUUUCUUGCCAAACCACAGUUCAUAAGGCGUCGUCUCAACGGAUUUUGAUGGUGCCCUAUUUAACGUGAAUGCGGCCGUCUCUAAAGCAUAUCCCCAAAAUGAUAGCGGUAAAUCAGUAAGAGACAUCAUAGAUCGCACCAUAUCUAGUAAAGUACGAUUACGAUGUUCGGACACACCAUUACGCUGUGGUGUUCCGGGUGGCGUGAGUUGCGAAACUAUUCCACAGUUUUUCAAAUGUACACCAAACUCGUAACUCAAAUAUUCUCCUCCACGAUCAGAUCGUAGAAACUUUAUUUUCUUGUUACGAUGAUUUUCAACUUCACUCUGAAAUUCUUUGAAAUUUUCAAAUGUUUCAGACUUAUGUUUCAUUAAGUAGAUAUACCCAUAUCUGCUUAAAUCAUCUGUGAAGGUGAGAAAAUAACGAUAUCCGCCACGAGCCUCAGUAUUCAUCGGGCCACAUACAUCGGUAUGUAUGAUUUCCAACAAAUCUGUUGCUCUCUCCAUAGUACCGGAGAACGGUGUUUUAGUCAUCUUGCCCAUGAGGCACGGUUCGCAAGUACCAAGUGAUUCAUAAUCAAGUGGUUCCAAAAGUCCAUCAGUAUGGAGUUUCUUCAUGCGCUUUAUACCGAUAUGACCUAAACGACAGUGCCACAAAUAAGUUGCACUUUCAUUAUCAACUCUGCAUCUUUUGGCUUCAACAUUAUGAAUAUGUGUAUUACUACUAUCGAGAUCCAACAAACCAUUUUCAUUGGGUGUAUGACCAUAGAAGGUUUUAUUCAUGUAAACAGAACAACAAUUAUUCUCUAACUUACAUGAAUAACCGUAUUGCAAUAAACAUGAUCAAAUCAUAUUCAUGCUCAACGCAAACACCAAAUAACACUUAUUUAGGUUUAACACUAAUCCCAAAAGUAUAGGGAGUGUGCGAUGAUGAUCAUAUCAAUCUUGGAACUAUUUCCAACACACAUCGUCACUUCACCCUUUAACUAGUCUCUGUUUAUUCUGCAACUCCCGUUUCGAGUUACUAAUCUUAGCAACUGAACUAAUAUCAAAUACUGAGGGGUUGCUAUAAACACUAGUAACGUACACAUCAAUAACAUGUAUAUCAAAUAUACUUAUGUUCACUUUGCCAUCCUUCUUAUCCGCCAAUCACUUGGGGUAGUACCUCUUCCAGUGACCAGUCUCUUUGAAGUAGAAGCACUUAGUCUCAGGCUUAGGACCAGACUUGGGUUUCUUCACUUGAGCAGCAACUUGCUUGCCGUUCUUCUUGAAGUUCCCUUUCUUUCCCUUUGCCCUUUUCUUGAAACUAGUGAUCUUGUUAACCAUCAACACUUGAUGCUCUUUCUUGAUUUCUACCUUCGUUGAUUUCAGCAUCAUGAAGAGCUUGGGAAUCGUUUUCGUCAUCCCUUGCAUACUAUAGUUCAUCACGAAGUUCUAGUAACUUAGUGAUGGUGACUAGAGAAUUCUGUCAAUCACUAUCUUACCUGGAAGAUUAACUCCCACUUGAUUCAAGCGAUUGAAAUACCCAGACAAUCUGAGCACAUGCUCACUAGUUGAGCGAUUCUCCUCCAUCUUUUAGCUAUAGAACUUGUUGGAGACUUCAUAUCUCUCAACUCGGGUAUUUGCUUGAAAUAUUAACUUCAAUUCCUGGAACAUCUCAUAUGGUCCAUGACGUUCAAAACGUCUUUGAAGUCCCGAUUCUAAGCCGUUAAGCAUGGUGCACUAAACUAUCAAGUAGUCAUCAUCUUGAGCUAGCCAGACGUUCAUAACUUCUGCAUCUGCUCCUGCAAUAGGUCUGUCACCUAGCGGUGCAUUAAGGACAUAAUUCUUCUGUGCAGCACUGAGGAUAAACCUCAGAUCACGGAUCGAAUCCGCAUCAUUGCUACUAACAUUUUUCAACACAAUAUUCUCUAGGAACAUAUCAAAAUAAACAUAUGAAAGCAACAACGCGAGCUAUUGAUCUACAACAUAAUUUGCAAAAUACUACUAGGACUAAGUUCAUGAUAAAUUAAAGUUCAAUUAAUCAUAUUACUUAAGAACUCCCACUUAGAUAGACAUCCCUCUAAUCCUCUAAGUGAUCACGUGAUCCAAAUCAACUAAACCAUGUCCGAUCAUCACGUGAGAUGGAGUAGUUUCAAUGGUGAACAUCACUAUGUUGAUCAUAUCUACUAUAUGAUUCACGCUCGACCUUUCGGUCUCUGUGUUCCGAGGCCAUAUCUGUAUAUGCUAGGCUCGUCAAGUAUAACCUGAGUAUUCCGCGCGUGCAACUGUUUUGCACCCGUUGUAUUUGAACGUAGAGCCUAUCACACCCGAUCAUCACGUGGUGUCUCAGCACGACGAACUUUGGCAACGGUGCAUACUCAGGGAGAACACUUCUUGAUAAUUUAGUGAGAGAUCAUCUUAUAAUGCUACCAUCAAUAAAAGCAAGAUAAGAUGCAUAAAAAGAUAAACAUCACAUGCAAUCAAUAUAAGUGAUAUGAUAUGGCCAUCAUCAUCGUGUGCUUGUGAUCUCCAUCUCCGAAGCACCGUCAUGAUCACCAUCGUCACCGGCGCGACACCUUGAUCUCCAUCGUAGCAUCGUUGUCGUCUCGCCAAUCUUAUGCUUCCACGACUAUCACUACUGUUUAGUAAUAAAGUAAAGCAUUACAUCGCGAUUGCAUUGCAUACAAUAAAGCGACAACCAUAUGGCUCCUGCCAGUUGCCGAUAACUCGGUUACAAAACAUGAUCAUCUCAUACAAUAAAAUUCAGCAUCAUGCCUUGACCAUAUCACAUCACAACAUGCCCUGCAAAAACAAGUUAGACGUCCUCUACUUUGUUGUUGCAUGUUUUACGUGGCUGCUACGGGCUUAAGUAAGAACCAAUCUCACCUACGCAUCAAAACCACAACGAUAGUUUGUCAAAUAGACUCCGUUUUAACCUUCUCAAGGACCGGGCGUAGCCAUACUCGGUUCAACUAAAGUUGGAGAGACAGUCGCCCGCAAGCCAUCCAUGUGCAAAGCACGUCGAGGGAACCGGUCUCGCGUAAGCGUACGCGUAAGGUUGGUCCAGGUCGUCUCGUCCAACAAUACCGCCGAACCAAAGUAUGACAUGCUGGUAGGCAGUAUGACUUGUAUCGUCCACAACUCACUUGUGUUCUACUCGUGCAUAUAACAUCAACAUAAAUAACCUAGGCUCGGAUGCCACUGUUGGGUUUCGUAGUAAUUUCAAAAAAUUUCCUACGCACACGCAAGAUCAUGUGAAGCAUAGCAACGAGGGGAGAGUGUUGUCUACGUACCCAACGCAGACCAACUGCGGAAGCGAUGACACGACGUAGAGGAAGUAGUCGUACGUCUUCACGAUCCAACCGAUCAAGCACCGAAACUACGGCACCUCCGAGUUCGAGCACACGUUCAGCUCGAUGACGAUCCCCGGACUCCGAUCCAGCAAAGUGUCGGGGAAGAGUUCCGUCAGCACGACGGCGUGGUGACGAUCUUGAUGAACUACAGCAGCAGGGCUUCGCCUAAACUCCACUACAGUAUUAUCGAGGUAUAUGGUGGCAGGGGGCACCGCACACGACUAAGGAAUAGAUCACGUGGAUCAACUUGUGUGUAUAGAGGUGCCCCCUGCCUCCGUAUAUAAAGGAGGAGAGGAGGGGAGGCUGGCCGGCCAAGGAGGGGAGGCGCAGGAGAGUCCUACUCCCUCUAGGAGUAGGAUUCCCCCCAAUCCUAGUCCAACUAGGAUUCCUCGGAGGGGAAGGGAGAGAGGGGGGCCCGCAGCCACCUUGGGCUGCCCCUUUCUCCUUUCCACUAAGGCCCAUGAAGGCCCAUAUGGCUCCCGGGGGGUUCCGGUAACCCUCCCGGUACUCCGGUAAAAUCCCGAUUUCACCCGGAACACUUCCGAUGUCCAAACAUAGGCUUCCAAUAUAUCAAUCUUUACGUCUUGACCAUUUUGAGACUCCUCGUCAUGUCCGUGAUCACAUCCGGGACUCCGAACAACCUUCGGUACAUCAAAAUGCAUAAACUCAUAAUGUAACUGUCAUCGUAACCUUAAGCGUGCGGACCCUACGGGUUCGAGAACAAUGUAGACAUGACCGAGACACGUCUCCGGUCAAUAACCAAUAGCGGGACCUGGAUGCCCAUAUUGGCUCCUACAUAUUCUACGAAGAUCUUUAUCGGUCAGACCGCAUAACAACAUACGUUGUUCCCUUUGUCAUCGGUAUGUUACUUGCCCGAGAUUCGAUCGUCGGUAUCCAAUACCUAGUUCAAUCUCGUCACCGGCAAGUCUCUUUACUCGUUCUAUAAUGCAUCAUCCCGUAACCAACUCAUUGGUCACAUUGCUUGCAAGGCUUAUAAUGAUGUGCAUUACCGAGAGGGCCCAGAGAUACCUCUCCGACAAUCGGAGUGACAAAACCUAAUCUCGAAAUACGCCAACUCAACAUGUACCUUCGGAGACACCUGUAGUACUCCUUUAUAAUCACCCAGUUACGUUGUGACGUUUGGUAGUACCCAAAGUGUUCCUCCGGUAAACGGGAGUUGCAUAAUCUCAUAGUUACAGAAACAUGUAUAAGUCAUGAAGAAAGCAAUAGCAACAUACUAAACGAUCAAGUGCUAAGCUAACGGAAUGGGUGAAGUCAAUCACAUCAUUCUCCUAAUGAUGCGACCCCGUUAAUCAAAUGACAACUCUUUUGUCCAUGGCUAGGAAACAUAACCAUCUUUGAUAAACGAGCUAGUCAAGUAGAGGCAUACUAGUGACACUAUGUUUGUCUAUGUAUUCACACAUGUAUUAUGUUUCCGGUUAAUACAAUUCUAGCAUGAAUAAUAAACAUUUAUCAUGAAAUAAGGAAAUAAAUAAUAACUUUAUUGUUGCCUCUAGGGCAUAUUUCCUUCACCACGUGGCCCGGCCGGCCCCCGGGGCUCAAGAACCAGGUCCAAUGCCCCCAUUGGUCCCGGUUUUGGAUUGAACCGGGACUAAUGGGCUGGACCGGCCUGGACCAUCGCCCCCUUUUCUACUAGUGUUAGUGCAUGGUGGUUAGUGAAGUUAGUGGAGCAUGGUGUGAGUGCGUGGGUCAUGGUUGAGUGCCAGACUUUGUAUAAAUUGUCAUUUGAGUCAAUGAGAAAAUGUAAGGCCGAGAGGGCCAGUGCAAAGAUGUAGCAUUUGUGGUAGCCAAGGGAGAUUAACUGGGCAAAGCUAUGUGUUCUUCCUUGGUCUAUGCGUGUGUGUGUUCUGUGUGUGUUCUCUCUCUGCGUCCUUGUGUUCAUGGGAGUGUUUUUGAGAGAAGCCAGAAGAGAGAGUUGUGAGAGGCAGCUCGAGGUAGAAGAAGGAGCGGUGCUGCUCCGAGAGGAGGCGGCGCCAACAAUUAUUGACGAAAGGGAUAUUAUAUUGCGCAAGGUAUAAUCAGACGCGUCGGGGAUGGAGCGACUACACACAUAUGGGAUCACAACUGGAUUAUGAGGGAAAGCUAUAAGAGGCCAAUAAAUAAGUUAGUGCAGAUCCCCCCUCAGAAACAUUUUAUGUAUACACGUUAACAUUUCCCAGAUAUAUGAUUAAUAUUUUUAGAAAACUUCUAUUUUUUAUGUGUACUUUUUAUACAUUUUGUAAUAUCAGAAAUAGUUUUUAUAGAAGGUUUAACAUUUUUCAAAUACAUGAUUACCUUUUUGUAAACUUAUAUUGUUUGACGUUUACUUUUUUCCAUAGACAUAGUGAGGGGUUAUAUCUAAGGAAUAGGCCCAAGUACAUGUAGGCACAACCAAAGGCCCAUGUUAAUCAAGGAUGUUCCACAAGACAAAUGGGAAAACACACCGGGGCUAAUGGAGCUACAAGGCCAAGGCAUCGGAUACAAGGGGAGAGUCAACUGUGUACAGUCAGAUUACACAACCCUUAACAGACAAGACUCAUCAGUUGGUCCACUAUAGGAAUCAGGUCAUUUGCCGUCAGCCGAGAACAGAUGCGAAGGCUUUGCCGUGAGCAAGUUGACGACAAACACAAUCAGCAAAGACUAUAUCAGCAAAGAGCUAAUUUGACGUCAACUUUUCAUCGCGCUGAUGACAAAGACUUUGCCGUCAAUUAAACUAUGUGUUUGUCGUCUGUAGAAAAAACACAAAUGGCAAAGAAAUUAAACAAAUGGUCAUUUUAUAAUAAUUUUUCGAAAUGUAUAUAGUGUAUUUUAAAAUGUUAAAUAUGUAUCAAGAAUUAUUUCAUAAAUAUACAGAAGAUGUACAACGUGUAUGAAAAUUAUGUAGACAUCAGAACAUAUUAUAGAAAUGUUAAUCUUGUAUUUAAAAAUGUUAAAUACACAUAAAUAAAAAUGUUUUUGAUGUACAUAAAAAAAUUGUACAUCGUGUGUGAACAAAGUAUGCAUUGAAAAAAAAAUCUUGUUGGAAAGAAAAUCUCGUGCUAUAUACGAAAAUGUAAAAGGUGUAUGAAAAUAAUUAGAUAUAUGCUUAACGAAAAAAAGGAAAGAAGGCGCAAAAAAAUCCGAUCAACACCAAGAUAGGAACAAGAAAACCUGAAGAAGACCAUUGAAAAAAAAGAAAAGAAUACAAGAAAGAGGAAAAAAAACAAAAAAAUGAAGAAGCUGAUGCAGAACAGGGAACUUGGUGAAAACGAAUAAAAAUUGAUGAAAACCGAGAAGAAAAACAAGAAAACUGAAGCAAAAAAAUAAUAAAAAUAUGUAAAAAAAUGAUGAAACAUUGCAAAACACUGAAAUACUAUGAAAACCAAAGGAAGAAAAGACUCAAAAAGAAGAACAUACAGCGAGCGAAUGAACAACAACUGAGUGAACGAGCGACCAUGCGAGAACACGUUAAUUGUCCGGCCCAUACUUGUGGACUCCAGAGGCGAGCCAGAAUAGGCGAGAUAUAGCUAUGACGAUUUGAUACCCUUCACAGCUUCACGAAUGCUAUAUCUCGCUCACAGCGAAAGUAUAUUUUGUCUGGCCUGAAGGUGCAAGAAUAGCAUCAGGUCGCUGUAAGGUUUGUGAUCCUACAAUGAGAGCUCCGAUAAGAUUAAAGUUCAUUUUUCUGACAACCUUUGGUCGUUCGUUCGCGCUCAGGUCGUCCGCUCACUCGAUUCCACGUACUAGUUUGGUUAUGUUGUUUUUUUCAUUUUGUUCUUUUUUUGUUUCUUCACUGGCUUUCUUUGGUUUUUAUAUCGGUUUUCUUUGUUUCCUUCACGUUUUAUUCCUGUUUUCCUUUUUACUGGUUUAUUUAUUCCUUUUUUUCUUUGUUUCUUUCUUGGUUUUCUUUGUUUUUCUUUCUUUUGAUGUCAAUCUUUUUACAUACGCAUUCAACAAUUUCCGUAUACAUCAGAAACAUUUUAUGUAUACACAUUAACAUUUCCCAGAUAUAUGAUUAAUAUUUUUGGAAAACCUCUAUUUUUUAUGUGUACUUUUUGAUACAUUUUGUAUAUAUCAGAAAUAUUUUUUUAGAAGGUUUAACAUUUUUUUAAAUACAUGAUUACCUUUUUGUAAACUUAUAUUGUUUGACGUUUAUUUUUUUCCAUAGACAUAGUGAGGGGUUAUAUCUAAGGAAUAGGCCCAAGUACAUAUAUGGCACAACCAAAGACCCAUGUUAAUCAAGGAUGUGGUCCACAAAACAAAUGGGGAAACACACGGGGGCCAAUGGAGCUACAAGGCCAAAGCAUCGGAUAUAAGGGGAGAAUAAGUGUGUACAGUCGGAUUACACAACACUUGACAGACAAGACUCAUUAGUUGGUCCACUAUAGGAAUCGAGUAAUUUGCCGUCAGCCGAGAACAGACUCGAAGUCUUUGCCGUCAGCAAGUUGAUGACAAACACAGUGAGCAAAGACUAUAUCGGCAAAGAGCUAAUUUGACGUUAACUUUUCAUCCGCUGAUGACAAAGACUUUGCCGUCAAUUAAACUAUGUGUUUGUCGUCUGUAGAAAAAACACAAAUGGCAAAGAAAAGCAUCUUUGCCAUCAGCAACUGAUUCACAUGUGUCGUCAGCCAGACUCGUCUUGUCACUAGCCUCAAACAUCACAGAUGGCAAAGAUUUUUUUUUAUUUUUAAAAUUCCGCGUCGACCACCCUAUCGCUCGUGCAGCCACCGCCUGGCCGCGCUCGCCUCCCUGCUCACAUGCCCUGCCAGCUUGCGCCGUUGCCAUCCGGCAGCGCUCGCCCGACCCUGCUCAUCGCCCGGCCGAGCUCGCCCGCCCUGCUCGGUCGCGUCGUCGGCAGCUGCCCUGCUUGCACACGUACCUGCCCAGCCUUGCUCAUACCGCCGGCCACCCUGCUCGCUAGAGAAAGGAAGGCGAGAGAGGAGGCUCGGGGGAGAAAGAAAAAACAAAGGAGAGAGAGAGGAUGCUACCACUGCCACAUCACCAAUACGCAUGAUCGAUCUGCAAGAUGUGCUCUCUCUUUUGCCGCCUCUGAUGGCAAAGUAUGUCUUUAUCGUCUAUAAUAAGAUUACAAACAGCAAAGUGAGCUCUUUGCCGUCUGUAAAAAAACGGACGACAAACAAACUUUGUUGUCAGCUGCCGACGGCAAAAAGUGCUCUUUACCGCAGCCUCGAUGAGAAGCUGAAGGCAAAGUGCCCCACAGACGGCAAAUUAGUUGAUUCCUGGGUGGUUAUGAGCAAGACAGGAGCAAUAACCCUAUCUACACUCGGUCAUCUGGAAGACAGGAGUAGUCGAACCAUCUAUAGUCGGCUACAUCUGAGGUUACCGUGACCCUUACGAUGCAUUCAUUAUCGCCGUUACUCAAUGGAGUAGUUAAAUACGUCAGUUAGCAAUAAUAAUAGCCACGAACAGUCAAUCAUGCAUGUGACCAUCAAUAGCAUUUAUACCAACCCAUUACGGCACUUCCUCCUAGCACACUCUAUAUAAGCCAGGAGUAGGACAUGAGAGUGAGGGAUGAACUCUCUCACAGUAUAACCUACGCCAAGAGCAGGAACACCACAUGAAUAGAGAUUACCUCCACCAACGUACUCCCAUCCGUUUUAUGUACCGAUCAAUGUAUAUAAUGGCUUCUACAUUCACAUCCCGUAGUAUUGUCAGGAUUAUAUCCACGACAGAAACUAUAUUUUGUUAUACAUCAAGAACAUUUUAUAUAUAAAUAUUUACAAUUUUUUAAAUACAUGAUUAAUAUUUUUUCAAACAUAUAUUUUGUAUGUCUCCUUUUCAUAAUCUUUGAUCCCUGGAAGUUUCAGAUUUUUUCCGAUUUGUUCUCAUUUUUUUAUGAAUUUACUGUUCAUGAGGGUGUAGGGGCACCCAGGAGCUGUUAGGCAUAAUAUUUCUGCUGUUGUUGUCAUCAUCAAGGGGAAUGAGAAGGGUUGAAGUUUUCGUUUUCUUUGAGGGGGAAAUCAGAGUUGGGGGCUGGAAGUGAGUGAUUAGGCCCAACAUAAGCGCUGUGUGUGUGUGUCUCGUCACGGGCACCAAAUUCGAACUGGGCUAUUGUUUUCUGAGAACCCAACGUCACAAGCCCAACCAACAGUCUGCCGAUCUGCAUCUUCCUCUCCUUGUCCAUCCUCCUCGUUGGCCGGACCGCCUCGAGCCACGGCCGCUCCCUGGCGCAGCGUCCUCCCCUUCCUCUCCACCCCCAAAUUCUCUUGUAUCCUCUUCUGAUCUCCUUCCUUACUUCCUCUCGCUGAUGGUCUCCACAAGAAGGUCUCCGAGCUCCUCGGAGGGUUCCGGCUGUACGUCGACGCAGCCUCUCCGACCUCCCCAUGAACAUGAGCUAUCGACCCUGAAAGCCUGUCUCUUCCAUGAUUCGAUUCACAUGAAUUCACGAGCCGCAUGAAUCAUGAAGGUCAUGGAGCAGAAUUCAGUCGUGUAGCCUGACAGUGAUGUACAUUUGUGGCUUUUCUGGCUAAAUAGCUCUGUACCCUAUGUGGAUGCCACUUCAAAUAAUCGUCAAAAUAAUUCUCCUGCACGCGUUAUACAAAUGGCGAAGAAGAAGUUCGCGUGGAACAUUUCGUUUCUUAUUGAUGUCCGAGAGAAAAGCUCCUAGGAAGUUCAUCCGCUCGGUGGAUUAUAAGUUUAAGUUUGUUACAACAUCCAAUCAUCCAUAUAAUCUCUGUGUUUCUUCUGUUUUCUACCAGUCAUAUAUCAUAUGUGCAUCAGAGGAAAAAUGCUUUCAGCAGUCAUGUUGGAGCGCGCAUACCAAGUUCCCACAUUGCAAAUAUGAUCCUAGCCAUUAAUAUGUUUCAUUCCACAUUUUCUUGAUCUAAUUUCUAAAUGAUUGGACAACCUGUUAUAGUCUUAUAGAAUUAUGAGCCGCCAAAUCCACAUUUCUCUUGGUCUAAUUUCUAAAUGAUAAUGUGCAGCAUCUAUCUCCUGGUGAACCUUUUUUUCUUGCGACUGUAUCUCCUGAUGAACCUAGUUUUCUCUAGGUAGCACAAUAAUUGUACUGGUUUGAUGUAAAGGACAUAAAUACAAGGGAAUAAAUUGGAAGCUUAUUUCAAAUUAACUAGCUAGUGGUGUUUGUGAAGUUCAAGAAAAAGCUGGUCUUUUUCUCGACAAAUAAUUUAACAUGCAAAGAAUCAAUAAAUGUAUUUGCAAGAAAGCAAACAUAAUUAACGAUAAAACUGGUUUAUUGUCACUGUAGACAACGGUAGUAGUUGGAACUAGAUACAAACCAAUAAAAAACAAGAUCUCAAAUCUCCAACCAAUAAAGAGUUCAACCCAAAUUUUACAGUAACACCAUUAUAUUCAAAUAGUGAUUAUUCCAACACAUGGAUAAUUAAUUAAGGCACCAGGUUGCCCUUGUGACUAGGAAAGACAAACUUAUGAACUUGCAAGCAUGGCAAUCAGAUCGACAUCCACACAAUGCCAAUAUGAACAUUGUCUUGAUACAACUUUAUUUUUAUUUUAUUUCAGAAUUUAAACAACUAGUAUGGGCGGGUCACACACGACAUUGUGUGACACUUUAUUUGUCACCGCUGCAUCGACAUAUCCAUCGACUAAACAACGGUGAUCCAACUAUAUAUUACUAGAGACCUUUCCUUAUUAGUAGGAACCAACUCCGGUGCCAACACCGAAUGGCACACUAGUGGUGGUUCUAUACAACGGCACAUUGACACGGCACAUCGUUGGCAGGGUACGGAGCGCAAUGGAAGUCAUCACCUCAAGCUGAGCUAUCUGGUGUGGCUGCAAAAAGGUACCUUGUGCCAAUUGUUGUUGUUGAGGUUGUUGCCCGAGUUGUUGUUGUGACUGCUGUUGGGGUUGGGAAACACAUUGGCCCAACUGUUGGGGUUGCUGCUGAGGAGUUUGGAUGGAACCCUGAACCUGUUGUUGUUCUUGCAGGAUGAUGGAGUAGAUGAUAGCACGGAUUGCCUCAUAGCGGGAUUGCUGGGGGAUUUGCGGCAACUGCUGGCAACAUUGUUGUUGCAUCACAUGGCAACUGCUCUGCUGCAACAUUUGCGACCUAGCAAGACUUUGUGGCAUUGCCACAGGGCUGCAUUGCUGCUGGAGGAAUACCUUGCAUGGGUUUAGCUGCUGCAAGAUAGAUGGAUGAACAAAUGGUAUUUGUUGUUGCGGUAGAACUAGUUGUUGUUGUUGCUGCGAAAAUGGUGGUUGUUGCGGUAGACUUGGUUGUUGUUGUUGCAAAAAUGGUGGUUGUUGCUGUAGUACUAUUUGUUGUUGUUGCGAAAACGGUGAUUGUUGCUGUGAAAAUGGUGGUAGUUGUUGCUGUGAAAAUGAUGGUUGUUGCGGUAGAACUGGUUGUUGUUGCUGCGAAAAUGGUGGUUGUUGUUGUGAAAAUGGUGGUUGUUGUUGCUGCGAAAAUGGUGGUUGUUGUUGUGAAAANNNNNNNNNNNNNNNNNNNNNNNNNNNNNNNNNNNNNNNNNNNNNNNNNNNNNNNNNNNNNNNNNNNNNNNNNNNNNNNNNNNNNNNNNNNNNNNNNNNNNNNNNNNNNNNNNNNNNNNNNNNNNNNNNNNNNNNNNNNNNNNNNNNNNNNNNNNNNNNNNNNNNNNNNNNNNNNNNNNNNNNNNNNNNNNNNNNNNNNNNNNNUGGUUGUUGUUGCUGCGAUAAUGGUUGUUGUUGUUGCUGCGAAAAUGGUGGUUGUUGUUGUGAAAAUGGUGGUUGUUGUUGCUGCGAUAAUGGUUGUUGUUGUUGUUGCUGUGAACAUGGUUGCUGUUGUGAAAAUGGUUGUGGUUGUUGUUGGAUGGGUUGUUGUUGUUGGUGGUGCGAUAAUGUUUGUUGUGGUGGUAAUGGUUGUUGCUGCGAUGGUCUCUCCAAACCAGGGAUGUGGCUAUUCUCCAUUUGUGCAAUGGCACUUGUCGCCACAAUGGCGAGGAGAGCAAAGAUGAGGAAGGUCUUCAUGGUGGAUUGGUGUUAACCAGUGUUGCUUGGUUUUGAUGCUUGUGCUUGUGAUGAUCUUUAUACUUCAUGCCUAUUUAUAGUAGCCCGGGCACCACCUCUUUUCUUCUUUGCAUUAGCUUUAAUAAUUCUGUUUGGAUGCAUCUAAAAUGAUUUUUGGUACAAUGUGUUAGGUUGCACUAGCUACACGCGUACUUUUGGAUUGAUCAUCAAAGUUGCUUUUUAGUUGUGCAUAUGAUCACACACAAAGUACAGAAACCUUGAUGUUUGGUACAUAUGACUCACCUUAUUCACUUUACAUGUCACACACUUAUCUGGAUAGUAUCACUUUUGCAACCGAGUUUGGAACCUUGUAUAGGCUGUCAUCCAUAAACAAGAAAGGCAAAACUUGUGUAGGACUAAGUUUGCAAUCGGAGGGUUCUUCUAGACUCGAUUUCUUUUCGUAAAACUAACUUUGUAUUUUUCCUCUAAGAUGAUAAGAUGAACCGACGCCUAUAGAGCAUGACAUGACUCAUCGAAUUCCCUUUACAUGUAAAGGAUGGUAAUUGCUUACAAGCUACUCCUACUAGCAUAUAUCCGGUUCCAAGCCUAGACACGUCAUCAUCAGUUUCGUCUAUUUUUUUAGAUAAAUCAUCAGUUCUAUCUAUUUGUGAAGGGUUUUUUUGGGGGGAAAUGAUAGUUUUUUUAUGCUAGGGGGGUUUUUUNNNNNNNNNNNNNNNNNNNNNNNNNNNNNNNNNNNNNNNNNNNNNNNNNNNNNNNNNNNNNNNNNNNNNNNNNNNNNNNNNNNNNNNNNNNNNNNNNNNNNNNNNNNNNNNNNNNNNNNNNNNNNNNNNNNNNNNNNNNNNNNNNNNNNNNNNNNNNNNNNNNNNNNNNNNNNNNNNNNNNNNNNNNNNNNNNNNNNNNNNNNNNNNNNNNNNNNNNNNNNNNNNNNNNNNNNNNNNNNNNNNNNNNNNNNNNNNNNNNNNNNNNNNNNNNNNNNNNNNNNNNNNNNNNNNNNNNNNNNNNNNNNNNNNNNNNNNNNNNNNNNNNNNNNNNNNNNNNNNNNNNNNNNNNNNNNNNNNNNNNNNNNNNNNNNNNNNNNNNNNNNNNNNNNNNNNNNNNNNNNNNNNNNNNNNNNNNNNNNNNNNNNNNNNNNNNNNNNNNNNNNNNNNNNNNNNNNNNNNNNNNNNNNNNNNNNNNNNNNNNNNNNNNNNNNNNNNNNNNNNNNNNNNNNNNNNNNNNNNNNNNNNNNNNNNNNNNNNNNNNNNNNNNNNNNNNNNNNNNNNNNNNNNNNNNNNNNNNNNNNNNNNNNNNNNNNNNNNNNNNNNNNNNNNNNNNNNGCCGCCACCGCUCGACAAAAAAGGUCACUUUUGUAGCUCCCCCGUCGAUUGCGGGCCGUACGUCGACGGCAGCCACUCCGACCUCCCCGUCAACACAAGGUAUCGAUCUGUUUCGUCUGUCUCUUCCAGCGAUUCAAUGCACAUAAAUCCGAGAGGCAGACCCAUCUCCAUGCUAGCUGCACGGAUCAGGAGGGUCAGGCAUCAGAAUUCAGCUGGGAAGCCUGACACUAAUGUACAUUUGUGGCUUUAGUAGCUGAAUAUAACUAUGUGUUUUCUGAGAAUUUCACUUCAAAAGUUCCAAUAAUCAUCAAAUUUCCGCCUAUGCGCGCUAAGCAGGUGGACCAUAUAUUUCUCAUGUCGACGAACGAAAAAACAAAACUCCACAACUAGAAGUCUAUGAUAUUGACACGGAACCGUGCUGUAGGGUCGCAAGUAAAAAUAUGAAAAGCAUGCCUAACACUACUAGGAAAAGGGCUAUAGAUGGAAUUGACACUAAUGACGCACCAGACAUGUGGUGCGCCAUUAGUAUAUACUAAUGGCGCACCAUCUUCUGAUGCGCCAUUAGUGUUGAAAUUACUAAUGGCGCACCCUGCCCACGGUGCGCCAUUAGUACCAAUUUUUUUUUGAACUAGUGCGCCUGUCCAAACAUACUAAUGGCGCAUCCGCUGGUGGUGCGCCAUUACUAGUUGUAACUAGUAAUGGUGCACCAGCCAGAGGGUGCGCCACUAAAGUUAUUUUUUUUAUUAUUGUUUUUAUUCCUUUUUUUGCAAAAGUACUAAUGGCGCACUCACACGCGGUGCGCCAUUACUAGUUCAAACUAGUAAUGGCGCACCGUGGCAGAGUGCGCCAUUAGUAUGUUUUUUUUUCAAAACUACUAAUGGCGCACCACCUGGUGGUGCGCCAUUAGUAACCUGGAUUACUAAUGGCGCAUUUGUUGCUGGUGCGCCAUUAGUAAGUGGGCAGCAACAAGAUAUUUUGGACAGCCUCUCCUCCCACACUCACUUUCUCCCCAUUUCAUUCUCUCCACCGCCUCCUCAUGUCUCGGGUGCCUCCUCUUUUUCACCUCAUUUCCACCAUAGAUUCAUUCAAAUUAAGUGGUUAAGUUACCUUGUUUUGCUAGGUAAGUAAGGGGGGAAGCUAUAUUUAUGUUGUUCUCCCUACAACAGUGUGCACAUGCACUUUUUAUGGCCUAGCUAGAUCUAUGUAUGUUCGUGGUGUUGCAUAUGUUUGUGGUGUUGCAUAUGUGUUUGUGUUUGAAGGUGUACCGGUAUUUGAAAUGCGAUAGUUGCCAAUAUUUUGCCGGAAUGUUGAUUCAUUUCCGUUUCGGCGAGAAUUUUGGCAUUAAGCAUUCUUUUUGGUCCUAUUUUUAGGGAAAGUCAUGCCAAAUUUUUUCUUGGUUCUAAAAUAUCGUUUUGCUCUACCCCGCAGGCGACCAUGGUCCGCACGAUGACCGAAGGCAUCGUGAAUAGGUUUUUGAGGUCCACGAAGGCCGAGAUGCUUCAAAAGAACGAGACGGAGAUAAGAUGUCCGUGUCGAAGAUGCAAGCUGAAUAGCCUUAUUGCGGACCCGGAUUCCGGGCAGGUGCGGGACCACCUGCUCUUGCGUGGUUUCAUGGAUGGCUGUCGGUGGCAAGGUGAUGAAGAUGACUACGAAGUCGUCCAUGGGGGCCGGGCAAGAAAUGAGGAAGGGCAGCAAGACAACCACCGCGGCUCGGGGGGGCGAGAAGAAGAAGAAUCCCCAGGAGAUGAUCACGACGGUGAUGUUGUACACAGUCAUCAUGUAGAAGAUGCAGGACAUGAUGAUGAUGCCGGCGGAGCAGACGACGCUGGACCAUCGAUGGGCUGGGUGCAGGACCCUCAUAUUCAAGAGCUGCUUCUCAAGCAGACGGAUAACGCAAGAGCUGCCGCCCGAGAGAAAGCCAAGAUGGAUCAACUUGAGUUAGACGCGGUUACUCCAUUGUAUGAAGGAUGCAGGCCCGAGGAUACCCGCCUGAAAGUAACACUCAUGGCUCUGGAGAUGAAGGUAAAACACAAAAUGACCGACGCAUGCUUCGACGAGAACAUGUCAUUCUGGCACGAACGUCUUCCCAAAGGGAACAAGUGCCCGACCAGUUUGGAGGAGGCGAAGAAAAUCGUGUGUCCUCUGGAUUUACCGCACGUGAAAUACCAUGUGUGCAUGAACAAUUGCAUCAUUUAUCGGGACGAGCACGCGGAGUCUACCAUAUGUCCGGUGUGCGGUGUCACUCGAUACAAGAAGGGGAAGAAAGCUCCUCGAAAAGUGGUGUGGUACUUUCCGAUCACUCCUCGUCUGCAGCGGUAUUUCGCGGACCCUAAGGUAGCAAAGCUCCUGCGUUGGCACGCGGAUAGGGAGGAGAAGAAGCGAGAAGAUGACGCAAAUGAUACGGAGAUAGAUAAAAAAGACAAGAUGCUGAGUCACCCUAAGGAUGCGAGCCAGUGGCAAGCGUUGAACUUCGAAUAACCAGAAUUUGGGAACGAUCCAAGGAACAUCGUGCUGGGCGCGAGCACCGGUGGAGUCAAUCCGUUUGGCAGCCAGAGAAGCACACAUAGCACCUGGCCUGUGUUUGUGUGGAUGUACAACCUUCCCCCCUGGUUGUGCAUGAAGAGGAAGUACAUUCACAUGAGUAUGCUAAUUGAAGGGCCGAAACAACCAGGGAACGACAUCAAUCUGUAUCUGGGGCUGCUGAAAGAGGAGCUUGACACGCUGUGGAAAACGCCCACCAAUACGUGGGACGCCGCAGAGAAAGAAUAUUUCCCUAUGAGAGCCGCACUGCUCACGACGGUGCACGACUAUCUCGGUUACGGAUAUCUUGCGGGGCAGGUAGUCCACGGAUUUUCUGGAUGCGUAAGGUGCAUGGAUGACACAACGUAUCGCCAGCUAGAUAGAGACGAUGACCCGUGGAGGAAACGCAAGGAUCUGUUCGAUGGUGAAACCAAACCCCGAAAACGCCCGUGUACGAGGAGCGGCGAGGAAAUAGACAAGCUGUUGAAAAAUCGGAAAGACUGCCCACUGCCGGGAAAGAAGCAAAAGGUGCCAGAGCCGGGAAAGAAGCGAAAGGCGCCAGAGCCGCUGCUGAAGCUAUGGAAAACGAGGUCUGUUUUCUGGGACUUGCCGUACUGGAAGAUCCACCGUGUGCCUCACAGCCUUGAUGUCAUGCAUAUCACGAAGAACGUGUGCGAGAGUCUGCUUGGUACCCUGCUCAACAUGCCAGAGAGGACCAAAGAUGGGCCGAAAGCGAGGGCAGACUUGAAAUCAAUGGGCAUCAGGCAGGAGCUUCACGCUAUAUAUGAUGAUGAUGAUGAUGAUGAUGAUGAUGAUGAGGCGAAGCAGGACACAGAAAGUCGUCGCAAAGGCAAAAAGGCCAAGAAGACCGGAAAUGACUACCCUCCCGCGUGCUUCACUCUAAGUCAGGAGGAGAUCGAGCAGUUUUUCACCUGCCUCCUAGGAGUAAAACUUCCUUACGGUUACGCGGGGAAGAUAAGCAGAUACCUAGACCCAGCGAAGCAGAAGUUCAGCGGGAUGAAGUCUCACGAUUGUCACAUGCUGAUGACGCAGAUACUUCCAGUUGCAAUCCGUGGGAUCAUGGACGCGCACGUCCGUGAAACGCUAUUUGGCCUAUGCAACUUCUUCGACGUCAUCUCUCAGAAGUCGAUUGGCAUGAGGCAACUCAGAAGGCUACAGGAAGAGAUCGUGGUGAUACUAUGCGAGCUUGAGAUGUACUUCCCGCCCGCAUUCUUCGAUGUUAUGGUGCAUCUGCUGGUCCAUAUAGUGGGGGAUAUCAUCCAACUCGGGCCGAUGUUCCUGCACAGCAUGAUGCCGUUCGAAAGGAUGAAUGGUGUCAUCAAAGGAUACGUUCGCAACAUGUCACGUCCAGAAGGAAGCAUAGCCAGGGGCUUUCUGACCGAAGAGUGCAUCUACUAGUGCGCGAAUUAUCUAGGCAUCGAGAACCCCGUUGGUCUGCCCGUCAACAGGCACCUCGGCAGGCUCGCUGGAUGGGGUCACCGUGAGGGUCGCCGCGAAAUGCAUGUCGACUUCGAGGGUCGACUCGCCGACUUUGAAAGAGCAAACCUAGUCGCGCUACAACACAUAGACGUGGUCGAUGCUUGGGUGGUAGAGCACAAAACCUUUAUUAAGAAGACGUACAAUGACCGAGGCCAACAGAGGACGGACGGAGAUAUACUCAAAGAGCACAACUCAUGUUUCACGCGUUGGUUCAAGCAGAAGCUUCUGUCGUACCCUUUACAUGAGGAUUCUUCCGCGGAAGAACAACUCAUAUUCGCCUUGUCACAGGGCGCCGAGCACAACCUGAUGACCUAUGAGGCGUACGAUAUCAACGGCUACACAUUCUACACCGAGGCCAAGGACAUGAAGAGCGAUGGUUAUCAGAACUCCGGGGUAACGAUGGAAUCCUACACCGGUAACGACAAGGACAGAUACUACGGAAGGAUCGAGGAGAUCUGGGAGCUGAGCUAUGCUGGAGAGAAGGUCCCGAUGUUCCGUGUCAGAUGGGCCAAGAACGUCAUAAAAGAAGACCGGUAUUUCACCACCAUGGUUAUACCCGGAGCCAAAUCCAAGACCGCGAGCGCAAACGUCACCGCGAAAAAUGAGCCAUGGGUACUGGCUUCCCAAGUGGACCAAUGCUUCUUCAUUACCGACCCGCCAAAGCCCAGUCGUGUUGUCGUGAGGAGAGGCAAAAGGAAGAUCAUCGGAAUGGAUGGAGUAGCCAAUGAGCAAGACUUCGACAAGUACGGCGACCCGAGGAUCGAACAUGACGACGAUGAUGAAGUAGCAGCAUACACCACAAGAAGAAGCAGGACCACCCUACCUAAAGGACGUCCGUUCCACAGAAGAACUCCAUUUGCGAAAAAGAAGGGCAAGAAGAUUGUGAACAGAUAGCUAGCUAAGAUCGAUUGUAUUUAAAUCGUAGCCUUCAUUUCUCGAUUGUAUUUCAUGGGUACUUUUUGAACUAUCAUGAAUAUUUUUAAAUUUAAUGGACACUCGAUCUCGAUCCCCCUCCAUCUCGAUCGCUAUCCCACCUCGCCAGAUCCGGUCCCCCUCGCCGCCAAGCACCCCCCCAGCCCACCGGCCGCCGCCGCCGACCCCCCGCACCCUCGAUUCCCCUACCCAACCGCCGCCGCCGACCCACCGCACCCCGCGCACCCUCCCCUGCUCCACCAGCAUUACUGUUUGAUGAUAUUUUUAAAAAAAUUAUUAUUGUCUUAUAAAAAAAUAUUACUGUUAUGAUUUAAACAAGUUUGAACAUAUUUAAACACAAAUAAGUAUCAAACAGGUUUUUAAAUGCUAAAAAAAAUUUGUGGAGCCUGGGAGUCGAACCCAGGACCUCCUGGUGUGAGAACUGGCUGCUGACCAGUCGAGCUAGUAGAGGGGACUUGAUGUGGAUCAAUUCUGGUGGUACAUAACCUGUUGGCUCGAGUUGAAAUAAAAAAAAUACUAAUGGCGCACCACGGUGAGGUGCGCCAUUAGUAUGGAUGUACUUAUGGCGCACCGAGGGGUGGUGCGCCAUUAGUAUUGUGCCCGAUCCCUUCCCUCUCCCCCUUCGCCCGAUCCCCCCUUCCCUCUCCCCCUUGCCAGUUCCCUCUCCCUCGAUCCACCGCCGCCGCCGCCGCUGCCCUGACCCACUGCGCCGCAGCCGCCCACGCGCCCCCGCCGCCUCCCUCUCCCCUUCCUCCCCCUCGAGCCCGCGCCGUCCGCCCAAACCUAACCCGACGCCGUCCGCCGCGCCCGCUCCACCGCCGCCGCCCUGCCUCUCCGCCCUCUCCCUCCCUCNNNNNNNNNNNNNNNNNNNNNNNNNNNNNNNNNNNNNNNNNNNNNNNNNNNNNNNNNNNNNNNNNNNNNNNNNNNNNNNNNNNNNNNNNNNNNNNNNNNNNNNNNNNNNNNNNNNNNNNNNNNNNNNNNNNNNNNNNNNNNNNNNNNNNNCGUCGCCCCGCCGCCCCGACACCACCGUCCGUCGCCCCGCCGCCCCGCCGCCCCUCUCGCAGCAAGGUAUGCGGCUGGUUCGUCCCCUGUCAUGGUUCUCUCUUCGUUUAUUUUCCUGAAAUCUCUGCUGUUCAUUGGCCGAUGAUGUCUUACAAGUAAAAUAUCUGGCAAACUUGUGCUGUAAACUGUACAUUGCUGAGGCUGUGGGCAACCUGUUCUUCUCUUUGCCAUACUAGUGCUUUUGUUCAUUGGCCGAUGAUGUCUCUGUUGGUUUACGUCCCCGGCAAAUUAGGUACCCGUGAACCAUUUAUAGGCCCAACUUUCUUACUCUCAAUGACCACAAUGUGCUUAUUUUGUUAGGAUUGUGCAUUUGCGCGAUUUGUGCAGUGCUUAUUUGUUGGCACCUCACCAGCUUUCAAAUUCAGCAUUUGUAACACAGUUCAAUUUGAUCUAAGGGCCUAUCUUGUCUCAUUUCCAACAUGUAAUAAACUUCCCCCGAGGCCAUAGAUGAGAAUACUUCUUUCAGUACAUUUUGCUGAUUUCUCACUGUUGAAUACUUCAUUUCUGUUUGCCUUUGGCCAAAGAUGCAUUCAGUUCUUUCUGCCCUUAGCGGUUUGAUUCAAGUUUGUCAGGUUCUGUUAACUAAAAAGGUUCAGAUUCAGAAACAUUGUUGGACUACUAGGAAGUUGGACUACUAGGAACAUGUUUAGAUUCAGGUUCUGUUAACUAAAAAAGUUCAGGUUCUGUUAACUAAAAAAGUUCAGAUUCAGAAACCUGUAAUUUCUACUUUUAUGCCUCUGUUACUCCAGUCAAAAUUUUAUGUUUGAUGCCCAUGGUAGUUGAGCUCUCACCUCACCUCACGCAACAUGCAUGAUGCCACAAUGUCUAGUAUGUACUGCCAAGCAACUGGCAAAUAAUUAUAACUUAGAAUAAAUAAAUCUGAUGUAAGAUAAGCAUGGCAUGAGCUUUAAUUAAAUAGCAUAAUACACGUUGGUAGUCCAUCUCUCUCAAAAAAAAUACAUGUUGGUAGCAGAAAAAAAUACAUGUUGGUAGCAGAAAUUUUUUUGAGCCCUUAUUAGCUACUCACACUAUUUGCCCCGCAGUUUCUCUGUCAUGGCUACCAAGUGAUUGACGGUGGGCUAGAAAAAUAAAACCACCAAACUAUCAGUAAAAGAUGUGAACCAACAUCUUUCAUUGUUAUGCAUAUCAAACACCAAGGGUUAUUUUCACUUAAAGUUUUAGAAUGGGUGCAUUACAAUUCAGUCUGAUAUCUAAUAAGACACUCUGGGCUGAUAUAAUUAUGGAACAGAACCAACCAUGAUAAAUAAAAGGUGAUGUUGUCUAUGCAUUACCAAAAAUGUAUCUUUGUGAACAAAUAAAUUGGUACCAACAGCAAUGCCAUCUUACUGUAGAAUUAGAAUACAUGGACAUGAUCAGCUCAGCUCCCAAACUGCCAUUCAUCACAUCAAUUUCCCCUUAUGUAACUCCAGUCAAAAUUUUAUGUUGGUCUACCUAGUAGAUGCCCAUGGUUUGAUUUUAUGUUUGUUCCUAUCAAUACAAAUGCUGAGCUAUGUUCCAUUUUUACUGUUCUUUGUGAUAGUUUUUGCAACUUUACUUCCCAUCUUAAGGCAAGCCCCAUUUUUACUGUUCUUUGUUAGCAGAGCUGCUUGUUUCUAAGAACUUUGAUACUAUUUGGAUCAAAGUUAAAUGAGCACAUAGAUGACAAAAAAAAGUUCAGAUUGUAAAAUGUUCAUUUUGCUGCUAGUGCCCAUUUUGAGUAAUUGCUUAGAGGGAUGAUCCUGUGUGAGCUGGUGGAGUGAUUUGUUUUCUACAUAAAGCUCUUUAGUCAGGCUGGUUUUCGUGAAAUACACAUGAAGCUUCACCAGCUCCUGUGGGUGUGGGAUCCAUGUGACAUGUGACAUUGCAUCCAUGUCCACCUGGGAUAAUGAUUUUGCAUGUACCCCGAGAGGCCCUUAAGUUUGCCGGAAUGUCGAUUAACUUCCGUUCCGGCAAAUUCGGGUACUCCAUAUGUCCUAUUUUCAGCAAAGGUCAUGCUGAAAUUUUCCGUGAAUUUUAGCAUGACUUUGCAAAAAAUAGGACAUAUGGGGUACUUGUGACUAAUGCAUGGGCCGGGGUAUCAUAGUAGUUAAUUAAGUAGGAUCAAGUGCCCCGGCGUACUUGUGACUGAUGCAUGGCUUUUAGGGUGCCUCGGUGUUGAUAAAAACCGAAAUGAUGAAAGCUUAGGCUUUUAGGGUGCCUCGGCGUCGAAAAACCCUCAAUGAUAAAAGCUUAGGUCUUAGGAUGCCUCGGUGUCGACAAACCCUAAAUGAUGAGACCAUGUCUUGUUCCUUGACAAUAACCAACUUUUUGACCAAACUUUGUUUCUAUUUAGAGAGAAACAUGGCCCACAACGAUGAGGCCGGGGGUUCGGGCGGCAAGGCAUUCUGGGAGCUGUCCCAGGAGAUGGAGGAACAACCUCACUUGUAUGAGGCCGCCGCCUUCCCCACCGAUCCUGAGACCACUGAUGGUGCCGCCGAGGAUGACCACACUGAUGCCACCACUGAUGGUGCCGCCGAGGAUGCCACCACUGAUGAUGGCAGCGCCCGCACAGAUGGCAGCCAACCGAAGAGGCAACGGAAGGACCGACGCCCGAUCGUGCUCCUCACCCUCAAGGAGGAAGUUACUGAAGUGGACUCCAACGGGUAUCCAACGGCGCCCGAACGAAUAGUCAAGGGGUACUCGCUUCAGCUCGGGUGCAUUGUCCGGAGCACCGUCUCGAUCAACACCGAGAACCUGAGGCAUCCUGACCGAGGGAAUUUGUGCCACCUCCUCUUCACGAAGCUGCACGAAUGAUACAAGUUCCCCGCUGAAUUUGCAAACAGAAGCCUCAAAGGGAAUAAAGUGAACAAUGCUGCCCUCACGAAGAUGAGCAAGGCCCUGUCUACUUGGAAAAGCAAUGUGAAGAAAAUGAUCGAUAAAGGUGAGAGUUAUCAGAAGAUCAAGGAGAAAAAUCCUUCGAUCACCAAAGAUGACUACAAUGACUUCAAGAUCAAUUGCUCGAGCACCGCAAGCUCCCAAUCAAGUGAGUGGGGGAAACAAAUGCGGGAGCUGAACAUAGGGGAACACACACUCGGUCCCGACGGUUACAGAGUGGCGGAGCCUAUAUGGGACAAGGAGGAGGCGGACCGUGCCGAGCAAGGCCUACCGCCCCUCUUCGAGAAAUACAGCGGUAACAAGCAGACCAGGAACUUUGUCAGGGCCCGGUACAAGAAGGACCCGAAAACAAAGGAGCUUACCACGGAUCCGAAGACCAGGCAGCUUGAGCUUGUUCUGGUAAGGAAUACACCCCCGCGUAAUUAGCUCCAUAUGGUUGCAUUCUAAUUAAUGAAGCCAAAUUUCUAAAUGGUUCACAUUCCUUCCGCAGGCGACUGAAAGCAGUAGCGCGGGGUCGACUAAGAGCAACCCUUGGGACACCACUCUAAAUAGGGCGAUGAAUGUAAUGAAGAAGAAGGAUAAGCUCAGUAAGCCGACGUCAGCUGGUCGUGUGGCCGGCAAAGGCUUGUCGACAAAAUGGGGGUCAUACUAUACCGCUGGUGUGCGGAAGGAGAAAAAGACCAGCUCGGAAAGCCAGGCGCGAGAGGAUCAAGAACUCAAGGAACAGGUGACGCGGAUUCCGGAGAUUGUCCAAGAGCAAGUGGAACAAUGACUCGGAGCGACGAUCACCGCCAUUGUGCCUACCUUGAUCUCGGGGUUGAGUGCGUGGAUUGCGGGCGGCCAACAGGGGCCGCCCCCGAUUCCUAGCUUCACGGCCAGCAACUCGCAUAAUGCGAUGGCGGGGCCAUUGGUGCCUCCGGCGGAGGCGGCAUUGGUGUCUCCGACGCCGGCACGGGAGCUUAAUGCACCCGGGUGUACGCCGGCCGGCACCUCUGCAGCAAGCGGCCCCUCCGUCAACUGCACGCCCGCCGUUGGCGGUGCGUCGACAUUAGCCGAGCUCGACGCCAUCAACACGGUAACUAAUUAAGCCUCUCUCGGCCGAGGACUUCAUCUCCUUGCCUUUGACUAGGCAUCCCUGACGCCCUACAUGUUUUCGCAGGGCGCCGCCGACGUUCCGUGCACUCUCCUCCACUUCGUGAACAACGAGUUGGUCGAUGUCGCCAAGGGCAAAAUCGUUCAACCGGCAACCCCUUGUUCCACGGUACCCAGAUGCCACCCAACUUGUUUAGGGUUCAACUGGUUCGGGUGUUGCCAGGCUGCGACGACUUGUUACCUCUGAUUCGACCCGUUGGGGCCGACGAUGAAGACGUGAUGACCCUCAGCGCCUGCCUGAGCUGGCCCCUAGUUUGGCCGAAGAGCCAGAUUCGUUUGGGGGCGGGGGACACCACCCCAAAGACAACACCGCCAGUCGUGCUGGUGCCAAGUCGGCCCCAUGGCAAGACCGCCGUAACGGUGCCGGACAUCCCUAUGCCACUGGAUCCAAACAUGCAUAUGGCACAGGAUCAGAAUGACGACGACAACGACGAUGAUACAUUUGGCAACGUCGAUCAGUACUUUGCCGAUCAUGGGUACGAUGGCGACUUCAUGGGGCCUCCUUCUCAAGAACCAAACCCAACAAAAGACGUGUGCGAUCUAGCUGGUACCGCAGAGAAGCCAAGUUGCAACAGGCGCCGUCUGGCGUUCAGCUCUCAGGAGACGCCUCCAGCUGCCGACUUCACCGAUCCUCAGAUAGGCGAGGUGCGAAAUAUUAUCAGCCCCAACACACUCAAGAAGGCGGUCUGUGAGCAGAACUCGGUCCCAUUACAGGAGAAGAAGAAGGCACGCAAAAGAAAGACUAAGAAGGGUGCGAGCCAGCCGGCACCGAGUACGAUCCGUGCUCAGGACGGGCCACCUUCACCGCAGGAUAUCUCGAGGAGGGUGCAUGUGGCGGGUAGGGCGAUGCUACCGACAAAUAUGCUCAAUGCUGCAACCGGUGCUAUGCGGAGUCUGCAUGACAGUGUUCUUGCUUUGGAGAAGCGGCGUCUCAGAGAGAAGGAUGUGGCAUACCCGGUUUUCGCGGCCAAGGUGCCAAAGGGCAAGGGCUUUGUGGAUAACUCCAUCGGGCGUACGAUCGUCCUGCGUUUUGAUGACAUCCACGCUAUGUUGAACCUUCAUCCGCUGCACUACACCUUCGUUCGGCUAUUUUCGCUGAGUAUGGAGAUGCGGAUCAUUCGCGACAAGACCCCGGACAUCGUGAUAGUCGACCCCUUCUACAUGCGUGCCAAGAUCUUGGGCAGCGCUGGGGACCGGCAAGUCGCGAGUUCUUACCUCGAAGGCAUCAUUCUGGCAAACCAAGAUAAGGAUAACUUCCUCGUGCCUUACUUUCCCGAGUAAGUCCUCCCCUCAACCGGCCCGUAACAUAUGAAUUCUUACAUUUCGAUCGUUUUUCUUUUAACAUUCCGUGUUUUUUGCAGUGACACACGUUGCACGCUCAUCCUCCUAAGCCCCAAAUAUUCCAUGGCCACAUAUUUCGACCCGGACUGUUAGUCGAACGUAGACUACACAAAUGUCAAGAAGGUUCUUGAUGAUGUUCUCCCCGGCUAUGCCAAAUCUGGAGGCACCUUCACCAGGCCUAAUCGUAAGUACGGCAAGCAUGUUUUCUCCCACAAUACGAUGUUCUACUGCGUCAAGCAGCCGCCUGGUGGUCAGAAGGGUGCCUACUACGCCAUCCAUCACAUGCGGGCGAUCGUACGGGACCAUCAUCAACUUCUGCUACCGAGUAAACUCAAAGAUUGGGCAAAGAGCGUGUCGGCAAUCGAGGACGCGGACCUCCGACAAGAAUUCUUUCGCAUCCAGUCGGAGUUUGCGGAAAUCAUCCAUCAAGAUGUCCUUCGUACCUCGGGGCAGUUCUACCUCAACAAUCAACCGUCCAAUAGUGACAUCGACAUAAUGCUACAAAUGCAGGCUGACAACGACCGUUAUUUCAUGACUCCCACGAUAGACGGCGGCUUCAUCCACGCUCCGGUCCCUUGAGUCGAGUCGAAAGCAGUGAUGCUGUGUCUAGUUCUGAAACAUCGAUUGGCUCAUGUUGUAAUUAAACUUUAAUGAACUUGUAGUAUGUCUCUUUGGUUUCGAGAGUCGUUCAACUUAGAUGUAAUCGAUGCUAUUAAUGUCUUGCUUUUCUCUUCCGAUUGUUCUGUUGCAUACUUAUAUAUUGCUUAUGUAUUGUCUGUGAAUUGGUACUAACGUUUCGUUUGGCUAGUGCAUAGCGAUGCCGACGUAUGUCGUGUACAAGGGUAAGGUUCCCGUAGUCUACGAUGACUGGGAGGAGUGUCGGAGACAGGUUCACCGAUUCAGCGGUAACAGUUACAAAGGGUACACCACUAGGGCCGAGGCCGAAUCUAGAUACGCCCGCUAUCUAGCGGGAGAGGGGAGGGAGCGUUGGAGGAACCGGAUGAAGACGAGUUUCAUCGUGAUGAUGCUCAUCGUGAUGACCGCAGCUCUCUUCUAUGUGAUGGUAGUUUAGAUGAUCGAUAUCGACUUGUAAUGUGAAGACAAACUCGCUACUCGCGGUCUCGAGACUUGUAAUAUAAUGUUCUAUCUUUGUUCGGUCUUUUUAAUUCGGAGACUAAUAUGAUGAAUUGUAUUCGGAGACUAAUAUGAUGAAUUGUAUUCAAAGACUAAUCUUCUAUUGUAUUCGAUGAAUCUGUUGUUGAUGUGUGCUGUCUAUAUUUUGUCAAAUUAUACAUUUUGUAACCUGUGCAAAAAACAGAAAAUAAAAAAUAAAAAAAACCUAAUAUUCAUACUAAUGACGCAUCACAUGAUAGUGCGCCAUUAGUAUGACAGUGCAUACUAAUGGCGCAUCACUGGGCAGUGCGCCAUUAGUAUGCCGCGGUUACUAAUGGCGCAUCCAGCGGUGGUGCGCCAUUAGUAUGCCAAAGCACCUGGGUAUACAUGGCCCCUGGGAGGCAUACUAAUGGCGCACCCUUGCCUAUACUAAUGGCGCACGCGCGGUGCGCCAUUAGUAUACCAGAUACUAAUGGCGCACCAGGUGGUGCGCCAUUAGUAAAAAUUACUAAUGGCGUGCUAUUAAUGGCGCACCACAGAUGCGCCAUUAAUGGCCAUUUUAGGUGCGCCAUUAGUAGGGGUUUUUCUAGUAGUGUAAUAAGCGAGAUGACGCAGUUCCUGACCGCCCCGCUACCACUACUGGUUCCAGCGUGGCGUUUGAAUUAUGCCGCGCUAGAUGCCUUUUGUCCAGCGAGGAACAAGUGGGGUCAAGCGUGCUUUGGCAAUUCCCGCCGUCAGAAGACUUCCUUGUAGUCCGGUGUAGAGGUGAGGUUGUAGGGAGAUGCAUCGACUAGGAAGGAGUGGCCACAUGAACGAGCAUAUGUAUGAUGUGAUUAAGUCUCUCGAUCGGGUAUCUGGUGCCUUACGUACGGUGUCUUAUUUUUGUCAAGCUAUGACAUCUUUCAGUUUGAGUGUCUGAUAUUAGGGUUGCAUACGUUUUGUUAUUCAGUUGCCUGUUGUCAACUCUAUGGUUAUAUCACCUCGAUGUGUGAGUCAAUGUGUUUGAACCAAUGUAGAGUUUCAUGUGAAUGUUACAAGUGUGAUUGAUAUCUUCAUGUUAUAACCGCAGUUGCCUUGGUAAGAAAUUGAAAGAGCAAACCGUUAUCGUGUUAGGAAAAAAGUCAUCGCUCAAUAUAAGUUGCUUCUCUAGAACAACCACACCUUUCCCUCAAAAAAAAGAACAACCACACCUUGUGAAAGAAGAUGGCAAACACCCAAUUAUGUCUGGUUAGAUAUGGGCAUGGCUAUGGGUAGCUUAUAGCGACACGGAAGCUAGCAUCGCCUGAAGAAACACCCGGAUGGGCCGGCCUAGAGACAAAUUUCUUCAUUUCUACCCUUAGUUUUGUUUUUCUGCCCUUUUUUCUUUAUAUUUUAUAUUUUUCCCGACAUGUUCACUACUUGAUGCUCAACUGGGAUCUCAUCUGAUGCGGAGCAUCCUAUGGACAUCACCAUGUCAAGAGUCCGUUCGGCAAGUGACACGUGUGACAUCUACUUCUCAUACAUAAAGGUGAAUCUUCUCCUUUACACGUGUUUACUUGACCCCUUCGAGGAUGGUAUACUACUUGACACUUCUCCCGUGUGCAUGCAUAGGUAUUGUCGGAGCUUCAUGGAUGUCGAGGAGGAGUGCAAGCGCCAAGGAAUGACUACACCGUCCGCGAGGGAAGCAUGGAAGAGAAGGAGGAAGAGAACCUGGCUACUCCAGAACGAGCGGUACUACUGCCCACUCCAAGCGGUACUACCGCCGAGGCCACCCAAGCGGCACUACCGCCCAGCAUCCGCCCUUCUACUGCUCAACCCGACAAACUCCAGUGAUCGAGCGGUGUAAGUCCGGUACUACUGCCCCUCCAAGCGGUACUACCGCUCAAGCGGUACUACCACCCAUGAGUCCGGUACUACCGCCCUGCCUCUGCCCAGCCGUGGGCCUUUGGCCUUGUAUCCCUCUCCCACUUACCCCUUCGUGGCUUAGACUAUAAAUAGGCCACCUCCACCUCCUUUCUAGGGUUAGCACAGAUUUAGCUCAUUUUGAGAUAGAGCUUUGCUCAUCCAUACGGAUCUACUCCUCGUGAGAGACCGCGACCUCUUCGGAGAAGAUCCAUCUUGGAUUCAAGACCCCCUCGUGGGAAGAUCCGUCUAGGAUACCAACAAGACCUCCUCUUGGAGAUGAACCUUACCUUGUAUCUUUCCCUUUGUUGUUCAUGUACCCUUGUGGAUCUUGUGUGUUUGAUUGUCUAGUGGAUGUGUGAUUGGACUUGUACUUGAGUGUUUCCCCUUGUGAUUUCUCUCCGUUCUUCCACGUGUUCUUCAUAGGGAUCCGCUCCAAACGUGAAAGAUCGGCCUCUAGGGUUCUAGCCUACAUCAUCUUGGAUCAGAGCAAGGUUGAUCACGGAUUUGGAGCCCCUACCCCUCUUUUUCUAGCCUUCUUUUGCUUGCUUUCGUCCUAAAAUCCCCACAAAAAAUAGCCCCAAUUUUUUUGUGAUUUGUUCGUUUGAUGAUUUUUUGUUGAUUUUGAUCCAUGGAUUUGCUUGGUUUUGAGUGGAUCUAGCAUCUCUCCAAGUUUCCCCACCUUCCAUCCACGAAAUCCAUCCAAUUUUGCCCCUGAAAUCAUCCUUUUCCGCCCCAAAUUCGCCCCGAUUUCGAUCUGUGAAUUUUCCCGACACGAGCGGUACUACCGCCCUCGAAGCGGUACUACCGCCCUCGAAGCGGUACUACCGCUGAGCACCACAAGCGGUACUACCACCCUCCCAAGCUAUGACGCCCGGAUAAUUAAGCUACAGUAAUCCCCUUCUAAUGGUGCCAUGUCAUCACAUUACUGUUGCUAAUCCUCGCUUGAUCCAAAUCUUAGUUCAAACUCAAAUUCAAAUUAAAGACCAAAAUUCAAAUUUCUCAAGCAUGCAAAAUAAAAUGUUCAAAGUGUGGCAAAUAAUCGCUGGAUAUUUGUCAUGUUGCAAACAACCUCUUUUGAAUUCUCAAAAUGCCCCUGGGAAUUAAUUUUUGGUCCAGUAGUAAAUUAAAUGGCAUUUGCAAAAUAAAGAAUUGUUUAUUUAACUCCAAUUGCCUCCAAACUUUAUGUGCCACUCCAAAAUAUUUGUGGCUCUGUCUAAGAUCGCCAAGGAAUUAAAAGGGCACUUCCCAUAUUUUCCCUAAGUAAAUAGUGUGCCCAAAAUAUUCUCUUAACCAUCUCUAUUUUUUUAAAUAAAAAAAGGCGAAGAAGAACUCCCCCGGGCCUCGGGCCACUCCCACUUACCAGCCCACCUAAGCCGGCCCACUCCCCCGCUCCCCUAGCCUAUAGGCCACGGCCGACCGAACCCUAACCCCGCAUGAUCCCCCCACUCCCCACUCCUCUCCCCUCUCGAUCCGAUCUGGAUCGGACCGAAACCGGCGCAAUUGGUCGAUCCAUGUAUAAAGUAAAAAUAACUAGGCCCAAUUGGUCGAUCCAUGACAGUUUUCGUGACGGUACUUCCACGUCUGUCAUGAGGGGGCUACCCUACUUGGCCCCAAAUGGAUCUUGCUAAUUGGUGACGGUUUCCGUGAUAGAUUUCUGGAACGUCACCAGAAAUCCGUCAUUGAUUAACAGAUUUCCGCACAAUCCCCCCACUCCCCACUCCUCUUCCCUCCUGAUCCGAUCUGGAUCGGACCGAAAUCGGCGCCGCGACGCCAACCGCCGUCGCUGGAGGCGUCCCCGACUCCACGCCGGGCCGCCCCGUCACUGGACCUCCUCCCCGUCGCCACUCGUCACUCGCUGGACCGCCUCGUCCCCACCAAUGCCGCCCCCACCCCAACGUCCCCGACGCCUUCGCCGUCGGCACCGCCCCAAUGUCGCCGCCACCCGACGCCGGCGCCCUCGACAUCGCCACCCCGAGCCCACUGCCACCCCUACGCUCCGCUAUGAGCCCCUCGCUGAUUCCCCCUCCUUCCCGUCGUCGUAGGUGGCUGCGCGCGUCGUUGGCCAUCGUGGCCGCGCUCCGGCCGUUCCCCAUCCGUGCGCUGGCCUCGCCUUCCUCGGAUUGCAAACAUUGAACUUUUCCCCUCGGGUUCAUCUAUCUGACAGACGUUCGGGACCAGAAAAACUUUCCCGGAUGUUUCCCCCUUCGCCAGUAUCACCUAGCACCGCGUUAGAACACUUCUAGCCCCGCUUAUUGUCUUGUUAUGCAUAUGUUUGCGUGUAUUUACUGUUUCUUCCCCCUCUUCUUCUCCGGUAGACCUCGAGACCGUUGCUGAUGCCCCUGUGGUCGACUACGUCGACGGCGACCCUCCUUGUCUGAGCAACGAGGCAAGCCCCCCCUUUGAUCAUCCCGAUAUCGCCCAUUCCAUUCUCUAAUGCUUGCACUAGAUUUUCUACUGUAUUUGAUUGCUCCUAUUCUGAUGCAUAGCAUGCUUUUCUACCUGCUGUUGUACCUUACCUGCUUAUCCUAAACUGCUUAGUAUAGGUUGGCUAGUGAUCCAUCAGUGACCCCCACCUUGUCUUUGUUGCCCCUGCUUCAUCAUUGACGACUCGAUCAACGUGAUCGACGACCGGAGCCUGACACCUCACAUCACAUCACGCCCCUUUUUGUUGCUCGACUCUGCAGAGUUACCAUCGAGUGCCGAGGGUGGAACCUCAUACAUCACUCCUUAUGAGAUCUCUGUAGUGUAGCUAUUCGGUCGUGGUCAUCGAGGGUGGUUCCUCCUUCACCAUUCCUAAUACGGCUCUGUCGUGCAACACCUCAAGUGUGAACCUCGAGGGUGGUUCCUCUUACGUUCACCUUGAUGAUUACAUCGAGUGGAAUCCACCGGGGGUGAUUCCUCGGAUUUUCCCCUUUAUGUCUGGACACACAGUUACCUUGACUUCACUUGAGACCGUUUUGAAAGCCGGGCAGGCCCGGAGAGCACCCGUGCGGUGUGACGGUGGCGGCUGGCUGUUUAGCGGUAUCACCCGGGAGGGGGUGAUAGCUCCGGACUUGUCCCGACAGCCGUCACUUCUUUUAAUAAUGCACUAACAGGUUUGGGUAUUUUUUCUAAGUUCACUAACCACGACGCUAGAAUAGUUAUGGGUCUCGAUGUUGCAGUAUCAGCCGAAGCUUUCUCAGACGUCCAGUUCAGCAUUGUGGCCGGGCCGAAUCAUGCCAUCCACUUCACGGGUGGUGCUGGUAUCCCCUUGCGCACAACGACCCAGAGUGCAACGGGCGAUGGGCCCAGACCCCGGAGUGCUUAGGAUGUAGACCGGCAGGGACCUCUCUGCUGAGCCUAGGUAGGGCAGCUACGUGUUGAUCUUCCGAGGCCGGGCAUUGACCCCAGAAAGGUGUGUCCUUCCAGAGUGAUCGAGCGUGUUGGGUAACGUGGUGCCCCCCUGCAGGGAAGAUUAUCUAUUAAUAGCCGUGUCCACGGUAACGGACGUUCAAACUUAUAUCUUGAUCUUAUACAACUACAAAUGGAUACUUGAGAUAUGUGGCUCCGGGAUUGCUUUCUCGCAGGGAGUCGAGGAAGGAUCUCUGGGCGUUGUUGUCACAACAUGCUUGUUAAUUAAACUGCUAUUCUUUACUCUUCUACAUGCUGCAAGAUGCUUGGAGCUACUUGAAGAUGCUAGUCUUCAUGAGGCUAGGCCUUCCCCUCUAUUCUGGCAUUCUGCAGUUCAGUCCACAGAUACAACCCUUCCAUUUGAUACCAAUGCAUACUUAGUAUAGAUCUGAUGCUUGCGAGUACUUUGGAUGAGUACUCACGGUUGCUUUGCUACCCCAUUUCCCCCUUCUUUCUUCUUUCCGGUUGACGCAACCAAAUGGUGGAUCCCUGGAGCCAGAUGCCAGCGCUGAUAGAUGCUACUAUGUGAAGAUCGCCGACGACCAGGAGUAGUUAGGAGGUCCCAAGCAGGAGGCCUUGCCUCUUCGAUCAUUGUUGCUUUUGUGCUAGCCUUCUUAAGGCAUCUUUGUUUAACUUAUGUCUGUACUCAGAUAUUGUUGCUUCCGCUGACUCUUGUGUAUCGAGCUAUGUAUUCAAGCCCUCGAGGCCCCUGGCUUGUAAUAUAAAGCUUGUAUUAUUUUGAUUUGUGUCUAUAGUUGUGUUGUGAUAUCUUCCCGUGAGUCCCUGAUCUUGAUCAUACACAUUUGCGUGCAUGAUUAGUGUACGAUUGAAUCGGGGACGUCACAAGUUGGUAUCAGAGCCGACUGUUUGUAGGAUCCCCCUUUCCAACUCCUUGGCUGAAGUUGAGUCUAGUCUUUGAAAAAAAUUGUUUUACUAACAUGGUUGUGUGGCUUACGGGCCCAUGUCGCCAUUGGGUGGUAUUAGGAUCUUUUACUCCUCGACCUUUACUCUGGGACUCUAAUCGCUCUUCUAUUCGGGUUAAAUGGUCUCGCAAACUAUAACUCUAGGUUCUCGUAAAUACUUUCUCCCGGAGAGCCCCUUCAUUCCAGAUGAUGGCCUGCUUCACCAGAUGAUUUCGAAGAUACCCUUCUGUAAUUUCCUGAGACUUUUGUACUCAUUGCUUUUGCAGUUCCCUACCUCUGAUAUAUCCUUACGGAUAACUUCAUACACUUGUCAUUCAUACAAUCAUUCCUAGUUGCUCUUGUUUUUACAAGAUACAUUGAAUUAUUCUCCGACUUUUAAGAAUCCCUUGCUUACUGCCCUGCAGUUCCUUGCCGCAUGAAUACCCCUACGGAUAAUUACUCGCACUUGCCGAGUAUCCGUUCGUCCAUAGUUGUUCAUGUGUUUCACAACAUUCUUUGGAAAGCUAUUUGAUCUUUUCAAAAAUCCUCAGUAGCCUAUUACUCUUGUUCCUCCUUACCUACUUACAGUAUGGUUACUUCCAUUUGUCUAGCAAUAUUCUUUAAAAUCCUUUGCGAUUGACAUCCUUACCCUAUUGUUUCAACAUGUGUGUGAAUGCACGCAAUCAUCAAUUGUUCCCUGGAAUUGUCCUUCUGGCUCAGACGUUACCCCGGACACGAGCUGGUGUUCGACAAAACAAACCUUGAUUGAUUUUGAAUCUAUGUCUAUACAACUUAAUUGUCUUUGAUCAGAGCCUCUGCUUUUGAUCCCCCAUUUUGAAAAUCAUAAUCCCCUUUGCAUUCGAGCAUAGAAUUAGUCAGUUGUUUCUAUAACCUGACCUCCUUGAAUUCUUUCUUCUUCUGGUUGAGUAUCGAUACUCACAUCAGAUCCAUUGUGGACCUCCAGGUCCUUUGUUGGUUUUUAUCCGACAGCAUCCUUCAUAUUCAGUAACCUUGUGAGCCUUUCCUCGAAUACACAAUGCCUUUGGUAAAUUGUAUCCCCCACUCUCGUCAACCAUACUCUGCUUCCGGGCUUGAGUUAUUUACUCGUGAAGUUUGUGGUAUAUGUUCCUAAUAUGUCCCUAUGGGUUGAAUCUAUGUCUUCCCUAAAUCUGUGUGAACCCUACGACUCAUACUCUACUGGUGUUAUGCCAGAUAAAAUCUCAACAGUACGGCUUCGUUGAAAAUGAGAAGUGAAUGAAAGGUUAUGCAUCGAAGAAGUGGGAGUCGACCUUGAGCCUUGUGUUCAUGCCCAUGGACACGAUGUGGAACUUAACAUGGAAGCUUCUUUUUAUAAUAAUAGCCCCCUAGCGAUAAGUACAUCUUGUAUCCAUGUGUGGUCCAUUGCAAUCGUGGUUCCGACCAUAUUGUUCUUGUUUGAUCCAUUUAUCGGACAAGUUAAAGUACUUGUCUUCUUCAAAUUGUUUCACAUGUUCAACCUCUACAUUGAUAUACCUUCGAGCAUUAUCCUCUGGUAUCUCGAGAAUAUCACGGAACUACAUAACUUCUUAUGAGUUCUUGAUCAACUAUUAUUUCUCACUGAUUCAAAUUUUUCACUAGUUGGGAGUUGUUAGACACUCGAGAAUACAGUUAACUGAUUCAAGUCUACGCUUUCCUUUCCAUUGUUCUGUUUAAUCUUUCUGGUAACCUAUCUUAUCUGAGAACUGAUAAUUCCCUGCUUAUGUAAACACCUCGGUGUACAAGCUCUGUCUGUAAGACCUUGUUACUAUUGUUGAGGACAUUCCGAUAGCUACCGAUGGACGAGAACUUUGCCUAUUGGUCCGCCUCAUCUUAACGAGCAGGAAAAUGGUUCUCUUUGUCCCUCUCCCUUGGUACCAACGUUGUUGCCAACAUAACUGACAAGUUGUCCUCUGACCUGCCUUGCUAUCAUGACCAUGCAAAAUGCUAGCGCCCUUCCUGCUUUUAACCCACAAGGUGGGCCUGAGGGAGUCCUGGACUAGGCGGUGUCCGGACAGCCGGACUAUCAUCGUCCGCCGGACUCCAAGACUACGAAGAUACAAGAUUGAAGACUCCGUCCCGUGUCUGGAUGGGACUUUCCUUGGCGUGGAAGGCAAGCUUGGAAAUACGGAUAUGUAGAUCUCCUACCAUUGUAACCGACUCUGUGUAACCCUAGCCUCCUCCGGUGUCUAUAUAAACCGGAGGGCUUUAGUCCGUAGGACACAACAUACAUUACAACAAUCAUACCAUAGGCUAGCUUUAGGGUUUAGCCUCCUUGAUCUCGUGGUAGAUCCACUCUUGUACUACCCAUAUCAUCAAUAUUAAUCAAGCAGGAUGUAGGGUUUUACCUCCAUCGAGAGGGCCCGAACCUGGGUAAAACAUCGUGUCCCUCGUCUCCGGUUACCAUCCGCCUAGACGCACAGUUCGGGACCCCCUACCUGAGAUCCGCCGAUUUUGACACCGACAUUGGUGCUUUUAUUGAGAGUUCCUCUGUGUCGUCACCAAUAGGCUCGAUGGCAUCUUCAACCAACAACGCUGUCCAGGGUGAGACUUUUCUCCCCGGACAGAUCUUUGUAUUCGGCGGCUUCGCACUGCGGGCUAAUUCGUUUGGCCAUCGGAGCAGAUCGAAAGCUACGCCCCUGGCCGUCAGGUCAGAUUCGGAAGUCUCAACUUCACGGCCGACGUCCGCGGAGACUUGAUCUUCGACGGGCUCGAGCCACAGCCAAGCGCGCCGCACUGUUACGAUGGGCAUGAUCUAGCUCUGUCGCCGAACAGUGCCUUGGUGGCCGCCCACGAAUCCGCUUCGGCCUUUAGUCCGGGGCCGAUCGCCCAGACCGAGGAACGGUGGAUGGACACCGCCUCGGGGGCUUCAACUUCCACGGCGAUGGAGCCGAACACUAAUCUUGUCCCUCGCAAAACUCGUGAUUCCGAGGUGCCGGACUCCUUGCCGGACUCCGAAGCUCCCACGCCCCUACCAACCGAAUCGGAUUGGGCGCCGGUUAUGGAAUUCACCGCCGCGGACAUCUUCCAAUACUCGCCUUUUGGCGACAUCCUGAAUUCGCUAAAGCAUCUCUCGUUAUCAGGAGAGCCCUGGCCGGACUAUGGCCAGGAUGGUUGGGAUACGGACGACGAAGAAAUUCAGAGCCCACCCACCACCCACUUUGUAGCCACUGUCGACGAUCUAACCGACAUGCUAGACUACGACUCCGAAGACAUCAACGCUAUGGACGACAAUGCCAGAGACGAACAGGAACCAGCGCCUACAGGGCACUGGAAGACCACCUCGUCAUAUGACAUAUACAUGGUGGAUACCCCAAAAGACGGGGACGGCGAAGAAACAGCGGAGGCAUAUUCUUUAAAGAAACAGCCCAAGCGCCGGCAUCAGCGGCGCUGCUCUAAAUCCCGCCACGGCAAGAAUGGAGAUUCCAGCACAGGAGAUAAUAAUACCCCAGAAAGUGCCGAAGAUAACCCCCUCCAGCAAGACUCAGCGCAGGAGGAUGCAGAAGCAAGCCCUCACGAGAAGGCGGCAGACAAAGAGGUUGAGGAUUACAACUAUAUGCCUCCCUCCGAAGACGAGGCAAGCCUCAACGAUGACGAAUUCGUCGUGCCCGAGGAUCCCGUCGAACAAGAGCGUUUUAAACGCAGGCUUAUGACCACGGCAAAUAGCCUAAAGAAAAAGCAGCAGCAGCUUCAAGCUGAUCAGGACCUGCUGGCCGAUCGAUGGACCGAGGUCCUCGCGGCCGAAGAGUAUAAACUCGAAUGCCCCUCCAAAAGCUAUCCAGGACGCAAGCUGCUCCCCCGAUUAGAGGAGGAAGCAUACAUACCUCCAUCACCAGCGCACGAUACGGCUGACCGACCACCCCGUGGUCGUGACAGAGAGGCAUCCAGGCCCCCAACCAAGACCGUACCCCGGCAUCGCUCGAAAAGUAUGAAGCCAAGAGGGAACGCGCCGGACUUGCGAGAUAUAUUGGAGGACAAAGCAAGGCAAUCCAGAUCCAUCUACGGAUCACGGGGGUGCCCCACGACCCAUGACGAAUACCGUCGCGCCGGAUACAAUAACCCCGGCCGGGCCGAACACAGCAGACAACGCUCUCUCGAGUUGCAUCGUGAUAUUGCUCAAUAUAGAGGCGCCGCACACCCGCUAUGCUUCACAGACGAAGUAAUGGAUCAUCAAAUCCCUGAAGGGUUUAAACCCGUAAACAUCGAAUCCUACGAUGGCACAACAGACCCUGCGGUUUGGAUCGAAGAUUACCUUCUCCACAUCCAUAUGGCCCGCGGCGACGAUCUACAUACCAUCAAGUACCUCCCACUCAAGCUUAAAGGACCAGCUCGGCAUUGGCUCAACAGCUUGCUCGCAGAGUCAAUUGGGUGUUGGGAAGACCUAGAAGCCGCAUUCCUUGAUAACUUCCAGGGCACGUAUGUGCGACCACCAGACGCCGAUGACCUAAGUCACAUCAUUCAGCAGCCAGACGAAUCGGCCAGACAAUUCUGGACACGGUUCUUGACAAAGAAAAAUCAAAUCGUCGACUGUCCGGAUGCAGAGGCCCUUGCAGCCUUCAAACAUAACACCCGCGACGAAUGGCUAGCCCGGCACCUGGGGCGGGAAAAGCCGAAAUCCAUGGCAGCCCUCACAUCAUUAAUGACCCGCUUUUGCGUGGGAGAGGAUAGCUGGCUAGCUCGCAGCAACAAUCUCCGUAAAAAUUCUGGCAGUCCAGACACCAAGAACAAUAAUGGCAGGUCACGUCGAAACAAAAACAAACGCCGCAUCAACGGCAAUGAUAAGGAGGAUACGGCAGUCAACGCCGGAUUCCGAGGCUCUAAACCCGGUCAACGGAAGAAGCCAUUCAAAAGAACCACUCCGGGUCCGUCUAAUUUGGACCGAAUACUCGACCGCUUAUGCCAGAUACAUGGCACCCCUGAAAAGCCAGCUAAUCACACUAAUAGAGACUGCUGGGUGUUCAAGCAGGCAGGUAAGUUAAUUGCCGAAAACAAUGACAAGGGGCUAAACAGCGAGGACGAGGAGGAGACCCGACCGCCGAACAAUAGAGGACAAAAGGGUUUUCCCCCACAAGUGCGGACGGUGAACAUGAUCUACGCGACCCAUAUACCCAAUUGGGAGAGGAAGCGUGCACUAAGGGACGUCUAUGCGAUGGAGCCAGUCGCCCCGAAGUACAAUCCAUGGUCCUCUUGUCCGAUCACUUUCGAUCGAAGAGACCAUCCGACCAGCAUACGCCAUGGCGGAUUCGCCGCAUUGGUUCUAGACACAAUCGUCGAUGGAUUUCACCUCACGAGAGUCCUGAUGGACGGCGGUAGUAGCCUGAACCUGCUUUAUCAGGACACAGUGUGCAAAAUGGGCAUAGACCCCUCAAGGAUUAAACCUACAAAGACAACCUUUAACAGUGUCAUACCAGGUGUGGAAGCCAACUGUACAGGCUCAGUCACACUGGAAGUGGUCUUCGGAUCCCCGGACAAUUUCCGGAGCGAGGAGUUAAUCUUCGACAUAGUCCCGUUUCGCAGCGGCUAUCACGCUCUGCUCGGACGAAUCGCGUUCGCAAAAUUCAACGCGGUGCCGCAUUGUGCAUACCUCAAGCUCAAGAUGCCAGGCCCUCAUGGAGUCAUCACGGUCAAUGGGAAUACGGAACGCUCCCUCCGAACGGAGGAACAUACAGCGGCUCUCACGGCAGAAGUACAGAGCAGCCUUUUAAGGCAAUUCUCGAGUCCGGCCAUUAAACGGCCGGAUACAUCAAAGCGCGCCCGAAGCAAUACCAACCAAGACCACCUGGCGUGAUCAGAGCACGCGUAGCAAUGCGGCCCCAACCCCCGCCCGCGCGUGAUUGCAAGAAUAACCCUCCGCGUACAUCAUUACGCUUUGGAGAUACCAUGGGCGCAGGGGAAGGGGCACGAUCACAACGGACCCAGAGUGCAGUUCGACCGCACCAGGGGCUCGCAAGUGUGCCCCCUUUUUUUUAUUGUUAUUUUCCCUCUUUGUGUACACAGGACUCCGUUAGCCAGAGGCCCUAUCCGGCGGUGAACCUGCCGAACUCAUGAUGCAAUAACCAGGGAAGAAAGAACGCUGCGACGAACACUCAGGUGGUCUCAAUUACAAGCAUUAAAUUCGAUUAUAUACACCAAGUCCGCAGCUUACCCUUGGAGGGGGACAUGUUUAAUUAGUCCAAAUCCCUUGCUUACCACACUAUUUGUAUCAGUCCGCACUCAUAGCAGACUUUCUUUCAUAAAUAAUGCAGCACCUUUUUGACUGCAAUUACAUUACCUUUUAUAUAUAUAUGCUCAUUACAUGACAUCUUGCACCCGUAUAUUUUGGUACGGCCUAAUACACCAGGGGCUUAUGUUCCCCACAUUAUGGUGUGAUAAGUCCGAACACUUUCGUAAGUGCAGCACCCCGAACUUAUAGCACUAUAUGAAUCGGCUCCGAAUCAUGUCUUGGGUCAAUAGUUGGGUUUGCCCGGCUCCCACGUUUUGGUGCCUUACGUUCCGUUCUGUCGGCUAAGGUGGCACUGGGAGAACCACUGCGAUUGCGCCCCGGUUGAGCCGGGCGAGCACCUCAGUGGAGAAAGCUAAAACUGACCGGCAUGAUAAGGCGAGAGACUGGUCGCUGUUCGAGAGGUUUUUUCGGGUCCUUAAAGACUCACGCCACUUCGAGCGAAGUUCCGGACCAUGUCUGACGAAGGCGUGGAUAGCGCCCCGGAUUCGGCCUUUCGGAUACCAGGGGCUUCGCCGAAAUUUAAAAUUAUAGAAUUCUAUGGCUAAGUGAGAGUGUUCAAGCAUUAUAAGUCCGGUCGCCUUGUUCGUUGUGUUGAGCACCUCCCUAGAUGGACCCAAAAAUGGGAAUAAGAGUGCUCAAGUUUAUCCCGAACACCCCAGCACUCGUGGCUCGGGGGCUGAAGCCAAUGACUUUCCAUCUCUCAGAUUUUAUAAACGGCCGCACAGAAGGUAAUAUUUUAAAUUAAAACAAGCGUUGCUCAUGGCGCAUCUGAACGAAGUUUUCAGCGCACAGGAUAAUACAUAGCGAGUUCACUCAAAGAUUACAUUUCUAGGGCACUCAUCCGCAAUAUCGCGGGCUCCCUUCAGGACAGUUUUAUAAUACAUUUCAGGCGUGCGAUACUCCUUGCCCGGCGGCGGUGGGUCUGUGAGAAGCUUCUCCGCAUCCAACCUGCCCCAAUGCACCUUUGUGCGGGCAAGGGCCCGACGAGCACCUUCAAUACAGGCGGAGCGCUUGAUGACCUCCACCCAGGGGCAUGCAUCCACCAGCCGCCGCACGAGGCCGAAGUAGCUACCAAGCAUGACCUGUUCAGGCCACAGCCGGACUAUAAGGCCCUUCAUGGCCUCUUCAGCUACCUUGUGGAGUUCGACCAGCUGCUUCAGCUGGUCGCUUGGGGGCACCGGAUGGCCUGCCUCAGCGUACUAAGACCAGAAGACCUUCUCCGUUGAGCUCCCCUCCUCGCCACGAUAGAAUGCGGCGGCAUCGGAGGCACUACACGGCAGAUCUGCAAACACCCCUGGAGAGCUCCGAAUGCGGGUAAUUGUCAGGUAGUUUACAUUAACAUGCUUGCUUUGCAUGAAAAAUGCCUUACCCGCCGCUAUCUUCUUUACAUCUUCAACCUCCUGAAGGGCCUUACGGGCCUCGGCCUUGGCGGACUUGGCACUUUCGAGAGCCGAGGCAAGCUCGGACUCUCGAGUCUUGGAGCCUCCUGCUUUUCUCGCUCCGCCCGUUCCGCGACCGCACUGCGUUCAGCCGCGGACACAGCCUCCUUCAGGGCUGCCACCUCGUUCGUGGCCCCUGCAAUACCCAUAUUAUCCUUGUUAAUUUUAUUGCAACCAAAAUCCUUUUCCGUAAGGUGACUAUUCAAAGCGGUGUUACUCACCUUCUUUGUCCUCGAGCUGCUUCUUGGCAGUGCCGAGCUCUUGCUCGGACCGCUCGAGAUCCUGCUUCAACACAUCGACCUCCGCCGUCAGUGCGGCAGAGGUCAGUAGCGCAGCCUGCAAACCCAUAUUGACAUAUUUUAAGCAACCCUGCGUAUAUCUUGUUAGAUCCUCAGUCCGGCUUUUCUUUCCGAACACCGAACUGAGCAUCAAGGGCUACUGUCUAUGCGGUAUUACAUUACAUAAUUUUAACUUCUUACCUCAAAGCCUGUUAGAAGGCUGCUGCAGGCUUCGGUCAGCCCGCUCUUGGCGAGCUAAACCUUUUGAAUCACCGCACUCAUGUUAGUGCGAUGUUUUUCCUCGAUGGAAGCGCCUUCAAGCGCCUCCAACAAGUUAUCCGGCGCCUCCGGUUGGACGGAGGUCGCCGGUGUCAAGGUCUUGCCCUUCUUUCGAAGGGGCCGCCCGCCGGACUCUAGAACCACUGCGGGUUCCGAUGUAGAGUCCGGCACAAAGUCUGGGAGGCAGCCUGACGACGCCUCCGGAGCCUCCUCCUGAUGGGUCCCUCUCUGGGAUCCCACCUCGGCGUCCCCGUCGGCGCGGGGGGUAGAGGCGGUCGGAAGUGAAUCCACAUCUAACGGGGCCAACGACCCGCUCGAUGAAGCGGGGAGAUCAUCAUCGGCCGGACUACGGACAGAACGCGGCAUUAGAAGGACACUACGCGACACGAAAGAAAUUGCAUAUCAUGGAUCCGGAUACUUACGAUCUUGUCGGACGCCUGGCCCUUGGAGGCCACUCAUCCUCGCCAACGGUGGUGUUGGCGAAACUGUCCGGGGGGAUAGUCCUCCCCCUCUUGGACCCUUCGGCCUCCCCUAUUGGGAAAGCCUUCCACUUCUUCUCUCCCUCCUCCGAGAGAGAGUCCUCUUCCUCCUCCUCGUCUUUGGGGGAGGAGUCCGCCUCGUCGUCGGACGCCUAAUUGCGGGAACUCUUUCGAGUCCCCGCGGCCACCUUCUUGGCCUUCUUCUCCGGCACCACGUGCGGUGCCGGAACCAGCAGCCCUGCUAAACGGGCGUUCUCUGGGUCUUCAGGCAUGGGAGCCGGGCUGAUGAGCUGCUUGGCCUUCUCCAUCCAUUCCUAUCAAAGGAAAAGAGAGAUUGAAACCCUCUUAGAAUCAGUUUAAUUACCACAAGUGUCCCGUAACGUGGUUGAAUCACUUACCUCGUCAGCCGGAUGCUGCGAGCGAAAUCCGUGAUCUUCCGUCGCGGAUGCGGGGGCUUCGGCGCCCUUAAACAGCACCCUCCAGGCGCCUUCGUAUGUCGUAUCGAAGAGCCCGCUCAGCGCCUGGUGCUGUUCCGGAUUGAACUCCCACAGAUUGAAUACCCGUUCUUGGCAUGGGAGAAUCCGGCGGAUGAGCAUGACUUGGACCACGUCGACGAGCCUGAGCUUAUUGCUCACCAGCUUCUGGAUGCAGGCUCGGAGUCCCGUCACCUCCUUCGGAUUUCCCCACAGCAAGCCCUUCUCUUUCCAGGAGGUGAACUGCGUGGGGACGCCAGAUCUAAACUCGGGGGCCGCCGCCCAUGUGGGCUUGCGCAGCUCGGUGAUGUAGAACCAACCCGAUUGCCACCCCUUGACGGAGUCCACGAAGGCCCCUUCGAGCCAAAGGACGUUGGGCAACUUACCCAACAUGGCGCCUCCGCAUUCCGCUUGCGUGCCCUUCACAACCUUCGGCCUCCCCUAUUGGGGAAGCCUUCCUCUUCUUCUCUCCCUCCUCCGGGAGAGAGUCCUCUUCCUCCUCCUCGUCUUCGGGGGAGGAGUCCGCCUCGUCGUCAGACGCCUGAUUGCGGGAACUCUUUCGAGUCCCCGCGGCCACCUUCUUGGACUUCUUCUCCGGCACCACGUGCGGUGCCGGAACCAGCAGCCCUGCUAAACGGGCGUUCUCUGGGUCUUCAGGCAUGGGAGCCGGGCUGAUGAGCUGCUUGGCCUUCUCCAUCCAUUCCUGUCAAAGGAAAAGAGAGAUUGAAACCCUCUUAGAAUCAGUUUAAUUACCACAAGUGUCCCAUAACGGGGUUGAAUCACUUACCUCGUCAACCGGAUGCUGCGAGCGAAAUCCGUGAUCUUCCGUCGCGGAUGCGGGUGCUUCGGCGCCCUUAAACAGCACCCUCCAGGCGCCUUCGUAUGUCGUAUCGAAGAGCCCGCUCAGCGCCUGGUGCUGUUCCGGAUUGAACUCCCACAGAUUGAAUGCCCGUUCUUGGCAUGGGAGAAUCCGGCGGAUGAGCAUGACUUGGACCACGUCGACGAGCCUGAGCUUAUUGCUCACCAGCUUCUGGAUGCAGGCUCGGAGUCCCGUCACCUCCUUCGGAUUGCCCCACAGCAAGCCCUUCUCUUUCCAGGAGGUGAACUGCGUGGGGACGCCAGAUCUAAACUCGGGGGCCGCCGCCCAUGUGGGCUUGCGCAGCUCGGUGAUGUAGAACCAACCCGAUUGCCACCCCUUGACGGAGUCCACGAAGGCCCCUUCGAGCCAAAGGACGUUGGGCAACUUACCCAACAUGGCGCCUCCGCAUUCCGCUUGCGUGCCCUUCACAACCUUCGGCUUGACGUUGAAGGUCUUGAGCCACAGGCCGAAGUGGGGCCGGAUGCAGAGGAAGGCCUUGCACACGACGAUAAACGCCGAGAUGUUGAGGAUGAAGUUCGGCGCCAGAUCGUGGAAAUCCAGGCCGUAGUAAAACAUGAUCCCCCGGACGAAUGGGUGGAGUGGAAAGCCCAGUCCGCGGAGGAAGUGGGGAAGGAAGACGACCCUCUCAUGGGGCCCAGGGGUAGGGAUGAGCUGCCCCUCGUCGGGCAGCCGAUGCGCGAUAUCGCCGGAAAGGUAUCCGGCGCUGCGAAGCUUGGUGAUAUGCUCCUCCUUAACGGUGGAGUCCAACCAUUUGCCUCCCGCUCCGGACAUAUUCGGAGAAGGUCGGGGCGAGAUGCGCGAGCUUGGGCGUUGGAGCUUGAGUGCACGGAGAUGGAUAAGCAAAGGAGGAAGAAGGCGUAGGUGAGAAGGUAAAUCCUUAUCCCUUAUAUAUAGGCGGACGAAAACUAUGCGUCCCCACCGGCCUGAUAAAACUCGCUUAUCUCCCAAGCGCCACCAUCAAUGGCGCGGUUGGGUUACCCACGUCCGUAUUGAUGGGAAUCCCGGAAUAAGGGGAACACAAUCUCUGCUUCGACAAGACGUGCCAAGGAAACCGCUUCGCUAAACGUGCUGAGGUGGUAUAGUAAAAAACGAUUCAAACAAAGGCUUGGUAGCGGUGUGAUGUCACGCCGCAUAAUACGUCAGCAGAUUGGACUGGUGUACAUUUUAUUCUCUCUACGGUGGAAUGUGGAAUUUAUUUUGCAGAGCCGGACACUAUCCUGGUGUUCAUGAUCUUCUCUGGAUUAUUCAAGGGAGGAACCCGCCUUGCAAUGCCGAACAUUAUGCGCGCCGGACUUAUCGUCAUUGAAGCCUGGUUCAGGGGCUACUGAGGGAGUCCUGGACUAGGGGGUGUCCGGACAGCCGGACUAUCAUCGUCCGCCGGACUCCAAGACUACGAAGAUACAAGAUUGAAGACUCCGUCCCGUGUCCAGAUGAGAUUUUCCUUGGCGUGGAAGGCAAGCUUGGCAAUACGGAUAUGUAGAUCUCCUACCAUUGUAACCGACUCUGUGUAACCCUAGCCUCCUCCGGUGUCUAUAUAAACCGGAGGGCUUUAGUCCGUAGGACACAACAUACAUUACAACAAUCAUACCAUAGGCUAGCUUUAGGGUUUAGCCUCCUUGAUCUCGUGGUAGAUCCACUCUUGUACUACCCAUAUCAUCAAUAUUAAUCAAGCAGGACGUAGGGUUUUACCUCCAUCGAGAGGGCCCGAACCUAGGUAAAACAUCGUGUCCCUCGUCUCCUGUUACCAUCCGCCUAGAUGCACAGUUCGGGACCCCCUACCCGAGAUCCGCCGGUUUUGACACCGACAGGGCCCAUAACCCACAGUUCCACAGGAUCGAAACCUGACUCAUGUACAUCCCUGUUUUUCAAAGUUGUUCCUCGCGCUUGGAUUCGUAUGUAAUUCACGAGCCACCUUCCUUGUGAUCUGUUCUGGUAUCAGAUGCAAUACUUAUUCCCAUUGCUCUAAACCCCUUUCACCUUCUUACCUUGCUCUCGAUGACUAUCCUGAAUUCCAACUCAAGAGAUGCCUCUAUGCCAUGUUGAGGUACCUAUCUUGUGUUGAGCUCCAUCCCUCCCGAGUCUUUCCCCCUUACUCACCCCUUAAAUCUCGAGACGAUAUUUCUUGUAGUGGAGGAGAAUUGUGACGCCCAAAUAAUUAAGCUACAGUAAUCCCCUUUUAAUGGUUCCAUGUCAUCACAUUACUAUUGCUAAUCCUCGCUUGAUCCAAAUCUUAGUUCAAACUAAUAUUCAAAUUAAAGACCAAAAUUCAAAUUUCUCAAGCAUGCAUAAUAAAAUGUUCAAAGUGUGGCAAAUAAUCCCUGGAUAUUUGUCAUGUUGGAAACAACCUCCUUAGAAUUUUCAAAAUGCCCCUGGGAGUUAAUUUUUGGUCAAGUAGUAAAUUAAAUGGCAUUUGCAAAACAAAUAAUUAUUUAUUUAACUCCAAUUGCCUCCUGUCGUGGGAAACGAACACCUAUGGGGCAGGGCCCCUUUUCGGUCUGGCAAGGGAGCGGAGGGCACACGAAGAGCAGAUCGAGGCGAAGCACGCGGGGGAAUUUUACCCAGCUUCGGAGCUCUCCGGAGAGAUAAAACUCCUACUGCUGCUUUGUGUUUCUAUUCUGUUCUUGCUCAAGAGUGUGGGUGUGUUGUAGUUUCGAAUGAGUCGAACCCCUUCUACGUGCGCAUGGGCCUCCUUUUUAUAGUCUAAAGGGGUCACCGACAGGUGGCAGCAUAGAGAGAGGGGUAAAAAAGUAAAAACGCGGGUUGGUACAACCGCUAUCAACAGUGCCCCCUACCUAACUCUGACAGCAGGGGACAAGGGCAUUUAAUGCCCAUCCGGUCGCCCAAACAGUGCAGGAAGUGACCGUUAGGGGCGCCACCAAUCGCCACGAUGGCCUCCUAGUCAUCUUCACUUGCCACCUCGCACCGCUUGGCUGCACAGCUACCCGCCACGUGCACCGGGAGCGAUCCUGCGGCGACACGUCAUCGGAUGCGCUGGAGCAUGGGCGCAGAGUUGUGGCUUUGCCGCGGCAAGCGCCUUGCCGCGGUCACUAUCUUGUUGCACCCGCAAGCUUGCCGCUCGCCGGGUCUUGGUUGGCCUUCCCGGCAAGAUCCUCCUGCCGGGGUCUUGUCCUUCCCGGCAAGCUUCUCUUGCCGGGGCUUCGUCUUCACAGUUAACACUUUGUUCUUGAAUGGCAGUAAAUAGGAAUGACGAAGGAUCUUGGCGGACGCCCGGCAAGCCUUGCCGCAGGACGCUGCGCCUGCCCGUGCACAAGUUCGGGGUACUAAGGUACCCCUACUUUAGUACACCGACUGGAGCCCCCGGGCCUGGGCCAUACACGGUGCUGAGCGCUGUUGGGCCAGGCCCAAAACAGGACACGGGCACGCGCGGCCUGGGUCCUAACUAAAUCCACUCCGUAUCCACCGCGUCCUCCCGUAACGGCACGCGUCAAUCGCGGCGUCGUGGGAGAGAUCGUGGGUGGAAGACGUUCGCGCGUAUCCACAGCCUGAUGGAGGGGUUUACCCUCCAUUUUAAGUUAAUGGAGGGCGAUCUCCUCUCCGUCAAGGUCUUCGGGUGCUUCGACACUCGGGCGAAGUGCUGCGUGGACAGCUCCUCCGAUAGCAAAGGCUCCCCCUCGAGCGAGAGCGACAAGGAGGAGAGCAACAGCGAUGAUGAGGGUAGCGGGCGGCGGGAUGGCGGGCCCGACUAGGUGUCGGGCGCCGCUUCGUGCGUCACCGGUGACCCCAUCAUCCGUGUCGCCGGCUCCUUGAACUCCCCGGGGUCGUCUCCUUGGGCGGCUGGCGUAGGGAGGCUGCGGAAGGGGAAGAGGGCUGGCGACAAGGCCGUCAAAUCGGAGUACGAGGGCGUAGUGCCCUCGACAGCGUGCUGACGUCCUGCCGCCCCAUCUUCGAGCCCCGCUUCCAGCGCCGCCAUCACCGUCCGGCCUUCGGACGGCCCCCGGGAUGUUCUCUUGGUGUCUUCGCCUAGGCGCCUCUUUUGCCCUUUUCGCCUCCUUGACCUACAUCCUGAAGAGAGGGACAGGAAAGGGAUUACGGGCAUCUUAUCUUUUUAAUUUGUAAGCCUUCGGGCCCUAGUCGCAUCUAAAACUUGUAACCCUCUCUUUCAUGUUUUUCAUCCUCUAUGGACUGUACCUGAGUGUGAUGUUUUUUUAAUGAAAAAGGGAUGCUUGCCGGGUUAUUUGUCUCAUGGGUUGAACCCACGCCAAGGAGCAAAUCCUUGGUAUCCCUCGGACAGGCAUUUCAUCUCCCGCCAACAGGCCCUGCCGCCUUCCCACGUCGCUCGACCUUUCUCACGCCUUUGACGGAGGCGGGAACGAGGUGGGUGCGGCCUCCUCAUUUCAUCCCUUUGCUGCUGUGACUACGACCAAACUUGGCCCCGGGAACGAGCCCCAGGGCCUAGAGUUGAGGGAGCACGGCAGUUUUCGGGAAGAAACGCGGUUUCGCAUUCCCCAGUCCAUAAGAGGAUGCAUGAUGAGGGACGAAAGACUUAUCUGAUAUCGCAGCCCCCGGCAACUCUGGCUUGCCGUGGAUGAAUCUUGGUACUCGCAGCCCCCAGCAACACUGGCUUGCCGGGGCCCAGGUGCCGGCGCGCCCUUCUUCUCCUUUCCUUGUCGCUGUUAUUUCAGUUAUGAGAACAAUUUAGUCAGUGCCGCAAUAAGUUACUCUUGUAAUAUAACUUUAUUCUGGGCAAUGCUUGUUAUGUUACAUCCUUUAUUUGAUUCCAUUCCUUGUAUGUUUGUACCCUUACGCUUUUACGGAACUUGCCGGUGCAAACACGCUUGCCACGAGCGCUGAGUGCAAAACAUCAGCAGCCUUCUAGCGGUGUUGCCUCCGGCAAGAAACCUUGUCGGGGCUAGUCGCAGCACACUUUCAUUGUUGAGCGGACUCAAAACAAAGUAAGGGUGCAACUUAACCACGAGCCGGUUCCUCUGCGCACAGGUUUUCCAUACAAGGCAUGGUCGUUCAAGGAAUAUAACUUAAAAAUUUAAAACUGACUGUGCUUAAACUUCGGCAACUUAGCUUUUUUGUUGUUUGUGUCCNNNNNNNNNNNNNNNNNNNNNNNNNNNNNNNNNNNNNNNNNNNNNNNNNNNNNNNNNNNNNNNNNNNNNNNNNNNNNNNNNNNNNNNNNNNNNNNNNNNNNNNNNNNNNNNNNNNNNNNNNNNNNNNNNNNNNNNNNNNNNNNNNNNNNNNNNNNNNNNNNNNNNNNNNNNNNNNNNNNNNNNNNNNNNNNNNNNNNNNNNNNNNNNNNNNNNNNNNNNNNNNNNNNNNNNNNNNNNNNNNNNNNNNNNNNNNNNNNNNNNNNNNNNNNNNNNNNNNNNNNNNNNNNNNNNNNNNNNNNUGUGGGCGCAGGAAUCUUCUCUUUGAGAAAAAGGAAGAAGAGAAAAUAAAGUUAUGGAGCCUUAAGGCUUGUUAUUGCUUACCGGGGGCAAGUUCUGCACAAAGUGUCAGUGUAUACAUGCUAAAAAGAAAAAGGCAUGAAUUUUGACAAUAUGUACUAAACAUAUGAUCUUUAUUUAUGCACGGGAUCUGCGCCCGGCUUUGUACAAAGGGUUACAUGCAACAACGGCAAGGCUUGUACAAAAGGUGGUUGCCAGGACAGCAGGUUCCGGCAACCGCGCCUUAUGGGUAAAACUUACGAAGAUGAUCUAUGUUCUAGGAGUUGCUCACCGGAAUGCCAUCUUCGGUCUCAAGGCGGACAGCGCCAGGCCUAGUGACUCGCUUUACCCGAUAAGGGCCUUCCCACUUCGGCGUCAACUUGUUGGAAUUCUUGGCAGAUUGAACGCGCCGAAGAACAAGGUCACCUUCCUCGAAGCUUCUGGCAUUAACUUCGCGGCUAUGGUAGCGGCGCAAAGCUUGCUGGUAGCGAGCAGCUCGUACAGCAGCCUGAAGACGAUCCUCCUCGAGGAGCAGCGCGUCAUCUUGCCGCAGCUGCUCUUGCUCAAGCUCAUCAUAAGCGAGCACUCGAGGCGAUCCGUAUACGAGUUCUGUGGGGAGAACUGCCUCUGCUCCAUAGACAAGAGCAAAAGGUGUCUGGCCAGUGGCUCGAUUUGGCGUCGUCCUGAUCGACCAAAGAACCACCUGUAGCUCCUCGAUCCAAUUUCUUCCGCACUUGUGCAGCCUGUCGAAAGUUCUGGUCUUGAGCCCACGCAGCACUUCAGCGUUUGCCCUCUCCGCUUGACCGUUGCUUCUCGGGUGAGCAACAGAAGCGAAGCAGAUCUUGGCGCCAAGAUCUUGGACGUACUGCAUGAAGGUGCAGCUCGUGAAUUGUGUGUUGUUGUCGGUGAUGAUCCUAUUAGGGACUCCGGAACGGCAAACAAUUGACCUGAAGAACUUGACUGUUGACUGUGCUGUCACCUUCCUCACUGGCUCCACCUCCGGCCACUUCGUGAACUUGUCGAUGGCCACGUACAAGUACUCGAAGCCCCCGACAGCUCGGGGAAAAGGGCCAAGGAUAUCAAGCCCCCAGACUGAAAAUGGCCAGGAUAAAGGGAUUGUUUGGAGAGCUUGAGCUGGUUGAUGAAUCUGUUUGGAGUGGAACUGGCACGCUUCACACUUGGUUACUUGUGCAGUCGCAUCCUGGAGGGCUGUUGGCCAAAAGCAACCUUGCCGGAAGGCUUUACUGGCAAGUGCUCUUGCGCCAAUGUGGUGGCCACAUAUGCCUCCAUGUAUCUCCGCCAACAGCUCUUGUCCUUCUUCCCGGGAAAUGCACUUCAAUUUCACUCCGUUGAAUCUUCUUCUGUACAGUAUGUCAUCGACAAACUGAUACAUACUUGAUUGUCGGGCUACUUUCUCUGCUUCUUCUUGCUCUUCGGGAAGUUCUCCUGUUUGAAGGAAAUGGACGAUCUGCUGUGCCCAUGCCGGAGCUUGUGGCUCGACGACAAGGACUAAAGGCGCAAAUGCUGCUGCGGGAACAUCCGCUUCUACGGCAAGAAUAUGAGAUCCUGCCGGAGCGUGAUGCUCCCCGGCAAGCGUGCCGGGGCACAGCUUGUCGGGAGCGUCUGCUUCAACGAAACAAACCCUAGGGCUUGUCGGAGCAGACUGCUCCUCAGCACUUUCUAUGUUGAUCCUGGGGACCUUCUUGGCGGCGGCUUCGGGGAGCUCUGCCGGAAAGUAGUCGCCAGUAACCAACUUUCUCUUCUUGCUCUGUCCAGUUGAUGGUGUUACAGAUGGCUGAGUCAGCUUGAGCACAAAAAUACCUGGUUCCACAGGUAACUUGAGUGCGGUGCACUUUGACAGGCCGUCUGCAAUGUCAUUCUGAGCUCUUGGAACAUGUUCCAUCUGCAGGCCGUCAAAAUGCUCUUCCAGCUUCCUCACUUCAUCAAUGUAGGCCUCCAUCAGCGGACUCUGAUAAUCUGUGUUAACUUGGCGGACGACAAGCUGUGAGUCACCCCUGACAAUAAGCUUCUUGAUCCCAAGUUCUGUCGUGAUCCUGAGUCCGGCAAGCAGGCCCUCAUAUUCUGCAGUAUUGUUUGUUGCUUGCUCCUUGGGAAAGUGCAUUUGGAUCAUGUACUUGAGGUGCUCUCCGGUGGGUGCGACAAGUAACACACCCGCACCGGCGCCUUGCAGCGAGAAAGCACCAUCAAAGUACAUGAUCCAUUCCCUGUUUGCUUCCUUGACGGGGAUCCUCGUCUCCGGAGUUUCUUCAUCUGGUGUUGGCGUCCACUCCACUAUGAAUUCUGCCAAUGCUCGGCUCUGGAUAGUUGAAGUACUUUCAAACUUGAGGCCAAAGCUUGACAGUUCCAGUGCCCACUCGACAAUCCUGCCUGUUGCUUCUGGAUUUUGCAAUAUCCUCUUCAACGGAAAGCGAGUGACAACUGUGAUCUGAUGUGCUUGAAAAUAAUGGCGCAGCUUCCUCGAGGCCAUGAGAAGGCCGAAAAGCAACUUUUGCACUCCAGAGUAUCUUGAUCUAGCCACCUGCAGAAGGGAGCUGACAAAAUAAACUGGGUGCUGCACCAUCUUCUUUUGUUUCUCUGCCUGCGGCUGCACAGACUCAUCCUUGUCGGGACCAGAGCUUGACGGAGAAGCCCCCUGCUUGUCGCUGGACUCGCUUGCCGCGGCCGCUGGCUCAUCAUCUGCCUCCCUCUCUGCUACUAACGCAGCACUAACCACUUGAUUGGUUGCUGCUAGAUACAGCAGCAACUUCUCUUGCGGCUUAGGUGCGACAAGUACUGGAGUGGAGGAUAGGUAUCUCUUCAAGUCCUGUAGCGCAGCCUCCGCUUCUGGAGUCCAUUUCAUUGGACCUGCCUUUUUCAAAAUUUUGAAAAACGGCAGGGCGCGCUCAGCAGACUUAGAGAUGAACCUACUGAGAGCAGCAACGCAGCCGGCAAGCCUUCGCACAUCCUUGAGGCGCUUCGGGGCUUCAAUCUGCUCGAUGGCCUUGAUCUUGUCGGGGUUGGCUUCGAUCCCCCUCUGGGACACGAAGAACCCGAGAAGCUUGCCGGAAGGAACUCCAAACACGCACUUCUCAGGGUUCAACUUGAGAUUGAUCUUGCGCAGAUUUGCAAAAGUCUCAUCCAAAUCUUGGAUCAAAGUUUCUCUAUCUUUGCUCUUGACCACUAUAUCAUCCAUGUAUGCUUCUACAUUCCUGUGCAGCUGUGGCUCAAAAGCAUGACUGACUAGUCUUGCAAACGUUGAACCAGCAUUCUUUAGUCUGAAAGGCAUUCAUACAAAGCAGUACGUGCCACAUGGAGUAAUGAAUGCGGUGUUCUCUUCAUCCUCUUUUGCCAUGAAAAUCUGAUGGUAUCCUGAGUAUGCAUCAAGAAAUGAAAGCAGAUCACAUCCUGCCGUGGAGUCGACAAUCCGGUCAAUGCGCGGCAAGGGAAAUGGAUCUUUGGGACAAGCUUUAUUAACAUCCGUGAAGUCAAUACAAAGCCUCCACUUCCCAUUCACCUUGCGCACAAUUACUGGAUUGGCUAACCACGUUGGAUGGAGUACUCCUCGGACGAGGCCUGUUGCUUCCAACUUCUUGAUCUCUUCUGCUAUGAACUCUUGGCGUUCCGCCGCUUGCUUCUUGACUCUCUACUUGACGGGCCGCGCGUGAGGACAGACGGCAAGGUGGUGCUCAAUUACUUUCCUGGGAACACCGGGGAUGUCAGAUGGUUGCCAUGCAAACACAUUGACAUUCGCCCGCAGGAAAGCAACGAGCGCGCUUUCCUAUUUAGGGUCAAGCGUGGCACUGAUGGUGAAGGUACCACUAGUGCCGUCCUCCUUGGCGGCCACUUUCUUGGUAUCAGGUGUCGCUAUCUUUGCCCUCUUGCACUUGCCGGUGGAGCUCGAUGGUGCGUCCUCGACGGUAGCACAGCACUCCGAAGAGGUGCGCUUGCCGGAGUGGGCAUCAGAGCUACUCUUGCCGGACUUGGUCUUCUUCUUCUUCCCCCCGGGAGCUUCAGCGGCAAGUGGUUUGUGCUCUGCUGCGGCUGCUGCUUCCUGGUAGAUCUUGUCGGUGCAGAUAAGCGCAUCCUUCUUGUCGCCUUGGACAGAAAUGACGCUUAUCGGACCGGGCAUCUUGACCACGUUGUAAGCAUAAUGAGAGGCUGCCAUGAACUUGGAAAGCGCUGGACGGCCGAGUAUCCCAUUGUAGGGCAACGGGAAAUCAGCAACAUCAAAUGUGACUCUCUCUGUCCUGAAGUUCAGUUUGCUGCCAAAUGUCACUGGUAGUGUAAUCUUCCCCUUGGGCUUGCUCCUUCCCGGGUUGAUUCCUUGAAAGGUACCAGUUUCUUCGAGCUCGCUGUCGGGGAUCUGGAGCUUGUUGAGCACCGCGGAAGAGAUCAGAUUUAGGCCGGCCCCACCGUCAACCAACAUCUUCGUGACCUUGAGGUUGCGGAUGGUUGGCGAAACCAACAUCGGCAAGCACCCGACCGCAGUGAUGCGAUCAGGGUGAUCCUCAACAUCAAAGACGAUGGGCGUACUGGACCACUUCAGGGGCUUGCGCGAUUCGACUGAUGGUUCAGCUGCAUUUACCUCCCGCACCCACUGCUUGAGUUGGCGGUGCGAGGUGUGCAGAGAAGCACCGCCGUCAACGCACAAAACCUCUGUUGCCUUCUGAAACUCUUGCUCGUCGGUCUCAUCCUCGUCCAUCUCAUCAUCCUCAUCUUCAUCUUCGUCCUUGUCACGGCCACGGGGAGGUCUGUCUCCUUGCCGCUGCUUGGCCUUGCCGCGGCGCCCUCCCCGGGCGGGACGCUUCUUGCCGGAUCCUCCGCCACCUUCCUGGGCCUUCUCCUUGUCGCGACGCUCGUAUUCAGCUUUCUGUAGUUCUGCCAUUUGCUCAACCUUCUUGCAUGCUUGGAGGUCAUGGCCCUUGGUGCGAUGGAUCUUGCAGUACUGCUUGCCGGAACAAUCCUGCUUGUCGGCGGCCACCACAGCCUCGCCGGAGUCACCAGCUUUGGCCUUGUCGGCGCCGCCUCCGUUGCCGGACUGCUCAACAACUAGCACAUCCUUAGCCUUUCUCUUUCUAUUAUUCCGCCUCCGGUUCUUCUUUGCCGGAGGGACGUCCUCAUUGUCCGAUCCUUCUGCUCCUGCAUUCUCUCCGGGAAGUUUCCUCCCCUCUUCAGCUCGUGCACACUUGUCAGCCAGAGCAUAUAGCUCGCUGACAUCUCUAAUCUUGCACAUCGCCAUCUCCUCCCUCAUCCUGCGGUUACGCACGUUCUGAUGGAAUGCGCUGAUAACCGCGGCAGGGUGGACGUCUGGGAUGUUGCGCUGCACCUGGCUGAAUCUCUGUAUGUACUUGCGCAGGGGUUCUCCUUCUUUCUGGGCGAGCAGAUGAAGAUUGCUCUCCUGACCAUGGGGUUUGUGGCCGCCUGUGAAGGCGCCGACAAACUGAUGGCACAGGUCCGCCCACGAAGAGAUGGAGUUGUCCGGCAAGUGCAUGAGCCAAGAUCUGACGUUGGGCUUGAGCACCAGCGGGAAGUAGUUGGCGAGGAUCUUCUCGUCGCGCCCCCCGGCAGCCUGCACCGCGAUGGUGUAGACGCUGAGGAACUCUGAUGGAUGUAUCCUGCCAUCGUACUUCUCGGGUAUGUCCGGCUUGAAGUUCUUGGUACUGGGCCACUGGACUUGCCGCAGCUCACGGGUGAACGCAGGGUAACCUGCCGCGUACGGCAAGUCGCCUGGUUCCCCUGGCGCAUGCAUAUCGACAGUGGGCCCAGCGCACUGGUCAGAUUAAUGUCGCGCUUCUCUUCUGCGCUCGAUGCGAGUACGAGCGUCUCUGUGUCGUCGUUCUUGGAGAACUUGGCGUUGAUCGCGGCGAGCUCGCGGGUCCGACGACGCGGUGGAGUCGGUGUCGAGGUUGGAACGGCGAGUUGGCGAUCAUGGCCUUCGGGGCGGGGAGUGCACGGUGGUGGCACCCCCAGCGGUCUUGUCGGUGUCGGCUUGCGCCCGGGCGUCUUGCCGGGGCUUUCGAUGUGCUCGGUUGCCGGGGCUUGUCGCCGUUGGCGAAGCCGAUGAGGCUUUGGAUGGUGAUCCUCCAGUCGUCGAUCUUGUCUGGCGCUGGAGGGUAAUCUAGAAGCAGCUGGGCUCGGGCCAGCGCUUCCUCUGGAGUCUUGGGCGGCGGUGGCGAGCGACGCGAGGUGCGGGAUAUGCUCAAACUUCUAACAGUGUUAGAAGGAGCAACAUCUCGCCCAGGCGACCGUACUUCGCUCGUGCCAGCGUGUUGACGUGUAUGUUGGCCUUGAGCGUCCCGCGAUCCGCCGGCUUGGCCUUGUUCCAACACGAGCACGGUGCUAGGAGUACCGUGGCAUUGCCGAUCUUGCACCUCCUGGGAGGGGUACGGUGGAUGUACAGACGCUGAAGCUUGCGGGGCCUUGUCCUCGGACCUGGUGACGAUGUGAGUCCCCCCGUCGGCGCCCGCUCCUCCGCCGGCGUCCACCCCACCACCCGUUUGCUCCGGUGGCGGUAGGAUAGUCGCAAACGGAGUGGCCACCUCCGAAGCCUUCUUCUUCGGUGGCAUGUCGAUGAAGAUGUUGAUGUAGCGCGCAGAUGCCGGAUCAGGUACGCACAACCUCGACGCCCACCUACCUGGCGCGCCAAAGAUGUCGUGGGAAACGAACACCUAUGGGGCAGGGCCCCUUUUCGGUCCAGCAAGGGAGCGGAGGGCGCACGAAGAGCAGAUCGAGGCGGAGCACGCGGGGGAAUUUUACCCAGCUUCGGAGCUCUCCGGAGAGAUAAAACUCCUACUGCUGCUUUGUGUUUCUAUUCUGUUCUUGCUCAAGAGCGUGGGUGUGUUGUAGUUUUGAAUGUGUCGAACCCCUUCUACGUGUGCAUGGGCCUCCUUUUUAUAGUCUAAAGGGGUCAGCGACAGGUGGCAGCGUAGAGAGAGGGGUAAAAAAGUAAAAACGCGGGUUGGUACAACCGCUAUCAACAGUGGCCCCUACCUAACUCUGACGGCAGGGGACAAGGGCAUUUAAUGCCCGUCCGGUCGCCCAAACAGUGCAGGAAGCGACCGUUAGGGGCGCCACCGAUCGCCAUGAUGGCCUCCUAGUCAUCUUCACUUGCCACCUCGCACCGCUUGGCUGCACAGCUACCCGCCACGUGCACCGGGAGCGAUCCUGCGGCGACACGUCGUCGGAUGCGCUGGAGCGUGGGCGCAGAGUUGUGGCUUCGCUGUAGCAAGCGCCUUGCCGCGGUCACUAUCUUGUCGCACCCGCAAGCUUGCCGCUCGCCGGGUCUUGGUUGGCCUUCCCGGCAAGCUCCUCUUGCCGGGGUCUUGUCCUUCCCGGCAAGCUUCUCUUGUCGGGGCUUCGUCUUCACAGUUAACACUUUGUUCUUGAAUGGCAGUAAAUAGGAAUGACGAAGGAUCUUGGCGGACGCCCGGCAAGCCUUGCCGCAGGACGCUGCGACUGCCCGUGCACAAGUUCGGGGUACUAAGGUACCCCUACUUUAGUACACCGACACCUCCAAACUUUAUGUGGCACUGCAAAAUAUUUGUGGCUCUGUCUAAGAUUGCCAAGGAAUUAAAAGGGGAACUUAACAUAUUUUUCCUAAGUAAAUAGUGUGCCCAAAAUAUUCUCUUAACCAUCUCUGUUUUUUUUAAUAAAAAAAGGCGAAUAAGAACUCGCCCGGGCCUCGGCCUACUCCCACUUACCAGCCCACCUAAGCCGGCCCACUCCCCCGCUCCCAUGGCCUAUAGGCCAUGCUCAACCGAACCCUAACCCCGCACGAUCCCCCCACUCCCCACUUCUCUCCCCUCCCGAUCCAAUCUGGAUCGGACCGAAACUGGCGCCCCGACGCCAACCGCCGUCGCUGGAGGCAUCCCCGACUCCACGCUGGGCCACCCCAUCACCUGACCUCCUCCCCGUCGUCGCUCGUCACUCGCUGGACCGCCUCGUCCCCACCAACGCCGCCCCGAGCCCAACGUCCCUGUCGUCGUCGCCGUCGGCAUCGCCCCGAUGUCGCCACCACCCGACGCCGGCGCCCUCGACAUCGCCACCCCGAGCCCACUGCCACCCCUACGCUCCACUGUGAGCCCCUCGCCGAUUCCCCCUCCUUCCUGUCAUCGUAGGUGGCCGCAUGCGCUGUUGGCCACCGUGGCCGCGCUCCGGCCGUUCCCCAUCCGUGUGCUAGCCUCGCCUUCCCCGGCUGCGGCCACCAGCCUCCUCGUCGCGCUCCCGCCUUCGCCCACACCUGCCCCUGUACGCCCAGCCGCUGCUGCUCGCCGGAUCCGCAUGUUCGCCCCCUAGCUUCGUCUCCGGCCGUCGAGUCCGCACCCGAUGCCGGCGCCCCAGCGCGUCCAUGCGCCCGUACGGGCGGGCGCCCACGCCCAUGCCCCUCCGCCCGUUAGCCCGCCCCGCUAAGGCCUGGGCACCUAACCAAGGGGCCCCACGCCCCUGUGUAAUAAAAAAGAUUUAAAAAAAAUAAAUAUAAAUAUAAUUAGUUAAUUAGUUAAUUAAUUGUAUAGUUAAUUAACUAACUUAAUUAACCUUGCUUAGUUAGCCUAAUGAACUAGUUUAGUUAAUUUAAAUCUGUUAGAUAGGUCUAUGAGAGAACGACCCCACAUGUCAGUUUAACCAGUCAACACUCUUUUGACUGCUGACAUCAUGAUGACGUCAGGCUGACAUCAUAAUUCCAAUUUUGAAUUAAUAAUAAUUUCAGAAUAUUAUUAAAACUUUGAAAAAUCAUAGAAAAUAAACCGUAUCUCGGAUGGAAGUUGCUUGGAACGACGAGACAAAUCCGAAUGCGCAGUUCGUUCAUCUGUCACGCGUCCCUAGCAUAGCAAACGUUGAACUUUUCCCCUCCGGUUCAUCUGUCUGAUAGACGUCCGGAACCGGGAAAACUUUCCCGGAUGUUUCCCCCUUCGCCAGUAUCACCUAGCACCUCGUUAGAACACUUCUAGCCCCGCUUAUUGUCUUGUUAUGCAUAUGUUUGCGUGUAUUUACUGUUUCUUCCCCCUCUUCUUCUCCGGUAGACCUCGAGACCGCUGAUGAUGCCCCUGUGAUCGACUACGUCGACGACGACCCUCCUUGUUUGAGCAACCAGGCAAGCCCACCCUUUGAUCAUCCCGAUAUCGCCCAUUCCAUUCUCUCAUGCUUGCACUAGAUUUUGCUACUGUAUUUGACUGCUCCUAUUCUGAUGCAUAGCCUGCUUUUGUACCUGCUAUUGUAACUUACCUGCUUAUCCUAAAUUUCUUAGUACAGGUUGGCUAGUGAUCCAUCAGUGACCCCCACCUUGUCUUUGUUGCCCCUGCUUCAUCAUCGACGACUCGAUCAACGUGAUCGACGACCGGAGCCUGACACCUCACAUCACAUCACGCCCCUUUUUCUUGCUCGACUCUGCAGAGUUACCAUCGAGUGCCGAGGGUGGAACCUCAUACAUCGCUCCUGAUGAGAUCUCUGUAGUGUAGCUAUUCGGUCGUGGUCAUCGAGGGUGGUUCCUCCUUCACCAUUCCUAAUACGGCUCUGUCGUGCAACACCUCAAGUGUGAACCUCGAGGGUGGUUCCUCUUACGUUCACCUUGAUGAUUACAUCAACUGGAAUCCACCGGGGGUGAUUCCUCGGAUUUUCCCCUUGAUGUCUGGACACAUAGUUACCUUGAUACUUGAGACCGUUGUGAAAGCCGGGCGAGCCCGGAGAGCACCCGUGCGAUGUGACGGUGGCGGCUGGCUGUUUAGCGGUAUCACCCGGGAGGGGUGAUAGCUCCGGACUUGUCCCGACAUCCGUCACUUCUUUUAAUAAUGCACUAACACGUUUGUGUAUUUGUUCUGAGUUGGCCUCUGGCCUUUACGCACUAACCACCACGCGAGAAUAGUUAUGGGCCUCGACGUUGCAGUAUCUUUCGAAGCUUUGUCAGACGUCCAGUUCAGCAUUGUGGCCGGGCCGGAUCGUGCCAUCCACUUCACCGGUGGUGCUGGUAUCCCCUUGUGCACAACGACCCGGAGUGCAAUGGGCGAUGGGCCCAGACCCCGGAGUGCUUAGGAUGUAGACCGGCGGGGACCUCUCUACUGAGCCUAGGUAGGGCUGCGACGUGUUGAUCUUCCGAGGCUGGGCAUUGACCCCAGAAAGGUGUGUCCGGCCAGAGUGAUCGAGCGUGUUGGGUAACGUGGUGCGCCCCUGCAGGGAAGAUUAUCUAUUAAUAGCCGUGUCCAUGGUAACGUACCUUCAGACUUAUAUCUUGAUCUUAUACAACUACAAAUGGAUACUUGAGAUAUGUGGCUCCGGGAUUGCUUUCUCGCAGGGAGUCGAGGAAGGAUCUCUGGGCGUUGUUGUUAAAACAUGCUUGUUAAUUAAACUGCUAUUCUUUACUCUUCUACAUGCUGCAAGAUGCUUGGAGCUGCUUGAAGAUGCUAGUCUUUGUUUGGCUAGGCCUUCCCCUCUAUUCUGGCAUUCUGCAAUUCAGUCCACAGAUACAACCCUUCCAUUUGAUACCAAUGCAUACUUAGUAUAGAUCUGAUGCUUGCGAGUACUUUGGAUGUGUACUCGCGGUUGCUUUGCUACCCCUUUUCCCCCUUCUUUCUUCUUUCCGGUUGACGCAACCAUAUGGUGGAUCCUUGGAGCCAGAUGCCACCGCCGAUGGAUGCUAGUACGUGAAGAUCGCCGACGACCAGGAGUAGUUAGGAGGUCCUAGGCAGGAGGCCUUGCCUCUUCGAUCGUUGUUGCUUUUGUGCUAGCCUUCUUAAGGCAUCCUUAUUUAACUUAUGUCUGUACUCAGCUAUUGUUGCUUCCGCUAACUCUUGUGUAUCGAGCUAUGUAUUCGAGCUCUCGAGGCCCCUGGCUUGUAAUAUAAAGCUUGUAUUAUUUUGAUUUGUGUCUAGAGUUGUGUUGUGAUAUCUUCCCGUGAGUCCCUGAUCUUGAUCGUACAUAUUGGCGUGCAUGAUUAGUGUACGAUUGAAUCAGGGGCGUCACACAAGCGGUACUACUGCCCCACCCAGUUUCAGCAUUUCGAGUUUCACCGUUUUGCCCAUAACUUCCACAUCCGGAGUCCGAUUUUUGCAUUUUUUAGCUCGUUGAGUAGCUAUUGACAUCCCCCAUCCAUCUAUAUAGGUUCCAACACCAUUUGACUCCAUCAAAUUUUCCAAAAUUUGGAAAGUUUGCCUAGGCCGUCCACCAUAUCAUCUGCAUAGCCACCACCGACCACCGCAACCUAACCCAUUUUGUUCCCCUUAGCAUUUGAGGUUGUUUGAGUUGUGGCUUGUGUCUCCUAAGGUGUUUCGGCUACUUAGGGAUGGUAACUUCAACUCCAACACGUGUAUAGCCCAUCAUUCCACUUCCGCAUUGCCGAGUGCAAACCACCACCUCUUUCCACUACCACCAUUUGACAUUUACCUUUGUAGAUUUUGAGUUUGCGAUUUUUCCGUUUCCUAGGGUGUUUUGGCUAACUAGGAAUGGGUCGACAUCAGCAACAUCGCCUCUCAUCAUCGCCAAGGACGGUAACCUCGAUGACACCAUUGUAUAUUCCCUUGCCAUUGCAUUGAUAACCCCUAGCCCAUUUUGCGUCACUUGCCUAUCGAGACUAGCCGUUUGAGUAUUGCCGGCAACGUGACUUGUGCACAUUAGUGAUCAUACUUCCCAUAGCAUCAUACCAUAUCAUCGUGGUGCAUAUAUUGGUAGCAUAUCUUGCGUCACAAGUUUGUUGCCGCAUAUACACAAUUGCUAUCUUGGUUUGUGCAUUAUGCAGAAGUGGCCAUACAAAAAAGAGAAAUAAAGCUUUUAAGCAAAAGAAAGAGAGAAAAGAAGCUUGUAAGCAAGUGCCAUAGCAUCAUACCAUAUUGCACAUAAGAUUGUCAUAUCCGAUCAUCUUGGAUCAUCUUGAGAGAACAUCGGGAACCAUACAUACAUAGCAUACUUGGGAUAGAAAGUAUAUCCAUUUGGCAUCUUGUAGGUUGUGCACAAGUGUCCUAUCCGCCUAUUGAGCAAUCGUGCUAGCGUCUCUCUUGAGUUGUGCAACACGAGCGUUUUCUGUGGAUUCCACAUUUUGUGCUCAUUGCUUGGUUGCACGACCCCAUUUAUCUAUCCGUGUGUGUGUUUCCGUGUGUCAUUCUUUGCUAUUGGUCUACUUGUUUCACUUGCAAAUUUGUGAAUCUCUUUCAACAUUAUUGACUCUUGCUAACAUUUUGCAUCAAAUUUUUGUGCCACUAUCCUCACCGAGCUCCACCAUAAGCUUUACUUGAUAGGUGUGAGUGAACAAGUCCGGUACCAAUUCCACUAUUCUUUCAUUUCACAUUGAGUUAAACGGGAUACAUCCUCAACUUUGGGAAAGGUAACUUCCUAUUGUUUAUCUCAUUUCCUACUGGCAUUUCACCUUCGGUCUACAACAACAACGACGAGUUCGAUGCCACGAACAACUCCAACGACGCCAAGAUGCAAGCUCAAAUGGAGGAGAUCAAAGCCCUCAUCAAGUCCUACAAGCAAUCUUCCUCAUCUUCGAGAAGACACUCACGUGCACAUGUUUCCGAGCUACCAUCUCCGGUAAGAUCACAUCAGCAUCGACACCAUCACCAACAAGAACGUGAAGGUCAAGAGCUCAACACCAACUACCGCUCAACGACUUCACCAUCUCCCUUGGCAUCUUCGCCAAGCGACUUCAAGGCAUCUUUGAGUACGGAUAUACGGCAUCUUCGCCAACAAGAACCUCAAGGCUACGCUCAAGAGAAGCUCCCCAAGCUCAAGUCCACGACUUCCAUGAGCUACUACGACCUCGACACCGACCACAAGAUUCCUUUCUAUGGAACUCAAGAACCCGAGGAGUACCUCGAGUGGGAGCGUUUGAUGGACGACUACCUCAAGCUACAUCAAGUCCCUUCCGAAGAUCAAGUGAAGUGCGCCACAAGAAACUUCCACGACUACGCCUCGACAUGGUGGCUUCACACACCUUCGGAGAGCUACGAGAUGAGUUAGCCCAAGACGAAGAGAGCUUUGCAGCGAGAGCUCGUGCCUCCAACCUACAUGGAACAACUUCGACGCCAAUUGGAGAACACCAUCCAAGGAUCCAAGUCCAUCGACGCGUACUUCAAGGAGAUGAAGAAUGCCUUGCGACGAGACGGCGUGGAUGACCCCAUUUCGAUGAAGUUCCACUUCAUGAUGCGAUUGAACAACGACAUCUCCAAGACUAUCUUCCUCGAGAACUACAAGUCCCUGGACAACUACUACAUUGGUGCUCUCAAGGCGGAACAAGAACUCAUGAAAGCCAAGGCUUCUCCACCCCAAGCACACUUCGCGGCGACCAAGCUGUACGACAAGCAUGAGGCUAGUACCACCAUGAUGUCCAAGCCCGACGAGCUCCAAGACAAUGCUCCCAAGUUCGACUUCACCGCCAUCCCUCUUUGUGGCAUUGAUGACGCCGAGUCUACCUUGACUCUUUUUCAAGACGGUGCGGCGACGAGUACGACUACGGAGACCUUCAAGGACCAAGCUUUGGAGGCGAGCGACAAGGUGGCGAGCAAGGAUGGUGUUUCCAUCUUUGGAGGCGAGAGUGAUGAUGUGCCAUCUUCGUCCUUCAUCCACGGCGACGAUGACGAGAUGAUCGAGCAUGGGAUUUUCCCUUCGGUCAUGGAGGAGAGUGAUGAUGUGCCAUCUUCGGCCUUCAUCCACGGAGACGACGACGAGAUGGUUGAGCAUGGGAUUCUCCCUUCGACCACGGUGACGUAUGAUGACUUGAGUGACUUUUGCCACCAUAUUGAGAGUGAGAGUGACUUCACCACUAGCCCCAUAUAUGACGAGUUGCCCCAAUUCCUAUGUGAGGAGAGCCACAACCCCCACCACUUGAGUGAGAUGAGUGACUCCACCAUAUGCGACUUUGAGUGCACCUAUUUUGAGGGAGUGAGUGAACCACCACAUAGAGAGAGUGUGAUAGUUGAUAGGUCUCGUGAGGCCAUUUGCAUUUCUAACAACUUGACCUCUACCUCUAUUGUGUCUUCUCAUUUGGUGCUAGGUCCCAUUUAUGAUGACGCGCCGAUCCUCGACGACUUCGUCCUCCCUUUGGACAAGACGAUGGCCAUGGUGGAAUAUGAUGCACCCCCCACAUGGUUCCAUCAAGAUGAAGAUGACCACCAUUUGGUCUUUCCCACCUCACCUACACCACUUGAGUGGAAUGAAAAAGGUAACAUAGGUGAAGGUGAUGCUCUAGUCCCACUAGUGGACAUUCUUGACAUUGAUUGCUUGCAUGAUGUUGAUCCACCUAGUACCAUGCUUCAUGCUAGUAUGAUUUCCCCAUGUGAUGAUUUGGCCAUUUAUGAUGAGUAUGAUGAUUCUCAUGUGGAGUCUCUUAGUUGUGAUGUCAUGUUACAUAGGAUUUCUUGUGACAAUUCUUUAGGUCACAUCAUGUUUGAUAAUCCGCUUGACUUGUCGUAUGCUAUGCAUGACAUUCACCAUAUGUCAUAUUUGCAAUCUCAUUGUAGUGACUAUGCAUAUGCCAUUCAAAUUAACCCAAUUUGCACUUAUGGCAUAGAUGACAAGCCCAUGGUUAUUGGGAUUUGUUUUUCUUGUGAUGAUAUUGAUAUGGUCCCUUUGCAUCAUUUAUCUCAUAUGCCAUGUCAUGCCCACCUAGCUUCGGAUAUGCAUUGUUUUGGAUGUUGUCCAUUUUCUCCAUAUGAUGUUUCCAAUCUUGCUCAUGAGGAGACCCCCAUAGUUCCCUCAUACAUGUUAGGAGAUUUUGAUCCAUCCCAUCCAUUGCAUGAUCCCAACAAUUGUGUGCACCAUAUGCUCCCCAUGAAUAAACAUGCUAUUGAUGUGCCAUAUACUUGCAUUCUCAAUUUGUGUCCCCAUCGUGUCAUACAUAAUAACUAUUCUUUCAUGAUGGAUGACAUGUUCUUAUACCAUGCAUCAAAUUUCGUUGAGCGAUGCUUAUCUUGUGCUAACUCACACGUGCACAUACACAUCAUGAUGGAUGAUGUGUACAUUUACCACACACACAAUUUAUUUGGUUUGUGUCUCUUUUGUGUAGGUACCCAGGAAUACUUGUCAACCUCGCAAUCCCACGAGUUGACAAAACGAGCUCUAGAGAGCAACGAUGAUUUGGGAUCCCAUGGAUUGUCUUUCCCACCGCUCUCUUCGCGCAAAGACUUAGCGCAUUUCUUCUACAUGGCCCUCACUUGGCUAUGGGUUGUUUUCCAUUACAUAUUAUAUGCCCAUCUUGCCAUGUUCACUUUGCAUGAUAUGCCCAUUCCCAUGCAUUUGUGACCCAUACUUUGCUUUACACAUGAUGAUUGACUCUCAUACUUUUAUGUGUAUUUGCAAGCUUGGUGGAGAUAUUGCUUGUUGUUUCCCUAUUCCAUUUUUGACCCACCCCUAUGAUGAUACUAUGAUCUUGCUUUGUGUUCGUGCUUGUGAUAUGUCAUGUGCAUUGUCUAUCCCUAUUAUUUGCUCACAUGACAUGAUUGCCAUGAUUUACUCUGGUGUGUUGCAUCUUCGCUCCACUAGUUUGCACCACAUGAUUGAUAUGCUUGCUUGUAUUGCAUCCCCCAUGAUUCAUACUUGCUCAUUUCAUGCGAUUGAUGACAACCAUUUCCAUACUUUGCACGUGAUUGCUAUAGCUUCUUGUCACAUAUCUACAUAUGUUGCCUCUCUCAUGCUAGAUCACUUGCCAUGUAUUUAGUGCAACAAUGCUCUUAUUCUUGCUCAUGAGAUUGCCCCCAUAGCAUUCUCACAUAUGAUUGGAGUUGACAUAAUUCUUGUGAAGCAUGCUUGCCUUCCUUCUUUGCACCAUAUGCCUAGUGCCAUGAAUAUUGCCAUUGUUGCAUCAUAUUGUUCAUGCACUUGUGCUACUAAAGGUUAUGUGCAAGAGAUGAGAACCAUCAUGAUGGAUGAUGUGUUUCUCUACCAUGCGCAUAUACUCUUUGUUUUGUUGUGUGCAUGUGUAGGAUACUUGGACUUCGUCUCGACUUCCACUUCAUGUGAGUUGACCAUUCAAGCUCUUAAGAGCGAGCCUCACACAUUCUACCACUACUCGCUUCUACACCGCAUUUGCUUGCGCUUCGGCAUUGUGAAGAAUGCACAAGGACAUGCCUUCAAGGUGACAUCUUUCUUGAGCAUGGAUAUUGCGGAUCAUACUACUUGUGUAGCUUGCACUGUGAGACUUAUUGGUCAUCUUGGACCACUUGAUUGCGCACUUGCUAGAGAUCUUGCUUUGACUUGCCAUUUUCACAUUCCCAUGCAUCAUGAUAUAUAUGCCUUGUGUGUUGCAUCCAAUUCUUGGAUUACUAUCACAACCUAGCUAGUCCAUGCAUUAGAGUGUUGCAUCAUGUCUACCUUUUAUCAGAAACUUGAAUUGGGGAAGACAGAACCCCCCAGAACCCCUCUGAAUUCAACUAGUGCUUACUAAAAAUAUUUUCAAUGAACCUGAAAUGCCCUUCUAAAAAGUUCACCCUCUUUGUCUUGGGUUAGAACCUCUGGCAAAAUUGGUGCACAAUUUUCUAGGUCAACAAAAGGCCAUUGAAUUAAAUCAUAUCUACUUUGAGUUUGGGCAUUUAAACUAUAUAAAAUAUUUCAAAUGCUCAAAUAACUCCAAACUAAAAUGUUCCAUACUGGAUAUAUUCCAACUAGGGACCAUGUGCAGUUUGGUGAUUUUUGGAGUUGCCUAAGUAUUUUUAGAAAUGCAACAAACUUACAGAAACAAUUAAAAACAGAAACAAAUGGGAAAAACCCUUACCUGGCCGAACCAAGCCCCAGCCCAGCUGGCCGGCCCAGCACUGUGCUGGCCCAUGCCAGCCAGCUGCUUCGCCGUCGCCACGCAGGCACAGAGCUGACGCCGGCAAGCGUGAGCUCGCAACGGCGCCAGCUGCUUGCCGCCCGCGCCCCCGAGCACCUGGGUGAGCUCCACGUCGCCGCCCCGACCCCGUGGACACCUCAUUCGCCCCCUGCCUCUCUCCCUCGCUCUCCCGCACCAUGGCCGACGCACCCGCCGCCGCACCCCCGACGUAGUCGCGCCCUCCGUCGUCCUCGUGCUGCACCACCGUGUCCCUUCGCUCCGCCGUCAUCGACUACAUCGAGUAGGCCGAGCCCCGAGCGCUCGCUGGCCCUGUUUCAUCUUCUUCGAGCUCGUCUUCACCGAGCACCGCCACAGAUCCCCUUCGCCGUCGCCGCCGUACCAGCUCGUCCCCGACCUUGCCGACCACUCCGUUGUGACCGCCGUGAGCUCAGCCACCUCCCCAUCCUCCCCGUUUGCCUUCUCGUGCACCGUAGCAACCGCAUGGAGCUUCAUCGCACGCACCACCGACGAGCUCGUCGCCGACGUGCCUCCGGCCAUCCACCGUCCACACCACGGUGUCUAACAUGCUCACCGCAUCGUGUAGAGUCUAACGCCCCACUCCACGCGCCUCGCCGUGCCCCGUAGCCAUGGGUCCAUUUUCAUCCGACUCCGGCGACCGCCGUGGUCGUCGCCGGCGACGUUCCUGGCCACCUCGACCUCAACCACCACCACCAAACGCCGCGACUUGUUCCCGGCUACACGUAGAUGGUCUCCGUCGUCCAUUUGGUCGCCAGAACAUGCUAACCCACUUCCUCCGCCGCGUCUGGCCUCGCCGGCGGCUAGACACCGGCAUGUUUGACCCGUUGACAUUCACUGGGUGGGCCAGGUUGACUCCCCUGAGUCUAUGACAAGUGCCCCCCCCUCUGCUAAUUAACCUAGUUUAGCUCUUACUAAAAUCAGUUAGUUUAAAUAAGUGCUGACAUGCGGGACCCACUGGUCAGUUUGACCUGAACGACCCCUUUGACCACUGACGUCACCCUGAUGCACUGCUGACGCAAUAACCAAUUUCUGGAUUUAUUGUUAUAUAGGAAAUUCCAGAAAUUGUUGCAAACUUCAAAAAUUCAUAGAAAUUAAUCUGUAACUCCAAAUGCAAAGAUUUAUAUAUGAAUUUUGAUCAGAAAAAUUCAAUCUAUCCAUUGGUAAUGGUUUCAUGCAUGUCAGAACAAGUUAACCUUGCUGUUUAAUCAAAACAAGUUAAUGCACUAAUAUGACUAUGUUAAAUGAACUACCAUUUGCAUCUUUGAUUCAAAUGAGUUCAUACCUUUCUGUUCUAGCUUGCAUUAGGCCAGGACACAUUCAUGUUGCCAUGUCAUAGCAUGCAUCAUAUUGUUGUAUAUCGUCAUGUGUUGUUCAUGUUCGGUGUGUUUUCGUGAUAGGUUCUGCCUCCGAGGAUAACCCCGAAUAUCCGUCUGAAGGGCUGUAUCCUACUACCACUACAUCAGGCAAGCAACCCAUUGAUCAUUCCGAUACAAACCCAUGUUCUUGCCUCUGCUCUUGUUUACUGCAUUAAGACAAUGCGAUUCAAACUUUUGUGUGUUGUGGUAGUUGAACCCACUUCCUUUGCAUGACCUGUCAUUGCCACAGUAACUAGAUGAAACUCAGUAGCAUGUGUAGGAGUUGAUUGAGCCAUAUCUGUGUUACCUACCAUGCUAUGCUUGCUAUGCUUAGAGUUGUGUCAGGUCUGGCUCAUUGGGAUGAUGAACUAGAGUGAAAGGUUGUGUCGGUAAUGAAGUGUUGAACACGAUUUGGUAAAGGUAUCGAUGAGAGGCCAUGUAGGAGUACAUGGUGGGUUGUUUCAUUGAGGCCGUCCUUAAGCACUGAGAUCUGUGUGUGUGAUUUAAGAUUCAGCUACUACCACGCAUUGGGCCCGAAACCAAUGGACCCUCUCGACUUAUUAACCACUCUUGUCCUCUGUCCGGGAGUUGCAAGUAGUUUUUGGUGUUUGUAGCAUGAUGGGGGCCGCACGCAGUGCUGACCUUAGGGGUGGGUUGGGUUGCGGUAGGCAUGUGGCACGGUGUAUCGAUUCGCCCGUUUGGUGUCUCGGGAACCAUGUUCACAUCAUUCGGGGCCGUUAGUGGAAACCUCGGCCGGACUCCCUGCGGAUGGAACCCGAAUAGGCGAUAAACCUGGACUAGGGACUCGUGUGUUUAGUCAGGCCGUGGCCGACACCCUCGCUGGGCUUCCGCUUGAGGCUUGCCGAGUACACGUCAUGUAGCGGUGAUAAGUGGUGAGAGCGUGUGUGAAGAAGUACACCCCUGCAGGGUAUAAAACUAUUCGAAUAGCCGCGUCCGCGGUAAAGGACUACUUGGUCACCUAUGCAGUUCAUAGACAAGUAAAUGGAUACUUCUAAAAGCCUCAAGUUAAGUGUGAGUACCGAGGAUGGCCCUCUCGUAGGUUGACAAGAGAGGAUCCUCGGUGGAGUAUUGUGUUGGUGAGUAGUGGACUCGUGUGCGACAAAUGUUUUGCAAGUUGUGUCUAUCGUAGAAUAGCUUAGCCAAGAGUCAAAGCUGGCUUGCUGCAAUAACUCCACUACCUUCUUGAGAAUGUGCAUGUAUGAUAGGAUUCUGUUGUAAGACUUGCUGAGUACCUCUGUACUCAUGUUUGCUUAAAUGUUUUCAGACGACAACACCAACCCCUCCGAUGGGUUCUACGUAGACCUCGACGUUGACGAGUGACUAACCACCCAAGUGGUGAUCCGAGACUUGUGAAGGGCCGAUGUAGAUAGAAAGGCUUCGUCAAGCCCUCUUUCUUUCUAGUGUCUGUACUCAGACUAGUUGCUUCCGCAUGUGCUUGUAUGCUUGUAUGACUUGAGUCUCAGGUCAUGUGACCCCUAUCUGUAUGAACAUGUUAUGUAUGGCUCCUUGGAGCCACUUAAAUAAAGUACUUUGAGUUGUAGAGUUUUGUUGUGAUGCCAUGUUGUAUGUACUCAUAUCGGGCAUAUUGUGUGUAUGUUUGAAAUGCUUGGUAUGAGUGGGAUCCGACAAUCUAGUUGUUUAUCCUUGGCAGCCUCUCAUAUGGGGAAAUGUAGUCUAGUGCUUCCUGAGCGAUAGUAGUCCGCUACAGCCCGGUUCACCGGAGUCCUGCUAGCCCAGUACUACAGCUCUGGACACUUGACUGGACAGCAUGUGUUUCACUUCGUUCCUGUGUCUGUCCCUUUGCGGAAAUGUCACGCGGUGGCAUUCGGAGUCCUGCCUAGCCUGCUACAGCCCGGGUUACUGUUGGGAAACGUAGUAAUUUCAAAAUUUUCCUACGCACACACAAGAUCAUGGUGAUGGCAUAGCAACGAGAGGGGAGAGUGUUCGUCCACGUACCCUCGUAGACCGUAAGCGGAAGCGUUAGCACAACGCGGUUGAUGUAGUCGUACGUCUUCACGAUCCGACUAAUCCAAGCACUGAACGUACGUGGCCUCCGAGUUCAGCACACGUUCAGCUCGAUGAUGAUCUCCGGCCUCCAAUCCAGCGAAGCUCCGGAGAUGAGUUCCGUCAGCACGACAGCAUGGUGACGAUGAUGAUGUUCUACCUGCGCAGGGCUUCGCCUAAAAUCCGCGACGAUAUGACUGAGGUGGAAUAUGGUGGAGGGGGGCACCGCACACGGCUAAGGAACGAUCCAUAGAUCAACUUGUGUGUCUAUGGGGUGCCCCCCCCCCCCCGCCCCUGUAUAUAAAGGAGAAAGGGGGAGGCCGGCCGGCCCCUUGGGCGCGCCAAGGGAGGAGGAAUNNNNNNNNNNNNNNNNNNNNNNNNNNNNNNNNNNNNNNNNNNNNNNNNNNNNNNNNNNNNNNNNNNNNNNNNNNNNNNNNNNNNNNNNNNNNNNNNNNNNNNNNNNNNNNNNNNNNNNNNNNNNNNNNNNNNNNNNNNNNNNNNNNNNNNNNNNNNNNNNNNNNNNNNNNNNNNNNNNNNNNNNNNNNNNNNNNNNNNNNNNNNNNNNNNNNNNNNNNNNNNNNNNNNNNNNNNNNNNNNNNNNNNNNNNNNNNNNNNNNNNNNNNNNNNNNNNNNNNNNNNNNNNNNNNNNNNNNNNNNNNNNNNNNNNNNNNNNNNNNNNNNNNNNNNNNNNNNNNNNNNNNNNNNNNNNNNNNNNUCCGGUUUUCUCCGAAAUCACCCGGAACAAUUUCGGUGUCCGAAUAUAGUCGUCCAAUAUAUCAAUCUUUAUGACUCGACCAUUUCGAGAUUCCUCGUCAUGUCCGUGAUGACAUCCGGGACUCCGAACAAACUUCGGUACAUCAAAACUUAUAAACUCAUAAUAAAACUGUCAUCGUAACGUUAAGCGUGCGGACCCUACGGGUUCGAGAACUAUGUAGACAUGACCUAGAACCAUUCUUGGUCAAUAACCAAUAGCGGGACCUAGAUGCCCAUAUUGGUUCCUACAUAUUCUACGAAGAUCUUUAUCGGUCAAACCGCAUAACAACAUACGUUGUUCCCUUUGUCAUCGAUAUGUUACUUGCCCGAGAUUUGAUCGUCGGUAUCCAAUACCUAGUGCAAUCUCGUUACUGGCAAGUCUCUUUACUCGUUCCGUAAUACAUCAUCUCAUAACUAACUUAUUAGUUACAAUGCUUGCAAGGCUUAGGUGAUGAGUAUUACCAAGAGGACCCAGAGAUACCUCUCCGACAAUCGGAGUGACAAAACCUAAUCCCGAAUUAUGCCAACUCAACAUGUACCUUCGGAAACACCUAUAGAGCACCUUUAUAAUCACCCAGUUACGUUGUGACGUUUGGUAGCACACAAAGUGUUCUUCCGGUAAACGGGAGUUGCACAAUCUCAUAGUUGCAGGAACUUGUAUAAGUCAUGAAGAAAGCAAUAGCAGUAUACUAAACGAUCAAGUGCUAGGCUAACGGAAUGGGUCAUGUCAAUCACAUCAUUCUCCUAAUGAUGUGAUCCCGUCAAUCAAAUGACAACUCUUUUGUCCAUGGUUAGGAAACAUAACCAUCUUUGAUAAACGAGCUAGUCAAGUAGAGGCAUACUAGUGACACUAUGUUUGUCUAUGUAUUCACACAUGUAUCAUGUUUCCGGUUAAUAUAAUUCUAGCAUGAAUAAUAAACAUUUAUCAUGAUAUGAGGAAAUAAAUAAUAACUUUAUUAUUGCCUCUAUGGCAUAUUUCCUUCAGUCUCCCACUUGCACUAGAGUCAAUAAUCUAGAUUACAUGGUAAUGAUUUUGACACCCAUGGAGUCUUGGUGCUGAUCAUGUUUUGCUCGUGAGAGAGGCUUAGUCAACGGGUCUGCAACAUUCAGAUCCGUAUGUAUCUUGCAAAUCUCUAUGUCUCCCACUUGGACUUGGUCCCGAAUGGAAUUGAAGCGUCUCUUGAUGUGUUUGGUCCUCUUGUGAAAUUUGGAUUCCUUUGCCAAGGCAAUUGCACCAGUAUUGUCACAGAAGAUGUUCAUUGGUCCCGAUGCACUAGGUAUGACACCUAGAUCGGAAAUGAGAUCCUUCAUCCAGACUCCUUCAUUUGCUGCUUCUGAAGCAGCUAUGUACUCCGCUUCACAUGUAGAUCCCGCCACGAUGCUUUGUUUAGAACUGCACCAACUUACAGCUCCACCGUUUAAUAAAAACACGUAUCUGGUUUGCGAUUUAGAAUCGUCCGGAUCAGUGUCAAAGCUUGCAUCGACGUAACCGUUUACGACUAGCUCUUUGUCACCUCCAUAUAUGAGAAACAUAUCCUUAGUCCUUUUCAGGUAUUUCAGGAUGUUCUUGACCGCUGUCCAGUGAUCCACUCCUGGAUUACUUUGGUACCUUCCUGCCAAGCUUAUUGCUAAGCAUACGUCAGGCCUGGUACACAGCAUUGCAUACAUGAUAGAGCCUAUGGCUGAAGCAUAGGGAACAUUUUUCAUUUUCUCUCUAUCUUCUGCUGUGGUCGGGCAUUGAGUUUGACUCAACUUCACACCUUGUAGCACAGGUAAGAAUCCUUUCUUUGCCUGAUCCAUUUUGAACUUUUUCAAAAAAAAUUCAAGGUAUGUGCUUUGUGAAAGUCCUAUUAAGCGUCUUGAUCUAUCUCUAUAGAUCUUGAUGAGUAAUAUGUAAGCAGCUUCACCGAGGUCUUUCAUUGAAAAACUUUUAUUCAAGUAUCCCUUUAUGCUAUGCAGAAAUUCUAUAUCAUUUCCAAUUAAUAAUAUGGCAUCUACAUAUAAAAUUAGAAAUGCUACAGAGCUCCCACUCACUUUCUUGUAAAUACAGGCUUCUCCAAAUGUCUGUAUAAAACCAUAUGCUUUGAUCACACUAUCAAAGCGUUUAUUCCAACUCCGAAAUGCUUGCACCAGUCCAUAAAUGGAACGCUGGAGCUUGCAUACUUUGUCAGCACCUUUUGGAUCAACAAAACCUUCCGGCUGCAUCAUAUACAACUCUUCUUCUAGAAAUCCAUUCAAGAAUGCAGUCUUGACAUCCAUAUGCCAAAUUUCAUAAUCAUGAAAUGCAGCAAUAGCUAACAUGAUUCGGACAGACUUAAGCAUCGCUACGGGUGAGAAAGUCUCAUCGUAGUCAACCCCUUGAACUUGUCGAAAACCUUUUGCAACAAGUCGAGCUUUAUAGACAGUUACAUUACCAUCAGCGUCAGUCUUCUUCUUAAAGAUCCAUUUAUUCUCAAUGGCUUGCCAAUCAUCGGGCAAGUCAACCAAAGUCCAUACUUUGUUUUCAUACAUGGAUCCCAUCUCAGAUUUCAUGGCUUCUAGCCAUUUUGCGGAAUCUGGGCUCAUCAUCGCUUCCUCAUAGUUCGUAGGUUCACCAUGGUCAAGUAACAUGACUUCCAGAAUAGGAUUACCAUACAACUCUAGUGCGGAUCUUACUCUGGUAGACCUACGAGGUUCAGUAGAAACUUGAACUCCUCACUAAUUGGUGUAGUUGUCACAGGAACCGGUUCUCGUGAUGAACUACUUUCCAAUAAGGGAGUAGAUACAGUUAUCUCAUCAAGUUCUACUUUCCUCCCACUCACUUCUUUCGAGAGAAACUCCUUCUCUAGAAAGGAUCCAUUCUUAGCAACGAAUGUCUUGCCUUCAGAUCUGUGAUAGAAGGUGUACCCAACAGUCUCUUUUGGGUAUCCUAUGAAAACACAUUUCUCCGAUUUGGGUUCGAGCUUAUCUGGUUGAAGUUUCUUCACAUAAGCAUCGCAGCCCCAAACUUUAAGAAACGACAACUUUGGUUUCUUGCCAAACCACAGUUCAUAAGGCGUCGUCUCAACGGAUUUUGAUGGUGCCCUAUUUAACGUGAAUGCGGCCGUCUCUAAAGCAUAACCCCAAAACGAUAGCAGUAAAUCAGUAAGAGACAUCAUAGAUCGCACCAUAUCAAGUAAAGUACGAUUAUGACGUUCGGACACACCAUUUCGUUGUGGUGUUCCGGGUGGCGUGAGUUGCGAAACUAUUCCACAUUGUUUCAAGUGUAGGCCAAACUCGUAACUCAAAUAUUCUCCUCCACGAUCAGAUCGUAGAAACUUUAUUUUCUUGUUACGAUGAUUUUCCACUUCACUCUGAAAUUCUUUGAACUUUUCAAAUGUUUCAGACUUGUGUUUCAUCAAGUAGAUAUACCCAUAUCUGCUCAAAUCAUCUGUGAAGGUGAGAAAAUAACGAUACCCGCCGCGAGCCUCAACAUUCAUUGGGCCACAAACAUCAGUAUGUAUGAUUUCCAACAAAUUAGUUGCUCGCUCCAUAGUUCCGGAGAAUGGCGUUUUAGUCAUCUUGCCCAUAAGGCACAGUUCGCAAGUACCAAGUGAUUCAUAAUCAAGUGAUUCCAAAAGUCCAUCAGUAUGGAGUUUCUUCAUGCGUUUUACACCGAUAUGACCCAAAAGGCAGUGCCACAAGUAAGUUGCACUAUCGUUAUCAACUCUGCAUCUUUUGGUUUCAACACUAUGAACAUGUGUAUCACUACUAUCGAGAUUUAAUAAAAAUAAACCACUCUUCAAGGGUGCAUGACCAUAAAAGAUAUUACUCAUAUAAAUAGAACAACCAUUAUUCUUUGAUUUAAAUGAAUAACCGUCUCGCAUCAAACAAGAUCCAGAUAUAAUGUUCAUGCUUAACGCUGGCACCAAAUAACAAUUAUUCAGGUCUAAAACUAAUCCCGAAGGUAGAUGUAGAGGUAGCGUGCCGACCGCGAUCACAUCGACUUUGGAACCGUUUCCCACGCGCAUCGUCACCUCGUCCUUGGCCAGUGCUCGCUUAUUCCGUAGUCCCUAUUUCGAGUUGCAAAUAUUAGCAACAGAACCAGUAUCAAAUUCCCAGGUGCUACUACGAGCUCUAGUUAGGUACACAUCAAUAACAUGUAUAUCACAUGUAGCUUUGUUUACUUUGCCAUCCUUCUUAUCCGCCAAAUACUUGGGGCAGUUCCGCUUCCAGUGACCAGUCUGCUUGCAGUAGAAGCACUCAGUUUCAGGCUUAGGUCCAGACUUGGGUUUCUUCUCUUGAGCAGCAACUUGCUUGCUGUUCUUCUUGAAGUUCCCCUUCUUCUUCCCUUUGCCCUUUUUCUUGAAACUAGUGGUCUUGUUGACCAUCAACACUUGAUGCUCCUUCUUGAUUUCUACCUCCGCAGCUUUUAGCAUUGCGAAGAGCUCGGGAAUAGUCUUGUUCAUCCCUUGCAUAUUAUAGUUCAUCACAAAGCUCUUGUAUCUUGGUGGCAGUGAUUGGAGAACUCUGUCAAUGACGCUAUCAUCCGGAAGAUUAACUCCCAGUUGAAUCAAGUGAUUAUUAUACCCAGACAUUUUGAGUAUAUGCUCACUGACAGAACUAUUCUCCUCCAUCUUGCAGCUGUAGAACUUAUUGGAGACUUCAUAUCUCUCAAUCCGGGCAUUUGCUUGAAAUAUUAACUUCAACUCCUGGAACAUCUCAUAUGCUCCAUGACGUUCAAAACGUCGUUGAAGGCCCGGUUCUAAGCCGUAAAGCAUGGCACACUGAACUAUAGAGUAGUCAUCAGCUUUGCUCUGCCAGACGUUCUUAACGUCGUCAGUUGCAUCAGCAGCAAGCCUGGCACCCAGCGGUGCUUCCAGGACGUAACUUUUCUGUGCAGCAAUGAGGAUAAUCCUCAGGUUACGGACCCAGUCCGUGUAAUUGCUACCAUCAUCUUUCAACUUUUCUUUCUCAAGGAACGCAUUAAAAUUCAACGGAACAACAGCACGAGCCAUCUAUCUACAAACAAACAUAGACAAGCAAAAUACUAUCAGGUACUAAGUUCAUGAUAAAUUUUAAGUUCAAUUAAUCAUAUUACUUAAGAACUCCCACUUAGACAGACAUCUCUCUAGUCAUCUAAGUGAUUACGUGAUCCAAAUCAACUAAACCAUAACCGAUCAUCAUGUGAGAUGGAGUAGUUUUCACUGGUGAACAUCACUAUGUUGAUCAUAUCUACUAUAUGAUUCAUGCUCGACCUUUCGGUCUCCGUGUUCCGAGGCCAUAUCUGCAUAUGCUAGGCUCGUCAAGUUUAACCUGAGUAUUCUGCGUGUGCAAAACUGGCUUGUACCCGUUGUAGAUGGACGUAGAGCUUAUCACACCCUAUCAUCACGUGGUGUCUGGGCACGACAAACUUUGGCAAUGGUGCAUACUCAGGGAGAACACUUCUUGAUAAUUUUUGUGAGAGAUCAUCUUAAAAUGCUACCGUCAAUCAAAGCAAGAUAAGAUGCAUAAAGGAUAAACAUCACAUGCAAUCAAUAUAAGUGAUAUGAUAUGGCCCUCAUCAUCUUGUGCUUGUGAUCUCCAUCUUUGAAGCACCAUCGUGAUCACCAUCGUCACCGGCGCGACACCUUGAUCUCCAUCGUAGCAUCGUUGUCGUUACGCCAUCUAUUGCUUCUACGACUAUCUAUACCGCUUAGUGAUAAAGUAAAGCAAUUACAGGGUGUUUGCAUUUCAUACAAUAAAGCGACAACCAUAUGGCUCCUGCCAGUUGCCGAUAACUUCGGUUACAAAACAUGAUCAUCUCAUACAAUAAAAUAUAUCAUCACGUCUUGACCAUAUCACAUCACAACAUGCCCUGAAAAACAAGUUAGACGUCCUCUACUUUGUUGUUGCAAGUUUUACGUGGCUGCUAUGGGCUUAGCAAGAACUGUUCUUACCUACGCAUCAAAACCACAACGAUAGUUCGUCAAGUUGGUGCUGUUUUAACCUUCGCAAGGACCGGGCGUAGCCACACUCGAUUCAGCUAAAGUGAGAGAGACAGACACCCGCCAGCCACCUUUAAGCACGAGUGCUCGUAACGGUGAAACCAGUCUCACGUAAGCGUACGCGUAAUGUCGGUCCGGGCCGCUUCAUCUCACAAUACCGCCGAACCAAAGUAUGAAAUGCUGGUAAGCAGUAUGACUUGUAUCGCCCACAACUCACUUGUGUUCUACUCGUGCAUAUAACAUCAACGCAUAAAACCUAGGCUCGGAUGCCACUGUUGGGAAACGUAGUAAUUUCAAAAUUUUCCUACGCACACGCAAGAUCAUGGUGAUGGCAUAGCAACGAGAGAGGAGAGUGUUCGUCCAUGUACCCUCGUAGACCGUAAGCGGAAGCGUUAGCACAACGCGGUUGAUGUAGUUGUACGUCUUCACGAUCCGACCGAUCCAAGCACCGAACGUACGGGGCCUCCGAGUUCAGCACACGUUCAGCUCGAUGACGAUCUCCGGCCUCCGAUCCAGUGAAGCUCCGGAGAUGAGUUCCGUCAGCACGACGGCGUGGUGACGAUGAUGAUGUUCUACCGGCACAGGGCUUCGCCUAAACUCCGCGACAAUAUGACCGAGGUGGAAUAUGGUGGAGGGGGGGCACCGCACACGGCUAAGGAACGAUCCGUAGAUCAACUUGUGUGUCUAUGGGGUGCCCCCCGCCCCUGUAUAUAAAGGAGCAAGGGGGAGAGGCCGGCCGGCCCCUUGGGCGCGCCAAGGGAGGAGGAAUCCUCCUCCUAGUAGGAGUAGGACUCCUCCUUUCCUACUCCUACUAGGAGGGGGAAGGAAGGAGGAGAGGGGGAAGGAAAGGGGGGGCGCCGCCCCCCUCGUAGUCCAAUUCGGACCAGAGGGGGGGAGGGGGCGUGCGGCCCAUGCUGGCCGCCCCUCUCUCCUUUCCCCUAAGGCCCAUAAGGCCCAAUACUCUCCCGGGGGGUUCCGGUAACCCCCGGCACUCCGGUUUUCUCCGAAAUCACCCGGAACAAUUCCGGUGUCCGAAUAUAGUCGUCCAAUAUAUCAAUCUUUAUGUCUCGACCAUUUCGAGAUUCCUCGUCAUGUCCGUGAUGACAUCCGGGACUCCGAACAAACUUCGGUACAUCAAAAGAUAUAAACUCAUAAUAAAACUGUCAUCGUAACGUUAAGCGUGCGGACCCUACAGGUUCGAGAACUAUGUAGACAUGACCUAGAACCAUUCUCGGUCAAUAACCAAUAGCGGGACCUGGAUGCCCAUAUUGGUUCCUACAUAUUCUACGAAGAUCUUUAUCGGUCAAACCGCAUAACAACAUACGUUGUUCCCUUUGUCAUGGGUACGUUACUUGCCCGAGAUUUGAUCGUCGGUAUCCAAUACCUAGUUCAAUCUCGUUACUGGCAAGUCUCUUUACUCGUUCCGUAAUAUAUCAUCUCAUAACUAACUUAUUAGUUACAAUGCUUGCAAGGCUUAGGUGAUGAGUAUUACCGAGAGGGCCCAGAGAUACCUCUCCGACAAUCGGAGUGACAAAACCUAAUCUCGAAUUAUGCCAACUCAACAUGUACCUUCGGAAACACCUGUAGAGCACCUUUAUAAUCACCCAGUUACGUUGUGACGUUUGGUAGCACACAAAGUGUUCUUCCGGUAAACGGGAGUUGCACAAUCUCAUAGUUGCAGGAACUUGUAUAAGUCAUGAAGAAAGCAAUAGCAGUAUACUAAACGAUCAAGUGCUAGGCUAACGGAAUGGGUCAUGUCAAUCACAUCAUUCUCCUAAUGAUGUGAUCCCGUCAAUCAAAUGACAACUCUUUUGUCCAUGGUUAGGAAACAUAACCAUCUUUGAUAAACGAGCUAGUCAAGUAGAGGCAUACUACUGACACUAUGUUUGUCUAUGUAUUCACACAUGUAUCAUGUUUCCGGUUAAUAUAAUUCUAGCAUGAAUAAUAAACAUUUAUCAUGAUAUGAGGAAAUAAAUAAUAACUUUAUUAUUGCCUCUAGGGCAUAUUUCCUUCAGUUACCGGAGUCCUGUUAGCCCAGUGUUACAGCCCGGAUGUAUACGUUGAUGACCGACAUGCUCGAUGUGACUCAUGUAUGCCUGUCCCCAUAGGUUAGCGCCGCUUUGGGUUCAUGACUAGCCAUGUCAGCCCGGGUUCUCUGUCAUAUGGAUGCUAGCGACACUAUCAUAUACGUGAGCCAAAAGGCGCAAACAGUCCCGGCCAUGGUAAGGCGACACCCGUGGGAUUACCGUGCGUGAGGCCGCAAAGUGAUAUGAGGUGUUACCGGCUAGAUCAAUGUGACUUGGAAUCAUGGUCCAGACAGCAUUGGCAUCAGAGCCGGACUGCCUGUAGGUUCCUAAGCCAAACUGGUCGAUGUCGAGUCUAGAAAUGCUUUAGUUAUAUGUAGGGGAAUUUAUUGUGGGAGGAAACGUAAGGCUCUUUUUACCCCUUUACCUUAUGCCCUCUGAUCUGUGUCAUCCUCUUCUCAUUCUACGUGGGUUAAGGACUAGGCUCUCUUCUCUCUAUCAGGUUCACGUGUUACUAAUCCGUAGUAACUUAUAGGAUUGUUGGUUACCAGUCUCAGUACAGUUCCUACUACUUUAGUAUGUUAUCAGUUGAACCUGAACCUUGAUAUGAUGUUGUUGAGUGGUUUUGCAAUCCGUUGUGAAUGUCUCAAAUCUGCUCCUGAGCAUUUACAGCUGUUAUGUUGUCCAAUUUUCCCUAGGAAUUCUAAUGUCUUUGCAUUGUGGUUGUGCUUUCAGAUGGCCACUCGCGCUCAGAACCAAGUGGUUCGCCUGACGCGGUGCCUCAAUGUGCCCGGUCAUACUGCUAUGUUAGUCCGGGUCAUGAUCGAGACAGGUUACCGUUGGUAUCCCGAAUACAUUGCCGAAGAGCAAUUCCAAGACUUUAAUCAAAGCCAAUACUUCUGCACUGUCAGGAUAUUUCCUUCAUAUCCUGGAUCCACCGAGCCCCUUCACUGCUCCUAUGGACUCGGGGUCACCAUUGAGAUGGCUGUACAGGAUGCGGCCUAUUCUAUGAUGACCAUCAUGCGAGUCAGGACUGGUCUGCUUCGGAACACCGACUUCCGUUAUAUGCCAGCAUCGCUCCCAGGAGCGCAAGGGUAUCUCCAGGCUAUCUAUGCUGAUUCCACCCAUGAGGACUCACUAACUCGCACCAUUGCGGAGAUGCUCGAGGAUAAGGACCGAGAGAAUCAGGCCUUGAGGUUGGAGCUUUUCAACACCUGCGCCGAUCAUUGGGCCACUUUGACUCGGUUUGCACCGGCUGUGCAAGCUGGAUGUAUGGAUAUGAGGGAUCUGUUUCCUGUGAGAUCUGCUCUGCCAGACAUGGUGGAUUGGCGUGAUGUGGGAGGCAUCAUCCCACCCCGUGGUCCCCGUAGGCCAUCGUUUGUUGGUCCAAGACCUCAUCCUAGCCCCUAUGGUCCACAGGCUCCUCAGGACCGUCUGUUCCCGGAUGAUCACGUUGAGCUUCCAAGCUAUGGAGGGGACUUCUAUGAGGACUACUACGGAGCUGUCUGAGUUAGUAGUAGUAUCUUUAGUAUUGUAAUAGUUGUAAUUCCAUCGUCCUGCGUGACCUGUGGAAUAUGACUUAGUGUGUAUCAGUUCCGGAGGUGUAGAAAAAUAAUGUAUCGGAGCUUGGAAUGCCUCCGAUGAGAUGUAACUUCUUCCACCGUAGUUGUACUAUAGUCGGGCUUGUACUAAACUAUGUAUGGUGUGUAUGACUGUUGGUGCAUAUAUGGCAGUUUCUGUAUUACCAUGUCAUACAGAUGAACAUCUCUGCAUUCCUUGUUAUCCAUUACAUUCUGCACUUCCUUGUCCAGAUUUGCCAUCCUUGUCUAAAGCGAUGUCUUGUUUUCCUAGGAUGGUCAACACCCGUAACAACCCUGCUACUCCGGAGCAGGGUGAAGCCAGUGCAGCUAGGAAUGAAAAUCUGCCUCAACCACCUUCUCUGGUCGAAGUUAUGCUGGAGGCAGAGCGAAAUAAGCGUGAGACCAAUCGCUUGCUGGAGCGGAUUGAGCAGAAUACCGCACGCCAGCCGAGGAACGACCUGGUGUCACUUAAUGACUUUGUCAAGCUGUAUCCACCGAAGUUUAAACAUUCCGUCGAGCCCCUUGAUGCGGAUGAAUGGCUUCGCAGCAUUACCCACAAGCUACGUUCUGUCAAUGUGGCCGAAGCUGAUAAGGUUAACUUUGCUACCUAUCACCUCGAAGGCCCUGCUAGCCUUUGGUGGGAAAACUUUGAGGCUAUGCGCCCGGUCGGCCAAAUUACUACUUGGGCUGAAUUCAGUAUGGAGCAUCACAUUCCGGAAGGUCUUAUGGAUCGCAAGCGUGAAGAGUUCUGCAACUUCACCCAGGGUAGACUGACUGUGGAUGCAUACAGUCGCGAGUUUGGAUAUCUAGCACGAUAUGCUCCUAAAGAGGUAUCCACCGACGCCAAGAAGCAGGCAAGGUUCCGCAAGGGACUUAGCCCCGAGCUUCGUCGUGAUCUUCGUCUGCACGAGUGCACCUCCUUCCAGAAGUUAGUCAACAAGGCCAUCAGUGCUGAGACAGGGCAGUCGGACUUUGAAGCUUCACGCAAGCACUCCCGUGACUUUGGACUUCAUCCGGCUGUGCAUCUCAGAAGCGCCGGGUCUGGAUUCCAAGCACUGCUCUGCCACCCAGGUUCACCCCGAGGCCAUCCUUUGACGCGCCUCGCCCCAACCAAUAGUAUACACCGCCCAAGGCCUAUGGUGGCCCCACUGCUAAUGCUACUCCAUGCCCCAAUGUGAUAACUUGUUUCAAGUGUGGGGAGACGGGUCACUACAUUCGUGAGUGUCCCCAAAACAACCCCAACCAGAUUGGAAAGUCUGUUGGCCGUGGCAAGCCAGCAGGAAAGGUGCUCUACGCCAAGCCAGCCACCACUGCCCGUGGCCAUGUCAACUAUGUCUCAGCAGAGGAGACUCAUGAGGAUCCCAACGUCGUUCUCGGUACGCUUCUUGUUAAUUGCCACCCGGCAACCAUUCUCUUUGAUACUGGAGCAUCUCAUUCAUUUAUAUCUGAAAGCUAUGCUCGAUUGCACAACACCACAUUUUGUGACAUGCCCACCUCCAUGGUAAUUCAAACCCCUGGUUCUAAGUGGCAAACCUCUAAAAUCAGCCAUGGAAAUGAAAUCCUUGUCGACAGAUUAGUCUUCCUUGCAUCACUAAUAGCUCUCAAGUCCUCGGACAUAAACAUCAUCUUGGGUAUGGACUGGAUGUCAGCCCAUUACGCUAAGAUCGAUUGCUCCACUAGAACUGUUCAACUCACCCACCCUUCGGGCAAGACAGCCAAUGUUUUGACCCGAGUGUCUAAGCGUCAGCUUUACUCUUUAAAUGCCAACCCCCUUCCAGACCUUGAAGAUAUUCCGGUAGUCCGUGACUUCCCGGAUGUCUUUCCAGAGGAACUGUCAGGUGUUCCACCUAACAGAGAUGUCAAGUUCGUGAUAGACCUUGUUCCAGGAACCAUGCCAACAUCUAGGAGACCUUAUAAGAUGGCACCCCUAGAACUAGCUGAGCUUAAGAAACAACUCGAUGAGUCCUUGCAAAAGGGUUUCAUCCAUCCUAGCUCUUCUCCAUGGGCUUGCCCCGUCCUUUUCGUCAAGAAGAAGGAUGGAACGGAUCGGAUGGUUGUAGAUUACCGGCCAGUCAACUUGGUCACUAUCAAGAACAAGUAUCCGCUCCCCAAGAUCAACGACCUGUAUGAUCAGCUCGCUGGAUCCUCAGUCUUUUCUAAAAUGGAUUUGAGGUUGGGCUACCAUCAAAUCAAAAUUAAGAACGGGGACAUUCCUAAAACGGCCUUUGUUACUCGAUAUGGCCAAUACGAGUACACCGUCAUGUCCUUCGGUCUAACCAAUGCCCCAGCCACCUUCUCUCGGUUAUUGAACUCGAUCUUCAUGGAGUAUUUUGAUAAAUUCGUCGUGGUUUACCUUGAUGAUAUACUCAUCUACUCCAAGAAUGAAGAAGAACAUGCCGAACAUCUAAGGCUAGUGUUGAUGAAACUUUGAGAGCAUUGUCUUUAUGCCAAAUUCUCUAGGUGUGAGUUUUGGUUGCCAGAAGUAACCUAUCUAGGACAUGUAAUCUCUGGUAAGGGCAUUGCUGUCAAUCCCAAGCGAGUUCAAGCCAUCCUUGACUGGACUCCACCUGAAACGGUCAAGCAAGUUCAGAGUUUUGUUGGUUUAGCGAGCUAUUGCCGCUGCUUCAUCGAGAAUUUCUCCAAGGUUGCUAAGCCUCUAACCGAACUCCUCAAGAAAGAUAAAAAGUUCGAAUGGACGCCAUAGUGCGAGUUCAGUUUUCAGGAACUGAAAAGACGCCUGACAUCUGCUCCUGUACUUGUUCCACCAGAUUUCUCUAAGGACUUCGUUAUCUACUGCGACGCCUCGCGACAAGGACUAGGUUGCAUACUCAUGCAAGAUCGUCAUGUGAUUGCCUACGCUUCUCGACAGCUGCGUCCACAUGAGGAUAACUAUCCCACACAUGAUCUACAGCUUGCAGCAGUGGUCCAUGCACUCAAAACCUGGCGACAUUACCUUCUCGGUAAUCGUUGCGAGAUUUACACCGAUCACCAAAGUCUGAAAUACAUCUUCACCAAACCGGAUUUGAAUCUCAGACAAAGACGUUGGGUCGAGUUGAUUACGGAUUACGAUCUAGGAAUAACCUACACCCCAGGAAAAGCCAAUGUCAUGGCUGAUGCAUUAAGCCGUAAAUCUUAUUGUAACAACCUGAUGUUACAACAAAGCCAACCAUUUCUCCACGAGGAAUUUCGUAAGCUUAACCUUCACAUCGUUCCUCGAGGUUUUCUUUCCACCCUGGUGGCGAAACCUACCCUUACGGAUCAGAUCAUCAAGGCACAGAAGGUAGAUCCGGGAAUAUCCCGUAUCAAGAGAAACAUCAAAAGGGAGUUGGACUGUUUCUCCAUAGAUGAUCAAGGUGUUGUGUUCUUUGGAGGCCAUCUAGUGGUUCCCAAGGUAUGCAACCUGAGGCGAUUGAUCCUUAAGGAAGCUCAUGAAUCCCCUCUCACUAUUCAUCCCAGUAGUACUAAAAUGUAUCAAGACCUACGCCAGAGGUUUUGGUGGACUAGGAUGAAGAGAGAAAUCGCUCAAUACAUUACCAAUUGCGACGUCUGUCGUCGAGUUAAAGAAGAGCAUCAACGACCUGCUGGCACCCUGCAACCUUUGGAAAUUCCCGAAUGGAAAUGGGAUAAAAUCGGUAUGGAUUUCAUUACCGGGUUUCCCAGGACCAAGAGGGGGAAUAAUGCUAUCUUCGUUGUUGUCGAUCGUCUUUCCAAAGUAGCCCACUUCCUACACGUUCGUGAGAGUUUAACCGCUAGCCAGCUAGCUGACUUAUACAUCUCCCGAAUAGUGUCUCUUCAUGGUGUUCCAUUGGAGACUAACUCAGACCGUGGAAGUCUCUUCACCUCUCGAUUUCGGGAAAGUUUCCAAAAUGCGAUGGGAACUCGUCUUUCUUUUAGCACCGCUUUCCAUCCUCAAUCAAGUGGUCAAGUAGAACGAGUCAAUCAAAUUCUAGAGGAUAUGCUUCGAGCUUCUGUCAUCUCUUUUGGUAUGAAUUGGGAGAAGUGCCUUCCAUUCGCUGAGUUCGCUUAUAACAAUAGUUAUCAAGCUAGCUUGGACAAAGCUCCUUUCAAAGUUCUCUAUGGAUGAAAAUGUCGAACACCUCUUAACUGGUCAGAAACCGGGUAAAGACAACUCUUUGGCCCGGAUAUGAUCCAGGAAGCAGAGGAGCAGGUUCACGUUAUUCGUGAGAAAUUGAAAACAGCCCAAUCUCAUCAAAAGAGCCAAUAUGACCGCAAACAUACACUAGUAGAAAAGGGGCCAAUGGUCCAGGCCGGUCCAGCCCAUUAGUCCCGGUUCAAUCCAGAACCGGGACCAAUGGGGGCAUUGGACCCGGUUCGUGAGCCCUGGGGGCCGGCCGGGCCACGUGGGCCAUUGGUCCCGGUUCGUCCUGACCUUUCGGUCCCGGUUGGUGGGACGAACCGGGACCAAUGGGCCUCGCUCCUGGCCCACCAACAUUGGUCCCGGUUGGUGGCUUGAACCGGGACCAAAGGCGUCCCUUUAGUCCCGGUUCAAGUCACCAACCGGGACCAAUUAGUUGCCUAUAUAUACCCCUCGCCUGCGAGCAGAGCACUCCCAGUGCUCUGUUUUUCGUGGCUGGCGAGGGGAGAGCUUUGUGGUGCUCUAGCUCACGUCCUAUGCACACAAGGUGUUCGAUGGAAUGCCCGAGCCACACUACUUAAGCUUUCUCCUCUCCAAGCUCGACCUCCAAGCUCCAUUUUCCUUCAUAUUUGUCUAGGUUUAGCGGUUCGUCACGUCCCGUCCCCAUCUUCACCACCGUUGAUCGCCCGCGCCGAUCUCGUCGCCGGCACCACCGUGGUGAGCCUCUUGUUCUUAUCUUCUUUCUGAAAGGAAAAAAAAUUCUUACUUGUAUGUUUAUAUAGAUACUUGUAUAAUUUUCUUACUUUUAUUAUUGCAUCUUAUAUAGUGCGAUGGUUUUGGUAUCCGCCCCCGUCGGCCCUCGUCCUGUCUAUGAUUCAGAUGUGGUAUAUAUAUAUUAUCUUUUCAUAACUAGUGGUUCAUUUAUUGUUUAUGACAAUUAUGCCGACCAACGUGACAUAGAUUUUAUUUAUCUAGGAGGUUGUUGAACCGGAAAUUCCAACCGACCCUAUUGUCGAGAGGUUAAAUUUAGUUGAAGAAAACAAUUUGUUGAAGGGAAAAAUUAGAAAAAUUGAGGAGGAGAAGAUGAUAUUGGAGUUGCAUGUUGCGGAUGUCAUCGAUGAUCACAAGAUCAAGAUGGAUGCAAUGCGCUUGAAGAUUAGAAAGAUUAGAAAAUAUGCCAUUCAUACCGAGGCUUGGUAUCAUUAUGUCGUUGGAUCAGUUGUUACAUUGGUUGCGAUUAUGAUCGUAUUUGUUUUCGCAUUGAAAUGUUUUACAUAGUUUCAGUGUAUGGUUUAAUUAAUUUAGAUGCCCUGCAGAGCUUUAUGUUGUUAGAUGAGAACUAUGUAUGUACUUUGGUUUUAAUGUGAUGAUGAACUUCUAUUAAUUUCGUCACUUAAUUAUCUAUUCAUGAUGUUCUGUAAUGAUUUUUGACACACUUAAUUAUAUAUAAUGCACGCAGAUGAACCGGCAAUGGAUGUACGGUUCAAGACACACCUCCGAGUACAUUAAGGGCGUGCAUGAUUUUCUCGAAGUGCCUGAGGCAACAAGAAGAAUGGUUUUAUGUGUUGUCCAUGCCCUAUAUGUGGGAAUACGAAGUCUUACUCUGACUGGAAAAUCCUCCACACCCACCUUCUUUACAAGGGUUUCAUGCCACACUAUAAUGUUUGGACGAGGCACGGAGAAAUAGGGGUUAUGAUGGAAGACGGCGAAGAAGAAGAGUACGAUGACAACUAUGUGCCCCCUGAAUACGGUGAUGCUACUGAAGAUCAAGAGGAACCAGACGAUGUGCCCGAUGAUGAUGAUCUCCGCCGGGUCAUUGUCGAUGCAAGGACGCAAUGCGAAAGUCAAAAGGAGAAGCUGAAGUUCGAUCGCAUGUUAGAGGACCACAAAAAAGGGUUGUACCCCAAUUGUGAAGAUGGCAACACAAAGCUCGGUACCGUACUGGAAUUGCUGCAGUGGAAGGCAGAGAAUGUUGUGCCUGACAAAGGAUUUGAGAAGCUACUGAAAAUAUUGAAGAAGAAGCUUCCAAAGGAUAACGAAUUGCCCGACAGUACAUACACAGCAAAGAAGUUCGUAUGCCCUCUAGGAUUGGAGGUGCAGAAGAUACAUGCAUGCCCUAAUGACUGCAUCCUCUACCGCGGUGCGUACAAGGAUCUGAACGCAUGCCCGGUAUGCGGUGCAUUACGGUAUAAGAUCAGACGAGAUGACCCUGGUGAUGUUGACGGCGAGCCCCCCAGGAAGAGGGUUCCUGCGAAGGUGAUGUGGUAUGCUCCCAUAAUACCACGGUUGAAACGUCUGUUCAGAAACGGAGAGCAUGCCAAGUUGAUGCGAUGGCACAGUGAGGACCGUAAGAAAGACGGGAAGUUGAGAGCACCCGCUGACGGGUCGCAGUGGAGAAAAAUCGAGGGAAAGUACUGGGAUGAGUUUGCAAGUGAGCCAAGGAACGUAUGGUUUGCUUUAAGCGCGGAUGGCAUUAAUCCUUUCGGGGAGCAGAGCAGCAAUCACAGCACCUGGCCCGUGACUCUAUGUAUGUAUAACCUUCCUCCUUUGAUGUGCAUGAAGCAGAAGUUCAUUAUGAUGCCAGUUCUCAUCCAAGGCCCUAAGCAACCCGGCGACGACAUUGAUGUGUACCUAAGGCCAUUAGUUGAAGAACUUUUAUAGCUGUGGAAUGGAAAUAGUGUACGUACGUGGGAUGAGCACAAACAGGAGGAAUUUAACCUAAAGGCGUUGCUGUUCGUGACCAUCAACAAUUGGCCCGCUCUCAGUAACCUUUCAGGACAGACAAACAAGGGAUACCACGCAUGCACGCACUGUUUACUUGACACCGAUAGUAUAUACCUAGCAAGUUGUAGGAAGAAUGUGUACCUGGGCCAUCAUCGAUUUCUUUCGACCAACCAUCAAUGUUGAAAGAAAGGCAAGCAUUUCAAAGGCGAGGCAGAUCACCGGAAGAAGCCCUCCAUGCGUACUGGUAUCACGUACUUGCUAUGGUAGUGAUUUACACGUAAUCUUUGGAAAGUGUCCCGGCGGACUAGCUGUUCCGAAUGACGCUGAGAAUCACGCACCCAUGUGGAAGAAGAAAUCUAUAUUUUGGGACCUACCCUACUAGAAAGACCUAGAGGUCCGCUCUUCGAUCGACGUGAUGCACGUGACGAAGAACCUUUGCGUGAACCUGCUAGGCUUCUUGGGCAUGUAUGGGAAGACAAAAGAUACAACUGAGGCACGGGAGGACCUGCAACGCUUGCACGAAAAAGUGGGCAUGCCUCCGAAGCAGUAUGAAGGUCCUGCCAGCUACGCUCUUACGAAAGAAGAGAAAUAAAUCUUCUUUGAAUGCCUGCUCAGUAUGAAGGUCCCGACUGGCUUCUCUUCGAAUAUAAAGGGAAUAAUAAAUAUGCCAGACAAAAAGUUCUAGAACCUAAAGUCUCAUGACUGCCACGUGAUUAUGACGCAACUGCUUCCGGUUGCAUUGAGGGGGCUUCUACCGGAAAACGUCCGAUUAGCCAUUGUGAACCUAUGUGCAUUCCUCAAUGCAAUCUCUCAGAAGGUGAUCGAUCCAGAAAUCAUACCAAGGCUAAGGACUGAUGUGGUGCAAUGUCUUGUCAGUUUCGAGCUGGUGUUCCCACCAUCCUUCUUCAAUAUCAUGACGCACGUCCUAGUUCAUCUAGUUGACGAGAUUGUCAUUCUGGGCCCCGUAUUUCUACACAAUAUGUACUUCUUUGAGAGGUUCAUGGGAGUCCUAAAGAAAUAUGUCUGUAACCGCGCUAGGCCAAAAGGAAGCAUCUCCAUGGGCUAUCAAACAGAGGAUGUCAUCGGGUUUUGUGUUGACUUCAUUCCUGGCCUUAAGAAUAUAGGUCUCCCUAAAUCGCGGUAUGAGGGGAGACUGACUGGAAAAGGCACGCUUGGAAGGGACUCAAUUAUAUGCAGGGACGGAUAUUCUUGGUCUCAAGCACACUACACAGUUCUACAGAACUCUACCUUGGUGACCCCGUAUGUCGAUGAACACAAGAACAGUCUGCGCUCCAAACACCCGGAGCAGUGCGACGACUAGAUUACAUGUGAACACAUCAGGACUUUCAGUAGUUGGUUGGAAGCACAUAUCAGAGGUGACAACACUGUUUGUGAUGAGUUGUACUUGUUGUCCAGGGGACCAUCUUUGACUGUAUUGAUUUGGAAAGGAUACGAGAUAAAUGGGAAUACAUUUUACACGAUUGACCAAGAUCAAAAGAGCACCAACCAAAACAGCGGUGUCCGCUUUGAUGAAACAACCGAGAGGGGAAAGGACACAUAUUGUGGUUACAUAGUGGACAUAUGGGAACUUGACUACGGACACGAUUUUAAGGUCCCUUUGUUUAAGUGCAAAUGGGUCAAUCUGUCAGGUGGCAGGGUACAGGUAGACCCACAGUACGGAAUGACAAUAGUGGAUCUGGAAAAUCUUGGAUACACUGACGAACUGUUCGUCCUAGCCAAUGAUGUGGCACAGGUUAUCUAUGUGAAGGACAUGUCUACCAGACCAAGAAAGAGAAAAGAUAAGGAAGCGAAUACAUCAUACGAUGAGCCAAAGUGCCACAUAGUUCUUUCAGGAAAAAGGGACAUCGUGGGAGUGGAGGACAAGACAGACAUGUCUGAAGAUUAUGAAAAGUUUCAUGAAAUUCCUCCCUUUAAUGUCAAGGCUGACCCCAGCAUCCUGAUAGACGAUGAAGAUUAUCCAUGGUUACGGCGCAAUAAGCAAAUGACACAAGCGAAGAAAAAGUGAAGACUUUCUCCCGCAACUAUUAUGAUGAUACCAUGCCAAAUUUGUAACUGACGAGUAUGAUACCAUUGUCCGUUUUGUACAUGCACAUGCUAUGUGGGUCAAUUUAUGAUACCAUGCCAACUUUCAACUUUUUCAGAGUUCAUUUGAAAUGCUUUAAUGUCUUAUGGUUCGGCCCUCGUAAUGAUUAAAAAUAGCAACAAUAAGUAUUUUGUUGUAAGUAGAAACAAAAUAAAAUAAAUAAAGCAAGAAAGAAAACAAAAAAAACAAAAAAAGUGUUUUCAAAUUUGAAAACUAAUGGUACUAACAGAAAGUUUAUAAUUUUCCUAAAACUAAAAGCAAAAAGAAUUGAAAAAUAAAGCAAAAAACAAAAGACAAUAAAUAAUGCAGAAAUCAAAACAAAAAACAACAAUAAGUAUUUUGUUGUAUGUAGAAACAAAACAAAAUAAAUAAAGCAAGAAAGAAAACAAAAAAACAAAAAAAGUGUUUUCAAAUUUGAAAACUAGGGCACUAACAGAAAGUUUAUAAUUUUCCUAAAACUAAAAGCAAAAAGAAUUAAAAAAUAAAGCAAAAAACAAAAGAAAAUAAAUAAUGCGGAAAACAAAACAAAAAAACUGGAAAAAAAAUAAAAUAGCAAAAAUAAGUAAAGAAAACAAAAAAAUGCCUCCUACUGGGCCCCCACGGCCUGAAUACGACUAGAAACCCUACUAUGGGCCAGGAUUCAGGCCCGCAGUAGGCCCAGAAGGCCCAUCAGGCAAAGCAAUAGCAAGUAGGCCCGAAAGCCUGCGGUGGAGAGGAGCUCGAGAGGGGUGCGGCAGUGGGGCUUAUAAACCACUGCACGCCCCUCUCAACUAGCGAGGUGGGACUAAACUUUGGCCCCGACGCGGGAAGCACAGGGGCCUUUGGUCCCGGUUGGUGGCACCAACCGGGACUAAAGGGGGGGGCAUUGGUACCGGUUCGUGGCACCAACCGGUACCAAAGGCCGCCGCUUCCCGCCCUUUGGGCUGCCGAAAAGGAGGCCUUUGGUCCUAGUUGGUGGCACUAACCGGGACUAAAGGGUGCAUUAGUCCCGGUUGAUUUCACGAACCGGGACCAAUGCCUUUGCUAUAUAAGCAAACACUUUGCAAAAUUUCAGAAUCCCAUCGCCAGUUGCCCCCGACGACGCCGACCCUCCUCGACGCUGCCAGGCUGCUCCACCUCGCCGUCGUCGCCGCCACCGCCAAGCCGUCGCCUCCCCGAGCCCGCGCCAUCCUCGUCGCCGGCCUCCCUGAGCCCGCGCCGUCCUCGUCGCCGGUCUCCUCGAGCCCGCUCCCCGUCCCGCCCCCGCGCGCCGCCGCCCCGAGCCCCUGCCCCGUCCUGCCCCCAUGCGCNNNNNNNNNNNNNNNNNNNNNNNNNNNNNNNNNNNNNNNNNNNNNNNNNNNNNNNNNNNNNNNNNNNNNNNNNNNNNNNNNNNNNNNNNNNNNNNNNNNNNNNNNNNNNNNNNNNNNNNNNNNNNNNNNNNNNNNNNNNNNNNNNNNNNNNNNNNNNNNNNNNNNNNNNNNNNNNNNNNNNNNNNNNNNNNNNNNNNNNNNNNNNNNNNNNNNNNNNNNNNNNNNNNNNNNNNNNNNNNNNNNNNNNNNNNNNNNNNNNNNNNNNNNNNNNNNNNNNNNNNNNNNNNNNNNNNNNNNNNNNNNNNNNNNNNNNNNNNNNNNNNNNNNNNNNNNNNNNNNNNNNNNNNNNNNNNNNNNNNNNNNNNNNNNNNNNNNNNNNNNNNNNNNNNNNNNNNNNNNNNNNNNNNNNNNNNNNNNNNNNNNNNNNNNNNNNNNNNNNNNNNNNNNNNNNNNNNNNNNNNNNNNNNNNNNNNNNNNNNNNNNNNNNNNNNNNNNNNNNNNNNNNNNNNNNNNNNNNNNNNNNNNNNNNNNNNNNNNNNNNNNNNNNNNNNNNNNNNNNNNNNNNNNNNNNNNNNNNNNNNNNNNNNNNNNNNNNNNNNNNNNNNNNNNNNNNNNNNNNNNNNNNNNNNNNNNNNNNNNNNNNNNNNNNNNNNNNNNNNNNNNNNNNNNNNNNNNNNNNNNNNNNNNNNNNNNNNNNNNNNNNNNNNNNNCGCUGCAUUGGCUCUGUUUUUUUUUCAUUUUUAUUAGUUUAAUUAUUUUUUUGUUCAUAUAUAUAUAUAUAUAUAUAAUGUAUAUGUGUAUGUAUGUGGCUAUAUAUGUGUAUGUAGAUGUUCAAAAAUUAUUCAGAGCACGUUUUUAUUCAUAUAUGUAUUUUUUGUUCAUAUGUGUAUUAAUGUUUUCAUAUAUGCAAAAGAUAGAUUUUUAGAAAAGUUAGGGUUUUUUUUUCUAUUCAUAGAUUUUUUUGGUGAUAUUAAUUAUUGUAGAAUAUGCAAAUGUUUGUAUAUUCAUAUGAACAAUGCAUUAGGCAAAACCUUUGUUUUUUUUGAAAUUUUUUAUUUGAACAUUUUUUAAAAACAAGCAAUACUAAAAGAAUGAGAGGAAAAAGGAAAAUAAGAAGAGGAAGAAAGGAGAAGAAGAGGAGAGGAAGAAGAGGAGAAAUAAAUAAGAAGAGGAAAAAAGAAGAGGGGAAGAAGAAAGGAAUAGAGGAGAAGAAGAAAAAUAGAAAUUUUCUAUUUUUCUUCUUCUCCUCUAUUCCUUUCUUCUUCUCCUCUUUAUUUUCUUCUUUUUUUUCUUCUUCCUUCUUCCUCUUUUCUUCCUUUUCCUUAUUUUCCUUUCUCGAGGGAGAAGAAGAAAAAGAAGAGUAAAAGAAGAAGAAAGGAAUAGAGGAGAAAGAAGAAACUUCAACACAAGGGGGGGUUACCGAUACCCCCUCCCCGAUAACAUUAUUUUCCCAUGUAUAUGUAUGUCGCGUCAUUGUCGAUAUAACCCCCUCGAGAUAACUUCGACAUGAGGGGCGGUCGAUAUAUAUACCCCCUCUCGACCGUGAUAACUUAUACAACGGCAGCACCCCCCUCGGCCCUCUCGCUCGACCAAAACUCUUGAGGACACCCAAACCCUAGAGAGAAAACGAUGUUGGUCUCCUACCCCCUCCCGCCGCGCCCCUACCCGACAUAUUAACUCUCUCGAGGCCACCCAAAUUUACCAAGUUAAAAGAGCGUUGUCGUCGAGGCCACCCCAAACCCUUGAAGCGUUGUGUCGAGGAGACCCCAAACCCUAGAGAAGCAGCGUCGAGGCCACUAACAUGGAUCGAUCCAUCUGUAAUAAUAAUUGACAUGGUGUAAAUAUUUGCAGAAACUAUGGAGCACUCCCGAGACGAAGAAACAGAAGCGAUGUUGGGGGACAUUAUCGCACAAGGAAGUGAUGAAGUUGCGUCAUUUCUCAACGACACCGAUGGUCAGGAACGACUGGGUGAAGAAGAGGGCUAUGUUCAUGAUGGCUUCGACCCAUUAAUGCCGGUACAAGAAGAGGACUAUGUUCAUGAUGGCUCUGGUGACACAAUGGAGGUACAAGAAGGAGACCGUGCUGACUGCUCCGGUGACCGAACCGAGUCCGGCCAGGUAUAUAUAUAUAUAUUAGUUAAGCCCGUGCUGACUAGUUAAUUGAUGCAUCCAUUGUUUUGGUAUAUGUACACAUAUUAAUUACUCUCGUCUUUCUUCCUUAUAAUUUCUAGCCCUCCGGAUCGAGCACAACUUCGGUAAGAAGACGAAGCCCGAAGAAAAAGUUGAGCUCGGAUGAAAAGUUUGAGAUCAUAGAAAUCGCGCCCGACGGCGAACCGAUUGAACCCAUCCGGACAAGGAAGGCAUUUUCUGCUCAGUGCGGGGUUCUUGUUAGGGACAAGAUCCCGAUCAGCAUCCAUCAAUGGUAUAAGCCUAAGGAGGAAGACCCCGAGGUGUCUUAUGUCAAUGAUAUGCAGAAAGAAGAUCUUUGGACUGAGCUAAAGGCAAAUUUCACCCUACCGCUAGAGGAGGAUCCGGAGAAGCCAGUUAUAGAGCAAUUAAUCAAUUCUUGUGCUCUUAAGAAGAUGGCAACCCUAAUGAGGAGGUGGAGGAAAGAGGUGAACCAGUUUGUCGAGAAAGAUAAGACACCAGAAUUCAUCGGCAAAUAUGAGAAGAUCAAAGAUCACUGGCCCGCAUUUGUGGCCCACAAGACAUCGGAAAAGAGUAAGAAGAUGUCGGCAACAAACAAGAAAAAUUCUGCAAAGAAGAAGCUUCACCAUCGCACGGGGUCAGGUGGCUACCUCAAAGCCCGGCCUAAGUGGUCCAAGGCUGAGCAUGAUCUGCUUGAAAAAGGGAUCGAACCAGAGACAAUGUACUGGCCAGACCGUUGUCGGACUUGGUUCUUCGGGGCUGGCGGAACCUUGGACCCUGUAACAGGGAAGUGCCAGUGGACGGAUGAGCAACUACAAAUACCAGUCAAGAAACUUCGACACUAUAUCGAUGCAGCGUAGCGAGGGACGCUCCUUCCAAACAGGGAGAAGGACGAGCUCACAAUGGCCCUUGGGAAUCCUGAGCACCCUGGAUGGACACGAGGCACGCCAGGCUCCAUUCCAUGGAAGGUUGGUCUUCCGCACACAGGGGGUUACAAAACCCACGAGAGGAGGAAGAAACUGGAGCAGGACCAAAUGCAGGCGCUGCACGAAAGGGUAAUGGGGCUAGAGGAACGAGAAGCAGCAGAUCGCAGCAAACGACAUGCCGAAGCUUCCCCCGAAGCUACCUCGCCAUCUCAGCGGAGAAGCAGCGUGGCUUCCACCGAGCUGCUUCAGCCGGAGCAUGUCUUGACGUCUCCUGCCAGCUAUCCCGUGGAUGGUAUCACGGAGUCUCAAAGUUGCCACAUUAUGACGCAAUGUAUGAAUUUGAAGGUCAAGGCGGCUGUUGGCCAAGUUUAUCCUAGUGGACCCGGCACAACUUAUCACUGCCAGCCGAUUCCAGAAGGAUUUGCUAAGGUGAUGGUGGAUGAAAUAACGGAGGGAUUUGAGGACCUCCUGCUUGAGCACCCUACCGGUGAAGGGGAGACUAGGCUGGGUUCUGCUCUGAAGACUCCAUGCCUAUGGCGGAAGGAGCUCAUCAACCUUCCGAACUGGACGCCUCCGCCUCCUCCUCCUCCUCCGGCGAGUCAGGGCACUCCGCCUCCUCCACCGCCUCCUCCUCCGGCGAGUGAUGAUCAGGGCACACGUGGCAGCACUCCGCCUCCUUCUCCGCCUGCGCCGGCGCGCCCGAGCAGCCAGCCUCCUCCUUCUCCGCCUCGUCAGCAAGGGCGAAAGAGACCCGCCGCUGCUCCGGCUGCUCCGGCGCGUCGUAAUCCUUCUCCUCCGCCUCACAAAAAGCAAGCAAAGAAGACAUCCACUCCGUCUGCUCUGUCGGUGUCUAGCAGUACAGCCAAAGGCGGGAAGAAAUACAGAUUUGGUCCUUCUCCGAAGACUCCAGAGAAGUUACCGUACGAGAGGACCGAGGAGGAAAACGCGGAGAUCACGCAGAACGAACUGGAUGGCUGGUUUGCAGGGUUGAAAGCAAAGAGACAUCCACCUCCGGAGGAGAAGGUAGAUCCGGUGAAAGUGAAGCGCACUCUGGCUGCCCUGAGGAAACCGGCAAAGUCUCCGCCGAGAACCAACUAUGAGCGCAUUACUGAACAGACAUAUCUCCAAGCGGAGCAGUCGGGAAGUACUGUCAGACAUCAAAGAGCAAAAGAACGAGCAGCUGCGAAAAAAGUUGACCAGCUCGGCGAACAACCAAACCAAUCGUGCCCCCCGCUCAAUGUGUCUAGCGGCAACAUCGUCGCUAAUGUUCCGGGGAUCAUGGACGGUUAUGGCAAUCCACAAUAUUACCUGCCUGACGAUGCACUUCCUGAAUUCAUGAUGGUGGAAGAACGCAGAUACGAGUACGGGAAGCCUCUCAUCAAAGAUGUAAAAUCUCUAACAACGAUGAUGCGAAGAUUCCAUACUUGGUACAUGAAAACCUGCAGAGAGUCUGGGGGGACGAAUAGUUUGUAUCUACACAUUAAAGAGGAGCACGACCUCGUUGGAACUGAUCUGUUGUGUGUUCCAUUUGAGGAGUUCUUCGCGUUCUUCAAUCAAAUAGCCCUCGAUAAAUUAACGGUCUUUUGCUACUGCCUGUAAGUACUAUUUCUGUCAUUAAGUCUCUAUAUAUAGCUUGGCUUUCAUUACAUGUAUUUAUAAUUAAUUAUCCUCAAUAUAUUAUGCAGAUUGAAGAUCGUCGAGUGCAAAAAAAUGAAAUCUAUGAUAUUGGGUUCAUUAACACAAAUAUCAUAGAUGUAUUUCUGGUUGAAAAGCACAUCGAAGAGGCCGAGGACAACUUGCUACGAUCAUUGAUCAAAAAUCAAAACAAAGAUACCAUACUCUUUCCUUACAACACCAAGUGAGUGUUACUGAUCAUUUGCAUAUUCGGUUUCCCUUAUUACUCGAGCGAGGUUAUAGUAAUGUAAUUGAUGAGUUAUGCAUGUGUGCGCAGGUACCACUAUAUUCUUCUGGAGAUUAAGCUUGAGCGUGGACUAGUAACCGUCUUAGACUCGAGACGGAAAGAUCCCAGCACCUAUGCGGACAUGACUGAAAUGCUCAGCAAGUAAGUUCAAUCGAUCAUUAUCGCACCAUAGCGGCAACUUUUUGUUCAUUUCCUGAUAUCUCAAGUAAUAAUAAUUAUUUUCUUUGUCUUGCAGGGUUUGGAAACAGUUCACCACAGUAGCUCGGGGACUGCCGAAGGAGCUGCGAUAUAUAUACCCGAAAGUAAGUACUACUGGCUAGCUAGUUGUGUGCAUCUCCUGUUGAUUCUAUAGCUAUACUUUCAUCACAUUUAUAAUGCUUCAUUAUCAGUUUGAUAGACCUCUAUUUCUCGUAAAGUGCUUGUGGUAGGAACAAGGGAAUGAUUUCUAUAGAUACUACGUGUGCGAGUUCAUCUACAACGCGACUUUGAAAAAUAAGCGGGGCUACUCUCAAAGACAAUAUGAAGUGCGUAAGCAAUUAAUAAUAUUCACAAUUUCUGUUGAGUUUCAUUCAUAUAUAUAUAUAUAUAUAUAUAUAUAUAUAUAUAUGUAUUAAUUAACCCCCUUCUUCAAAUUAGACGUGGCAGAUGCGGAAUGAACUCCUAGAACCAGAUCGCAUGAAAGGAAUUCAAGAGGAAUUGGCGGGAUUCUUUCUUGACCACGUCAUCAAUAAAGCCGGAGAAUACCAUGUGGAACUUGAUUUCAAAUGCUAGGGGACUGUAAUUGAGAGAUCUUAUAUAUUGUACAUGUUGUAUGUAGCCAGUAGCGUCGGACAUACAUGAUACAAAAACUUGUUGUUUGACCAAUCUCUCGGAGAAGGAGACGUCGAUCGAUCACUUCUCUCGGUAUGCAUGACGAACUUCUGUACUUAAUGGUUUCCUUCAUUUUCUUACUAGCUAGCGUGUCGAGAGCCUCUCUAUGUAUAGUACGUAGCGUCGACCAAGCACGGACAUAAGAGAGGACACUUCUCUCUAUUAAUUAGCUAGCUAACACAAUAUAUGAAACACCUAAAUUAACCCCCAAAACCNNNNNNNNNNNNNNNNNNNNNNNNNNNNNNNNNNNNNNNNNNNNNNNNNNNNNNNNNNNNNNNNNNNNNNNNNNNNNNNNNNNNNNNNNNNNNNNNNNNNNNNNNNNNNNNNNNNNNNNNNNNNNNNNNNNNNNNNNNNNNNNNNNNNNNNNNNNNNNNNNNNNNNNNNNNNNNNNNNNNNNNNNNNNNNNNNNNNNNNNNNNNNNNNNNNNNNNNNNNNNNNNNNNNNNNNNNNNNNNNNNNNNNNNNNNNNNNNNNNNNNNNNNNNNNNNNNNNNNNNNNNNNNNNNNNNNNNNNNNNNNNNNNNNNNNNNNNNNNNNNNNNNNNNNNNNNNNNNNNNNNNNNNNNNNNNNNNNNNNNNNNNNNNNNNNNNNNNNNNNNNNNNNNNNNNNNNNNNNNNNNNNCCCCCUGCCUGGGCUCGGCGCGUGGAUGCCUUUUGGUCCCGGUUGGUGCCACCAACCGGGACCAAAGGCCCCCCUGCCUGGGCUCGGCGCACAGGCCACGUGGAGGACCAUCUAUCCCGGUUCGUGUUACAACCGGGACUAAAGGGGGGAGGUAUUAGUAACGACCCAUUAGUCCCGGUUCAUGAACCGGGAGUAAAGGCCCUCACGAACCGGGACUAAUAGGUGUUUGUCUACUAGUGAUAAGCCUAUGACUUAUGAAGUUGGUGAGAAGGCUUACCUUCGGGUUACACCUUUAAAGGGAACCCAUCGAUUCGGUAUCAAGGGCAAGUUGGCCCCUUGUUACAUUGGACCCUUUUGCAUUCUUGCCAAACGAGGGGAAGUUGCCUACCAGUUGGAACUACCUCCACAUCUUUCUAGAGUUCAUGAUGUCUUCCACGUCUCUCAACUCAGGCAUUGCUUCUCGAAUCAUAUCCGCGAAGUAGACCAUGAAACGCGUGAUCUCCAAGAAAAUCUCACUUAUCGAGAAUAUCCAAUUCGCAUCCUUGAUCAAGCCGAGCGUACCACUCGACGCCAGAAUAUCAAGUUUCUCAAGGUUCAAUGGUCACACCACUCCGAUCAAGAAGCAACUUGGGAAAGGGAGGAUCAUCUACGACUUGAGUAUCCCACCUUCUUCCCGAUAGACCCUAAAUCUCGGGAUGAGAUUCUUUUGAGUGGGGGUGAGUUGUCACAACCUAGCUAGUCCAUGCAUUAGAGUGUUGCAUCAUGUCUACCUUUUAUCAGAAACUUGAAUUGGGGAAGACAGAACCCCCCCAGAACCCCUCUAAAUUCAACUAGUGCUUACUAAAAAUAUUUUCAAUGAACCUGAAAUGCCCUUCUAAAAAGUUCACCCUCUUUGUCUUGGGUUAGAACCUCUGGCAAAAUUGGUGCACAAUUUUCUAGGUCAACAGAAGGCCAUUGAAUUAAAUCAUAUCUACUUUGAGUUUGGGCAUUUAAACUAUAUAAAAUAUUUCAAAUGCUCAAAUAACUCCAAACUAAAAUGUUCCAUACUGGAUAUAUUCCAACUAGCGACCAUGUGCAGUUUGGUGAUUUUUGGAGUUGCCUAAGUAUUUUUAGAAAUGCAACAAACUUACAGAAACAAUUAAAAACAGAAACAAAUGGGGAAAAAACCCUUACCUGGCCGAACCAAGCCCCAGCCCAGCUGGCCGGCCCAGCACUGUGCUGGCCCAUGCCAGCCAGCUGCUUUGCCAUCGCCACGCAGGCACAGAGCUGACGCCAGCGAGUGUGAGCUCGCCACGGCGCCAACUGCUUGCCGCCCGCGCCACCGAGCACCUGGGUGAGCUCCACGUCGCCACCCCGACCCCGUGGACACCUCAUUCGCCCCCCUGCCUCUUCCCUCGCUCUCCCGCACCAUGGCCGACGCACCCGUCGCCGCACCGCCGACGUAGUCGCGCCCUCCAUCGUCCCCGUGCUGCACCACCGUGUCCCUUCGCUCCGUCGUCAUCAACUACAUCGAGCAGGCCGAGCCCCGAGCGCUCGUGGGCCUUGCUUCGUCUUCUUUGACCUCAUCUUCACCGAGCACCACCGCAGAUCCCCUUCGCCGUCGCCGCUGCACCAGCUCGUCCCCGACCUCGCCGACCACUCCGUUGUGACCGCCGUGAGCUCAGCCACCUCCCCAUCCUCCCCGUUUGCCUUCUCGUGCACCGUAGCAGCCGCAUGGAGCUUCAUCGCACGCACCACCGCCGAGCUCGUCGCCGACGUGCCUCCGGCCAUCCACCGUCCACACCACGGUAUCUAACAUGCUCAUUGCAUCGCGUAGAGUCUAACGCCCCACUCCACGCGCCUCGCCGUGCCCCGUAGCCACGGGUCAAUUUUCACCCGACUCCGGCGACCGUCGCGGUCGUCGCUGCCGACGUUCCUGGCCACCUCGACCUCAACCACCACCACCAAACGCCGCGGCUUGUUCCUGGCUACACGUAGAUGGUCUUCGCCGUCCAUUUGGUCGCCGGAACGUGCUAACCCACUUCCUCUGCCGCAUCUGGCCUCGCCAGCGGCUAGACGCCGGCGUGUUUGACCCGUUGACGUUGACUGGGUGGGCCAGGUUGACUCCCCUGAGUCUAUGACAAGUGGGCCCCCCCCUCUGCUAAUUAACCUAGUUUAGUUCUUACUAAAAUCAGUUAGUUUAAAUAAGUGCUGACAUGCGGGACCCACUGGUCAGUUUGACCUGAACGACCCCUUUGACCAUUGACGUCACCCUGAUGCACUGCUGACGCAAUAACCAAUUUCUGGAUUUAUUGUUAUAUAGGAAAUUCCAGAAAUUGUUGCAAACUUCAAAAAUUCAUAGAAAUUAAUCUGUAACUCCAAAUGCAAAGAUUUAUAUAUGAAUUUCGAUCAAAAAAAUUCAAUAUAUCCAUUGGUAAUGGUUUCAUGCAUGUCAGAACAAGUUAACCUUGUUGUUUAAUCAAAACAAGUUAAUGCACUAAUAUGACUAUGUUAAAUGAACUACCAUUUGCAUCUUUGAUUCAAAUGAGUUCAUACCUUUCUGUUCUAGCUUGCAUUAGGCCAGGACACAUUCAUGUUGCCAUGUCAUAGCAUGCAUCAUAUUGUUGCAUAUCGUCAUGUGUGGUUCAUGUUCGGUGUGUUUUCGUGAUAGGUUCUGCCUCCGAGGAUAACCCCGAAUAUCCGUCUGAAGGGCAGUAUCCUACUACCACUACAUCAGGCAAGCAACCCAUUGAUCAUUCUGAUACAAACCCAUGUUCUCGCCUCUGCUCUUGUUUACUGCAUUAAGAUAACGCGAUUCAAACUGUUGUGUGUUGUGGUAGUUGAACCCACUUCCUUUGCAUGACCUGUCAUUGCCACGGUAACUAGAUGAAACCCACUAGCAUGUGUAGGAGUUGAUUGAGCCAUAUCUGUGUUACCUACCAUGCUAUGCUUGCUAUGCUUAGAGUUGUGUCAGGUCUGGCUCAUCAGGAUGAUGAACUAGAGUGAAAGGUUGUGUCGGUAACGAGAGUGAAGUGUUGAACACGAUUUGGUAAAGGUAUCGAUGAGAGGCCAUGUAGGAGUACAUGGUGGGUUGUUUCAUUGAGGCCGUCCUUAAGCACUGAGAUCUGUGUGUGUGAUUUAAGAUUCAGCUACUACCACGCAUUGGGCCCAAAACCAAUGGACCCUCUCGACUUAUUAACCACUCUUGUCCUCAGUCCGGGAGUUGCAAGUAGUUUCUGGUGUUUGUAGCAUGCUGGGGGCCGCACGCAGCGCUGACCUUAGGGGUGGGUUGUGUUGCGGUAGGCACGUGGCACGGUGUAUCGAUUCGCCCGUUUGGUGUCUCGGGAACCCUGUUCACAUCGUUCGGGGCCGUUAGUGGAAACCUCGGCCGGACUCCCUGCGGAUGGAACCCAAAUAGGCGAUAAACCUGGACUAGGGACUCGUGUGUUUAGUCAGGCCAUGGCCGACACCCUUGCUGGGCUUCCGCUUGAAGGUUGCCGAGUACACGUCAUGUAGUGGCGAUAAGUGGUGAGAGCGUGUGUGAAGAAGUACACCCCUGCAGGGUACAAAACUAUUCGAAUAGCCGCGUCCACGGUAAAGGACUACUUGGUCACCUAUACAGUUCAUAGACAAGUAAAUGGAUACUUCUAAAAGCCUCAAGAUAAGUGUGAGUGCCGCGGAUGGCCCUGUCGUAGGUUGACGAGAGAGGAUCCACGGUGGAGUAUUGUGUUGGUGAGUAGUGGACUCGUGUGCGACAAAUGUUUUGCAAGUUGUGUCUAUCGUUGGAUAGCUUAGCCAAGAGUCAAAGCUGGCUUGCUGCAAUAACUCCACUACCUUCUUGAGAAUGUGCAUGUAUGAUAGGAUUCUGUUGUAAGACUUGCUGAGUACCUCUGUACUCAUGUUUGCUUAAUUAAUGUUUUCAGACGACAACACCAACCCCUCCGAUGGGUUCUACGUAGACCUCGACGUUGACGAGUGACUAGCCACCCAAGUGGUGAUCCAAGACUUGUGAAGGGCCGAUGUAGAUAGAAAGGCUUCAUCAAGCCCUCUUUCUUUCUAGUGUCUGUACUCAGACUAGUUGCUUCCGCAUGUGCUUGUAUGCUUGUAUGACUUGAGUGUCAGGUCAUGUGACCCCUAUCUGUAUGAACAUGUUAUGUAUGGCUCCUCGGAGCCACUUAAAUAAAGUACUUUGAGUUGUAGAGUUUUGUUGUGAUGCCAUGUUGUAUGUACUCAUAUCGGGCAUAUUGUGUGUAUGUUUGAAAUGCUUGGUAUGAGUGGGAUCCGACAAUCUAGUUGUUUAUCCUUGGCAGCCUCUCAUAUGGGGAAAUGUAGUCUAGUGCUUCUUGAGCGAUAGUAGUCCGCUACAGCCCGGUUCACCGGAGUCCUGCUAGCCCAGUACUACUGCUCUGGACACUUGACUGGCCGGCAUGUGUUUCACUUUGUUCCUGUGUCUGUCCCUUCGGGGAAAUGUCAAGCGGUGGCAUCCGGAGUCCUGCCUAGCCUGCUACAGCCCGGGUUACCGGAGUCCUGUUAGCCCAGCGUUACAUCCCGGAUGUAUACGUUGAUGACCAACAUGCUCGAUGUGAUUCAUGUAUGCAUGUCCCCAUAGGUUAGCGCCGCUUGGGUUCACGACUAGCCAUGUCGGCCCGGGUUCUCAGUCAUGUGGAUGCUAGCGACACUAUCAUAUACGUGAGCCAAAAGGCGCAAACGGUCUCGGGCCAUGGUAAGGCGCCACCCGUGGGAUUACCGUGCGUGAGGCCGCAAAGUGAUAUGAGGUGUUACCGGCUGGAUCAAUGUGACUUGGAAUCGGGGUCCUGACAAUUACUUGCUCCUAUCAUAUGUUUGGUUGCAACAAUGUCACUUCUUCACAUAUGCCAUGUCCCAUUGCUUGUCUCAUGCUUGACUUCAUUGCCUCACACAUGAUGAACAAUUGCUCUUUAUAUUGUGUUGAGUGUUACACUAUAUUCACUACAUCCUAUGCACGUUAUGUUUGGAUUGUCUUGCACUUGACCCAUGUGUUUAGACACUUCAUUUUAUUUGGUGUUGUGAAUCCUUCCUAUGCCUACCAUAGACCUUUCAUUGAGCAAUUUGUGAAUGCUUGCUAUGACCUCGAGGUAGAUGCUUAUGCUCUUGUCACACAUAUUUGCAUCUCUACCUCACAUUUACAUGCUUGUUCCCAUGAUAUUUUUGCUUGUGCUCGAUUGAUAUGCUUACAUGCCAUGUCACAAUCCUUUGUCACACCCUAUGCUAUGCUUGAUGACAACACUUGUUUGGUGAAUCACCUCUUGAAUGCUUGGUUUUGCACGAACGCAAACCACAUUUGUUUUUCCACGGGUUUGUUCUAUUUGCUCCUUUUGAAGGAAUCACAAGAUGGUGCGACACUGGAGAGUGCCCACUUCGAGCUACUAGACGAUGAGUGCUUGGUGAUCGACCACUUCGAUAUGGCACCGCCAUCUCUUUCCUAUGGUGAUUUGGUUUUCGAUCCGAGGUCGAAUCCUUCUCAAGGGGGAGGGGAUGAUGCGGAGCAUCCUAUGGACAUCACCAUGUCAAGAGUCCAUUCGGCAAGUGACACGUGCGACAUCUACUUCUCAUACAUAAAGGUGAAUCUUCUCCUUUACACGUGUUCACUUGACCCCUUCGAGGAUGGUAUACUACUUGACACUUCUCCCGUGUGCAUGCAUAGGUAUUGUCAGAGCUUUACGGAUGUCGAGGAGUGCAAGCGCCAAGGAACGACUACACCGUCCGCGAGGGAAGCAUGGAAGAGAAGGAGGAAGAGAACCUGGUGUUGGGGAACGUAGUAAUUUCAAAAUUUUCCUACGCACAUGCAAGAUCAUGGUGAUGAUAUAGCAACGAGGGGAGAGUGUUGUCUACGUACCCUCGUAGACCGAAGCGGAAGCGUUGACGCAGCGUAGAGGAAGUAGUCCUACGUCCUCCCGGUCCGACCGAUCCAAGCACCGUUACUCCGGCACCUCUGAGUUCUUGACACACGUACAGCUCGAUGACGCACCCUCGAUCUCCAAUCCAGUAGAGGCUCCAAGGGGGAGUUCCGUCAGCACGACGGCGUGGUGACUAUCUUGAUGUUCUCCUGUCGCAGGGCUUCGCCUAAGCACCGCUACAAUAUGACCGAGGUGUAAUAUCGUGGAGGGGGGCACCGCACACGGCUAAGGAACGAUCAAUGAUCAACUUGUGUGUUCUAGGGUGCCCCCUACCCCCGUAUAUAAAGGAGGGAGGGAGGAGGUGGCCGACCCAAGGAGGGGGCGCGCCAUGGGAGGAGGAAACCUACUCCAAGUAGGUUUCCCCUCUUUUUCCUUAUCUUAUUUGGAGGGGGAAGGAAGGAGUACUAGUAGUAGGAAGGAGUACUAGUAGUAGGAAAGGAAGAGGGGGAAGGAGAAAGGAAAGGGGGGGCCGGCCCCCCUCCCCAAUUCGGAUUGGGCUUGGGGGGGCGCGCCCCCCUCCCUUGCUCCUUCUCCCUUCCUCCUACAUGGGCCCAAUAAGGCCCAUAUACCUCCCGGGGGGGUUUCGGUAACCUCCCGGAGCUCCAAACUCUUCCGGAACCUUUCCGGUGUCCAAAUAUAUCCGUCCAAUAUAUCGAUCUUUAUGUAUCGACCAUUUCGAGACUCCUCGUCAUGUCCGUGAUCAUAUCCGGGACUCCGAACAAACUUCGGUACAUCAAAAUACAUAAACUCAUAAUAUAACUGUCAUCGAAACCUUAAGCGUGCGGACCCUACGGUUCGAGAACGAUGUAGACAUGACCGAGACAUGUCUCUGGUCAAUAACCAAUAGCGGGACCUGGAUGCCCAUAUUGGUUCCUACAUAUUCUACGAAGAUCUUUAUCGGUCAAACCGCAUAACAGCAUACGUUGUUCCCUUUGUCAUUGGUAUGUUACUUGUCCGAGAUUUGAUCGUCGGUAUCCAAUACCUAGUUCAAUCUCGUUACCGACAAGUCUCUUUACUCGUUCUGUAAUACUUCAUCUCAUAACUAACUCAUUAGUUAUAUGCUUGCAAGGCUUAUGUGAUGAGCAUUACCGAGAGGGCCCAGAGAUACCUCUCCGACAAUCGGAGUGACAAAACCUAAUCUCGAAUUAUGCUAACUCAACAUGUACCUUCGGAGACACCUGUAGUACUCCUUUAUAAUCACCCAGUUACGUUGUGACGUUUGGUAGUACCCAAAGUGUUCCUCCGAUAAACGGGAGUUACACAAUUCUCAUAGUUACAGGAACAUGUAUAAGUCAUGAAGGAAGCAAUAGCAGAAUACUAAACGAUCAAGUGCUAAGCUAACGGGAUGGGUCAUGUCAAUCACAUCAUUCUCCUAAUGAUGUGAUCCCAUUAAUCAAAUGACAACACAUGUCUAUGGUUAGGAAACAUAACCAUCUUUGACUAAUGAGCUAGUCAAGUAGAGGCAUACUAGUGACUAUAUGUUUGUCUAUGUAUUCACACAUGUAUCAUGUUUCCGGUUAAUACAAUUCUAGCAUGAAUAAUAAACAUUUAUCAUGAUAUGAGGAAAUAAAUAAUAACUUUAUUAUUGCCUCUAGGGCAUAUUUCCUUCAGUCUCCCACUUGCACUAGAGUCAAUAAUCUAGUUCACAUCGCCAUGUGAUUUAACACCAAUAUUCAUAUCUGUAUAUGAUUAACACCCAUAGUUCACAUCAUCAUGUGACCAACAUCCAAAGUGUUUACUAGAGUCAAUAAUCUAGUUCACAUCGCUAUGUGAUUAACACCCAAAGAGUACUAAGGUGUGAUCAUGUUUUGCUCGUGAGAGAAGCUCAGUCAACGGGUCUGUCACAUUCAGAGCCAUAUGUAUUUUGCAAAUAUUCUAUGUCUACAAUGCUCUGCACGGAGCUACUCUAGCUAAUCGCUCCCACUUUCAAUAUGUAUCCAGAUUGAGACUUAGAGUCAUCUGGAUCGGUGUGAAAACUUGCACCGAGAUAACUUUUACGACGGGCUCUUUUAUCACCUCCAUAAUCGAGAAAUAUUUCCUUAGUCCUCACUAAGGAUAUUCUUGACCAAUGUCCAGUGAUCUACUCCUAGAUCACUAUUGUACUCCCUUGUCAAAUACAGAGCAAGGUAUACAAUAGGUCUGGUACAUAGCAUGGCAUACUUUAUAGAACCUAUGACUGAGGCAUAGGGAAUGACUUUUCAUUCUCUUUCUAUUUUCUGCUGUGGUCGGGAUUUGAGUCUUACUCAAUUUCAUACCUUUGCAACACAGGCAAGAACUCUUUCUUUGACUGUUCCAUUUUGAACUACUUCAAAAUCUUGUCAAGGUAUGUACUCAUUGAAAAUCUUAUCAAGCGUCUUGAUCUAUCUCAAUAGAUCUUGAUGCUCAAUAUGUAUGUAGUUUUACUGAGGUCUUUCUUUGAAAAAACUCUUAUUCAAGUAUCCUUUAAUGCUUUGCAGAAUAAUUCUACAUUAUUUCCGAUCAGCAAUAUGUCAUUCACAUAUACUUAUCAGAAAUGCUGUAGUGCUCCCACUCACUUUCUUGUAAAUACAGGCUUCACCGCAAGUCUGUAUAAUACUAUAUGCUUUGAUCAACUUAUCAAAGCGUAUAUUCCAACUCUGAGAUGCUUGCACCAGUCCAUAGAUGGAUUGCUGGAGCUUGCACAUUUUGUUAGCACCUUUAGGAUUGACAAAACCUUCUGGUUGUAUCAUAUACAACUCUUCUUUAAUAAAUUCAUUAAGGAAUGUAGUUUUGACAUCCAUUUGCCAAAUUUCAUAAAAUGUGGCAAUUGCUAACAUGAUUCGGACAAACUUUUAAGCAUCGAUACGAGUAAGAAAAUCUCAUCGUAUUCAACACCUUGAACUUUGUCAAAAACCUUUUUUCGACAAGUCUAGCUUUGUAGAUAGUAACACUACUAUCAACGUCCGUCUUCCUCUUGAAGAUCCAUUUAUUCUUAAUGACUCACUGAUCAUCGGGCAAGUCAAUCAAAGUCUACACUUUGUUCUCAUACAUGGAUCAUAUCUCAGAUUUCAUGGCCCCAAGCCAUUUCGUGGAAUCUGGGCUCAUCAUCGCUUCCUCAUAGUUCGUAGGUUCAUCAUGGUCUAGUAACAUGACUUCCAGAACAUGAUUACCGUACCACUCUGGUGCGGAUCUUACUCUGGAAGACCUACGAGGUUUGGUAGCAACUUGAUCUGAAGUUUGAUGAUCAUCAUCAUUAACUUCCUCACUAAUUGGUGUAGGAAUCACUGGAACUGAUUUCUGUGAUGAACUACUUUCCAAUAAGGGAGAAGGUACAAUUACCUCAUCAAGUUUUACUCUCCUCCCACUCACUUCUUUCGAGAGAAACUCCUUCUCUGGAAAGGAUCCAUUUUAGCAACGAAUGUCUUGCCUUCGGAUCUGUGAUAGAAGGUGUACCCAACAAUUUCCUUUGGGUAUUCUAUGAAGACGCACUUCUCCGAUUUGGGUUCGAGCUUAUCAGGAUGAAACUUUUUCACAUAAGCAUCGCAGCCCCAAACUUUAAGAAACAACAGCUUAGGUUUACUGCUAAACCAUAGUUCAUACGGUGUCGUCUCAACGGAUUUAAAUGGUGCCCUAUUUUAAAACGUGAAUGCAGCUGUCUCUAAUGCAUAACCCCAAAACGAUAGUGGUAAAGAGACAUCAUAGAUCGCACCAUAUCAAAUAAAGUGCGGUUACGACGUUCGGACACACCAUAACGAUGUGGUGUUCCAGGUGGUGUGAGCUGUGAAACUAUUCCACAUUGUUUUAAUUGAAGACCAAACUCGUAACUCAAAUAUUUGUCUCCGCUAUCAGAUCGCAGAAACUUUAUUUUCUUGUUACGAUGAUUUUUCCACUUCACUCUGAAAUUCUUUGAACCUUUCAACUAUUUCAGACUUAUGUUUCAUCAAGUAGAUAUACCCAUAUCUGCUCAAAUCAUCUUGUGAAGGUCAGAAAAUAACGAUACUUGCCACGAGCCUCAACACUCAUUGGAUCGCAUACAUCGGUAUGUAUUAUUUCCAAUAAGUCAGUAGCUUGUUCCAUUAUUCCGGAGAACGGAGUUUUAGUCAUCUUGCCCAAAAGGCACGGUCCGCAAGCAUCAAAUGAUUCAUAACCAAGUGAUUCCGAAAAUCCAUCUUUAUGGAGUUUCUUCAUGCGCUUUACACCGAUAUGACCCAAACGGCAGUGCCACAAAUAAGUUGCACUAUCAUUAUUAACUUUGCAUCUUUUGGCUUCAAUAUUAUGAAUGUGUGUAUCACACGAUCGAGAUCCAACAAACCAUUUUCAUUGGGUGUAUAACCAUAGAAAGUUUUAUUCAUGAAAACAGAACAACAAUUAUUCUCUAACUUACAUGAAUAACCGUAUUGCAAUAAACAUGAUCAAAUCAUAUUCAUUCUCAACGCAAACACCAAAUAACACUUAUUUAGGUUUAACACUAAUCCCGGAAGUAUAGGGAGUGUGCGAUGAUGAUCAUAUCAAUCUUGGAACUAUUUCCAACACACAUCGUCACUACACUCUUAACUAGUCUCUGUUUAUUCUGCAACUCCCGUUUCGAGUUACUAAUCUUAGCAACCGAACAAGUAUCAAAUACUUAGGGGCUACUAUAAACACUAGUAUGGAACACAUCAAUAAUCUGUAUAUCAAAUAUACCCUUGUUCACUUUGCCAUCCUUCUUAUCAACCAAAUAUUCAGGGCAUUUCCGCUUCCAGUGACCAUUUCCUUUGCAGUGUAAACACUCAGUUUCAGGCUAUGGUCCAGCUUUGGGCUUGUCUUUCCACUUGAAGUUCCCUUUCUUUCCCUUUGCCCUUCUCUUGAAACUAGUGGUCUUGUCAAUCAUCAACACUUGAUGCUCUUUCUUGAUUUCUACCUUCGUCGAUUUCAACAUCACGAAGAGCUCGGGAAUCAUUUUUUCGUCAUCCCUUGCAUACUAUAGUUCAUCACGAAGUUCUAGUAACUUAGUGAUGGUGACUAGAGAAUUCUGUCAAUCACUAUCUUAUCUGGAAGAUUAACUCCCACUUGAUUCAAGCGAUUGAAGUACCCAGACAAUCUGAGCACAUGCUCACUAGUUGAGCGAUUCUCCUCCAUCUUUUAGCUAUAGAACUUGUUGGAGACUUCAUAUCUCUCAACUCGGGUAUUUGCUUGAAAUAUUAACUUCAAUUCCUGGAACAUCUCAUAUGGUCCAUGAUGUUCAAAACAUCUUUGAAGUCCCGAUUCUAAGCCGUUAAGCAUGGUGCACAAAACUAUCAAGUAGUCAUCAUAUUGAGCUAGCCAAACGUUCAUAACGUCUACAUUUGCUCCUGCAUUAGGUCUUUCACCUAGCGGUGCAUUAAGGACAUAAUUCUUCUGUGCAGCAAUGAGGAUAAACCUCAGAUCACGGAUCCAAUCCGCAUCAUUGCUACUAACAUCUUUCAACACAGUUUUCUCUAGGAACAUAUCAAAAUAAACAUAUGAAAGCAACAACGCGAGCUAUUGAUCUAUAACACAAUUUGCAAAAUACUACCAGGACUAAGUUCAUGAUAAAUUAAAGUUCAAUUAAUCAUAUUACUAAAGAACUCCCACUUAGACAGACAUCUCUCUAGUCAUCUAAGUGAUCACGUGAUCCAAAUCAACUAAACCAUGUCCGAUCAUCACGUGAGAUGGAGUAGUUUCAAUGGUGAACAUCGCUAUGUUGAUCAUAUCUACUAUAUGAUUCACGCUCGACCUUUCGGUCUCCGUGUUCCGAGGCCAUAUCUGUAUAUGCUAGGCUCGUCAAGUAUAACCUGAGUAUUCCGCAUGUGCAACUGUUUUGCACCCGUUGUAUUUGAACGUAGAGCCUAUCACACCCGAUCAUCACGUGGUGUCUCAGCACGAAGAACUUUCGCAACGGUGCAUACUCAGGGAGAACACUUCUUGAUAAUUAGUGAUAGAUCAUCUUAAAAUGCUACCGUCAAUCAAAGCAAGAUAAGAUGCAUAAAGGAUAAACAUCACAUGCAAUCAAUAUAAGUGAUAUGAUAUGGCCAUCAUCAUCUUGUGCUUGUGAUCUCCAUCUCCGAAGCACCGUCGUGAUCACCAUCGUCACCGGCGCGACACCUUGAUCUCCAUCGUAGCAUCGUUGUCGAUUACGCCAUCUAUUGCUUCUACGACUAUCGCUACCGCUUAGUGAUAAAGUAAAGCAAUUACAGGGCGUUUCCAUUUCAUACAAUAAAGUGACAACCAUAUGGCUCCUGCCAGUUGCCGAUAACUUCGGUUACAAAACAUGAUCAUCUCAUACAAUAAAAUAUAGCAUCACGUCUUGGCCAUAUCACAUCACAACAUGCCCUGCAAAAACAAGUUAGACGUCCUCUACUUUGUUGUUGCAAAUUUUACGUGGCUGCUACGGGCUUAGCAAGAACCGUUCUUACCUACGCAUCAAAACCACAACGAUAGUUUGUCAAAUAGACUCCGUUUUAACCUUCACAAGGACCGGGCGUAGCCACACUCGGUUCAACUAAAGUUGGAGAAACAGACACCCGCCAGUCACCUGUGUGCAAAGCAUGGCGGUAAAACCAGUCUCGCGUAAGCGUACGCGUAAUGUCGGUCCGGGCCGCUUCAUCCAACAAUACCGCUGAACCAAAGUAUAACAUGCUGGUAGGCAGUAUGACUUAUAUCGUCCACAACUCACUUGUGGUCUACUCGUGCAUAUAACAUCAACGAAUAAAACCUAGGCUCUGAUGCCACUGUUGGGGAACGUAGUAAUUUCAAAAUUUUCCUACGCACAUGCAAGAUCAUGGUGAUGAUAUAGCAACGAGGGGAGAGUGUUGUCUACGUACCCUCGUAGACCGAAGCGGAAGCGUUGACGCAACGUAGAGGAAGUAGUCGUACGUCCUCCCGGUUCGACCGAUCCAAGCACCGUUACUCCGGCACCUCCGAGUUCUUGACACACGUACAGCUCGAUGACGCACCCUCGAUCUCCAAUCCAGUAGAGGCUCCGAGGGGGAGUUCCGUCAGCACAACAGCGUGGUGACUAUAUUGAUGUUCUCCUGUCGCAGGGCUUCGCCUAAGCACCGCUACAAUAUGACCGAGGUGUAAUAUCGUGGAGGGGGGCACCGCACACGGCUAAGGAACGAUCAAUGAUCAACUUGUGUGUUCUAGGGUGCCCCCCUACCCCCGUAUAUAAAGGAGGGAGGGAGGAGGUGGCCGGCCCAAGGAGGGGGCGCGCCAUGGGAGGAGGAAACCUACUCCAAGUAGGUUUCCCCUCUUUUUCCUUAUCUUAUUUGGAGGGGGAAGGAAGGAGUACUAGUAGUAGGAAGGAGUACUAGUAGUAGGAAAGGAAGAGGGGGAAGGAGAAAGGAAAGGGGGGGCCGGCCCCCUCCCCAAUUCGGAUUGGGCUUGGGGGGGCGCGCCCCCCUCCCUUGCUCCUUCUCCCUUCCUCCUACAUGGGCCCAAUAAGGCCCAUAUACCUCCCGGGGGGUUCCGGUAACCUCCCGAAGCUCCAAACUCUUCCGGAACCUUUCCGGUGUCCAAAUAUAUCCGUCCAAUAUAUCAAUCUUUAUGUCUCGACCAUUUCGAGACUCCUCGUCAUGUCCGUGAUCACAUCCGGGACUCCGAACAAACUUUGGUACAUCAAAAUACAUAAACUCAUAAUAUAACUAUCAUCGAAAACUUAAGCGUGCGGACCCUACGGUUCGAGAACGAUGUAGACAUGACCGAGACAUGUCUCUGGUCAAUAACCAAUAGUGGGACCUGGAUGCCCAUAUUGGUUCCUACAUAUUCUACGAAGAUCUUUAUCGGUCAAACCGCAUAACAGCAUACGUUGUUCCCUUUGUCAUCGGUAUGUUACUUGUCCGAGAUUUGAUCGUCGGUAUCCAAUACCUAGUUCAAUCUCGUUACCGACAAGUCUCUUUACUCAUUCUGUAAUACUUCAUCUCAUAACUAACUCAUUAGUUAUAUGCUUGCAAGGCUUAUGUGAUGAGCAUUACCGAGAGGGCCCAGAGAUACCCCUCCGACAAUCGGAGUGACAAAACCUAAUCUCGAAUUAUGCUAACUCAACAUGUACCUUCGGAGACACCUGUAGUACUCCUUGAUAAUCACCCAGUUACGUUGUGACGUUUGGUAGUACCCAAAGUGUUCCUCCGGUAAACGGGAGUUACACAAUUCUCAUAGUUACAGGAACAUGUAUAAGUCAUGAAGGAAGCAAUAGCAGAAUACUAAACGAUCAAGUGCUAAGCUAACGGGAUGGGUCAUGUCAAUCACAUCAUUCUCCUAAUGAUGUGAUCCCAUUAAUCAAAUGACAACACAUGUCUAUGGUUAGGAAACAUAAUCAUCUUUGACUAAUGAGCUAGUCAAGUAGAGGCAUACUAGUGACUAUAUGUUUGUCUAUGUAUUCACACAUGUAUCAUGUUUCCGGUUAAUACAAUUCUAGCAUGAAUAAUAAACAUUUAUCAUGAUAUGAGGAAAUAAAUAAUAACUUUAUUAUUGCCUCUAGGGCAUAUUUCCUUCACCUGGCCGCUCCAGAACGAGCGGUACUACCGCCCACUCCAAGCGGUACUACCGCUGAGGCCACCCAAGAGGCACUACCGCCCAGCAUCCGCCCUACUACCGCUCAACCCGACAAACUCCAGUGAUCGAGCGGUAUAAGCCCGGUACUACCGCCCCUCCAAGCGGUACUACCGCUCAAGCGGUACUACCACCCAUGAGUCCGGUACUACCGCCCUGCUUGUGAGCAGCCGCGGGCCUUUGGCCUUGUAUCCCUCUCCCACUUACCCCUUCGUGGCUUAGACUAUAAAUAGACCACCUCCACCUCCUUUCUAGGGUUAGAACAGAUUGAGCUUAUUUUGAGAUAGAGCUUUACUCAUCCAUACGGAUCUACUCCUCGUGAGAGACUGCGGCCUCUUCGGAGAAGAUCGAUCUUGGAUUCAAGACCCCUCGUGGGAAGAUCCGUCUAGGAUCAUCAAGACCUCCUCUUGGAGAUGAACCUUACCUUGUAUCUUUCCCUUUGUUGUUCAUGUACCCUUGUGGAUCUUGUGUGUUUGAUUGUCUAGUGGAUGUGUGAUUGGACUUGUUCUUGAGUGUUUCCCCUUGUGAUUUCUCUCCGUUCUUCCCUGUGUUCUUCGUGUUCUUCGUGGGGAUCCACUCCAAACGUGAAAAAUCGGCCUCUAGGGUUCUACCCUACAUCAUCAUCCUUCAAAAAUAUGGAGGGCCAUUAUUGACGGAAGGGAUAUUAUAUGGCGCAAGGUAUAAUCAGACGCAUCGGGGAUGGAGCGACUACACACAUAUGGGAUCACAACUGGAUUAUGAUGGAAAGCUAUAAGAGGCCAAUAACUAAGUUAGUGCAGAACCCCCCUCAGAAACAUUUUAUGUAUACACGUUAACAUUUCCCAGAUAUAUGAUUAAUAUUUUUGGAAAACUUCUAUUUUUUAUGUGUACUUUUUUAUACAUUUUGUAAUAUCAGAAAUAGUUUUUAUAGAAGGUUUAACAUUUUUCAAAUACAUGAUUACCUUUUUGUAAACUUAUAUUGUUUGACGUUUACUUUUUUUCAUAGACAUAGUGAGGGGUUAUAUCUAAGGAAUAGGCCCAAGUACAUGUAUGGCACAACCAAAUGCCCAUGUUAAUCAAGGAUGUUCCACAAGACAAAUGGGGAAACACACCAAGGCCAAUGGAGCUACAAGGCCAAGGCAUCGGAUACAAGGGGAGAGUCAACUAUGUACAGUCGGAUUACACAGCCCUUAACAGACAAGACUCAUCAGUUGGUCCACUAUUGGAAUCAGGUCAUUUGCCGUCAGCCCAGAAUAGACGCGAAGACUUUGCCGUGAGCAAGUUGACGACAAACACAAUCAGCAAAGACUAUAUCGGCAGAGAGCUAAUUUGACGUCAACUUUUCAUCGCGCUGAUGACAAAGACUUUGCCGUCAAUUAAACUAUGUGUUUGUAGUCUGUAGAGAAAACACAAACGGCAAAGAAAUUAAAAAAAUGGUCAUUUUAAAAUAAUUUUUAGAAAUCUAUAUACUGUUUUUUAAAAUGUUUAAUAUGUACCAAGAAUUAUUUCGUAAGUAUACAAAAGAUGUAUAACGUGUAUGAAAAUUACGUAGACAUCAGAACAUAUUAUAGAAAUGUUAAUCUUGUAUUUAAAAAUUUUAAAUACACAUGCAUAAAAAUGUUUUUGAUGUACAUAAAAAAAUUGUACAUAGUGUGUGAACAAAGUAUGCAUUGAAAAAACAAAAAUCUUGUUGGAAAAAAAUCUCGUGUUGUAUACGAAAAUGUAAAAGGUGUAUGAAAAUAAUUAGAUAUAUGUUUAAUGAAAAAAGGAAAGAAGGCGCAAAAAAUCCGAUUAACACCAAGAUAGGAACAAGAAAACCUGAAGAAGACCAUUGAAAAAAAGAAAUGAAUACAAGAAAGAGGAAGAAAAACAAAAAAAAUGAAGAAGCUGAUGCAGAACAGGGAACUUAGUGAAAACGAAUAAAAAUUGAUGAAAACCGAGAAGAAAAACAAGAAAACUGAAGCAAAAAUUAAGAAAAAUAUGUAAAAAAAAUGAUGAAACAUUGCGAAACAGUGAAAUACUAUGAAAACCAAAGGAAAAAAAGACUCAAAAAUAAGAACGUACAGCAAGCGAAUGAACAACAACUGAGUGAACGAGCGAACAUGCGAGAAUACGUUAAUUGUCUGGCCCAUACUUGUGGAUUCCAGAGGCGAGCCAGAAUAGGCGAGAUAUAGCUAUGACGAUUUGAUACCCUUCAUAGCUUCACGAAUGCUAUAUCUCGCUCACAGCGAAAGUAUUUUUUGUCUGGCCUGAAGGUGAAAGAAUAGCAUCAGGUCGCUGUAAGUUUUGUGAUCCUACAAUCAGAGCUCGAUAAGAUUAAAAUUCAUGUUUCUGACAACCAGUCAUUCGCUCACUCAAUUCCACGUACUAGUUUGGUUAGGUUUUUUUUUCAUUUUUUUCUGUUUUUUAUUUCUUCACUGGCUUUCUUUGGUUUUUUUAUCGGUUUUCUUUGUUUCCUUCACGUUUUACUCUUUCUUUUCCUUUUUACUGGUUUAUCUAUUCCUUUUUUCUUUGUUUCUUUCUUGGUUUUCUUUGUUUUUUCUUUCUUUUGAUGUCAACCUUUUUACAUACACAUUCAACAAUUUUCGUAUACAUCAGAAACAUUUUAUGUAUACACGUUAACAAUUCCCAGGUACAUGAUUAAUAUUUUUGGAAAACUUCUAUUUUUUAUGUGUACUUUUUGAUACAUUUUGUAUAUAUCAGAAAUAUUUUUUAUAGAAGGUUUAACAUUUUUUAAAUACAUGAUUACCUUUUUGUAAACUUAUAUUGUUUGACGUUUACUUUUUUUCAUAGACAUAGUGAGGGGUUAUAUCUAAGGAAUAGGCCCAAGUACAUAUAUGGCCCAAGUACAUUUAAUCAAGGAUGUAGUCCACAAGACAAAUGGGGAAACAGACGGGGGCCAAUGGAGCUACAAGGCCAAAGCAUCGGAUACAAGGGGAGAAUCUACAGUCGGAUUACACAACCCUUGACAGACAAGACUCAUUAGUUGGUCCGCUAUAGGAAUCGGGUAAUUUGCCGUCAGCCGAGAACAUACUCAAAGACUUUGCCGUCAGCAAGUUGAUGACAACUUUUCAUCACGUUGAUGACAAAGACUUUGCCGUCAAUUAAACUAUGUGUUUAUCGUCUAUAGAAAAAACACAAACGGCAAAGGAAAGCACCUUUGCCAUCAGCGGCUAAUCUGCAUGUGUCUUCAACAAGACUCGUCUUGUCACUAGCCUCAAACAUCACAGAUGGAAAAGAAAUUUUUUAUUUUAAAAAAUCUGCGUCGACCACCCUACUUCGCACAUGUAGCCACCGCCUGGCCGCGCUCGCUGAUCACCCACAAGUGUAGGGGAUCUAUCGUAGUCCUUUCGAUAAGUAAGAGUGUCGAACCGAACGAGGAGUAGAAGGAAAUGACAAGCGGUUUUUAGUAAGGUAUUCUCUGCAAGCACUGAAAUUAUCGGUAACAGAUAGUUUUGUGAUAAGGUAAUUCGUAACGGGUAACAAGUAACAACAGUAAAUAAAGUGCAGCAAGGUGGCACAAUCCUUUUUGUAGCAAACGACAAGCCUGGACAAAUUCUUAUAUGAAGGAAAACGCUCCCGAGGACACAUGGGAAUUAUCGUCAAGCUAGUUUUCAUCACGCUCAUAUGAUUCACGUUCAUUACUUUGAUAAUUUAAUAUGUGGAUGGACCGGUGCUUGGAUACUGCUCUUUCUUGGAUAAGCAUCCCACUUAUGAUUAACCCCUAUUGCAAGCAUCCGCAACUCAAAAGAAAUAUUAAGGUAAACCUAAUCAUAGCAUGAAACAUUGACACGGCACAUUAUAAAGAGUUCAACCCAAAUUUUGUAGUAACACUAUUAUAUUUAAAUAGUGAUUAUUCCAACACAUGGAUAAUUAAUUAAGGCACCAGGUUGCGCUUGUGACCAGGAAAGACAAACUUAUGAACUUGCAAGCAUGACAAUCAGAUCGACAUCCACACAAUGUCAAUAUGAACAUUGUCUUGAUACAACUUUAUUUGUAUUUUAUUUCAGAAUUUAAACAACUAGUUUGGGCGGGUCACACACGACGUUGUGUGACACUUUAUUUGUCACCGCUGCAUCGACAUAUCCAUCGACUAAACAACGGUGAUCCAACUAUAUAUUACUAGAGACCUUUCCUUAUCAGUAGGCACCAACUCCAGUGCCAACGCCAAAUGGCACACUAGUGGUGGUCCUAUACAACGGCACAUUGACACGGCACAUCAUUGGCAGGGUACGGAGCGCAAUGGAAGUCAUCACCUCAAGCUGAGCUAUCUGGUGUGGCUGCAAAAAGGUACCCUGUGCCAAUUGUUGUUGUUGAGGUUGUUGCCCGAGUUGCUGCUGUGACUGCUGUUGGGGUUGGGAAACGCAUUGGCCCAACUGUUGCGGUUGCUGCUGCUGAGUUUGGAUGGAACCCCGAACCUGUUGUUGUUCUUGCAGGACGAUGGAGUAGAUGAUAGCACGGAUUGCCUCAUAGCGGGAUUGCUGGGGGAUUUGCGGCAACUGCUGGCAACAUUGUUGUUGCAUCACAUGGCAACUACUCUGCUGCAACAUUUGCGACCUAGCAAGACUUUGUGGCAUUGCCACAGGGCUGCAUUGCUGCUGGAGGAAUACCUUGCAUGGGUUCAGCUGCUGCAAGAUAGAUGGAUGAACAAAUGGUAUUUGUUGUUGCGGUAGAACUAGUUGUUGUUGUUGUUGCGAAAAUGAUGGUUGUUGUGGUAGAAUUGGUUGUUGUUGUUGUUGUUGCGAAAAUGGUGGUUGUUGCGGUAGUACUGGUUGUUGUUGUUGUGAAAACGGUGGUUGUUGUUGUGAAAAUGGUGGUAGUUGUUGCUGCGAAAAUGAUGGCUGUUGCGGUAGAACUGGUUGUUGUUGCUGCGAAAAUGGUGGUUGUUGCUGUGAAAAUGGUGGUUGUUGUUGCUGUGAAAAUGGUGGUUGUUGUUGCUGCGAUAAUGGUUGUUGUUGUUGUUGUUGUUGUUGUUGUUGUUGUUGUUGUUGUUGUUGUUGUUGUUGUUGUUGUUGUUGUUGUGAACAUGGUUGCUGUUGUGGAAAUUGUUGUGGUUGUUGUUGGAUGGGUUGUUGUGGUUGUUGGUGCGAUAAUGUUUGUUGUGGUGGUAAUGGUUGUUGCUGCGAUGGUCUCUCCAAACCAGGGAUGUGGCUAUUCUCCAUUUGUGCAAUGGCACUUGUCGCCGCAACGGCGAGGAGGGCAAAGAUGAGGAAGGUCUUCAUGGUGGACUAGUGUUAACUAGUAUUUCCUGGUUUUGAUGCUUGUGUUUGUGAUGAUCUUUAUACUUCAUGCCUAUUUAUAGUAGCCAGGGCACCACCUCUUUUCUUCUUUGCAUUAGCUUUAAUAAUUCUGUUUGGAUGCAUCUAAAAUGAUUUUUGAUACAGUGUGUUAGGUUGCACUAGCUACACGCAUACUUUUGGAUUGAUCAUCAAAGUUUCUUUUUAGUUGUGCAUAUGAUCAUACACAAAGUAUAGAAAUCCUGAUGCUUGCUAAAGAUGACUUGCCUUAUUCACUUUACAUGUCACACACUUAUCUGUAUAGUAUCACUUUUGCAACCGAGUUUGGAACCUUGUAUAGGUUGUCAGCCAUAAACAAGAAAGGCAAAACUUGUGUAGGACUAAGUUGCAAUCGUGUGUGGGCUGUUAAGAUAUGCUCGAUUGUUAAAGCCUUGCGUCUGGAGGGUUCUUCUAGACUCGGUUGCUUUUCAUAAAACUAACUUUGUAUUUUCCUCUAAGAUGAUAAGAUGAAAUGACGCCUGUAGAGCAUGACAUGACUCAUUGAAUUCCCUUUACACGUAAAGGAUGGUAAUUGCUUACAAGCUACUCCUACUAGCAUAUAUCCGGUCCUAACUCUAGACACGUCAUCACCAGUUCCAUCUUUUUUUUUUAGAUAAAUCAUCAGUUCCGUGUUUUUUUUUUUUGAGACAAUCAGUUCCAUCUAUGUUUUUUUUUGAGAGAAAUAGUUCCAUCUAUGGGUGAAGGAUUUUUUUGGGGGCAAAUGAUAGAUGGGGCUGGAACAGAGGCCCCAGCCUGGAACGAGAGAUUAGGCCCAACGUAAGCGAUGUGUGUGUUAGGGCACCAAAUUCGAACUGGGCUAUAGUUUUCGGAGGCCCCAACGUCAGAAGCCCAGCCCACACUCCGCCGAUCUGCGUCGUCUUCGUCUCCCCUUCCCCGUCCUCCUCGCCGGCCGGAUCGCUCGCCGGCGCACGACGUCUCCCGGACCCCACCGCCCGCGGCCGCUCCACGUACGCGCGCGGCGGCGGAGGCGUCGGCCUCCCUCCCACCCUCCGCAUCCGGCCCCCCACCACCACCGCCACCGCCACCGCUCGAGGUACCCACUCGUUCCCCUUCCCAUUCCUCCCUACCCUCAACCUCUCUCGUAUCCUCUUCUAACAGCUCUUUUUACUUCCGUUGCAGAUGGUCUCUGAGCUCCCCCGUCGGCUGCGCGCCGUAGGCCUCCCCUCCCGGUCGACACAAGGUAUCGAUCCUGUCCGUCCGUCUCUUCCAGCGAUUCGAUUCACAUGAAUUCGAGAGGCGUGCCCAUCUCCAUGCUAGCUGCGUGGAUCAGGAGGGUCAGGAAGCAGAAUUCAGAUGCCUGACAGUGACAUACUACUACAUUUGUGGCUUUGGAAGCUGAGCAACUCCGUGCUUUAUGUGGAUGUCACUUCAAGUAAUCAUCAAAUUUCCGCCUACGCGCGCUACCCAGGUGGAGUGGAGGAGAAGCAGUUGGCAUGGGCAUUCCGUUUCUCUCCCAUGUCUGAGAAGAAAGUUCGUCUCCGGUGCAGCGAUAUCCAAGUUAGUUACAGCAUCCAGUCAUCUAUAUAAUCUCAGUGUUUAUUCUGUUUUGUACUGUCGUAUUUCAUAUGUGCAUCAGAGCAAAUGUGCUUUCUAGAGGCAUGUUGCAGCUGGCCGAGUCCCAGAUCUCGUUUCAUGUAUAUGGCCAUAGGCAGCGAUCAAUAAAAGGGUACUGGAAUUGAUCUUCUAACGUCACUGUUGUUUCUAGCUCCCUGUCUUUGUUUUUGUUGCUUCCGUCGUAUGGUUGCAAAGUUAGGCUUCAUCUGAUUUUAGUUAGUUAAUCUGAUCUCGUUAACCUGAUAAAGAGAAUUCCACCCUGCCCUUUAUUCCGCUCUUCACUGUCUCACAAUAAGGGAACAUAUUAAGCUCACCAAAUUGUGUCCCUCAAAAAUAAAAAAUAAACUCACCAAAUUGUAUCACAGGAGAUUGUCAAGUUGUGUUUUAUCAUAUCAGUAUAGUAAGUGUAUCAUUUGUCCAUAUCAACAAGGGAUAGUCAUCUGCCAGCUUAUUAUGCUCAUCUCUGAGCUCGAUCAUGCCCUUCAAUGUUAGUUAGAGGUGUCAUUAAAACAGGACAAGAAAUUAACCACUUUCCACCGGGUCUUCUCUCUUGAGCAGGAAGCAUGUGAUGCAUUCAAGAUUCGAUGAAUUCACGAAAACCAAUAUCGUGGUCCUCCCUGUGCAGCAGGUACCUGAGAUGAAUUGUAUUUUGUAAGUGCUCUGUAUGCGUGCUGUCAGCCGGCAGUGGAGGUAAUUGUUUAAUUUGCAUUCCUGCAACUUCUUGUAUUUGUAAAGAAAAUUCUUACUAUUUGCUGAGUGCACAGCCAUUGCAUUGUCACUUUUGAAAAACCGCAUUGGAUGUACUGAGAUAAAUAAUAGUAUAAUCUCUACUUGCAUACUACGAACGAGAAAUCUUCAUUCUGACUUGCAAUAAGGGAGUUUGUUUAGCUGUGCCUUAUUAGGAAAUGAAGAUACCCCCAGCUGUUAACGUGGUAUCCAAGCUAUCCUUAUUAUAUGUCAGCUCAAAAGGAAUGCCAAGUGCCGAGCUGUUGUGAGAGUUGAUGGUUGUGAUUGGUUACCAAAAAUCAAAGUCACCCACUCAAGAGAGAAAGUCAAUGCUCACGUUGGCUUCCAUUUUUCUCACACGCAAACCAAACACAUCUUGCUCACACCAUUAUCUUCUCCAUUUUGCACUGUGCUUGUGCUAAUCUGUGUAGUAUUGUUGGCAAUUUGGGAUAUGUUGGUCUCGCCAGGAGGCCUGUGCUAAUCUGUGCUAUUUCUGAAAAUAUGCUCCCCUAAUCUCCAAUUAUAUUAUGCGUAAAACCAAAAAGGUCAGACUUCUUGAGAACAUGCCAGUGCUGAUUUGUGUUUUUCCUGCUGAUAUGCACUUUAGUAUAUCAAAAUGUACACUUAAUUAGAUGUUUUAAUUUUAAAGUCACAGUUAGAGAGAGGGACAGUGCACCAACCAGCUGGUGCAAACGAAUGACCUGUGUGACGACCUGAGCGUAUUCUUGAAAAAGAAACCCGAAAUACCACCUAGAUCCAUCCACCAUUAUUGCCAGUGUUAAAAAAAAAUACAGGCGUCUUCUGGGCUCUAAAAGCCAUUUCUGGGUCUUAUCUCUUGAAGAAGCAUUUGAUGCAUUUAAGAUUCAACCAAUUAAGAAAACCAAUGUUCUGGCCUUCCAUCCGUGGCAGGAACUCAGAGAUGAAUUGUCUUUUGCACAAGUAUGCUGACACACGUCUAGUCAGUCGAGGUAAUUUUUGGAUUUGCAUUCCUGUGACCUCUGGUAUUUGGAAAAAGUAAAUCAUAUUUGCUAAGUUCACAGCCAAUGGAGCGAAAAUUUUGAAAAACUGCUUUGGAUUUACUGGCAUAAAUAUCUAGAGAGAAUUCCUUAUUAGACACUCCCUUAAAAUCAUGUUCCUUAUUUGACACUAGAAAAAAUUUCUUCCCUAUAUGACCUAUAGUCUUAAUUUCUUUCCCUAUAUGACACUCUAGUGCAUUUUGUUCACGUGAAAAGACCAUUUUACCCAUAUGUAUAAUGUGACCGCAAAUAUGUACAAGAUAAUAGUUGUUCCAAAAAAAUCAGUCGAGUUAUCCAUAUGUGACAUCAUAUAUGCUGGUAUUGUCAUGUCAGUCGAUUUACUAUUGUGCUAAGAAAUCAUGACCGAGGCCUUCGAUGGUUCAUGUGCUAAUUGACCUCAGCUAGUUGUCUAUACGUAUUUGUGUACAUAUACGUGGCCAGCUUGCCGGCCGGAGCGUAGAUAUUUAAAUACGUACGCGCACCCUGACGAUCAAGCGAAUACAUGUAUUCUAGCUUCGUAUGACCCGGUUCAUAUACAUACGUAUGUUGGCUGCACCGAACCGGGCCUACAUUCGUGCUAGCACGCAACUUCCUUCCAUACUUGCAAAUACGUGCACAUGCACUAAUGGCAUGCACGUAGGCGAUCACGGAAGCACACACAAAAAUGCUUAAAAAAUUCAUUCAUUUUUAAGAAUGCAUUUUAGUGUUAAAGCACACGUACAAAAGUACGUCAAACAAUCACACUCACAAACCAUACCGCAUGAACUAGACCCACAGCUGAAUACGUUCUAAAUACAUUGGAUGCAUGCGCUCAGGUAUACAGAAUACACAUGCAUCCCAAAAAAGACCAACGGAGGAGAUAACAUGUUCAGCUGUGCUCACUCUUAGAAACGAUUUUUUCCUAAUUAGGCUCAAUGCUACAUAUUUCUGGUCACAUUAUGUACAGGGGCAAAAAGGUCUUUUCACGUGUACAAAAUGAACUAGAGUGUCAUAUAGGGAAAGAAAUUAAGACUAUAAGUCAUAUAGGGAAGAAAUUUUUUCCCGUGUCAAAUAAGGAACACAAUUUUAAGAGAAUGUCAAAUAAGGAAUUCUCUCAAAUAUCUAAUACAAUGACCCACUUGCAGAAUUCAGCUGCGUAGCCUGACAGUGAUGUACGUACAUUUGUGGCUUUGCUAGCUGAGUAACUCUGUGCUUUAUGUGGAUGCCACUUCAAAUAAGCAUCAAAUUUGUGCCUAUGCGUGCUAUGCAGGUGGACGAGAAGCAGUUGGCAUGGACAUUCCUUUUCUCUCUGAUGUCUGGCAAGAAAGUCCGUCUUCUGUGCAGCGAUAUCCAUGUUAGUUACAAUAUCCAAUCAUCUCUAUAAUUAUAAUCUCAGUGUUUAUUCUGUUUUGUAUUGUCGUAUUUCAUAUGUGCAUCAGAGGAAAUGUGCUUUCUAGCUAGAGGCAUGUUGCAGCUGGCCGAGUCGCAGAUCUCAUUUAUAUGGCCAUAGGCGGUGACCAAUACAAGGGCACUGGAAUUUAUCUUCGAAUGCCACUGUUGUUCUAGCUCUUUGUCUUUACUUUUGUUGCUUCUGUUGUAUGGCUGCAAAGUUAGGCUUCAUCUGAUUUUAGUUAGUCAAGCGAUCUCGUUAAGAUGAUAAAAAGAAUUCCACACGAUGACACGACCCUUUAUUCCGCUCUUCACCGUCUCACAAUAACGGAACAUAUUAAGCUCAACAAAUCGUAUCCCUCAAAAAUAAAAAAGCUCACCAAAUUGUAUCGCAUACUCAUACAUAUCUUUCAUCGUCAAAUAACAGGAGAUUGUCAAGUUGUGUUUUAUCAUAUCAGUAUAUUAAGUGUAUCUUUUGUCCAUAUGAGCAAGGGAUAAUCAUCUGCCAGCUUAUUAUAUGCUCAUCUCUGAGAUCGAUCAUACCUCUUCAAUCUUAUUAGAGGUGUCAUUAAGAAAUGACAAGAAAUUAACUACUUGCCACCGGGUCUUCUCUCUUCAGCAGGAAGCAUGUGAUGCAUUCAAGAUUCACGAAAACCAAUAUUGUGGUCCUCCCUAUGCAGCAGGUACUUGUGAUGAAUUGUAUUUUGUAAGUGCACUGUAUGUGUGCUGUCAGCCAGCAGUGGAGGUAAUUGUUUAGCUUGCAUUCCUGCAACUUCUUGUAUCUGGAAAGGACACUCUUACUAUUUGCUGAGUUCACCGCCAAUGUAUCUUCACUUUGGAAAAACUGCAUUCGAUGUACCCACAUAAAUAUAUAAUAUAAUGAUGAUCUAAUAGCAAAUUAUAUGGCCAUAGGCAGUGAUGAUCAAUAAAAGGGCACUGGAAUUUAUCUUCUAAUGUAUACGUCACUAUUUUUUUAGCUCUCUGUCUUCAUUUUUGCUUCCUCUGUUGUAUGGUUAAAAAGUUAGGUUUCAGCUGAUUUUAGUUAGUUAUAAGCGGAUCUCGUUAAGCUCUUUAUCUUUAUUUUUGCUGCCUCCGUUGUAUGGUUAAAAAUUUAGGUUACAUCUGAUUUUAGUUUGUUAGGCGGAUCGCGUUAAACUGAUAAGAACUCCGUAUAGUCCUUUAUUCUGGUCUUCACUGCCUCAAAAUAACAGAACCUAUUAAGUGUCGAAAUUGUAUCUCACAAUCAUACAUAUCUUUCAUCGUUGAAUAACACAAAUUAUCAUAUCAGUACAAAAGUAUAUAUCGUUUGUCCAUAUGCACAAGAGAUAAUCAUCUGCCAGCUGAUUAUUCUUAUCUUUGAGAUCCGAUCCUGUACUCAAUGUUAAUUAGGGGUGUCAUUAAAAAAGACAAGAAAAUAACCACUUGCCCUCGGGUCUUCUCUUGUCAGCAGAAAGCAUGUGAUGCAUUCAAGUUUCAAUGAAUUCACGAAAACCAAUAUUGUGGUCCUCGAGAUGAAUUGUAUUUUGUAGGUGUACUGUAUGUGUGCUGUCACCCGUCAGUUGAGGUAAUUGUUUAAUUUGCAUUCCUGCAACCUCUUGUAUGUAUUCGGAAAGAAAAUUCUUACUAUUUUCCGAGUUCACAGCCAAUCCAUUAUCACUUCCGAAAAACUGCAUUGGAUCUACUGACGUAAAUAUAUAAUAGAGUGAUCUACUUGCAAUAUUAAGAACGAGAAAUCUUCAUUCUGACUUGCAAUAAGAGGGGUUAGUCUAGCUUUUUCCUGCUAAUAAAUGAAGGUACCCAUUACUGUCACCAGUUAAUGUGGUAUGCUAGUUGUCCUUAUUAUAUAUCAGCCCCAAAAAAGAAUGCCCAGUGCUGAGCUAUUGCAAGAUCGGAUAGUUUGUGAUUGGUUCCCAGAAAUCAAGCUCAUGCACUUGGCUCCCAGAAAGUCAACACUCACGUUCGCUUCCAGUUUCCUGACCAGCAAGACGUGCUUCUGCUAAUGUAGGCUUGUGCUCCAAAAUUCCCCAUCAAGCUGGCUCCUGCUCCCCCGAAUCCUACCCCCACCCAUCCAAAAGCUUCAAGAUCUCACAGAAAUCUCACAACUUCCGUUCGUCGGAGUAGAGCCUUCAAACAGCCCCGCCCACACAUCCACGCGGCGGCUGCUGCCAUAACUUCACCGGAGUCGCCUUCUCCUUCCGCGCCACGUCACCGGUGCCGGCCAGGCUCUGAAUCUUCUGCUGCUGCCGCCGAUACGAUGCUGGAGCUGGCAUCGACAUGCUUGUGAGGGCCACUUCUUCCGUGCUGUUACUGUGCUGCUGGUUCUGGGUGCUGCUGAUCAGGGGCAAGCUCGUGAAGGUAACUAUGCCUGCAAGAUUGGGAUUUUACUUGUAAUUCGUUCAAGAUCUACCUAUGAACGUCUUGCUCACACCAUUCUCUUCAUUAAUUUCUGCAGUGCACCUGUGUUGGAGGAGUUUCCUCCGAGAGUUCCAAUGGCAGAGCUGGUGGUCACCAUGGCGCUCCGGCCACUGGUCGCCAUGCUCAGGGACAAGGCGUCCAGCUAUCUCCUUGACCAGUACAAUGUGAUGGAGGGAAUGGAGAAGCAGCACAUGAUUCUGAAACGCAGACUUCCUAUCGUCCUGGACGUCAUCACUGACGCCGAGGAGCAGGCGACAGCCAACAGAGAAGGGGCGAAAGCCUGGCUCCAGGAGCUCAAGAGAGUAGCCUAUGAGGCAAAUGAAGUCUUCGAUGAAUUCAAAUAUGAAGCACUUCGCCGUGAAGCCAAGAAGAAUGGACACUACAAAAAGCUUGGAUUUGAUGUGAUAAAACUCUUCCCCACUCACAACCGUGUUGUCUUCGUUCAGAGAAUGGGUAGCAAGCUUUGCAGGAUUCUGGAGGAUAUCAAUGUCCUCAUUGCAGAGAUGCAUGACUUUGGGCUGAGGCAGACAUUUUUGGUGUCUAAUCAGUUGAGGCAGACACCAGUGUCCAAGGAGUGGAGACAGACAGAUUACGUCAUCAUCGACCCACAAAAGAUUGCCAGCAGAUCCAGACAUGAAGAUAAGAAUAAUAUUGUUGGUAAACUACUUGGUGAAGCUAGCAAUGCAGAUCUCACAGUAGUUCCCAUCGUUGGAAUGGGGGGCCUUGGCAAGACCACAUUAGCGCAACUCAUAUACAAUGAACCUGAAAUUCAGAAGCAUUUUCCGUUGAAGCUCUGGGUCUGCGUCUCUGAUACCUUCGAUGUGAAUUCGGUGGCUAAGAGUAUAGUUGAAGCAUCCCCCAAGAAAAAUGAUGAUACAGACAAACCACCACUGGAUAGACUUCAGAAACUGGUCAGCGGGCAAAGGUAUCUCCUUGUAUUGGAUGAUGUCUGGAAUAGAGAGGUUCAUAAGUGGGAAAGGCUGAAGGUCUGUCUUCAGCAUGGCAGCGUGGGUAGUGCUGUGUUGACAACAACCCGUGAUAAACAAGUUGCUGAAAUUAUGGGUGCAACUAGAACCUACAAUCUCAAUGUUUUGAAGGAUGACUUCAUAAAGGAGAUUAUUUUGGAUAGAGCAUUCAGUUCAGAGAAUGAAAAGCCUCCCGAGCUACUCGAGAUGGUUGGUGAGAUUGUGAAGAGAUGCCGUGGCUCUCCUUUAGCUGCAACUGCACUGGAUCUGUACUUCGUACCAAGAUCAGCGUGGAAGAAUGGAAGGCUAUAUCAUCUAGAAGCAGUAUUUGCACUGAGGAAACUGGAAUUUUGCCAAUACUCAAGCUUAGCUACAACGAUUUGCCAGCACACAUGAAGCAGUGCUUUGCUUUCUGUGCCAUAUUCCCCAAGGAUUACAAGAUUAAUGUGCAGAGGCUUAUCCAACUAUGGAUCGCAAAUGGCUUUAUCCCUGAACACAAGGAAGAUAGUCUUGAAACCAUUGGACAACUUAUUUUUGAUGAGCUUGCUUCAAGGUCAUUCUUUCUGGAUAUAGAGAAGAGUAAAGAAGACUGGGAGUAUUAUUCCAGAAAUACAUGUAAAAUCCACGAUCUUAUGCAUGAUAUUGCAAUGUCUGUUAUGGAAAAGGAAUGUGUUGCUGUGACUAUGGAUACAAGUGAAAUUGAGUGGCUUGGAGAUACUGCUCGGCAUUUGUUUUUAUCAUGUAAAGGAACAGAAGGUAGUUUGAAUGAUUCUUUGGAGAAAAGAUCUCCUGCCAUUCAAACACUGAUAUGCCAAAGUCAUAUGCGAAGCUCAUUGAAGCAUCUGUCAAAAUAUAGCUCUUUGCACGCCUUGAAGCUCUGUAUUAGAGGCAAAGAAUCAUUUCUUCUGAAAUCAAUGUAUCUGCAUCACCUGAGGUACCUUGAUCUCUCAAACAGUUCUAUCAAAUCACUUCCUGAAGAUAUAAGUAUUCUAUAUAACCUUCAAAUGUUGGACCUUUCCUACUGUUGUUAUCUUUAUCGACUUCCAAUGCAAAUGAAGCAUAUGACUUUCCUCCGUCACCUCUACACUCAUGGAUGUCAGAAGUUGAAGAGCAUGCCUCCAGAACUAGGAAAACUCACUAACCUGCAGACGUUGACAUGGUUUGUGGCAGGAGUUCCUGGCCCUGAUUGCAGUGAUGUUGCAGAGCUGCAGCAUUUAAACCUUGGUGGUUAUCUAGAGCUACGUCAGAUAGAGAAUGUUAAAGAAGCAGAGGCAAAAGUGGCAAACCUUGGAAACAAGAAGGAUCUCAGAGAACUGUCAUUAAGAUGGACUGAGGUUGGCGACAGCAAGGUGCUCGACAAGUUCAAACCUCAUGGUGGGCUGCAGGUUCUGAAGAUAUAUUCCUAUGGAGGAGAGUGCAUGGGUAUGCUGCAAAACAUGGUUGAGAUCCAUCUUUUUCAUUGUGAAAGAUUGCAAAUUUUGUUCAGAUGCAGUGCAAUCUUCACUUUUCCAAAACUGAAGGUGCUUAUGCUAAUACAUCUGUUGGAUUUUGAGAGAUGGUGGGAAAUAGAUGAGAGGCAAGAAGAACAGACAAUAUUUCCUGUGCUUGAGAAGUUGUUUAUUAGUAAUUGUGGAAAGUUGGUAGCAUUACCUGAAGCACCAUUGCUGCAAGGACCUUGUGGUCAAGGUGGUUAUACAUUGGUUUGCUCAGCAUUUCCUGCCCUAAAGGUGCUCAAAAUGAAAAACUUGGAGAGCUUUCAGAGAUGGGCUGCAGUGGAAGAGACUCAAGGAGAACACAUACUGUUUCCUUGUCUGGAGGAACUAUCAAUUGAGAAAUGCCCAAAGUUGACGGCGUUACCUGAAGCACCAUUGCUUCAAGAACCAUGUAUUGAAGGUGGUUACAGAUUGGUACGCUCAGCGUUUCCUGCCUUAAAGGUGCUCAAAAUGGAAAACUUGGAGCGGUUUCAAAGAUGGGGUGUGGUCGAAGGGACAUUGUUUCCUCAGCUUGAGAAACUAUCAGUUCAGAAGUGCCCCAAGAUGAUAGAUUUACCAGAGGCACCAAAACUCAGUGUCUUAAAAAUUAAAGAUGGUAGGCAAGAGAUCUCCGAUUUUGCAGAUAGAUAUUUUUCUUCAUUGACCAAACUGAUAUUGAAUCUAGAAAACACAGAAACAACAUCAGAGGUUGAGUGCACUUCAAUUGUAUCUGUGGACAGCAAGGAGAAAUGGAACGAGAAAUCCCCUCUUACAGUGAUGGAGCUAAGAUGCUGCAACUCAUUCUUUGGACCAGGUGCACUAGAGCCGUGGGACUAUUUUGUACACCUUGAAAAGUUGGAAAUUGAUAGAUGUGAUGUGCUUGUCCACUGGCCAGAGAAAGUGUUCCAAAGCUUGGUAUCCUUGAGGACAUUAGUGAUUACAAGCUGCGAAAAUCUGACUGGAUAUGCACAAGCUCCUCUUGAGCCAUUGGCAUCCGAAAGGAGUCAGCACCUGAGAGUUCUGGAGUCUCUUUGCUUAGAAAACUGCCCAAGUUUAGUAGAGAUGUUCAACGUCCCGACAUCUCUCAAGAAAAUGUAUAUUAAUGGGUGCAUUAAGCUUGAGUCCAUAUUCGGCAAGCAGCAGGGCAUGGCUGAGUUAGUCCAAGGAUCUUCUAGCAGUGAGGCAAUCAUGCCUGCAGCUGUAUCAGAGUUGUCAUCCUCACCCAUGAAUCACUUUUGUCCAUGCCUAGAAUAUCUACAGUUAUCUGAUUGUGGAAGCUUACCAGCGGUUCUACAUCUGCCUCUGUCCUUAAAGACCUUAGAAAUUUAUAACUGCAGUAGUAUUCAAGUCCUAUCAUGCCAGCUGGGUGGGCUCCAGAAACCAAAAGUCACUACCUCCAUAAGCAGAAGUCCUGUCAUGCCAGAGCCACCACCACCAGCAGCAGCUGCUGCAAGAGAGCAUUUACUUCCUCCCCAUCUCGAAUCUCUAGUAAUACUGAACUGUGCUGGCAUGUUGGGUGGGACUCUCCGUCUGCGUGCACCCCUCAAGAGACUGCGCAUUAUUGGCAACAGUGGGUUGACAUCGCUGGAGUGUCUGUCAGGAGAGCACCCCCCAUUGCUGGAAGUCCUUGAUCUUCAAAAGUGCAGUACCCUAGCUUCCCUGCCGAAUGAGCCGCAAGUAUACAUGUCUCUCUGGAAUCUUGAAAUUAGAGGCUGCCCUGCUAUAAAGAAGCUCCCUAGAUGCCUGCAGCAGCAACUGGGCAGCAUUGAUGACGAGUACAAAGAACUAGAUGCCCAUUAUGAAGGUAUGCUUGGAGCACGUCCUUCUAUCUUUGCCACAUUUAAUAAACAGAUGCAGUCAUCCAUUCCAUUAAAUCUACCACGCCAGCAUGUCUGUACAAGUUUGUUCUCCAUUAUUUUACUUUCGAAUGUUACAUUAGUUUGUAUGUGUUUGUUCUGACGCCAUUUGCAAUAUGUGCAGUGAUGGCACUUAAACCGAAGACAUGGAAGGAGAUGCCAAGGCUAGUCCGUGAGCGGAGGAAGGCCGCUCGAGAAGCCAAGGAGCGCCAGCAAUCCGCCAUGCAGGAGUAAACAGGUUGGAAACCAUGUAGAAAGGGCAUGGAUUCCAAUUGCUCUGAACAAUGUACAAGAUUAUGUCGUGACUGUAAUCAAUCGGCUUUGUUGAGCUUUGGCCUCUACCUAGUUCAGAUAUUUGUAAUGCGAAUCAAAUGAAUCUGCCCGGUUCAGUAGAAGUUAGGAUAAUAUACUCACAUGUGUGUCUGUGAGCUAUCUAUCGUAUCUAUCUGUUUUUGCUUUGCUUAGUUAACUGCGAAGACACUAGCCUUUAAUUGUUCAAUAAAGUUUUUCAACUGUGGCUUUUAUCUGUCGAUUUUCGUGGUUGACAGGCCUAAUCCCUGAUUGUUGCUCUUCUCUGCUCUGCUCUGCUAGGGGAAUGAGCUGUUAUUGCUUCUGCAACUUAACUGUGCCGCAGUCCGCUCUCCGUCGAGAACUGUCAGGGCCUGCGGUGUAGGGCGGCUGCUGCUUGGCGUCGAGUGGAGCAUAUCUGAAUCAACAUCCUAGGCUGAGACCAUCUCAUCUUGAUCUGGUUUGCUGUUGUCCAGUCAAGCGAGGAAACACAGGGAAGAAACAACAUAGAAAGGGCAUGGUAGUUUAUUUUAUUUUGCUUCAGAAACUGUACCAAUUUAUGUCAUGAUUGUUACCUGCUCCGUUAAACUCUGACCUUGAUCUUGUUAUUAAAGAUUCAGACACUUGCCUCGUUUAGUAGAAGCUGGGGUACUUGUAAUGUGUGCCAUAUAUAUUUCUAGUUUCAGCCAUUUCCAUAUCAAGUACAAGCUCGGAAAGGCUUAGGUGGUCUGUGAACUUUCUGGCCCUGCUUGCUUGACGCAAGUUUUACAGACAUAUAAAACAUAAGUUUAUAUAUAUAUAAUAUACAGUUAAGCAGCAGUUUCCUCGCAUGUAAGAUGGUUAAGUAGCAGCCGCAGGUAUCAGUCAGUCCGGUACUUGUUGAAUGGGAUCGACAGUUGAAUUGCUCUGCUCUGCUGCAAAACUCUGUGUUUGCCUGUGGAGGAAUGAAUAUUUCAGUUUCAGAAUUUGUGAGCUACUCCUAUUUAGUUUCUAGUCUGGUUGUGGUACUAUCUAGUUUCAGCACUGUUUAUUUAGUUUAGAAGAAAUUUACUGUUGACCUUUUUAACGUGUUUACAACACGUGCUAUUUGAAAUAUAAUUCUUUUUUUACCUGUUUCGAUACUUGUACAGAUCAAGUAGUACAAGUUGGGAGGAAAAAACCUCAGGUCCGUGAACUGUUUGGUCCUGUCUGUCUGUACAAAAUCAAGUUUGUUCGCUGUAGCCAGUAUAGUGUUGUAGAUAUCUGAAUAACUUGGUGUCUGCUUACGAGAGCAGAGGACGUGGAUGGAUGUUUGCUGCCGGCUGAUGCUGCAGGAACCGAAAGAGCCUUCUCAGUAUGCACUUCAAUGAAGAAGCAACGGACAGAUGUUCAGAUACAUCCGUUUGAGCUGACCGCUAUUUCUGGACGGAGGGAGUAUUAUGUAAGAUUUUGUGUACUUUCCCUUUAUUACUUUUGGUGCAGCUUCAGUUGAUGGUUUGCAUGCUCUUCUUAAGGAUUUACAUUCUCUUAGUGUCUUUGUUUCGUAUGUUUCUUUAGAGCCUCCUGUAGUUAAUCAGGCACUUCUCUGCUUUUAUAGACUAGUGUUAUUAUUGGUUUAUUAUUCAUGUUACUUAGGAAUUAGGGUCAAACAAGCACCUCCUGCUCUGCUGGUAGCUAGCUUAAUUCCCAGGUUUGGUAUAUAUCUAUGUUGUGAUGCAUACUCAUGUUUGUGAGCUAGUAUAUAUCUAUUUUCAGUGUCGUUUAAUGGUUCAGAGAGUGGGCUGUAACUUGUUCAGAUACUUUGUGUUAAACUGUAGAAUUGACCUGCUGCAGUAAUUUUGACAGCUGAGGUGGGAUGAGCUGCAUAUCAUUCUCUGAUUGGGAGUAACAGGUUGUUGUUGUUUGGUUCUGAUGUUGCUAAGCUGUGGUGGUGGUCACAAUUAUCUUCCUAAUCCGGCAA
rnacentral:lncRNA from 1 species